rnacentral:lncRNA from 1 species
CUUGCGCCAAUGCUACACAGACCGACGUUCUACCGCAUCUACAAGAGCAAGUCGACGGAAGGUUUCCAGUCGGUUCCCUACGUGGUAGCGCUGUUCAGCGCCAUGCUGUGGAUCUUCUACGCACUGAUCAAGUCCAACGAGACCUUCCUCAUCACCAUCAACGCCGCCGGCUGCGUUAUCGAGACCAUCUACAUCGUCAUGUACUUCGUCUACGCGCCCAAGAAAGCCAAGCUGUUCACGGCCAAGAUCAUGGCCCUCCUCAAUGGCGGCGUCUUUGGGGUCAUCCUCCUGCUCACCCUUCUCCUCUUCAAGGGUAGUAAGCGCGUUGUGCUGCUUGGCUGGAUCUGCGUCGGCUUCUCCGUCAGUGUCUUCGUCGCGCCACUAAGCAUCAUGGUGAGCACACGCGUAUAAAACUGUCAUGAACCCAAUCACCGUAGCAUCUAUAGUGUUCAUCCAUGCAUGUGACGUUACUAAUGGACCGCUCGCUUGUGUGUUGGUGGCUACGUGCAGAGGCGCGUGAUCCAGACGAAGAGCGUAGAGUACAUGCCCUUCUCCCUCUCCCUCUCGCUCACCCUCAGCGCCGUCGUCUGGUUCCUCUACGGCCUCCUCAUCAAGGACAAAUACGUCGCGGUAAUUCACUGGUCUUUCUUCAUCAGCAGUUUUUUGACGAUGCAUCUUACUCAUAAACUACAUGCGAUGUCGUCUGUAUGCAGCUACCAAACGUCCUUGGGUUCAUCUUCGGCGUGGUCCAGAUGGUGCUCUACGUGUUCUACAUGAACAAGACGCCGGUGGCGGCUGCCGUGGGCAAGGAUGCCGGCAAGCUUCCCUCAGCUGCAGACGAGCACGUCCUCGUCAACAUUGCCAAGCUCAACCCCGCCCUCCCGGAGAGGACCUCCGGGAUGCACCCAGUCACCCAGAUGGCGGCCGUUCCUGCCAGGAGCUGCGCUGCUGAAGCAAUCGCGCCGGCGAUGCUGCCCAACAGGGACGUGGUCGACGUCUUCGUCAGCCGACACAGCCCCGCUGUCCACGUGGUCUAGCUUCUCCAUCAUCGCAAGCAAGCAUGAAUCGAGUCGAGUCCGAACGCAUAAUUAAGCACCCAAUCUAUUGGAUAUAUAAAUACGCGCGCCCCAACAUGUGCGCCAUAUAGCCGUUUAUUCCAACCCUUAGCUUUGUUUAAUUCUCAAAUAUGCAUUUGAAGUAAUGUACUUUCAUGCAACCAGGAAUUUCAUUUUCCCCUCCAAAAUAACCAUAAGAAUUUUCUAUAGCACGUUAAUGUACAAAGUUAGUAAUAUAUAUAUAUAUAUACUAUAUUUAAAGCACCAGUUUCAACGGUCGUCAUGCGUCAAAAUUUUCCAAAUAACCCCUUGCAUUUUAUCAAAAUCAACCCAUAAUCUCUUCCUCUCCUGUUGUGCCUGACUGCCCGACUUCCUCGUGCAGAUAGGCGUUUCCCUUAACCGCUCUCGCGCUUGACUACCCGACUUCCUCGACGCCUCCGCCCCGCAUCCUCCAAAAGCCUCCUCCUCUACUUUGUCUUCCCCACUAGAUCCAACCCCCGUGCAUCGCAUUCUCUCCCGAACCUCAUCGCUCAUCCAACGCGCUGGCUUGAGAUCGAGGUCGUCAAGGCCCUGCCACGCCAUGCAUCGACAACGCCGCCGACCUAGGCGCCUCGGCCUCUGCCUCGAUCGAGGCCGUCGGUCUCACCACGUCGUGCAUCAGCCGCGCCGCCGACCUAAGGGCCUAGGACUCGGUCUCUCCCUCCGACUUUGACAGGUCCUCGUCGUGACGACGAUGAGGGGGCAGCGACUGUACGACUCCCUCAAGGCCCUCUCCGAUGUGUCCGGCCCAUUGAAUCCAUUCCUCCUCUGUCUCGCCAUGGUAAGCAUCUCGCUCCGGACCACGACGGCACGACCAACCGCACCUCGCGUUGUCCACCGCCCAACCUUCCCUAGGUUCGAAGGAUUGUACCUUCUCAAUAGCUCAAUUUGGUUGGCGCAUGUGUUCCUCUGUCUAAUUUGGUUCCGUGGGCGUUCAUUCGAUGCAAGUUAAGGGGUGGGCAUCUGUUAUUUCAGCUCAGUUAAUUGGGGACUGGUUGUAGGUGGACAUGUUGGUGCUCUUUGAAACCCCACCAGAUUUUGCCCUAUUCAAGGCGCUCGACAAGGGGAAGCUCGAAAAGUUUGAGGUGAGUGACUGUCGCUGCAUUUUCUAAAGUCUGGUAUUGAUUGGGUUCCUUAAAUUUGCUCGACAAGGUUUCUAUGGAUCCAGUGCCUGACAGAGUUCAUCCCCAAUUCACUGGUCGAUUUGAACCAAAAGAAUUUCACUGGUAGCUGUAUGAGGAUUGUAUCACCAUUCUCUAGCUCGUCAAUGAAUGGGUUUUGGAGGAUCUCAGUCUCAGUUGUCAAGGUGCUAGACACACAUAACGCCACUUUGGUUCAAGUCACGAGCUUGGAUGGAUAACUGUAGGGAGCUGUGCUUAAGGAAAUGUGCAUGCAAUGCUUAUGCUUACACACUGCCGAGAGACACCAAAUCCGUACAAAUUUGUGGUAGAUAAAUUGUUCUUGUAUCGACUUUUUCCUGCUUGCAUUGUUAUUAUUGCCUUGAAAAGCAUGAAAGCUAAAUCUGGUGACAGAAAAUAUCCCAAUGGCAGAGAUAACUCAGUGGCAGUAGCGUCCAAUGUCACCAUGCAGGAUGUUUGUUUUAAAGGUGGUACUUUAUUGAAGCUUUAUAAUAGAUUGUGCCCUUUUUCUGAAUGUAAUAUUGUAGAACAUCUUAUGUGAAAUGUAUGGAUGAUGGUUGCAAAUCCUGAUAUUGAAUAGAACUUCCUUUUUCGAAUUAUCAUAUACAAAUUAAUGGAUAUAUCUGCUUAUGUUUUCCUCCCAAACACGCUUCAGCAGUGGUAAUUAUCAUGCAAUCUGCAUAUUUAUAUAGGAUAAAAGGUCUAUUUACACUUAUUAGUUCUUAACACAUGUACAUCUAUGGAAUAUGUUUAUGAGCUCCUGGUCCUCGUUUUGGUACUGCUGCUGCCUAGGUAUAUGGCGCAUGGCAGGACCACCCACCGUGCCUUAGCUACCAGGAAAAUGACAGGAUAAGUGUUCCUACACUGUCACUUGCUAUGGAGAUAGAGAGAUACAUUUUUGUUUGUAUGGUUUCUUGGCAGAUUAAGAAGCAGUUGGCGGCGGACACAAUCACAGUUGUGGAUACCUCUAGAGAUAGCCGCCAUGUCUGGUGAGUAACAAGACCCCAACCCCAACCACUUGAUAUUCUUUUUCUAAUUUUCUAGGAUGCAAAGAAACAAAUGUGCUACAUGCUCAAACUCACAUGGACAUGGUGAAUGUGUCUGUAUUCAUUCAGUAGUCGGUAUCAAAGAAAACAAGGCCAUUUUUAGAUGUAUCAAUGUGUGGUAUAUAAUUCGCAACUUGUUUGUUUAGAAAUGUUCCUAUGCGAAGCAUUGUUGGUGAUUGAUGUGGAGAUGAUAGCGGUUUUUGCUUAAAUAUUUGAGAAAUAUUUGUUUUUUGGCAUUGUAGUGCUACUACCACAAAAAAUUUAGUGAUUUGCCAUCUUGCUUUAUCUUCCGUUUGUGUGCUAAAAAUAUUUACAUGGAUUGAAGUGUGUAUUUCUAUUCCAUAAGUGUGAGGUUUUUUUGGCAACACAUUUUAUCAUGAAGUCUAUGAGCAGCACCAGCUCAAUGACGAGGCUUGGCAUGCACCGCGACAUCUUCUGCAGCGCUUGUUAACUCAGGGAGAACAAGGCACUGUCGUUGAGCCCUCAAUCUUCCUUCUGAUCAGUGCAAUGCAAACUGUGGCAUGAGAUUAGUUCCAAGAUUUGACAAGUUGGUUCUCGCAUUUGCAGGAUGACAAGGGAGUGUCGAUGGCCGGCUUCCUCAGUACAUGAUGCAGGGGCUAAGAUCUCUAUUGGGUGCCAUACUCUCUCCAGAUGUUUUUAAAUGAAUUUGCAGUUAUUUUUUUGGUUCCAUGUUGUUGUUGCCUUCAAAAGUCCCAUCACCUUCGCUCCAAAAUGUCAUGUGUUAGGUUUUGAUAUAAGUUUAGGUUGCUUUGCCGAUUCAUGGAUUAAAAUGCCCUCAAGAACAUUUAUGCUGAUUCCUUGAUAUAACACCACUGGAUGAUAUUGUGGGCAUCAACAUGCUCUCCUAAUUUUGGGUUCAUUGUAACAAUUGCGGUCAAUUUGCAUGCUCUUCCAAAUUUUAGGAAGUCAUCUAGGGUGCUUCAUAUGAUGCUUGAGAGUCUAUGCAUCCUCUCCCAAUUUUUGCGUAUAUGUUGAGUUCUGAUCAACGUCGUACAUCAUGAAACAUGCCUACCCAAACACAGACCUGCUACUUUUUGCUCUCAAAUUAGCUAUAUUUAUUUUCGUUCCUGCUUAGAUCUGGCGAGAAGAUAGAUCCGAAGCACCAUUUACAUGUAAACAGGAGUUCCCUCAUGAUUGAGCAACCGUCCUGCGGAGUAAAUGGUUGCCCAUUUUUUCUGCUGCCCACAAUUAGGCAGCUCGAUUGUGGUUGCUAGAGUUGUAAAUAUCAUAUGCUUACUGAUAUGAUAAGAUAAGAAUGUGCACUUUCACAAGGCACUCCAUAUCAAGUUGUUCCUGGCUUCUCUGUCCGUUGGUAUGUUUCAGAAUCUACUAGCAAAUAUGUUCACUCAUUGUAUGUUGUUCGAUAAAAUGUCCACAUCAUCAAUGACUUUACAAUCAUCAUUAUAAACCGUCGCAACACACGGGCAACUGACUAGUAUAUAUAUGUGUGUGUGUGUGUGUGUUAGAUUCUAUGGUGCAUAGGAUCGAUUCCUAAGCCCCUAGAAUACCAAUCCGUAACUACAAUACCUCGAUUAUGAGUAGAUUUAUUAUACUGAGGGGUAUAGGUAUACAUACUUUCAUUGUUGUUCAUAGCCGCAGCCAUCGCAGCGGUGUCUUGCAGUGAAGACACACCACCUUCUCCUCCUCCUCGAUCUCCCUGCGUGUGACGAGGAGACUGGUUCCCGUUUUUGAUCGACGGUGGAUCAGCUCCUCCAGUGGCACAUUCAGGGGGAGGCUCAGAUCCUGUUCCCGAUGGGGAUCUGAGACAUAGUCGUAGCUCUUCCAGUCACUCCAAUAAGUGCCUAGGAGAUUGGUUCCUCACAGAGUGUCGAUUAGGGUUUUGUGGUUGAGUGAUUAGCGUUGGCUAAACCUGUCAGCCUCCUUGAUCUAUUUAUAUGACGUCGUGUGACCGGGGGCUGCAACCAACGGUUAGGAUAGCCCUCCCACGAUCAGGGCAGCGGUUAGACAGUUAAGAUUAACCCUACCCCAGUUACUGUUAACCGGCUAGUGUAGAGGACACAUCCUAACAAUAUGUACACAAGCACAUCCCUCUGGAUACAUCAUAACAAAGCUGAAUUAGGAGUAAAAACACUGGACAAGAGUACCCAUCACGAGAUUAUGGAGUACUUAUACAUCAAUGUUGGAGAAGCUAAGUCAUGCACGAGCUCUUUGGCUUGGAUUCUAACGAUAAAUGGACGGAGAGCUCAAACAAGAUAAAAAUAACUUCCUUAAGAUUGGAUACCUGUCAAAGCUCUUGCAAUAAACCACAAUUGGACAAUGAGGUUAAAAUAAAGUCCCUCAUGUCACCUUUGAAGGGUUCAAAGGUGAGGAGUGGAGUUUUGAGGGAAAGGCCAAUACCGAAGAUAACAAACAAGAAGCAAAGAUAUUUGGAUAGGUGACAUGCUAAGUUUUCGAUCCUUAGAAAGCUAAGUCAUACACAAGCCCCUUGGCUCCGAUUCUAAAGGUAGAUGGACCGAGAGCUCAAACAACAUAAAAAAUAACUUCCUUAAUAAUACAAAAGAUAAAGCCAAUCAAACCUCCAUGUCAGACACAAAGUCCUUCAUGUGAAAACCUCAAUUUCAAGUUGCCCUAACUGAAUAAAAACUAUAUUACAGGAGUAUUUUUGGGUAACGACAUCAUGAUAAGGUUUAAGGGCAGUUAGGGAUUUACAAACUUUCUGGCACAACUAUAGUUAAUAGCUACAUCCUCACCCAAACCCUUAUUAUCGUGGCUUGUUCCCUUCGACCAUUGUGACUUCUUGGAUUAACAUUGUUGAUGAUAUCUUCAGCCCUAGUGAGCACCAACUUUCCUGAGUCAGCAGAAUACUAGCUAGGCCUUUACGGGUCUUCUGCAUUAUUUAAAGUGCAUCUAGCCUAUUGUGGGUUUUGGUGGAUUUAAUGACAAAAAUAUUAAAGGACUAAUCAAUUUGCUAAGUGUUGAACAGAAAAGUUGAGUAUAAUGGAUAUACUUGACUAUGAUAAUGAGAAGCAAUAAAAGGUUCAACAUAAGGCAAUAUUGGGGGAUAUUCCAUAAGACAUCAGAUGGAUAUGAAAAUGUGGAAUAUCAUAAGCACUGUAAAGAAAUAGAGGACAUUGAUCAGAAGAAAGAUAUUCAAUGUACACUCAAGAUGGUGUGACUGAAGGAAGGCUUGAUAAGGUGAAGAUAACAAGGAAAAUGACUUUGAGGGACUAAGCGAAGCAGAAGGCCAAGAGGACCGAGGUACUAAGGCUAAGUUGAAGAAGUAAGUACUUGCAUUUAGUCGAGGGACUAAUCAAGCUCAAGAGAAGUCAUGCAAUGUUGAGUGAUCUUUAUUGGAAGAAGAUAUGAAGAAGAGUAUGGACAUUGCACUAGUACACAGAAGCUCUAUAGUGGCGGUUCUAAACCUAUUUACACUGGCGUUUUUCAGUUCCGCCAGUGCUAGGGGCCAGUGGAAAUCAGCAUUUCCACUGGCGGUUAUUUUGGAACCGCCAGUGGAAAUUCUAUUUUCACUGGCGGUUUUCUUAAGGAAACCGCCAGUGAUAAUAGAAUUUCCACUGGCGGUUUGCUUUAUAAAACCGCCAGUAGAAAUGCACUUUUCACUGGCGGUUUUCUUUAUUUAGCCGCCAGUGGAAGUUUUCCCGCCUUUUUUCAAAAUUUCAAACAAUACUGAAUUAUAUAUAUAUUUAUUUACACACACACAAACAUAUAUAUAUAGAUCUAUAUUGAUAUUGAAAGCAACAUGGAAUUAAAUUCUAUCAUACAUUUAUAUACAUCAAAGUAUUCUGUUUACAACCAUAUAUGCUUCAUGCAUUCUAUACAUCAAAAGUGAGGAAAAUGUGGCUAAAUUUGAGGAAAAUGAACAAAAAUGUGGCAAGAGGAACAUAAAACCAAACUUUCCUCGCCAUACUCUUCUCUCUAACACAUGGUGAAGGCCUAGUUCCAAAAUUGAGCAAAGAUGAACAAUAAUUGGCAAUUAAAACAUAAUUAAACCAACCUUUCAUAGCAACUAAUAAAGACAAUCUUAAUUACCAAACCUAUCUUCUUCUCUCUCCACACAACACAUGAACCAUUCAUUAAACAACUUAAUAUGUCAUGGAUAAACUGAUUUGAGAACUAAACAUGAAAAAGGAGAGAGGAUAGACAAAAUCUAACCAUAUUAAACAACUUUAUUUGAGGGAAUAGAGAAAAUAACCUAGCUAUACACUUUCUCUCAAAUGGUGAAACCCUAGAUCCAAAAUGUGGCUAAAAUUGAGCAAAAAUGAAUAAAAAUUGACAUUAGCAACAUAAACCAACCUUUCUUAGCAAUCUUCUUCCAAAAAAUGAAGAUCAAAACCUCUCCCCAUGUAUUUUGUGAAAUCUGGACCUCCAAAAUCGCCUCCAAUGGAAGUUGGCUGCGAGCAUACAGUUCACUGUCGGGGGAAGAAGAGGGGUAUUUAUAACAGACAGUUCACUGGCGGUUGGCUUUAAAAACUGCCAGUGGAAACCUAUUUCCACUGGCGGUUAUCUUAACACAACCGCCAGUGGAAAUAGGAUGUUUCCACUGGCGGUUAUGUUAAGAUAACCGCCAGUGGAAAUCAAUUUUCACUGGCGGUUGGUGUUACACAACCGCCAGUGGAAACAUCCUAUUUCCACUGGCGGUUGUGUUAAGAUAACCGCCAGUGGAAAUAGGUUUCCACUGGCGGUUUCUUAAGCCGGGCCCACCUGUUUCUUUCACUGACGUUUGAUAAUGGAAACCGCCAGUGAAAAGUUGAACGUGCCGCAGGCUUUGAGCUCUUUUCUACUAGUGUUGAUUAGGUUGGUUUUCAAUGUGAUGUGACUUGGAGACAAAUUGAUAAACUGAGGAUAAGGCAAGAAAAGGGUUUUGAAUGACCUAGCAGGGUGAAGGUCAGAGCAUAAGGCUUUUGGGACCGAAGGACCAAGGCUAAGGUGAAGAAGAGAGUACUUGCAGGAGGUCAAAUAUUUGCUCAAAUUAUAAAGAGUUAUGUUGAGUUGGAGAUCACAACAUUAGAAGACAUGAUUUGAAACCAUCAACUUAACUCAUAUGUGAUGGGAUGGUUCAAAUCAUAAGGCUCAAUAUUAUGCUAGCUCAAGAGAAAAAAUUUGGUCACAAGUUCAAAUAGAUGGUAUCAAAGAUAGAACAUGGAAGGGCUCACUCAUUGUGCAGAUUUUGAUCAAAAGGCCAAAAGUGGAAAAUCAAGAAGGAAUUGGACUGUGGGUCAUUCCAGUGUUUAUGAAAGGUUCUUGAUGAUCACAACAAUGUAUUGGAACUCAUUGUAGUGGAAGGAUUACUAAGGUCUAGAGCUUGAGGUUCCACAUGUCAAGAGAAGCACAAGUUCGACGAAAUGAUACAAAAUGAGUUGGAGGAUUGGGUGAAGCAAAUGUGAUGACUUAGAAUGUUUGGAAACACUCAGAAACAUUUGUCUUAGUUAUGAAAGUGUUGGCCAUUAUUUCAUGAUCUUGUCCUCAACUAUCCUAAGGAUGAGAGAAACUUCAUGACAAAUAAUGAGUUCCACAAGUUGUAUUUAGAUAUUUGGAUGUAGGUGACAAAAUAUGGCAGAAACAUGCAACAAGGGACUUGCCAACCUCAUGAGCCAAGGGGGCUAGGUUCUUGCUAUUUGGACACCUUGAUGCCCCCCUUUGGUCUUACAGAUGUAAAACAAAGGAAUGCAACACAAUUUGUACAUGGUUGACAUGAUCAUAAGCUAGAAGACGACACAUUAGCAAUCUAUGGGCUUGGAAUCCAAGGAUGGUGAAGAAAACACAAAUUUGAUCAAACGUUGGAGAUCUCCAACUAUCAACCGUUCUUCAACCGACUUGGUUAGCUCUAUUCACCAUGCGAUGCAAGAUGGAGUGUAUGGGAGGGUUGGCUAGCCUCCUCCCUGGCUAGCCGACCACAUGAAGUGUCUCCCAACCUGCCACCUCACCUCCUUCAACCAACUUACCCACCUAAACAACCUUAUAUGACUAUAAAUACCCCCAGCCUUGGGAAGGCUAUAAAUACCAUAGAGAGUCCCCUCUUUUAUUUUAGUAGUUUAGGUUAGUUCCUCUUGUAUGAUCAACAAUCAAGUGGAAUCCAGUUAUCUUGUGUGUCAUUGUGAGUUUUAUCUCUACUUUACUUUGUUAUCACACUAAAGUAUACUUUGUUCUACCUUUACUAGUCUAAGAGCACUUUAAUUCAAACCUUAGGAUUGAGUUAGUCUUUGUUUAUCAAGUUUUGUCUGGCUUGCUGGUGUUAUAAGCCACUACUAGUAUUUGUUGCUAGGCUGGCUAGUUCUUAACCUCGGAUAUAGAUAGAGCUUUAGUGAUGAUUAUUACGUGACAUCAUAUCCAUGCAAUUAUGGUUGGUAGCCCCUCUUGGUGACAAUGGGAGUGUGGCCUAUGUAUCCUGACCUCAUCGUUUGAUAGGCCUGUACGUGAUAGCUUCCUACCUUAGAUGUUUCACCCCUCUUUUAUAGAAACCCUUUGGUGAGCAGAAUUUUGCUCUACGCAAGUUCUUUCUUGAAGUUGAUAAGAAAUUGGUUAACAGUGAAUAAUCCUUCGUAGAGUAGUAAAAGUAAUAGUUUGGUUCUUUACUCCUUGGUAACCUCCUAGACAACUUUACCUUACUAUGGAACAUAGGGUCCAUAUUAGUUUCCUCCACAUACACCAAACUUUUAUUGUAUUUACCUCCGUCUAAUCACUAGUGCGUACACUUACCAAGGUUUACAUUUCAAUUCAAGUUUGAGUUUGGUUAAUUAAUCUCUAGCCUGCCGCUCCCCUUUGGAAAAUGUGAUACCUAGAAUACUCCUAGUGAAGGGCUAAAAUCGGUCUCUAUGUGCUUGUGGAGUAAAAUACAAUUGGCAUAAGAACCACCAACAACUCCCAACAAAGAGUUGUGGCCAUUAUAGCUCUUCAUCACAAUCAUCUCACAAAUGCCUUAUGGCACGAGGUAACACAAAUGAUUCAUCUAUGAUAGUGAUGAUGAAAGACCCCCUUUAGAUGAAUUUGCACAUGCCGUUAUUUUUUUUGAGGAGGUAUGCACUAAACAAAAAACGUAAUUAAAAUUGCUUAAGUCAAAAUUGGUUAGCUAACAAAAUAAUUACAAAAAAAUCUAGAAAAUUUUGAAUCCUUUGUAAAGUUGAAUGUUAAAGCUAAGAACUAAAAUUGAGCAAUUAGAAUCAAAUGCACCACCCUCAACUACCGAUGAGAGCUUUAUUAAAAAGAAUGAAAAACUUAAGGCUAAGUUAGCUAAUUCUAAAAAUUCUAUUGAUAACUUGCUAAGAAGAAUGAAAUUCUUAUCAUACAUAACAAUGAGCUAACUACAAAGCUAUAAAGCAUCGGUCCACACCAGAAGCACCUAAAAUUGAAACUACUAAAAUUAUCAAAAAGGAUGAUUGUACUUCAUACUUGGAUUUAAUUGAUAUUAACCACAACCCCUGCAAACAAGUCUUGGUUGAGAGUAUUAUUGUGGAAACAUGCUUAGAUGAAAUUGCAAGGGAAAUGAGGAACUAAGGCAAGAAGUGGCUUGCCUUGGUAUGGCAUUGUACAAUAAGAAAUGUAAAGUCAUACAAACCCAACCUCAUCAGGAUAACACCACUACGGGAGUGAAGCCAGAUGAGGGAGAAAAUGUGGUUAGUUGGUUAUGCCACAAGGAAGUACACAAGUCUUACCAAUGCAAGGCGAAGACCAUGGGAGAUAAGAAAAAGAAAACAAGCAAGCUCUCCAACACAUAUACAUGUUAAUAAGAUUGCUACAACGCCAUAUACUAGGCAAAUCACAUGGUAGGAUUGCUCGGUUUAAUUCAUACCCUUGGAGAAAAACCUACAUGGCUUAAAAUGUUAAACAAACAACAACACAUAGCUUAGUCAAAUUUCUGAAUAACUGAUACCCAUGCUUAUCUUUCAAUUCUGUUCCAAUUGCUUUUCAAUUAGUAUCUUACAAUUUAGUACCAUGAAUUUUCAAUUGGUAUCGUUUUGAAUUAUAUAUGCCAAAAGCUGAAAUAAUUGAUAAUUUUCCCCUAAGUAUCACCAUAGGUAAUGUCUUUGUGACAUUAUCCUUUCAAGUGGUAUUCUGACCUUAAAAGUCAAAGUGUUUGUGUCCUGCAAAUAUUCAAAACUCGCAUGCAAACUUUUAGGGGUUAUUCUAUAGUUUGAUUUCUUUGAGACUAACAUUGUUUCCAAGCCUAUCAUGUGCCUAGUAGUCUCAUUGACGGAAAAUGGAAUCCCUAGAGAAUGCCAAUGCACUGUCACUGCAAAUCAGUAUCAUAGUUAAUCUUUCAAUCUAUUAUUUUUCUAUUGAUAUCAUUUACAUGACUUCUCCAUUUGUAUAGACUAAAAUAACUUGAUUUCUUUUACCCCGUAUGUUGCAAUUUAUGCAUAUAUUUUAAUUUCUUUUGAUAUCUCUAGAAUUUCCUUUAUCAUCUAAAUAUGCAUAGAAAAAGGGGGAGUCUAGUUUAUGCAACAAAAUGUCAAAAUUUCCCGGGGGUCUUAUGUUGUUAAAAUUAAUGUUUACCAAAGAGGGAGAGUUUUUUGACAGGGGGAGUAUAUCGUUUUUUGCAUUGGGGAAGAUUACGUCACCAAAUGAGGAGAACUUUCUCUAAGGGAGAAAAUCUUUUUUAAAGGCCACAUAUUUUUUACCCUUUGUACAUGAUUUAAAAUAUCUUCCUUUUUGGUGUUUGAUUCUAAAGGGGGAGAAAUUCAAGGACAAAAGCAAACCAAAGUAUAUCAAAUACAAAAGGCAUUUUUUAAUUUUUUUAAAAAAUGUUUUCAAGUGAUUCUAUGUUGGGUUUUUAUCAAAAAAUAGGAAGGAUGUAGAUUAUAGAGUUAGAGGAGGCUUAAGUCCAUAAUUCCAUGUUAUGGGGAUAGUUUUGCAUAAGCAAGAAUGUUUAACAAAGGGUUAUAAUUGACAUGUAUUUCACUUUGGUAUCACAUAAAUCUUGCAUAUACACAUGCAUCCUAGCAAAUAGACUACAUAUUUUCAUUCGGUAUUUAAAAUAUUUGCUUGUUUUGGUUGUGUUGGCAUGUAAUACCCUAAAUUUGGGGGUAUAAAAUUUCUUCUCUAAUACCUACCAAAUUCAGGUGUUACUCCUUUUCUCACCUCUAUAGUUUUUUCUUUUCUAUUCUCUUUAAUAGGAUUUUGGGUUAAUUAUGGGAGAGAUGUAUUAUUUUCUUUGGAAUAUUAAAAUCUAGGGGAGAUAUGAAUGUUUGCAUCAUGCUGAGCUUAAACUUUAUUUUUGGUUGAUGCACAUGUUUGAAAUAUUUGAAUUUGAAUGGUGGAUUGAUUUGAUUUUAAUUCCAUAGAGAAAAUAAAAAGAAAAGGAAUUAGAAAUUCAGAAGAAAAAGGAAAAACCAAUUCAGCCCAAAGCAGCCCAGCUCGGCCUAGCGAGCCGCGCGCGUGCCCGCUCCCUCCCUGACAGGUGGACCUUGCAAUUCGGUGCUGACUCAUGCACGCGUGUCUCCGCUCCCCCUCUCCCUCUGCUCAAUGGGGCCGACCUGUCGGUGCCAAUUCCCCUCGCGCGCGCACCCCGUUAUCUUUCUGUCCCGCGGGCCCUAUCCGUCAGCGUCAUUGCUCGUUCCCCUCGCGCUGCGCCCAUGUCUCUGCGUUGUAGGCCAGCCCUAUCAGCUCUACCUUUCCCGCAAACUGCCAUUGACCCACAUGUGCACGCACACCGAGAAGACCGGCCACAUAGCUGCCCACUCACCCCAACUCCUUUUGAGCCCCACCCGCACCCGCUCUGUCCCCCUGCCUCAUUUCCCCCACGCUCACCCUCUCUCACGCUCUAUCGCCGCCGCUAGAGCCCGCCGGUGACCCGCACCCGAUGUACUGGCCGUCCAGGACGCCAGGAACCGCGCCAAGCCUUCCCAAGUGCAGUCCCGAGGUGAGGAACUCGCUUCUGUGCUUGGUUUCUCUUGAUUCCGCCCUACCGUGGUUAAUUCGCCCUUGCCGGAGCUCGGCCAUGCUAGUUCGCCAUGCACACGCGGUGUCUGGCCAAUUUAGCCUCGUCCUAAACCUCGGUUGUGGUCCAUAGCGUUCCCCUUCCCUCACCAGAGCUAGCCCAAGCCUUAGCACGCCCAAUUCCCUGUCCUCGCGGCCGAGAUUCCUCGCUGGAAUCACCCCGAUCCGCCUCGAGCACCCCCUCCACCGUUCUCUCGCCUCCGGUCCCGUUCUGGCGGCUGGAGUUCUACCAGUGAGUUCGCUGGACCCUCCCCAUCAGUUCCAGCCAACCCCGGCGACCCCAGACCCCCUAGAGGCCGCUCCUGCCCCGUCUCUGGUGACUUCACCAUCGCGGGCGAAGCAGCACCGACCGCCACGCUGGUUAGCCCCUGGGCGCCAAAUCCUAACCGCUCAAUCCUAACCCAACGGUUCGGAUCUCCGGAUACCGCUUAAGGCACGUGCCCUGCCUCUAGGUCCCAUCUAUUGGUCGCCUGUGCCCCCUAGCGCUGGGCUUGACUGGUCAACCCAUCUCCCCUUCCCAAUCGUUGACCCCCCUGGCCCACCUGUUAGCGCUCACCCGCGCGCCCCCGCGCGCGCUCGCGCUCAAAUCUAAUCCUAGUCAUUGACCUGUGAUCGGGCGACCGAGAUCACCCGAUACCCGUUCAUUUGGAGAACUUGUUAAAAGAACCCUCGAUUUUCAGAAAAUAAACAACAUUCCUGUGUUCUUGCGCUCAGGCCCCUGAUUUCUUGCAGAGAAGCCCCUGGACUUUAUUUUAAUCACAGAAAUAGGUCUAAUUUAGUAUUUUGAAUUCCAAAACUUUUUUAUUUCAUAUCUUUUGCAUAUGAACUCAAAAUUGGGUGGUUCAAAUUGCAAAAUGUUCAUAAAAUUAUUCUCUAUUUGUUUAAAUAGGUCCACUGUUUGCAUAUCUGAAUUUUAUGACUAGACAAUAGGUUCAUUUGAAGUGAUGGAUUAUUUAUUAAAAAGAAAAUAAAAAAGGAAAAUACUAAUGAGUAGUUAAGGGGUUAAUUUGUGAAAUUAAUCUCAGGCAAUAUAUGACCCCACCCCUGGAAUAACUUUAGUAGCUCAUUAAGAUAACUAUAGUUAAGUUAUGUGAUCCACUGAGAUAGGCAGUACUUAGAGAACCACAAACCACUACGUGUAUUAGUCUACCCUAGAACCUAGAUCUCACUUUUGUGUUUAUACUUUUCUAUUAAACUUAUGUUCAUUUGGUUGCACAUGUUUGGUUUAUUGUUCCUUUAUCAUUUCCCAAAUGUGUUGAAUGAAUGAUUGCUUUGCGUAGACAACGAGCAGUCUGAGGUUUCCGAGUGUGUUGCAGGAGACUUCCCUGAGCAGCAACCUGGUGAAGGCAAGUGUUCUCUGACCCAUUAUGUCCUAUUUACUUUAUAAUUCGUUUUCCCGCAUUACAUAAUUAAAACCUAAGGAUUGACUAGCUUUGUACCUUCUCCUUUAUUACCUUUUGGGUUAUUAUGGUUAGCUUCAUGCUAUUGCUUUACUUUAAUCAAUGAACAUGAUGAGAUCAUUUAUGAUACAAUGAUGUUAUCUUGAUUAUGAUGAUGAACUUGUGAUACUUUAGGGGACUCAGGUUAUUUCCUGAGUACCUCUCUGUAAGGACCUGUUCGUUGAGAGACCAACCGGGAUAAAAGUACAACCAUGAGGGUGGAAUGGGACGCCCUUAGCUGAUUAAUUAGAUGAACUUCGGGGUGUAGUUGGCUUUGCCAUAGGGCCAUCAAUGGGGGCUGGGGCAUAGUGCUUACUCUGCUAAGGGUGGGUGCCGAGGUUCAUUCGAUUUGGUUUUGUUAGUCACCCACCUUAGGGAGGAGUACUGUGUUUGUACGACUGGUGAAACCUAACGAGUAACUGCACACCAGGGGAAUCUUUGUAAAGGCUACAUAGUGAAUCCCUAGCAAUUCACCUCGGUAGUGAAGAUCAGGUUUGUACAACCUAGGCUAGGAGGGAUCACGACUCGUGGGUAAAGUGUGCAACCUCUACAGAGUGUUAGAACUGGUAUAUCAGUUGUGCUUACGGUUAAGAGCAGCCUUGGGAUCCUCUUUGAUUAGAGUAACUUUGGAUACUUUUAUGAUUAUGGUAACUGGUGAUGAUUAUAACAGUGGUUUCUGGUAUUCCCUCUUGAAGGUAGUACUUUUGAGUAAUAACUUGGAUUUAUUACUAAAACUUGGCUUUUCUACUAGUACUAAAUACCCGACCAACUAAAAGCAACUGCUUUAAGCUUAAUCCCACAUACAGCUAGUCCACUUUAACCAAACGGGACAUUUGCUGAGUACGUUGAUGUGUACUCACCCUGGCUUUAAAAACCACCCAACCCCAGGUUGUCCCCACUGUAAUCAGUGCUCAGGUGAAGAUAAAGGCAACAUGGAGGACUUUCAAGAGUUUCGGGACUUCGAUGAGUUCUAGUCGUGAUUAGUGGCAAACCCCCAGUCAGCUGCUUGUGAAGGCCUUAUCUUUCAACGUUUCGUAAUUCGCACUUUGAUUAUGAUAUUGACUAUGUUAAGUUAAUGACUCUGUGGAUGUUUUGGACAUCUUGAUGUAAUAAAGUACUAUUUUCGCUAUUAUUUUGAGCAAUUUGUGAUGAUGUCUGUGGGAGAUAGAUAUCCCCCGGGUCCACUAAAAGAGUAAAGGACCUCACGAAAGGCCCAAGGGCCUAAUAAAUCGUAAGGUCAUUCUUUCGUUGGCCUGGGGAGAAACAACCGGCAAUGCAGAACGACAUGAGGCUGGAUUGGUGCAAACCCGGACGGCCCACAGCGUCGAGCGAAUGGCUGCAACAGAGAUCCGACUUUCCCGCGCUGGAGUCUCCAUGCAACGAAGCCAUGCGAGGAUAAGUCGGCGAGGGUUACGUAGGGAUAAUCUCAAGAGGUUCACUAUCUUUUAGCUACUUGUUGUUAUCUUACCCACGUGUACUGCCCCACGGUCGAGUAUAUAAGGCCUAGGGGGCACCCCUUCAGAACGAUCGACCCUAUCCUACUUAGCCACCCACGUAAACUCUCUGUGCCUUCAACCCAGAGACCCUCUUGUAACCACAGCCGAAUUCUCAUCAGGACAUAGGGUGUUACGCAUCUCUAAGCGGCCCGAACCUGUAAAUCUUGUUCACUGUCUCUCGUGCGAUCGGCACGAACCAUUUUGCUACAGUCGUUGACACCGUCCUACUCCUAGAAAACACCUUGAGGGGCAACCCCGGGUGUGCGGUCGGACCCAAAACACCGACAGUUGGCGCGCCAGGUAGGGGGUGUGUCAACGAUCCAAGCUAGCUCAAUGGCCGUCACCUUCCACAGCAAAAUCGCCGUGCGUCCCGGAUCUGUAUUCUGCUUCGGGACAAUCUCGUCCGUAGCAGAUGAAGAAGGAAUUCUACACCGCCUCGCAGAUCUGCCGGAACAGAAGUCUCCUCCAACAAACUCCGAAAAUACUGGAAAGACGCUACUUCCGGCUCUUCGGAAAAAGAUCGUCUCCGGGGAAGCUGGAGCUAGAAGCUCGCUGACCCGGAAGAGUCCACUGUCUACUUCCCCGACGAAAGAAUGGACACGGGUCGUGAGAAAGAAGGAGACCAGGGAGAGGCAAAUCGUUCUUCCCGUUCCUCCGACCUCAAAGGAGAACGGAAAGAAAGUCGCCGCGGCAGCAAUGCCGUUCUACCCCGACGUCCUCUUCAUCGGGAGAGCAGAGUCGCUCGCCGUCUCCGACGAUGAACCGACCGUGCCUGGAGAAGAACCGCCUCAGCGAGAAUCCCGCCGACGAAGGAACCGACGCAGGAACGUUCGACGACAUCACACGGCCGGAGAGCGGGAUCCGGAGCAACCUGUCUCGCGAGACGAGGUCUCGGAGAUAGGAGAAACUCCGGAAGAACGCGUCUUCAGGGAACGAAGGAACUCUCGACGACGUGAUCGCCGUCGGACUCAGGAGCAAGCCGAGCAAGAUGCAAGGCAACGACGCGAGAAUCCGCUCUUCGGGCGCAACUUGAACCCCGACUUCGCUCGAGCUAUGAACACGCCGAGCGAAGUCGGAGGCGUUCUAGCUCGGAUAGCUGACGGACUUCCUCGGACUCCCGACACCGAGGGAUACCAACGCCUGUUUACUCAGGCGGCCAACCAUCUUCUACCGCUCGCUCACCCGCCGAACGAUUUGCGGCACACCAUCAACAGUCGCCGAGACGCGCGAAGCUCCAUCAAUGCUUCGCGCGAACGGCGGCAUGAGAAUGAAAUUCGCCGUCGGGAGGAGUAUGACCGAGAUCAUGGCUUCCCGACUCAAAGCCAGGCUACCAGGACUGAGUCGGCAACAGCUUCAACUGGCGGUACCACCCGGGGACGGUCGAGGAACCGCCACCACCACUCCCCUCCCCGGGACAGACGACAUCCCCGACGACAGGAGGACACGUGCGGAGUAUCUGCACUUACUCCGCGCCUUAGGGCCAUCCAAUGGCCUCCCAAUUUCAAGGUAUCCAAUGUCGACAAAUAUGAACCUAAGCAGGAUCCAGGGGGUUGGUUAGCCGUCUACACCACUGCCGCUCGAGCUGUCGGAGCAUCUGAAGACGUCAUGACCGCAUAUCUGCCCAUUGUCCUUGGGCAAGAUGCGCUGCAGUGGCUGCGACAUCUACCCCGACACUGCAUCGACGACUGGAGAGACUUCAGUCGACGUUUCAUCGCCAACUUCCAGUCCCUCUUCGACAAGCCGGCGCAACCAUGGGACCUCAAAUCCAUCAAGCGCCGGGGGGAUGAGACUCUCCGGUCAUACCUUAAAAGGUUCCAGACCAUGAGAAACCGCAUCCCCGAGGUCACGGAGGCGGCCGUGAUCGAGGACUUCUACAGAGGAUCCAAUGACUCGGUUUUCGUCCGAGCCAUACUACAAAAGGCGCCGACUACCUCCGAGGAGCUGUUCCGGGAAGCCGACCUCUACAUCACCGCCGACGAGCGAGCCCAGGAUCUCAUCGGAGGAGCAAAGCCUGCACCGGCAGCGCCACGACGUGACGCGAACCAGCCGUCCGACAAACGCUGGGAGAAGAGGCCUCGAGAAGAAGUACACGCCGCCGGACCACCCGCCUCUCGCGCCCAAGGAGGACCUCGUGGAGGCGAGCGCACGCUGGACGACAUCCUCGACGCCCAGUGCCCGUACCACAAGGACAUGCGCCACACCCUUCAAAACUGCCGGGACUUCAAGCACUCCGUCGGGCACGGCCGACCCUUCCAACCUCUACCGCCUCCUCCGCCGAGGGGAGGACCAGAUGAACCACGACAGCCCCAUCGGCAGGAGGAGGGGGGAGGAGGAGCUUUCCCGCGCGUUGACAGGGAGGUCAACGUCAUCUUCGGCGGACAUGGGUCGCAGGAGAACAAAAGACAACAAAAGCUCAACGACCGCCAGAUACUGGUGGCGACCACCGGUCCUCCCGCCCCGUACCGGUGGUCGGAGCACCCGAUCACUUUCACUUGGGAGGAUCAGUGGCUCAACUUCGACCAUCCAGGCAAAUACCCGCUCCUCGUCGAUCCGGUGAUCCGAGAGAGCCGGGUAAAGAAGGUGCUAGUGGACGGGGGGAGCAGCAUCAACGUCACCUUCCCCCGUACACUCCAAGGCUUGGGAGUUCACCUCAAAGAGCUCCACGAGUCGGACACUCCUUUCUUCGGCAUCGUGCCGACGGAAGGGGAAUACCCGUUGGGCCACAUCUACAUGCCGGUCACCUUCGGAACUCCGAAGAACUACAGAACCGAGUUCCUGAGGUUCGAGGUGGCGAACUUCGACUGCGGGUACAACGCCAUCAUCGGGAGGCCGGGACUGGCCAAAUUCAUGGCCAUUCCGCACUAUACAUACAUGAUACUGAAGAUGCCGGGACCACGAGGAAUCAUAACUGUGCGUGCCGACUUCCAAGGUGCCGCAGAGUGUUUCCGAGUGGCCAUUCAGGCAGCCCUCACCACCAAGCCGUCGGCGGUUCCUUCUACAUCGGCGAACUCUAAGCCUGAGGAAGGCCUCACGGUACCGGCGAAUGAAACUCAGGCCGUGACCUCUAUGCGGCCGACUGAAGAAACCAAAAGAAUCAACCUGGGGUUCGCUGACGAGCGCAAGACGGCUGUCAUCAGCUCCAGUUUGAACAACAAAUAGGAAAGCGCGCUCGUCCAGUUUCUGCAAGAUAACCGGGAUGUAUUCGCGUGGCAACCUGCGGAUAUGCCGGGAGUCCCAAGAGAACUGGCCGAGCACAAAUUGAAGGUCUAUCCUCAAGCGAGGCCGAUUCGGCAAAAGUUGCGUCGUUUCACGCCCGACAAGAGAGAGGCCAUUCGUGCCGAGUUAGCUCGUUUGGUCGCGGCUGGAUUUAUUAGAGAAGUAUUACAUCCCGAGUGGUUAGCCAACCCUGUUCUUGUACUCAAAAAGAAUAAAGUGGAUUGGCGCAUGUGCGUCGACUACACUGAUCUCAACAAACACUGUCCGAAGGAUCCCUUCGGGCUCCCGAGGAUAGAUCAAGUAGUGGAUUCCACCGCUGGAUGUUCUGCGCUGUCUUUCUUAGAUUGCUAUUCCGGGUAUCAUCAGAUCAGUUUGGCAAAAGAAGACGAGGAAAAAACGGCGUUCAUCACCCCGUUUGGUGCUUUCUGUUAUACCUCCAUGCCGUUCGGCCUCAAAAACGCUGGAGCAACUUAUCAGAGAGCCAUUCAAACAUGCCUAGCCGAUCACUGGGGCAAGCGUGUGGAAGCUUACGUUGAUGAUGUGGUGAUCAAAACAGAGAAUUCGGAAAACUUCAUCGAAGAUUUACAGCUGGUUUUCAACAGCCUGAGGAGAUAUAGAUGGAAGCUCAAUCCUGAAAAAUGUGUUUUCGGGGUACCAGCAGGAAAGCUGCUCGGAUUUAUUGUCAGCCACCGGGGAAUUGAGGCUAAUCCAGAAAAAAUUGAAGCUAUCAUGAAGAUGGAAGCUCCUCGGUCACAAAAGAAGGUUCAGCGACUCACUGGAUGUAUGGCAGCUCUAAGCAGAUUUAUAUCCAGACUGGGAGAGAAAGGUUUACCAUUUUACAAACUACUCAAGAAGGUGGACAAGUUUCAGUGGACUUCAGAGGCACAAGAAGCUUUAGAUGCACUGAAGAAAUUUUUGACAACACCACCAGUAUUGAAACCGCCCCGGCGAGUUACGCCGACUCAACCGGCUGAAGAUUUGCUGUUGUAUAUCUCUUGCACGACUCACGUGGUAAGCACUGCGUUGGUAGUCGAGCGAGUGGAAGAAGGGCAUGCCUACCCGGUACAACAUCCUGUUUACUUCAUCAGUGAAGUUCUAGGUCCCUCGAAGAAAAAAUAUCCUCAGGUUCAGAAGCUAUUAUAUGCAGUACUUCUAACUGCCCGCAAGCUGCGUCACUACUUUGACGACCACAAAGUCAUAGUAGUUACUGGUUUUCCAAUAGGAGAUAUUCUUCACAACAAGGAAGCCAUUGGCCGAAUAGCCAAGUGGGCUUGCGAGUUGGGAUCCCACGAUAUCGAGUUCCGACCUCGCACUGCCAUCAAAACUCAGGCACUGGUUGAUUUCGUAUCAGAGUGGACAGAACAGCAAGUUCCAGACAAUCCAGAGACAACAGAAGUAUGGCGAAUGUAUUUUGAUGGCUCGCUGAAGCUGCAGGGAGCAGGAGCAGGGAUUCUCUUCACUGCACCGGGAGGCGAACACCUCAAGUAUGCUCUCCAGUUGCUAUUCCCAGCCUCAAACAAUGCAGCCGAGUAUGAGGCCUUGAUACACGGAUUAAACAUCGCCAUAUCACUGGGCGUCAAGAGAUUAAUGGUAUAUGGAGAUUCUCUGGUAGUCAUCAGCCAGAUAAACAAAGAAUGGGAUUGUUCAAGUGAUUCAAUGGGAAAAUAUUGCACUGCCGUCCGAAAGCUGGAAGAUAAAUUCGAGGGUCUGGAAUUUCACCAUGUAGAAAGAGAUCGGAACACGGCAGCCGAUAUACUAUCCAAACUCGGAUCCGGUCGAACUCAGGUCCCACCCGGAGUCUUCGUGCAAGAAAUCCUGCAGCCGAGUAUCUCGAUGAAUCAAGCAGAAGAGUGCAACGUCAUGGAUCAACCCGGGUCAGACUCUGAUGAUUGGAGACAGCCGAUUACUAAGUAUAUAAAGAAUGAGGAAGAACCAGAUGACAAGAACUCGGCAGAGCGUAUUGCCAGACAAUCGGCUCACUAUACCCUCAUUGGGGAGGUAUUAUACAGGAGGGGCGCGUCAGGCGUCCUCAUGAAAUGCAUUCUCCCGUCCACCGGGAAGCAACUUCUGGAGGAAAUCCAUGCAGGGCAGUGUGGAGUACACGCAGCAUCCAGAACACUAGUCGGGAAGGUUUUCAGGUCAGGAUUCUAUUGGCCGACGGCGAAGAACGAUGCAGUCGAGUUAGUUCAGAGAUGCGAAGCUUGCCAAUACCUGUCAAAGCAACAGCACAUGCCAGCGCAGCAGCUGCAGACCAUACCAGUAACUUAGCCUUUCGCAUGCUGGGGACUGGAUAUGAUUGGACCUUUCAAGAAAGCUCAAGGAGGAUAUACCCAUGUGUUGGUGGCAAUUGACAAAUUCACUAAAUGGAUAGAGUUUCAGCCUAUUGCUUCUUUAACCUCUGCUAAAGCCGUGGAAUUCAUACAAAGCAUAAUAUUUAGAUUCGGGAUACCAAACAGUAUCAUCACUGACUUGGGAUCCAACUUCACCAGUUCAGAAUUCUUUGACUUCUGCGAGCAAAAGAGCAUUCAGAUCAAGUAUGCAUCCGUAGCACAUCCAAGAGCCAACGGGCAGGUUGAGCGAGCCAAUGGAAUGAUAUUAGAGGCACUCAGGAAAAGGGUCUUCGAUAAGAAUGAAAAAUUCGCUGGAAAAUGGAUAAGGGAGCUGCCUUAUGUUGUUUGGAGCCUGAGAACCCAACCCAGCCGAGCCCUACAUGGAAAUACUCCUUUUUUUCAUGGUCUAUGGGUCGGAGGCAGUGCUACCUGCUGAUCUCAAGUUUGGGGCGCCAAGAUUGAUCUUCGAAAGCAUAGCAGAAGCCGAGGCCACCAGGCUGGAGGAUAUUGAUAUACUUGAGGAAGAACGACUGAAUGCAGUGAUCCAAUCAGCACGGUACCAGCAAACUCUAAGGCGUUAUCAUGACAAGGCUGUACGACAACGUUUCUUUUCGAUAGGAGACCUCGUCCUCCGCCGAACUCUAACGGGGGAGGGGCAGCACAAGUUAUCACCCUUAUGGGAAGGGCCUUUCAUAGUAGCAGAGGUUACUCGGCCCGGAUCGUAUUGCCUCACCCAGAUGGAUGGCACAGAAGUUGGUAACUCUUGGAACAUAGAGCACCUCAGAAAGUUUUACCCCUAGCUGUAUUUCAAGACAGCCGGGGCGACCAUGUACUCUGUAAAGUGGAAAUAUGUCAUCAAUAAAGAUAGAUCUCAAAGAUACUCGGUUCGUUUAUGAUCGACUUGCAUUCUUACUUAACUCGGGGUGACCACUAUGCCCUACAAACGGAGCAAUCGACUUAAGUCGGCGACGACUUAAGGCGGUGCAAGAUGCUCACGCUUACUUAACUCGGGGUGACCACUAUGCCCUGCAAACGGAGCAAUCGGCUUAAGUUGGCAACAACUUGAGGCGGUGUAACAUGCUCACGCUUACUUAACUCGGGGUGACCACUAUACCCUACUAACGGAGCUAUCGGCUAAAGUCGGAGAUAGCUUAAGCCGACGCAGCAUACUCGCACCUAUAUAAUGCAAGGGAUGAUUUCCAUAUUCCAUAAACAAAUUUCAUAAUCAUCAUGUGGCAUUACCACAAAUCUACGAACCAACAAAUUCUGAUACAAUAAGGGAGUAAUCAUAUCAUUCGAAUGAUAAGCUGAUGUCUUCUAACGAAUACUUGAUCAUGCUAACCACGCGCUCAGAGCAUGCAAAAUGUUUCUCUAUUUUCCAAUGUCUUUCUCAGGAACGACCGACGAAGAAGGGCGAUUCGAGGAAUCGGGGGUAGCAUUCACAUCAGCUUUUAUAUCUUCAGGAACUACCACUCCGGGUCUUCUCAUCAAGAUUCGCCCCGCUCGAAUAGCCUUGUCCAUGGCUUUAUCGCGCUGGGCUUUGAGAGUAGCAGCAGUCUCUUCGGCGGUUUUAGCGGCCAGCUGAGCAGUUUCUAACUCCUGGGCAAUGGUUUUCUUGGAAGCUCGGAGUUCCUUGAUGGUGGCAUCCUUCGCUGAUAUCAAUUGCUUAAGGCGGGUCACUUCGUCCACAGAUUCUUGUAGCCUACAACGCUGAUUGUCCAGUUCCUCCAUUGUAAAGCGGUGGCUCCUCUCCAAGAUGGUUAGCGAGUUGCUAGAAUCUCGAUACAAUCUGUCCAGAUUGUCGCGAGAAGCGGCAAGGAUGCGUUUUUCUUCCUACAAGCAAAAACCAACUCAUUCAGAAUCCAAGCAUGUAAUAAGGCGAAGCAUGGUUUCGUAAGUUACCUUUUCGGAGUCAAGCCGAGCAUGAAGAGAAGAACUCAGAGCGUUGGCAUCAUCCAAAGCAGCAGAAACCUGAUUCAGUUCAGUCUGGCUCUGAAGAUACUUAUCCUCGAAGUCAGCACACCGUUGAGCCAUUUCAGCUUGAUCUCGAGAAUGUUUUUCCUCAAGAACUGCGAUCUGCCGAGUCAUUCCUAUCAAGAGAUAAUCAAAUGAAGUGAGGUCAGAAGGUAAAACAAUCCACGAGCAAGGGUAAGGAAGAAGAAGAAAGGGCACUAACCAGCAUUAGUUGCCUCCAACUCGGAUACACGACGAUGAAGCAACACUGGAUUCCAACGCUCGAGAGAUGAAGCCACUUCUGGGGUGGAAGCACCCUGUGAUUUCAGUUGACUGGCCAAUCCAUUCACCAAAGCCUGAUGAGAAGAACAGAUGAGCAUAAUGACAGCAAUUCAUGCAACAUAAAGAUCAAACUAAAGCACAGCACAGCACCUGGAGGUUGGAAAAGAACGAAGGGAUCCCCAAGUCAGGAGAAAUCAGCUGAUAAUCAGGUGCCAGACCACCACCCGAAGCAGCUUGCAGCAGACCAGCAGGAACGAGCUCAGUACAUUCAGCGGAGCCUAACGCCAGACCAGUGGGGAUGCUGCCCUCUAAAGCGACCCCCUGAUCUGGAGUUUGAGACACCACCAUGCCGCCAGAGUGUGGAGGUGAACCCGCGUGAACGUCCAUAGAAGCGCAGGAAGGAGACCCUGCUCGGGCACCCUCGGGGGCUGGGUCACAGUCGGCGCUGCCCACCUGAGCCGGAUCAUCCCCGGCAACACCCUCGGGGGCUGGGCAGUGGCCUACACUCUUCGCCCGAGCUAAGUCACUCCCGACGACAUCCUCGGGGGCUGGGCAUAUAUCAGCGCCAUUCUUGGGACCCAGGCUCUCUGCCGUGACCACCUCUAAGGUUGACGGGCCUUCAGCUACUUCCAUGGGAUCAGAACGAUCCAGGUCAGCAUCCCGACCCUCGAGAUCAUGCUCUAAGGUCGACGAGGCACGGGAUGACCUCAACCCAGCAUCUGGCACGGCUGCACAAGUUUCUGUCGCAUCAGCAUCUGCAGGCUCCGAUAGCAAGUCUUCUGGGACCAUAUCCUCUAGAGUUUUAUCAAAGUCGGCCAUGGACAGCUCUUGCAAGCCAAUAAGGGCAGACAAAGCAGGAGAAGGGACUCCACUACUUCCACCGCUAGCAAUGAAUUGCUGACUGUUUUUCCGAGUUAAAGGAAUUUCAUCUUCUUCCUCUUCAUCCUCUACAGCGGCAACACAAGCAGCACUCCCACUGGGAUCACCAACAGUUUGGGCACACCCAUUGGGAUCAACGACAGUUUGGGCACACCCAUUGGGAUCAACGACAGUUUGGGCACACACAUUGGGAUCAACGACAGUUUGGGCACACCCAUUGGGAUCAGUAUCAGUAAGACCGAUAACAGGCACUUCUUCAGCAGCAGGAGCUAAAAUGCCGGCGUCCUCAUCAAAACUGGAUACUCGCCGGAGGCGUCUUUUCUUUUUCUUUUGCUCAUCAGCAGAAGGCUCGGGACGACUAGCUCGGCUAGGGCGCCUCGGACGAGUGCUGACAGUUUUUGAGACAUCCAAAGUCGUAUCAACCUCUGGAAGGGGCACCACUGCCAAGGUACCAAUAGGAGCAGCAUCGGACGAAUCCUCAGCUAAUAGAUCAAGCAUAUCAUUUAUGUCAGCAUCACUGGGAUUCAGAGGCACUUCAAAAUAAACCUGCCGUUCAUCAUCAGGAAUCGCCCCGAGCGAAGCAACCAAAGAAUUGACUUCCUCAGCAGAGGGUCGCACUCUAAGGCCCAAAUUGCUGUCAGUCACAGGCGGAUUUGACACAAAAGGGUGAAAUCUUUGGGAGGAGGCAGGUUCCAAGCCGAGUAUGCCACUGGAGCACCAACAUUCGAAACUUUACCUCUGAGGAUCAUUUCAAGUCGGCUUACCAAAUCAACAGAAGGAAUUCUCCUAUUGGUAACUCGGGUUGAGUCGGCCAGCCCUCGGUAAAGAUAUGCCGGAUAGGCCCUGUCUUUCAGCGGCUGAAUGUUUUUGAAAACGAAAUCUGUAACCACAGCUUCGGCAGUCAGACCUCUCUCUUUCAGUAAUCCGACUUCAGUAAGCAACACGCUUGCCUCGGCCACUUCUUGAUCCGUGGGAGACUCAGUCCAACUCAGAGUACGAACGUCUGGCUGUCUUCCUGAGCGGGGAGGGAGAGAAUUUCCAUAAUUAUCAAUUAUAAACCACUCCAGACGCCAACCUUUAAUGCUGUCCUUGAGGGGUAUCUCGAGAUACUCGGUCUUCCGUCCACGGCGCAUUUCCAAACUAGCACCUCCAACCAGCUGAUGUUGCCCCCCGGCCAUCCCAGGGCGACAAUGGUACAGAUACUUCCACAAACCAAAAUGCGGCAGCACACCGAGGUAGGCUUCGCAUAGGUGGACGAAGAUGGAGAUUUGGAGAAUAGAAUUAGGGUUCAAAUGGGUCAAGUUGAUAUGAUAAAAGUCAAGAAGGCCACGGAAAAAAGGAGAGAUUGGAAGGCCGAGGCCGCAGAGAAGGAAAGGAGCGUAAACUACUGAUUCGUGGGUAUCUUCGGUUGGGACAGUAGUCCCGUGGCAAACUCGCCAAGAACAGAGUUCCCGCGGAGGGAGAACCCCGAUGGAGACAAGACGGAGAAGCUCAUCUUCGGAAAUUACAGACAUGUGGUUACCUGCGAAAGGUAACUGACUAUUGGGGUCGAUUGGGGGGAUCACCGCAGCAGACGAGCUCGCAGUUUUCCUCUUGGGCGCCAUCUUGCUUCUCACUGGCGAAACAGAGUAGGAGGCGAGUGGCAGAGAAGAUUCAGAUGCGGAAAUGCAAGAACUAGGGCACGGAAAGCAAAGGCGGCUAAAAGCGCGACUCUUAAGGGAUAUUCUUGAGCCAGAUACCCUUUUAAAAGGUGCCCAAUCAUCACCCGGCGGUCAUCUCCGAAAUUCCAGCAUGCCACGUGGAUAUCUAACAGUUAUUUCCAAGAGAGCCGACGUGCCACCUCAUCACUUGGUUAUUUUCCUCAAAAUAACUUGUAAAGCUGGCUAUCAUUCGGCGUCACCUCUAAAACGCCGACAACGUGUUCAAUCGCUCGGCAUUACUUCUAAAAUGCCGAUGCCGACCUUCAAUCACUCGGCGUUACCUCGAAAACGCCGACCACGUGUUCAAUCGCUCGGCAUUACUUCUAAAAUGCCGAUGCCGACCUUCAAUCACUCGGCGUUGCCUCUAAAACGCCGACCACGUGUUCAAUCGCUCGGCAUUACUUCUAAAAUGCCGAUGCCGACCUUCACUCACUCGGCGUUGCCUCUAAAACGCCGACCACGUGUUCAAUCGCUCGGCAUUACUUCUAAAAUACCGACGCCGACCUUCAAUCACUCGGCAUUGUUUCUAAAACGCCGACCCUGUAUUCUGUCGCUCGACAUUACUUCUAAAAUGCCGAUGCCGACUUUCUAUCAUUCGGCAUUGCCUCUAAAACGCGGAUCUUGUGUUCGAUUGCUUGGUGUUACUUCUAAAACGCUGAUGACAACCUACACAUCGCUCGGCGUUGUUUCUACUACAUUAAAAGAAUCGGUUCAACAUUCAGGAAAAGCAACGACAAGUCAUCAAAAAGGGGGGAUCAACGAUAGUUCUUCAUUAAAGGGAAGUUAACGAGUUUACAAACCAACUCUUCAUGAGUUGGUACCUCCCUACUUCUACUCUACAUUAUUACUACUACUAAACUACACUAAUUACUACUACAUUAUUCUAACUAUACUAAACUAUACUAACAUCUAAGAAGACCAGUGGCGUCUAGCCACUGGCCCUGCCCCUGCCGCCGCCGCCGCCCUUGGUGCUGCCCUUGCUGCUGCCACCCUUGGUGCUGUCCCUGCUGCCGUCGCCGCCGCCCCUGCCACUGCCGCUGCCGUCACCGUCGCCGUCGUCGUCGUCAUCGUCGUCGUCAUCGUCGUCGUCGCCUUCACCCUCGUCGCCGCCGUCCGAGUCCUCCUCAUCCGAGGAGUACUCCGACUCAUCCGAGCCUUCGAGCCUGGAGCGCUCGACGGCCCGGAUGUACGUCCAGACCUCCGCGGCUAUCCCCUGGGAGUCGUCCGAGUCAUCGGACGACGCCGGGGGAGAGACGGGGGCUGGGGAUCCCUCGGACUCAGAGGAGAACUCCUCCUCUGAGUAUUCCGAGUCACCGAACUCGUCCGACGGAGGAGUCGGCUCGCGCUUGCGCUUGGUGCCCUUGCCCAUGGUGGAAGCAGACAGAAGGGAGGAGAAGAAGGCAGUAAGUAACAGCGAAGAGAUGUGAAAAAACCAGAGAAGCAAAGGUGUUAUUUAUAGAGGGGAAAGCAACCGCUCACUUCCAACCGCGGUCACUGAACAGUCGCAAAGCAUUCAAUAAGCACUCCCACCCAUCUGAAGACACGUCAGACAGCGGACGCCGUUUCAUGCAUCACUACACCCAUUGGGACUCCAGUCAACAGCGCAAAGGAUAUGAUUACACUAGCCGUCCCAUCGCAUUACUACUCAGAGGAAACCGGCUAAAACACUCAGCGUACCAAGCCGUCCCUUGCCCACACCCAUUGGGGGGGGGGACGCCCAGGAAUUAUCAGUAUAUUUUUCAAAACGGUCACAUCCGUGCAGGGCACGCAGUGAAUACCUCAAGACAAAAAUGAGAUAUCAACAAGAGUUAGAGGGAAGCCAAAUAUAGCCAGUAGAGUGCAAAAUAUGGUCGACAGAAAUGACUUGAAGACUAGACAGAGAACGUCCAUCAAAUGUCCAAUCAGUCACAGAGCAAAUAAAUUACACUACCUAGCGAGAUAUGGAUGGAUUGCGAACUCGGCUGCAAAAGACAAAAUACAUGCUGACCUCUGAAGCAUAAUAUUGAUGACAUAGCGCGGAUGACAUCAUGCCAAUUUUUUACAAGCAGAAAGGAUAAUUUUCAGCAAAAGGACACAGAAGGAAGACCUUCGAGUGGAUUAUCCUCAAAAAUCCACUUGAAGGUCGGGGGCUACACCCAUUGGGUGCACCUUCGGUGCACCCCAUGGAUUAUCAUUCUAAAUCAAUAUAGUGCCGACCUCUAAGGCGUGGAACAAGAUUGGAAAGAUCAAUCCUCAACUGAGAUGCAGGAGCGCGAAUGGAGAUAAUCUUUGGAGAAGACCUUUGAGUAGAUUAUCUUCUAAAAUCUACUCAAAGGUCGGGGGCUACACCCAUUGGGUGCACCUCCGGUGCACCCAAUGAAGUCCAGAAUCUUACAAUCCAAAAUGCUGAUUUCUAAGGCACAGGCACAAAACUAAACUUUGGUCGAACAAGUGAUCAGAGCAAGAGAAAACAGCAGGGAGUCAUUUUUGGACCUUGGAUCUUUGAGUUGAUUACCUCCAAAUCAACCCAAAGAUCGGGGGCUUGUGGGAGAUAGAUAUCCCCCGGGUCCACUAAAAGAGUAAAGGACCUCACGAAAGGCCCAAGGGCCCAAUAAAUCGUAAGGUCAUUCUUUCGUGGGCCUGGGGAGAAACAACCGGCAAAGCAGAACGACAUGAGGCUGGAUUGGUGCAAACCCGGACGGCCCACAGCGUCGAGCGAAUGGCUGCAACAGAGAUCCGACUUUCCCGCGCUGGAGUCUCCAUGCAACGAAGCCAUGCGAGGAUAAGUCGGCGAGGGUUACGUAGGGAUAAUCUCAAGAGGUUCACUAUCUUUUAGCUACUUGUUGUUAUCUUACCCACGUGUACUGCCCCACGGUCGAGUAUAUAAGGCCUAGGGGGCACCCCUUCAGAACGAUCGACCCUAUCCUACUUAGCCACCCACGUAAACUCUCUGUGCCUUCAACCCAGAGAGCCCUCUUGUAACCACAGCCGAAUUCUCAUCAGGACGUAGGGUGUUACGCAUCUCUAAGCGGCCCGAACCUGUAAAUCUUGUUCACUGUCUCUCGUGCGAUCGGCACGAACCAUUUUGCUACAGUCGUUGACACUGUCCUACUCCUAGAAAACACCUUGAGGGGCAACCCCGGGUGUGCGGUCGGACCCAAAACACCGACAAUGUCCAACUAUGUAAUCGUUGUGUACGUGAGUUUCUGAUCCAGGCAUGUACAUGGUUCGCAUUCGGUUUGCCUUACAAAACCGGGUGUGACAUGGCAUCAAUCACCAAAAGGGGGAGAUUGUAAGGAAAAUGGACCUUGGCGUAUUUGAUUAGUGAUUUUGGUGUUUGAUGAUCAACAUAACCAUUUGGACUAAUGUGUUUGCUAGUUUUUAUGUUUAUAGUUCAAAAGUUGCAACAUGUACUUGGACGAAGGCAAUGAGGUGAUCAAGAAGAUCAACACCUCAAAUAAGAUUUUUAUAAGUCAUAUUGAAGACCAUCAACAUGCUAAGAGUCAAAUAUACCAAGGACUAGAAGUCUAGAUGCAAAGACAAACAAAAGUGAAGUCACCAAAGCUGAGACAAAGAUGUGAUCGAAUUGGAAGUGUCUCACAAUUUUGGAUCUACUCAUAUUUUCAUGGUUACAUUCUAAACUAUAGAGCUUUUCGUUGGCUUUCCAAAAAGUCCAAGAUCAUCAUAAUUAGAGUCCGGAGCAAAAAGUUAUGCCCACAAUAUGAAAUUGGGUGUUGUAAAAGACUACAUUUGGCAAAUCCGGUGCAAUGUUGGUUGUUUAAAUAUGAUCAAAUUGACAUGGCUUCAAGUCUAGGUUGUAUAGUUUUUCAUUAGCUCUCCAAAAAAUCCAAGAUCAUCAAAAUCAGAGUUCAGAGCUUAAAGUUAUGCCCAAAACACACGAAGGGUCGUGUUGUGCACAAGACAUGUCCGGUGCGCCACUGGACAUGUCUAGUGUACACCAGACAGCGAAGGCUCCAAUGGCUAGUCCACGUGAAAGGGACCAGACAUGUCCGAUGCACACAUGUGGCGCAUUGGACAUGUUCAAUGUGUAUGUAGAUUGCAAUAGCUUUAUGGUAACAACUCUUUUGUGCUUGGAACGCUAUAAAUACCACCCCAACUAGCCAUUUGAAAGUGUGGAGAACUAAGAAACAUAGUGUAUGAGUUGAGACACCAAUCCAAUAGGUCAAAACACACAAGUGAUAAUAUGAUCACUCGGUGAUUAGCGUAGGUGCUUUGUGAAGUGCUUAGAUUAGUUAUACUACCUCAUUGCACAUGCUCUAGGUUAUGCCCAGGUGAUUAGAGUGUGGUUAGACACCCUAAACCCCUUGAUGCUUGCAUGCACCAUUGUAAUUGUACCAAGUGGGGCGAGAGUCUUACAAGACCAUACCAAUCCCGUUUGUGGUGUGGCCGCCACCGUGUACCAGAUGGAAUAAGGCCUGUAAUGUUUCAGCUAGAAGCUCGAUAGUGAAGACGACGGAGAGCAUUCGAGAAAGGCCGGAAGCGCAACACAACUUGCACGUGGAGAAGGCUCACGACUAUCUACGAAGUUACCUCUCUAGGUGCUUGAUCCUCGUAUGGACUUUCCUUUGCGUAGGGGCACCAACGGGAGUUUGUAUCUCUAUCUCAUUUAAAAACCUUGCGUGGUUUUUGAUACAUCGGUAAAAAUAUCGGCAUGUCAAUUGAAGUUUGCAUCUCUAUCUCUUUUAAGCUUCCGCAUUUGUAUUGCUUCCUUUGGUUGUGUGCUUUACCUUUCCUAGCUUAGAUUAUAGGCUAGUUGGUAGGACUGAAACCUAGGUUGCAUAACUCCAUGUUGCAGUAGAGAUAGUAAUACUUAGAUAAAAUCUUAGUUGCAUUAGAUUAUUUGUUAAUUAGAGGCCUAGUUUAGAGUGUGAAAAAUAGAAGUCCUAAUUCACCCUCUCCCUCUUUUAAGCGUCCAUGUUCCUUUCACCUAAGUUGCUCUAGCUUGCUUGGUUAUCCACAUAGAUUUCGUUUAAGAGGUAAGAUUAGAGGCUACAUUAGUGCAAAAAAAUAGAUGUCCUAAUUUACCCUCCACUCCUAAGCAUCCACGUUCCUUUCACAUAUAUCUAACAUCCACUCUAUUAGAAUAAAAUAAUCGAUGGCACUCUGCUUUAGUAGACCUACCAAGUGAGGAUUAGAAUCUUUAUAAGCGCAACAAUUGAGGAUUCGUGAAUACCGUCGGAAAAAUGACUCAACCGUUUCCGUUCCACCACUUUUUCUCAAGAUUUUUUUAUGUUGCUUUUUUUUUGCGGAUACAGUAUAUAUAGCAGUCGGUCAUUACUCCUUUUUUCAUCCCUAGCCGACGGGCAGUUCAGCGACAGCGACACGUCGUCGGAGAGAGGACGGCCUCCCAGUCCUCGGCGCUGAUGAGGGGGCGGAUGGAGCGCGGAGGACCACUUUGACGAGGCUAAUCGGAUGCUAAUUUUGCUUUGUGUAUGUAAGCUUAUAAUAAUACGUUGCUUACGCAAGCAAGGAGCACGAACCAAAAAAACAUUCUAAUACUACAGCGAUUCCAAUCCAGAUAAAGCAAACGUACUACGGAAUGCAGAUAGCAAUUCAGCAGAGUAGAACCAAGGCUACUAAUCCUCAAAAAAGAAAAACACGAAGGCUACUAAUCUGUUGCAGUUGCUGGGUGGGGCUGCACGUUAUUAAUCUUCGACUUCGUCUUCAUCCAUAUCGCCUUGGAUCAGGCAGGCAAUAUGCAGCUGCCAUUCAACGAUACAUUUUUUCCCCACGUCAUCAUCAGGUCAGCAAAUUUCUGAACAAUAUAUGGUUAUUACAAAAUACUAAUAGUGAGAUCGAUGAGGUGUAUCUACUUACAUGUUUGGUGGUCCGUUGUCAUUUCUCAGACGGCCCUCAUGACUACCAGCCAUCGCCCUGUCAAACAUGCAGAAUGGAUACGAGAUUUAUAUAGAAUAAAAUACUAUGUUGAUUUUUACCUCCAACUAGAUCAUUGAUCAAAUGUGUCCAAACAGAUAUUGCAGUCAUGUGCAAGACUACACCUUGUAAUUUGUAAACCAGCACUAACAUAACAACUUGAAUACCAAAAGAGAAAUCCACACUCACUUUUUUGUCUUCAAAUCACACAAAAUUGUCCAGAUAUCAUGAAAAAACAGGAACGGUGUUCCUAUUUCCGUAUCGUAGUAAUUGAUGCCCAUAAAUCUUCCAUCCAAAUCAACAAGGGGGCCUCCAAUCACAGCCUAACCAGGUUAUAUGGACAGAUCAGUUGUGACGCCGCCAAGUAUGUAAGGCUAAGUACAUCAUAUUAUGGUGAAAAUCCAACACCAUUACACCACCACCAACAAAUCCUUUGGGCACCAACCCUUAAGCCGCUCACAAUCUCAUUUGCGCCAUCCGGGUCUCUAACCAAGCUCGCUGAGGUCAGAAUAGUCAGACACCCAUCAUAGUCAAUGAAAAAUCCUGUGCAUGCAAAGAACUUCGAUUCACCUGGACACCAUAACUGCCAUUAGCUAGUGAUGACUGAUGAACAUAAAUGUGAAAAAUUAAACAGCGCGUCAGUGUGAAAUCACCAUGGAACGAAGCAAGUGCGACAACGGUGUAAGAUAUGUUAGAAGAAAUUUCUUUCUUGAAUUCACCCCAGACACCAUUAGGAUAUUUGUCGCCAAAGUGUUCUUCAAAAGCAUUAACAUUCAUGCUACCUGGUCAACGAGAUAUUGUAUAAUAGUUAGUGGGACAGCAGGGCAGUAAAAUUGUGCAGCGCAUGAUAAUCAGCAAGCAUUGACUCAUGGCCACAUCCCUUGAUGGACUGAGAUAACCCAAAGUGUAAACCCAAAUUGUACAUACCUUGCUUAUCCUGGUGCAAACUGCAACAAGGUUGCUUAGCAUUGGCAUGUGUUAAUUCUAACUACAGCAUUUAACAGUCACUUUAAAGUUCACAUGAUAACUUAAUGUUAAAAUGUUAUGGCAGCUUGUGCAACAACUCAUGCCACAUCUCUACUCUUCAACGAGGUUUGAUGGUCAUGAUGUGCUCUAUGCACACUCAAUCCAGAUCUUUCUGGACGGAUUUAAGAAGAAGGUACAGAUGCACCACCAAAAAAAAGGAUGAUCAACGACUACCCAGCCACAAAUUAAGGACAAUGACCGAGCAACCUGCAAUGGAGCUCCUCCCCAGAGCAGAAGCUCCAGCCAUACACCAAAAGCUGCUCUCAUUGGCAAUCUUUUGCGAGACUACCUGCACAGUAGACCACUCUUCUUCUCCUUGCACUCUUUUGACAGCCCUAGACCAUCAGUUAGAGAAACGUGUGGUAUCCAGUUGGAGAAAAUCUUGAUAGUCAAGAGACCAUACUCCCUUGUAGCAACAAAAUAUUCUAACACAUUUCGCAUUAGAAAAAUAUGUUGGCUUCAAUAUUUCAAACACAGGAAUAUGGCUAUUCUACUCUACAAUACAGCGCAACUGUGACAUGUGCCAAGUAUAGCUGACCUGUUUGAUAUAUCAUGCGCUAGAGAUACCAAAGCAUCAAGUUAAUAUUAAGGGUAAACAAAUAAGGCCUUGUUCGUUUGUGUCGGAUUGGUGGGUCGGAACGAUUCUUAACCGGAUUGCUUCUCUAAUUUAUAUAAACUUUGAUUAGCUGGAACGAUUCCGGGUGCAAUCCGACAGAAACGAACAAACCCUAAGGUCUUGUUCGCUUGUGUCGGAUUGGUGGGUCGGAACGAUUCCGAACCGGAUUGCUUCUCUAAUUUAUAUAAACUUUGAUUAGCUGAAAUGAUUCCGGGUGCAAUCCGACAGAAACGAACAAGGCCUAAGUUGGCUUCAAUAUUUGGUACACAGGAGGAAUAUGGCUACUCUACAAUACAGAGCAGUUGUGGCACAUACCAAGUACAGCUGACCUGUUUGAUAAUAUCUUACGCUAGAGGUACCAAAGCAUCAAGAUAUUGUUAAGAAUAAACAAUAAAAGCUGCAACAACAAACAUAGAUGAACAAACUAGAAAUAUAUUGGCACACCUGACUAACUUCAACAUUGCAAGAAAUAUUAUCUUUUCCUUGGAUGUCCGUAAAUGGUUCAAACGUUCAAAGACUAUAUCCCUUGGUAAGAAUAUGGGUCUUUCCAUAUCCGAGAAAAGAUUCAUGGCAACAAAGUUCCCAUCAAAUUCAAAAAGGGCGCCCCCCUGCAUAACCUAGAACAAAAAACAUGUGGCAAGCAACAAGGAUUACAAUGGAACAGAAUAAAAUGACCAUGUAAUAAGAGUUACUCCCACCAUUACAUUUACUAGUCACUGUUGACUGUCUUGUGAAAAUUCUAAAUAAGACUCCCUCCAGUCAUUAGGACAAAAAUAGACUCGAAAGUGAUGUCAGGUAAUAAGGACUGGAAGGAGUACUGUUUUAUACUUUAAAAUGUAUGAUAUCUUUGAAGUAUGUUCCACUGCAAACUCAACCAAUCUGAAAACCGUUCAACUUAACUGCACAAGUAUACAUUUUUGAAAGGAAUAAGGCCAAGCUUUUGCAUUAGACAACAGCGACUAAUACAAGUAAACAGAGGGAGUAAACUAACAAUUUAUUAUUGAAUACACAACACAGUUUAGAGCAUGUAGUAAAAGAAAAAAAUUACAGCAUUCACAACAACGCAAGUGUACCUCAGAUAAUUUACAUGUAGAGAACAUAAGAUGUCCACAACCUUCAGAUUGGCCUGAAUCAGUAAGUGUCCCACUUGUGGCCAUUAAUUUGCCAGAGAUGUCACGCCCUACUGCUACAACCUUUCUACCAGGCAUCAAUUCUUCCGCAUAACUAAGAGGUACGGCGCAAUAAACAUCAAGGGUGAAUGUGACUUCGACAACAACAAUUACAUGAUCCAGGUCAUAUUCUACCACAUUCCCUAUGGCAACAUUUCCUUCAUGGCGUACUUCAAUCUACAGCACAGAAUUAUCACAGUUAUGUAAAGUAAAAAAAAGAACAAUUAGUAAAUGAUUUGGCACCAACCUCAAUGUUAUCAUGGUUCAUUCUUUCAUCAUUUAAAGCUCUAACCAAACAUGCUGAUGUGACAAACUUUGUGAAGUUAGACUGGCAUUGCUAUGCCAGAAAAUGCAAAUAGCACAUUUUGUCCUACAAGAUCAUAAUUUGAAUUAUUCACGCAACUAAUGAUUUUUAGGCAUAUAUUUCGAAAAAACAAAAUAAGGGUACAACAGUGUAAUCACCAUCGGACAAAGCAAUUGAGACAACACUUGUAGACAAUUUUGAUGCAACUUCGUCACUCAGCUCACUCCAGAAACCUUGAUUGUCCCAAAAUAAGCACCAAGUUAGACAAGAUAAUACAAAACAGCAGAAAAAAAUUGAAGAAAAAGGAAGAACCAGCAGACUUGGAAUCAAUGAGUCAGUUGAGAAUCUUGUGAGAUCAUCAGCACCCCUCUUGCUUGGCAGCAUCUUUCGUUUGAUUCCUGGUGCUAGUACUGCAACAUACAAACAGAGAGAUGCAGCAAGGUGAUCUUCCAUGAGCCACGGCCACCACCAAAUCGAUCGGCAAGUGGUUCCAGUUUCACCACAGGGAACACAUGUCGGGCGAAGCAGAGCGGCAAGGAGGACCGCGCUGACAAGGCCCACAUGCACGCCAUGGUGUCCGUGGCCCAGGUCACGGCCGUCGUCGCGCUGGCCACGACCACGAGCUCCGACACCCGGGCUACCGAGAUGGCAGGGGUCAUGGCGUCGGCCAUCGAGCAGUUGUCGUUAGAACACAGUAAGGUGGCUACCGCCGUGCAGGCCGCGGUUGUCGUUAGAAGCCCCGGUGAUCUGAUGACGCUCACGGUGGCCGGCCGGCCGCAGCGACAGAGCAAAGCCGUCAAUGUGCGAUUUCUAAUCUAACAAGCAACAGAGCUACGCACAGGCAGUGCCUUAGUGCCAUUUUGCUGGGGUUAAUUAUAUCUGUGUCAUUAUAAUUUUCUACGUUUUGAUAUGUGUCGCUAAACUUCUUAAGAUUGCACAUAUACCAUGAAACUUCUAAUCAACUCUGAAAUACACAAUCUGAAGUACCACCGGCACACGUAUUUUCGGAUUUCCUUUUUUACCUUUGUUUGUCAGUACAUCAACUGUGCAGCUCUAGCGAGGGGUGGAACGCAGCUACGGUCCAGUGGCGGCUGUACGGAGCGCAUGUUUGGAGAGACGAAAAGUCACAAAAUGGCUGGGUUCGUAGCAACGUUUCUGCUGGGUUUACUUUGAACUAGGGUAAAAAAGAAAUACGAAAAUACAUGUACGACUAGUUACGUCUGAUUCAACAAAAUGGUGUAUUUAAGAGUUGAUUAGAAAUUUAAUGGCAUAUUUACAAGCUUAAGAAAUUUAGUGGCACAUAUCAAAACUUAGAAAAUUAUAAUGGCACGGAUAUAAUUAACCCUUUCUGAAAGAGGAGACGACGAUGCUCUAUAAAUGAAAAAUGUGUUCUUAUGAGUCCUGUAAAGGCGUGUUUUGAAGCAAAAAUAUUAUAGAUGAUUCGAGGGCUAAAUUCCCUAUUCUCUCUUAUCUAAAAGCCCCUCCAAUCUCAUCUGAUAUUCUUACUUUCAAACGAGCUCUGAAUCUCUGAUAAUACUCUUUCUCGGCUCAAUUCAUUGCAUGCACUUAUUAGUCCAACUUUUUUGCAUUUUAGCCCUUUUAGGGUUUUUUUUGCACAAUUAUGCCCUUUGUAGUUUCAUUUCAAAAAAUGGACCCUUACCUCGGCGCCGUCAUCAUUGGCGCCGAGGUAACACAUAGUGGCGCCAACAUAAUUGGCGCCAACUUUUCCUACGUGGCAGCCGAUGUGGCAAGUCCCAGGGGGUCGGCGCCAUAGAUCUUGGCGCCGACCCCCCUGGAUAGCACCGGACCCCACCGUCAAGGGGGGUCGGCGCCAAGAUCUAUGGCGCCGACCCCCUGGGACUUGCCACAUCGGCUGCCACGUAGGAAAAGUUGGCGCCAAUGGUACUGGCGUCGAUGUGUGUUACCUCGGCGCCAAUGAUGAUGGCGCCGAGGUUGGGGUCCAUUUUUUGAAAUGAAACUGUAAAGGGCAUAGUUGUGCAAAAAAAACUCAAAAAAGGCUAAAAUCCAAAAAAGUUGGCUUAUUAGUCCAGUGGCAUGCCCUCGACCGUUGAUUGGUAAUCCAAGGGUGGUCUGCGGGUAUCGUUUCGAUGGGGUCACGAUCUAAUAUGAUGCGUUAGUGUUAAGAUCGAACGAUUGCGGAUCAAACGUACCCAUUCGGCCGUGCAUUUUGUAAAAGAGCCCCUAGGUUUCCAGGAAAUCAACCCGCCAUCCACACCAGUUAGGAAGUAAUUAAAUGUAGUUCCCGAUAUUUAUGAUUUAAACCUUGUACUCUCUAGAAUUGGUGGCCGCGGUCCAAAAGGAUCUCAGGUUUAAUAAAUAAAUAAAUAAGAAAAUAAUUCUUAUAUAGAAAUUAAACCUUAAAUCUUAAUAAAUACAUAACCUUUUGUUUUAACUCUAAAUUGAUCCAUUCCAGUUACAUUGAACUCAUAUUAAUAUUGUUUACCAGUUAGUAACCUUAUUUUACUAUGUAACAUAUUGAUAAAAUCAAGCACUUAAUUUGUUUAGCCUAUGUUUAACACAUAAAUAUUCAGAAAAUCAUAACUUUAUAACUAUAACUCUGAUUUUAGUGGUUCUCGAACCUACAAUCUCGUAGCGAUAUGUAGAACAUCGGUACGUAGUUUGUUCUCAUGUUUGGUGUGAUGUGAAUUUUUCCUAUGGACAUUGCUUGUUUGCAUUGUUGUGAGUAGACGAACAAGUGACUGAGGAGCCUGGAGCACAGCAGGUGGAAAAUACUGAGCAGGAGCUCGUUGAAGGCUAGUUGUGCCCUUGACCGCUCUUCUUUAUCUAAUAAUGUUUCUAUUAAUUAUUGUGGCAUGCUCAGUUUAAUUUUGAUGGGACCUAAUAGGUUACCUUAGUUUGGUCUACUUUACACCUUGCUCACACCUGAACUUUCGGGUAGUAUUUGAUAUGUGGUUUUGGAUGUUAAGAUACAUAUCAUUCAUGAUCAUGUUAUUUAUUGUCAAGGGAUUAUUUUCUGUUCAUGAUAAGAUUAUUAUGUUAAUUGGGAACAUAGAGCGACCACCUGUGAAAACAGUUAUAUCACAAGGGUGGAAUGGGACACCCUUGACUAAUUAAUUAGGAAAGUUAGGUUGAGUUAAUCUUUUCCCAAAAGGGGCAAGCGGGGUGGAGGAGUGUUGGUGUAGGGAGGUUCUCGGGUUGGACUGUCUUUUUAGCUUUCCGUACGAGGGAUUCCUAUACGCUUUCAGCCCAGACACCAUAGCAGGUUCUCUCCUCUAGUGGAACUUUGUAAUGGCCUCACAGCGUACUGUAACACCCACUUUGUAAGAAAGGUCUAGAAAGAGAAAUUAUAUUACUCUAUAGCUAUAUGUGUUAUCCAUGUUUAUCAUUUCAUGUGAACACCAUAUUUAAAAACAAAAAAAUUAAUAAAAGAAUAUAUACCAUUAAUUUAUGCAUCAUGCUGGAUAUUAUUUUUGUGUGUAUGCAUUUUGUGACAAUAUAAAAAUAAAGAGACAAGAAAUAUAUUAAUCUAAAAGAAAUUCUAGAAUUGAGAAAAGAAGGAAUACUAAACAAAGAUAAAGAAAAUAAUAUAAAGAAAAUAGUUUGAUCUCCUUAUUUGGGCUCAACUGGUACAUUUAAAAUAAAUAUAAAUUCACAGUAAAUUUGAAUUCAAAUUUGAAUUCUAGAAAUGAAAAAGGGAAAGAAAUGAAAAAGGAAAAUAAAAAGAAGAACAUAACUGUUCGCGUGGGCUAGCUGAUCCUAUUUCCGGCCCAUGAGGCAAUAGCCUGCGCGUGGCCCAGCUCGGGAGCACGGCGCCGACGUGCGGGACCCGCAAGUAAGUGAACGCUCCCCCUCCGCCUACAUCGCGUUUCUCUGGUGUAUGGAUCUUUUGCGAUCAGUAGCAGGCGGCUGGGAUUUGGUCUGGGUCAGAAAGACUAUGGACCGUUGAUCUGUCGGUGUGCGGCGUGGAUUAGACGGGCGAUACCUCUUCGCAACAAUAAAAUCUGUCCGUAGAUCCGUUGAUGGACGCUUGGGAUCUGGUGUAGGCGUGGCCAUCUCGGGAAGCCUCGGAUCAUGAUCCGGUGGCUGUGAUUCAGUACCGUUUCAGGGGGGAUCAGUUUUAAUCUGGCCGCUAGAAUCGGAUCGGACGACCGUGGUGCGAUCAUACCCCUUCGCGGUCAAUUUUGCUAAAGAGCCCCCGUAUUUAUACUUAAAUAACCCGCCAUUCGCGCGACUGUUCCUGUAUCUGGAUUAUUUUGCGCCGGGGCCCCUGACCUUUCUGGUAAAUGAGGCCCAGUCCAGAACCCAUUUAAUUUGAAUAAAUGAAAUAGAAACGGAUUUUUAAUAUGAAAAUAAUUACUAGAACUUGAUAAAUUCAUAGAAAAUCCAUUUUUAGUCCAAAUUAGUCCAUUCCAUUUUCUAAAAUUUCGUAAUUUUAUUCUCUAACACUUAGAGUCUCUGUUUUGUCAUGACAACAGUAAGAAAAUUAAUUUCUUACUUAAUCCUAUUUUAAGCACAUAAAACCUUUGGAAAUUCAUAUCUUAAAAUCUAUAACUCCAAAAAUUAUGAUUCCUGUUCCUAGAAUUUUACUUUAAUAUGUAGAUUAUUACUGUGUAUUUUGUUUACAUGUUUGGUGUGAUGUUAAUUUCCUCUAUAUACUGUGCUUGUUUGAUUGUGGCGAGUAGAAGAGCUCGUGACCGAGGAUCCUGGUGAGCAGCAGAUAGCAGUAGCUGAGCAGGAGCUCAUUGAAGGCAAGUUGUGCCCUUGACCACAUUUUACCCAAUAAUGUUCUUUAAUAUCAUUUAUUAAUGCAUAGGUUAAUUUUGAUGGGACCCAAUAGGUCACCCUAGAUUGUUUAUCUCAUUACCUUGUUUACCCCUGAAUCACUUGGGUAGUUUGCUAUUGCUUUACAUGGUUUUGGGAUAAUCAUUUAUUAUAUCUAUGUUCCAAUUCUUUUGUUAUUCUAUUUAUGUUCAUGUCAAGAUCAUUAAUGUUAAUUGGAACAUAGAGCUUAACUUGAGUAACAAUUGCCACCACAAGGGAUUAAUGGGACGCCCUUGGCUGACUAAUUAGGAAAGCUAGUGGAAGACUACCUUACCCGAAAGCGGCAAGGGCAGUAGGGGAGUUGCAUGCAAGGAGGUUCUCGGGUUGAUUUAGCUGCGAUGGCGGUCAGACGAGGGAUUCUUGCAAGUGCUCUUCCCAUAAACUGUAGCGGGUUUUCGGAAGCUAGUGGAACUUUGUAAAGGCCUCGUAGUGUUUCCCUGCCGCGCUUCCUAGGUAGAGGUGUAUGGGAGUCGCGACCCCUUGGCAGAUGGGUAACAUGACUUGUGGGUAAAGGGUACAACCUCUGCAGAGUGUAAAACUGGUAUACUAGCCGAGCUCACGGUCAUGAGCAGCUCAGGACUCUCUGAUGUUUAAAUUAUGGAACUUAAAUUCAAUUUAUCAUUCGCAUAUGCAUGGGUUUAUUAUUAAUUUUGUUCAAUUACUUUAUUUAAGGUUUGGUAUUUACUUACACUUAGUAAUUGCUAAUAAAAUUUUGAUCAACUACUUAAAAGCAAUGCUCAGCUUUAACCCCUGUCAUUGAUUAGCCUUACACAUCACAUGAACUCCCACCUUUGUGAGUUCAUGUCCACUGGUUCCCCACAACUUGUUGAGCUAUGAUCAUGUGUGAGCUCACCCUUGCUGUCUCACACCCCCCCAAAGGAGAAGAGCAGGUGGUUCAGGAGGAGCCACAAGGCGGGGAGUUUGAUCUGAUCUAGGUGGCGUUUCUCAGUUGACAUUGGCGCCGACGAUCCUUAGUUCGUUUUAUAUUUAUAUUUUAUUUUGUAAUAAGACUUCCGCUAUGAAAUAAAUACUUUGAUGUUUUAUGACAUUUAUCUCUAUACACUCUGUUAUUAUAUAUGUUGUCUUCUUGGCGCAUGUAUGAGAUGCACCUGGCUUUGUUCCUUAAAGCCGGGUGUGACAGAAGUGGUAUAAGAGGAAAUGUUGACUGUAAGACGAAACCUAGAUAGAAAUGGACAAACCCUUACCUACUUAUCUUACUCUGAUUCUUUCUAUACUCAUCUUGUCUUGAUCCUGUCUCACCUUUUGCUAUCAUACUCUGAUUACUCUUAUCUUUUCUGCUCUAAGACAAGAUGGAUUUCACACCUUGGAAUCCUACAUUUAUGAACUUUUUUUGAAAUAGGAAACCCAAGGCAAAAUUAAAACUAUUUUCUCUAUAAAAAAUGUUGGUUGAUUGUUCUGAUGAUCAAUGUCUGAUUUGCUUCUUUGAUUGAUUGAAUUAGUAUAGAUGGGCAUCUUAGCAUGUACCACCAUAAGGUAAUGUAUUAACGUUAGUGGGUGACACACUAAUCUACUUAGCUAAUAAAUCCCUCGUAGUAACAUUCCUCGUAAUUACUCGCCUUGUCUACAAUUCUUCCUUUCUUACCCUGUAUUUCUAACCCAGAUGGGCUACCCCUAUAGUGUUAGAAGAGAGCACUAUAGAUGUGAUCCUUGGUAUGUCAUGGUUAAGAAAGGCAAAGGCAGUUUAUACACUGUGCUAAAGGAACCAUAGAACUCACCAGUUCCAAAGGAGAAAGAUUUGAAGUUGGAAUUGCAAGCAACUACCACCAUCAGACUAGCGACAUUCUUAGUAGAUGAGAAGUUUGCUGGUAGCAACAUCCAUGCGGUUAGAGAUUUUUCGGAUGUCUUUUCAGAGCAGUUACCAGGGAAGCCACUAGAUAGGGAAGAUGAGUUUGUCAUUGAUCUCUUACCUGAGACUGCUCCUAUUUCUAAACGGCCAUACAGGAUGUCCGUAGAAGAACUAAAGGAACUUAAGAAGCAAUUAAUGGAAUUACAAGAGGCUGGGUAUAUUCGUCUGAAUUCUUCACCUUGUGGAGCACCGGUUCUAAUUGUACAGAAGAAGGAUCACAAGGGAUGUGCGUGGAUUAUAGAUCCCUUAACGAUGUCACUGUGAAGAACAAGUGUCUAUUACCCCGCAUUGAGGAUUUAUUUAAUCAGAUGAGAGGUGCCAAGAUAGCUUCGAUCAAUUAAUGAAGAGAUUGAUGUCACCACUAGUUUUGGUUAUGCCAGAUUUACAGAAGGGAUUUGACAUUUAUUGUGAUGCCUGCGGCCAAGGCUUGGGAUGUGUGCUCAUGCAAGAAGGACAUGUGAUUGCCUACGCGUCUCGUCAGUUGAGGAAACACAAGUUGAACUACCCCACUCAUGACUUAGAACUGGCUACCGUUGUGCACGCACUUAAGAUUUGGAGACAUUACAUUAUGGGAACCAAGUGCCAAGUGUACACGGAUCAUAAGAGUUUGAAGUAUAUAUUCACUCAAAAGGAUCUCAACCUUAGGCAACGUCGUUGGUUGGAGCUUAUUAAGGAUUAUGAUUUGGUGAUUCACUAUCACCCGGGCAAGGCAAAUUUGGUUGCAGAUGCCUUGAGUCAAAAGGAGCAUGUUCAUUCAGCUGUUGUUGCCCAGCUACUUGAUGAGAUUGUUGAGGAUUUCAGGAGACUUAACCUGGGGAUAGUUGUUCACACUGAAGGAGUAACUAUUGAUGUGGAACCUACUUUGGAGCAAGAAAUCCGCAAAGGACAAAUUGGUGAUGCGAAAAUGCAAGAGAUUAAGGAUUUGAUUACUGAAGGUCGAGGUCCGGAAUUCACGGAAGAUGAGCAAGGCACUGUAUGGUUCAAGGACAGGAUGUGUGUUCCUGAUAUUGAAAGCCUUCGAGAGACUAUUUUAAAGGAGGCCCAUGAUUCGGAUUAUUCUAUUCAUCCUGGUAGUACCAAGAUGUAUCAGGAUUUGAAGCGGAAGUAUUGGUGGUAUGGAUUGAAGAGAGAUGUAGCUGCACAUGUGCCUAUGUGCGAUGUAUGUCAAAUAGUUAAGGCUGAACACCAGAGACCAGCUGGACUAUUGCAUCCACUGAAGAUACCUGAGUGGAAGUGGGAAGAGAUUGGUAUGGAUUUUAUUACUGGAUUGCCUCGCACCCACAAAGAAUAUGAUGCUAUAUGGGUGAUUGUGGAUAGAUUGACUAAAGUGGCUCAUUUCAUUCCGGUCAAGACUACUUAUAAAGUUUCUCAACUAGCAGAGUUAUAUAUGUCUCGGAUUGUGUGUUUACAUGGAGUACCAAAGAAGAUCGUGUCUGAUCGAGGUUCACAGUUUACCUCAAGAUUUUGGAGAAGUUUUCAUGAGAACAUGAAUACAAAGUUGAAUUUUAGUUCGCCCUACCAUCCUCAAACUGAUGGACACACUGAAAGGACUAAUCAAGUAUUGGAGGACAUAUUGAGAGCUUGUGCCCUUCAGCAUGGUAGUAGUUGGGAUAAAAGUCUACCAUAUGCUGAGUUCUCAUAUGAUAAUAGUUAUCAGGCCAGUCUGAAGAUGUCACCUUUUGAAGCUUUAUAUGGGAGGAAGUGCAGGACUCCUCUAUAUUGGGAUCAGACUGGAGAAAUACAGUUCUUUGGGCCUGAACUGAUUCAAGAAGUAGAAGAACAAGUCCGUAUAAUUCGAGAGAAUUUGAGGGUAGCUCAAACCAGGCAAAAGAGCUAUGCUGAUAAUAGAAGGAGACCACUGGAAUUUGAAGAAGGAGAUUAUGUGUAUCUCAAGGUGUCACCACUUCGUGGAAUGAGGAGAUUUAAAGUCAAGGGCAAAUUGUCCCCACACUAUAUUGGACCAUUCUUGAUCUUUAGGCGAGUUGGGGAGAUGGCAUACCAACUCGAGUUACCUGCUAGUCUGUCGGAUGUGCAUAAUGUGUUCCUCGUGUCUCAACUGAAGAAAUGUCUCCGUGUCCCUAAGGAACAGUUACCAAUGGAAGAGCUCAGUGUUCAGGGUGAUUUGACUUACACGGAGUAUCCUGUCAAGAUUCUUGACACAUUGACUCGAGUUACAAGAAAUAAGGUGAUAAAGAUGUGCAAAGUGCAAUGGAGUCACCAUAGUGAAGAUGAAGCUACUUGGAAAAGAGAAGAAGAGCUACGCAUAGAUUUUCCACAUCUUUUCCCUAGUCCUUCCUAAAUCUCGAGGACGAGAUUAUUUUUAAGGGGGGGUAGGAUUUGUAACACCCACUUUGUAAGAAAGGUCUAGAAAGAGAAAUUAUAUUACUCUAUAGCUAUAUGUGUUAUCCAUGUUUAUCAUUUCAUGUGAACACCAUAUUUAAAAACAAAAAAAUUAAUAAAAGAAUAUAUACCAUUAAUUUAUGCAUCAUGCUGGAUAUUAUUUUUGUGUGUAUGCAUUUUGUGACAAUAUAAAAAUAAAGAGACAAGAAAUAUAUUAAUUCAAAAAGGAAAUCUAGAAUCUAAAAGAAAUUCUAGAAUUGAGAAAAGAAGGAAUACUAAACACUACCGGAAUCAGCUCCUUUGCCGUGUGUCUCAGCCACUCGGCAACGACUAUUUUACACUCAGCAAAGGCUUUGCCGAGUGUAACACUCGGCAAAGAACGCUCGGCGAACUGUACAUCGGCAGCGGUCUCUUUGCCGAGUACUUUAUGUCGGGCACUCGGCAAAGAAAAGUCACCGUCACGGCGCCAAGUGACGGUGACGGAUCCUUUGCCGAGUGUCUUUUUGGCACUCGACAAAGAGGCCAAUUUUGCCGAGUGCCUGCUAUCGGGGCCCUCGGCAAAGACGGGUCCAGUGGGCCCCACCGCCAGUCCCUGUGCCGAGAGCUCUCGUAGGCACUCGACAAAGGAGGACUCUUUGCCGAGUGUCUAGUGGACCGGCACUCGGCAAAGAGUCCUCCAGUGGGUCCCUUUGCCAGUCCCUUUGCCGAGUGCCUUGGCAACAACACUCGGCAAAGAUGGCUUUGCCGGUUCCCAGGUUUCCUUCUUUGCCGAGUGCCAUGGUCAGCACUCGGCAAAGAUGACUUUACCGGUUCCUAGGUUUCCUUCUUUGCCGAGUGCCAUGGUCAUAGCACUCGGCAAAGCAACCCUUUGCCGAGUGUUACACUCGGCAAAGUGACCAGGAUGUCCCUUUUUUAUUUGUUUUUGCUGUUCCAUCCGAACAAACAAAAGAUAUAUAUCAUUCACAUCACAUUAUAUAUCAAUCGCAUCACAGAAUGAACACAUUUAUCAUCAACACCAUAUAUAUCACAAAGUCUCACUAAUAUAAGUCUCACAAAUAUAAGUCAGGAUCAUCACAAAACAGAUAUAAGUCUGGAUCAUCACUAACAUCACCAAGUAUCUCACAAGACCAAGUCUAGCCAAACAUCACCAACACUCACAAGACCAAGUCUAGAUCAUCAACGAGGUGGGCAUCUGGACUGGUUCGGCGAAGGGCUGGACGAAGCAUGAGGGUUGUUCGACGCCGCCGAUUGACCCUGCACAGAGAAGAGAUUGUAUGUGUGAGAACAUAUGAAUAUAUAUCAUGCAGUACUAAAAUUUUGAUACUCACAGGAGUAGUGAACUCAGCAGGGUCAGUUGCAGGGAACAACGGAGGUGGUGGAGCAUGACCCUGUGCGGCGCCAAGGCUCUACAUGUACGCGAACAUCUCCGCCAUCCUCUUCUCUAGCUCCUCACGUUGCCUCCUCUCAUCAUCUAGCUGAGUCUGUAAUAUUUCACCCUAAUGUUACGAUAAUGCAAAGAGAAGAUAUAUAAUAAUCAAUGAACGAUGAAUAGAUAAGGAAUAACCUGGAGUUGAUGGAUACGAUGUUGUGAGCUGUCCUGCCGAGGUCGUAUGGCUGGGCUCGCGCUCGUGCUCCUUGCUCGCACCUGAGAGAGAGUGGGAGUGGAGGACGAGUCGAUUGCCCCGUCGGCAAUCCAGUACCGCCCAUGUCUCUUGCCUCCUCCGACCCUCAUGAGGACAUCUCCGUCGAUGUCCUCGGUCCUCGGAUCAUAAUCUGGCCCAUGGACCUCCUUGGCCAUGGCGGUGUACUCAUUGAGUCGGCUGUGGAUGGCGGGGUUGGUGUACGCCUCGGGCCCGUCAUCCGGGUUGUAGGUGACGUCGGACGUCGCCUUCCCCUUGUGGGCCAUAGCAUAUGCCGAGAACGUGGAGCAAGGCGUGCCACCAUGUGCCGCCGACUGCGAGAAAACCAACGAGAUGGUUAGAAAUCAUGUCUAAUCGAAAGUUAUAUACCUAAAUAAAAAAGAGUGUGUACCCAUGCUUCCGCGUAUUUGCCCAGGCUGCGGCUGCCUUGAUGGUGGGAGGGACCUUGCAUCAGCAAACGCCGUUCCCGGCUAGCGUUGUGCGCCUCAUCCCACUCAGCCGAGCACCACCUCUGCACCAUCUGCUCCCAGCACUCAGGAUGCGCGGCGCACCAAUGAGGAAUCAUCUAAAAAAAUAUAAGUACACCGCAUAUCAGAAGAUAAAAAUAAGCAUAUUUAGUACCAAUAAUAAAGUUUUGUAUUUACCUGCAAGUACUGGUCCGGAGUCAACGACAUGGUUCGGGCGUCCUUCUUGUUCACCUUCUCCCCAAGGACGGAGCCGUGGUAAGUGAUGAUGGCCUGGAUGCGCGCCUCGUAGUGCAUGUCCACGACGAGCUUCUUACAGCACGUCGUAGACACCACAUCCGCCCUGGCCUCGUAUCCAGCAUCGCACCUGAAGAAAUCCUACAUACAAAGACGAUGUAUCCAUACAUUAUUUCAAUAAUAUGCAACAAAUGCGACUUAUUAAACAAUAUAGUGCGAGGAAGACUUACCCACAGCUCUUGCUUCACUCGCUCCGCCUUGUUGUUGAAUUGUCUGCCGUCCCGAUCUACUGCAUCGGGGGCGACGGCGUAGUGGUCGAAGGUGUAUGCUGGGCUCGUCACUCCGGCGUACUCGACAAGUUCAGGGAAGUGUUCCCGGCAUAGAAGGCCGAGGAUGCCAUUGGGGUUCCGGCCGUGACCCCCUGCAGUCUCCAAAACCAUCCAAGACAUGUCCAAGUGAUUAAGAUGAAGUAUUAGUUUCUAUUAUUAAUUUGAACAUAUAAUAUGAAAAAGCAGCAACAACAUCUAAAGUUACCUACCUCUCUCCAUCGGGUCGUAUCAGCGGACGUCUAUCACGAAGUAUGGGUCGCUUAGGGAGACUCGCGGGACCUCGCAGGUAGAUACUCCUCGAACCUGAGGAGCCAGAACCUGAGACGUCCUGCUGAGCGGUGUCGUCGGCGUCGUCGUCCUGUUGCGCCGCAUCGUCAUCGUCCUGCUGUGCCGCAUCGACAGCGGCUUGCUGCUCCACCUGCUGCUGUACGGCGUCGUCCUGCUGCGCCUCCUCCUCCGUCCUACGGGUGCUCCUCCUCCCCCUCCCCCUCCCCCUCCUCGUCCUCGUCCCACCGCCCACCAUCUUUGUCCAACAACCUGCAAUUAAGAGUAAACAAUUAAGCACAGAUAAAAAAUAUGUAUUUAGAAACAUAUGCAAAAUAAAUGAAAUAUAGCAUUACAUCGAUUAAAAAUAAUCUUCAUAUGUGUCCAGGUUAGCCGGAUCAUAAGUGUCAUCAUCACUAUCAACCAUUUCAUAGUCAACACCAUCUGAAGGCGCAAUUUUGUCAUUGGCAUUGCCUUCAAGCAUUUCUAAGUCAUUCUCAUUUUGCACCUCAUCAUCCUCCUCAUCAACAACCAUUUCAAUAUAUACUUCCAUUCCGAUCGCGUCGGUUAAGUCUAUCUCAAAUUGCCCUUCGAGCCCAUCUUCUUGGAAGAACUCUCCGUCAUAUGUGUCCGGGUCUAAGUUAUAAUCUUCAUCGUUUGGAACAGGUAAUUUAGCGUGCGGUGAUACCUUAUACACAACAUCCCAACCCUUAAGAUGUUGUUUCAUUUGGCACGCAUAUGGAAGAUAAUACACUUGUGUGGCCUAUUGGGCCACAAUAUAGACAUCGUCUCCUGGUAAGGUGGAAUCCUGUCGAAUUUCGACUAGCCCAAGAUUAGAAUGUGUCCGGCUCGUAACUUCAGGGUCAAACCAAUGACAUUUGAAUAUCACUGGAGUAAGAGGUUUGGAACCAUAAAAAUUGAGUUCAUAUAUUUCUUCAAUUCUUCCAUAAUACUCAACCUCGUCAAGCCCGGGCGUAAAGACUCCAGAACACGUGGUUUUUCGAUUGGGCCGACUUUGGUCGUAGCUUGUUGUGCGAAAACGGUAUCCAUUGACGUCAUACCCAGAAAACUUCCUGACCCUAUAGGCAAAGCCAUUGGCUACUUGUCUCAACUCGACACUCAUAGACGGCUCUCUUUGGCCCUGCAAGUUCAAACACGCUAGAUUGUUAUAUUAUUCGCACGUAAGAGCAACUUGAAAUGACAAACUAAGCACGUACCUUAUGUUUAAACCAGGAAAUGAAAUCGGGCAAUCCAUUUCCCGCACCCUUUCUAAGAAGGGUAUCAUAUUCCUGUGGAGUUGGGUCCCUUGAUCGACGCCAGAAUUCAUGAAGAAAUUGCUCCAUGUAUGGCGUCACCUCUUCAAGGUUGGUCAAUACAUAUAGCAUGAUAUGGCGCCACUCUUCAUGUCUCAGUGUCUUGGUGGUCGAACCACUCACGCUUCGGAGUUGCCCUCGAAAAAUGCUGAGGUUCGAUUCAUUGCUGCCAUCAUUGUAACUAGGGGGUGGAUUAUGCACGCUCGGCAGUUUGUCACCAUAGUAAGUUGUUGUGAAGUUUGACACCUCCUCCAGUAUGUAUGCCUCUGCAAUGGAAGCCUCGAUUUUGCAUUUAUUUCUACAUUUCUUUCGGAUAGUCUUUAGACAUCUCUCGAUUGGAUAGCACCAACGUCCCUGCACGGCCCCCCCAUUCGUGCCUCAUACGGGAGAUGAAUAAUCAAAUGCUACAUCGGAUUGAAGAAGCCGGGUCGAAAGAUCUUCUCCAGCUUACACAGUAACAUGGGUGCCAUCCUUUCCAAGUCUGCAAUCAUGGUCUGAGCUAACUCUUUUGCACAAAGCUGGCGGAAGAAAUAGCUCAACUCUGCAAGCGCUAGCCAGACAUGCUCAGGGACAUAGCCUCGAACCAUCGCCGGAAGAAUUCGUUCAAUCCAUAUGUGGAAGUCAUGACUCUUCAUCUCUAAGACUCGCAGAGUAGAUAAGUUCACCCCCCUACUAAGGUUAGCUGCAUACCCAUCAUGGAACAUUAACAUCUUGAUCCACUGUAGUACUUCCUUCCUCUGGGCCCUGCUCAGGACGAAAUCAGCCUUAGGCCUUCUCCAUGUCUUACCACCACUAGGCGGCUUCAUCUCUUGGUUUGGUCUAUCACAUAACUCUGCCAGAUCCACUCUUGCCUUUACAUUAUCCUUUGACUUAUCAGGAAUCUCCAUAAUUGUUGCCCAAAGUGCCUCGACAACAUUCUUUUUAGUGUGCAUCACGUCAAUGUUGUGUGGAAGGAGCAGGUCAUCAUAAUAGGGGAGCCGAGUCAAGCCCGACUUAUGUGUCCACAUAUGUUGCUCACCAUAUCCCACAAAACCACCUUCUGGGUUGGCCACGAGACCAUCUAUCUGUUCGCGAACUUCGGCACCAGUCAUCAUUGCAGGUGGGCGGUCUGUCACCACGACACCUUUCGUAAAGUUCUUGAUGUCUAGUCGGAAUGCAUGGUCAGGAGGGAGAAAUUGUCGAUGUUUAUCGAAUGACGAAUAUUUGCCACCCUUCUUCAACCAAAUGAACCUAAGAGCUUCCUUGCAAAGUGGGCAUGGGAACUUACCGUGAACACACCAGGCGCAAAAUAGCCCAUACGCCGGAAAGUCAUGCAUGGAGUACUGGUAACAAACAUGCAUUUUGAAGUUUGUCUUCGUAGCUCGGUCGUACGUCCAUACCCCUUCCUCCCAAGCACGGACCAAUUCAUCAAUCAAAGGCUCCAUGUACAUGCCCAUUUUAUUCCCCGGGUGUCCAGGAAUUAUCAACGACACGAAUAUGUUCUGUCUUUGAAAGCAUACGCCGGGGGGAGAUUGAUGGGGAUAACGAACACGGGCCAACAUGUGUAUGGGGCAGUGGUCAUUCCAUAGGGAUUGAACCCAUCUGUGGACAGCGCAACAUGAACAUUACGAGCCUCUUUGGCUUUCUCAUGGUGAAUGGCAUCAAAGUGGGUCCAUGCUUCACCAUCGGAUGCGUGAACCAUCUUGUCAGGAUUGUAUCGUUUGCCUUUUUUGUGCCAUGUCAUCUGUUUCGCGGAUUCCUCUGUCAUGUAUAGACGCUGGAUCCUCGGUAUGAACGGAAGGUGGUGUAGGAUUGUCACGGGGAUGUCGAGCUGCCUCUUCUGUCCAUCACCAGAGUCUACCUCCAUGAACCUAGACGAUUUACACUUCGGACAGUACUUUGCCUCAGUGUGUUCUUUCCUAAAUAGGACACAGCCCUUCGGACAAGCAUGUAUCUGCUCAUACGUCAUCUUGAGUGCACGAAGGAGUUUCUGUGCCUCGUACAUGUUCUUUGGUAGAACGUGAUCCUCCGGAAGCAGGCUGCCAAUAACUGUCAACAAACCAUCGAAGGCGUCUCGACUCAUGCUAUACUGCGACUUGAACGCCAUUAUACGCCCAAUGACAUCUAGUUGAGAAACCUUUGUCUUGCCGUGAAGGGGUUUCUGUGCCGCGUCAAACAUGUCAUAGAAUGCCUUUGCGGUCGCCUCUGGCUCGUCCUCCGUACGUCCUUCGGCGAACUGUGCCUCGUGAUAGUCGUUCAACAUGUCCGCUACCCCGGCAUCAGCAUCGUAAUCCUCGACGCGUUGUCUCACCACCUCCUCUCUCGUGCGAUGCGCUUCACCAUGGAAGAUCCACCGAGUAUAGUCCGGCAUAAAUCCAUUCUUCCAAAUAUGUUCUACCAUGACCUUCUUUGGUUUUCUUUUCCGGUUGUCACAUUUGCUGCACGGACAAGGGACUAGGCUAGCUCCUUUAGCAGCUUCACCAUAUGCCCGUUCCACGAAAGCAUCGGUCUUCCUAAUCCAUUCAGGGGUGACAUCAUUACGUCGAACGCGGCCCGUGUACAUCCACUCACGGUUCUCCAUCCUCUAAUAUAUAUAACCGAGUAUAGUUUAAUAUAGACAUGUAAUGCAUGUACACUACGUUCCUACCUUCUAAUAGGUGAUGAUAGGUCCUAAUCCCACCCGCGGUUGCGUAGAUGGAGUUAGUUUCCAUGCUCUACUCCGAUCCGAGAUAGAAUUUCGGCAGCACCUCCCCGCUGUUCUCCGGAUACACGUCCUGACAGGGAGAGUGUACUGUCUGGAGAACAACAGGGAGGUGACGCCGAAACUCUGUCUCAGACCGGAGUAGAGCAUGGAAACUAACACCAUCUAGGCAACCGCAGGCUGUCCAAAAAACAUGGACAAUUCGAAAUUGAUACAUUUGUAGAUAUGCAAAGAUCUGCAUAUCUACACCGUAUCUCUUUCGAACGGGAGACGCCUAACUGGGUUACGUGAUCUACGACCAUGAUGCGGAAAUUGAGGUUAUACCUAGGGUGACGAUGGAAUCAGGCUAGCGGGGUUGUGGCGGGUUGGUGCAGUGGCGACGCGACGCGGUGCAGGCAGACCCGCAGUGGCUAGGAAGACAAGUAUCUUCUCUGUAAAAAAUAAACAAGCAUGUCAAAAAAAUCGACAACACUUCCCCUGUACGGGGAGGUUUCCAAAACCUGCAAAUAAAUCUAACAGCACGAUGGCUGACACGCACAUAUACAAACGACACGAUGAAUGCAAGUCACAUCUAAGUCCAAAAGUAGGUUACCAAAAAAACAUCAAAGACUAAGCACUUUGAAGGUAGUGACAGUACGUGAAUCGCCGAAAGGUGUCCUAUGCAUGUGCAUUGCUCAUAUAUUUAUAAGGACUAUACUCUAUACAACUCUAUACAUGAGGCCUAUAAUUGAAUUCGAAUUUAUAAUUUGAAAUAAAAAAGAAAUAAAAACAGAAAAUAAAAUAGAACAAGAAACAAAGGGGAAUAUACCGGCUGGGAGGCCGGCGGCGCGACGACGGCGGCGGUGGUCGCCACGGGCGCGCGACGACGGCGGUGGGCGCGGCGGGCGCGACGGCCGUGGGCGCGGUGGGCGCGAGCGGCUGGCGGUGCUCGCCGCGGGCGCGACGGCGGGGCGGCGCGACGGCGGCGAGCGAGCGUGAGAGAGAGAUAGUGAGAGUGAGAGAGAGAUAGUGAGUGAGGGCGCCGUAACAGCUAUUAAAACGUUCUUUGCCGAGUGCCCGCGAUCCGGCACUCGGCAAAGAUUUUUUUAAAAUUUAAAAAUAAACUUUGUCGAGUGCCGGAUCUCGGGCACUCGGCAAAGGCGUCUUUGCCGAGUGCUAGCUGUAGAGCACUCGGCAAAGAUGUGUUCUUUAUACUUUACCGAGCGCCAACAGACAGGCACUCGGCAAAGCCGUCUUUGCCGAGUGCUAACUGGACAUCACUCGGCAAAGUAUAUUUUAUUUUUUUAUUUUUGGCAACCAAACUUUUUGUGGUGUGUUCCUACACUAUGUAGACCUACAAGUACCAUUUUGGUACAAUUAUAAAAGUGUUUUUUAUAACUAUUAAAUUUAGUUCGUUUAUUUGAAUUUCUUCGGAAAAUUUAGAUUUGAACUGCAGGUCACUCGAAACUUGGAAAACCGUGCAUGCAAAAAUGAUAUUCAUGUUACUUAGCAUAAGUUACGACCGAUUCCAGGAGCGGACCGGAAACUUCGAGCAACAUGCUCACUAAAUAUGGCCGUGAACUUGCCAUCCACAUGUUUAAAAAUUGUAUAAAACACAAACAAAGUCAGAAAAUCCUGAAACUUGUCCACGUGUCAUGAUAUCAUAUGUACAGGUUGCGAUAAAAAUUUUAGAAUGUUUGGAGAAAGUUGUGGGACACUAUGUGUAGAAACCUAAGAGAACUACACAUGAAAUCAUAAAGUUUCAAUGUAGUUCUCUUAGGUUUCUACACAUAGUGUCAUACAACUUUCUCCAAACAUUCUAAAAUUUUUAUCGCAGCCUGUACAUAUGAUAUCAUGACACGUGGACAAGUUUCAGAAUUUUCUGACUUUGUUUGUGUUUUAUACAAUUUUUAAACAUGUGGAUGGCAAGUUCACGGCCAUGUUUAGUGAGCAUGUUGCUCGAAGUUUCCGGUCCGCUCCUGGAAUCGGUCGUAACUUAUGCUAAAUAACAUGAAUAUCAUUUUUACAUGCACGGUUUUCCAAGUUUCGAGUGACCUGCAGUUCAAAUCUAAAUUUUCCAAAGAAAUUCAAAUAAACAAACUAAAUCUACUAACGAUUGAAAACUCUGUUAAAAUUGUCCACAAAUGAUACAUGUAGUUCUACAUAGUGUAGGAACAUACCACAAAAAUUUUGAGAGACAAAAUAAAAAAAAAUAAAAAUAUACUUUGCCGAGUGUCUAGAGAUGACACUCGGAAAAGUAUGCUUUGCCGAGUGCCUACUGUGUAACACUCGGCAAAGAAGCCUCUUUGUCGAGUGCCAGCCGUUGGCUCUCGGCAAAGACUGACGGCCGUCAGCUUUGGGACGGCCGCUGACGGCGCUUUGCCGAGAGCCCCCUUUGCCGAGUGUUUGACCCUCAGCAAACUUGUCUUUGCCGAGUGCGUCCUGUGCCGAGUGUUCAGCACUCGGUAAAGGGGCUCUUUGCCAAGAGCCUAAAUUUACCGAGUGCGCACUCGGCAAAGCUUUCUUUGCCGAGUGCCCGAUAAGAAGUACUCGGCAAAGCCUCCGGCACUCGGCAAAGCCUGCGAUUCCGGUAGUGAAACAAAGAUAAAGAAAAUAGUUUGAUCUCCUUAUUUGGGCUCAACUGGUACAUUUAAAAUAAAUAUAAAUUCACAGUAAAUUUAAAUUCAAAUUUGAAUUCUAGAAAUGAAAAAGGGAAAGAAAUGAAAAAGGAAAAUAAAAAGAAGAACAUAACUGUUCGCGUGGGCCAGAUGAUCCUGUUUCCGGCCCAUGAGGCAAUAGCCUGCGCGUGGCCCAGCUCGGGAGCACGGCGCCGACGUGCGGGACCCGCAUGUAAGUGAACGCUCCCCCUCCGCCUACAUCAUGUUUCUCUGGUGUGUGGAUCUUUUGCGAUCAGUAGCAGGCGGCUGGGAUUUGAUCUGGGUCAGAAAGACUAUGGACCGUUGAUCUGUCGGUGUGCGGCCUGGAUUAGACGGCCGAUACCUCUUCGCAACAUUAAAAUCUGUCCAUAGAUCCGUUGAUGGACGCUUGGGAUCUGGUGUAGGCGUGGCCAUCUCGGGAAGCCUCGGAUCAUGAUCCGGUGGUUGUGAUUCAGUACCGUUUCAGGGGGGAUCAGUUUUAAUCUGGGCCGCUAGAAUCGGAUCGGACGACCAUGGUGCGAUCAUACCCCUUCGCGGGUCAAUUUUGCUAAAGAGCCCCCGUAUUUAUACUUAAAUAACCCGCCAUUAGCGCGACUAUUCCUGUGUCUGGAUUAUUUUGCGCCGGGGCCCCUGACCUUUCUAGUAAAUGAGGCCCAGUCCAAAACCCAUUUAAUUUGAAUAAAUGAAAUAGAAAAUGGAUUUUUAAUAUGAAAAUAAUUACUAGAACUUGAUAAAUUCAUAGAAAAUCUAUUUUUAGUCCAAAUUAGUCCAUUCCAUUUUCUAAAAUUUCGUAAUUUUAUUCUCUAACACUUAGAGUCUCUGUUUUGUCAUGACAACAGUAAGAAAAUUAAUUUCUUACUUAAUCCUAUUUUAAGCACAUAAAACCUUUGGAAAUUCAUAUCUUAAAAUCUAUAACUCCAAAAAUUAUGAUUCCUGUUCCUAGAAUUUUACUUUAAUAUGUAGAUUAUUACUGUGUAUUUUGUUUACAUGUUUGGUGUGAUGUUAAUUUCCUUUAUAUACUGUGCUUGUUUGAUUGUGGCGAGUAGAAGAGCUCGUGACCGAGGAUCCUGGUGAGCAGCAGAUAGCAGUAGCUGAGCAGGAGCUCAUUGAAGGCAAGUUGUGCCCUUGACCACAUUUUACCCAAUAAUGUUCUUUAAUAUCAUUUAUUAAUGCAUAGGUUAAUUUUGAUGGGACCCAAUAGGUCACCCUAGAUUGUUUAUCUCAUUACCUUGUUUACCCCUGAAUCACUUGGGUAGUUUGCUAUUGCUUUACAUGGUUUUGGGAUAAUCAUUUAUUAUAUCUAUGUUCCAAUUCUUUUGUUAUUCUAUUUAUGUUCAUGUCAAGAUCAUUAAUGUUAAUUGGAACAUAGAGCUUAACUUGAGUAACACGUGCCACCACAAGGGAUUAAUGGGACGCCCUUGGCUGACUAAUUAGGAAAGCUAGUGGAAGACUACCUUACCCGAAAGGGGCAAGGGCAGUAGGGGAGUUGCAUGCAAGGAGGUUCUCGGGUUGAUUUAGCUGCGAUGGCGGUCAGACGGGGGAUUCUUGCAAGUGCUCUUCCCAUAAACUGUAGCGGGUUUUCGGAAGCUAGUGGAACUUUGUAAAGGCCUCAUAGUGUUUCCCUGCCGCGCUUCCUAGGUAGAGGUGUAUGGGAGUCGCGACCCCUUGGCAGAUGGGUAACAUGACUUGUGGGUAAAGGGUACAACCUCUGCAGAGUGUAAAACUGGUAUACUAGCCGAGCUCACGGUCAUGAGCAGCUCAGGACUCUCUGAUGUUUAAAUUAUGGAACUUAAAUUCAAUUUGUCAUUCGCAUAUGCAUGGGUUUAUUAUUAAUUUUGUUCAAUUGCUUUAUUUAAGGUUUGGUAUUUACUUACACUUAGUAAUUGCUAAUAAAAUUUUGACCAACUACUUAAAAGCAAUGCUCAGCUUUAACCCCUGUCAUUGAUUAGCCUUACACAUCACAUGAACUCCCACCUUUGUGAGUUCAUGUCCACUGGUUCCCCACAACUUGUUGAGCUAUGAUCAUGUGUGAGCUCACCCUUGCUGUCUCACACCCCCCCACAUGAGAAGAGCAGGUGGUUCAGGAGGAGCCACAAGGCGAGGAGUUUGAUCUGAUCUAGGUGGCGUUUCUCAGUUGACAUUGGCACCGACGAUCCUUAGUUCGUUUUAUAUUUAUAUUUUAUUUUGUAAUAAGACUUCCGCUAUGAAAUAAAUACUCUGAUGUUUUAUGACAUUUAUCUCUAUACACUCUGUUAUUAUAUAUGUUGUCUUCUUGGCGCAUGUAUGAGAUGCACCUGGCUUUGUUCCUUAAAUCCGGGUGUGACACGUACCCUCUCCUACUCACCUUGGUAGUGUUUAAGGGUCCGAUCAACCCGAGGCGACAAACAGAACACGUAUUAUGGGUAAAGAUGUGCAAGCUCUUCAGAGUGUAAAACUGGUAUAUCAGCCAUGCUCACGAUCAUGAGCAGCUCAGACCCUCACAUGAGUAGCAUAUGGAAUUAAAUUUAAUUUAUCAUUUGCAUUGCAUUGUGCAUUAUUAUUAAUUUUGAUCUCUCAUUUUAUUGAGAUGGUAUUUACUUAUACUUAGUAACUGCUAAUAAAAUUUGUCCAACUUAUUAAAAGCAACAUUGUGCCUUAAUCAUUAUUUAUUGAUCAACUUUACUCUAUUCAUGAGGCCCCACCGUAAGUGAGCUCAUACACAUUAUUCCCCACACUUGCUGAGCGGUGAAUAUCUGUGAGCUCACUCUUGCAAAAAAAACUCCUCCCACAGGUGAAGAGCAGGUGGCCCCGCAGGAAGACUACUACGAGUAGUUCGACGAGGUCUAGGUGUCGUCUCCUAGUCAACUUGUUGGCGCCAAGGGAUAAUAAUGAUAUUAGUUCAUUCUAUUUAUUAUCGGUUAUUUUGUAAUACAUUUCGUUAUGUAAUAAAGAUUGUGACAUUCGUCUCUAUACACUGAGUCAUUAUAUAUGUUGAUCUUGUUUGUCGCACAUAUGAGCACUUUACUCAUGAGCCAUGACCCCUUUUGCCUUAUGCCAAUCAAACCCUUAAACACUUCCGGUAAGUUGGCAAUGUCUCACUACAUAGCUUUUACAAAGAUUCCUCAAUGAUAUAGUUGCCCGUUAGGUUUCUCCAUUUUGAUAAACACAGUACCUCUCCCCAAGGGGGUGACUAACAAAAGCAAACAAAAGAACCCCAGCACCCAGCCUUAGCAGAGUAAGCACUGUGCCCGGACCCCAUUGACGACAUGACGAUGAAGUAAACUACAACCUCAAGUUCCUCUGAUUAAUUAGCUAAGGGCAUACGAUACCACCCUCAUGGCUGCACUGUUUUCCCGAGUUGUCGCUCAACGAACCGGUCCUUACGGAGAAGCACUCGGGACACAACUCGAGUCUUCUUAAUAUCACAAAUCCAUAAACCAAAACUUGGGAACAUCGUACCAUAAAUAUAUCUCAUCAUGUUCAUUGAUUAAGUUAUAGCACUAGCAUAAAGGCUAAUCAUCAUAGCCAAUAACCCAAUGGUAAACAAGUACAUGAUAAAUAGAAAGCUAGUCAGUCCUUAAGUUUAAUCAUGUUGUGCGGGAAUGUAAGUUCUCAUGUGAAUAUGACAUAAGUAGGUUAGAGGACACUUGCCUUUAAAGAGAAAUAGGGUUAACCAUUUCCUAUAAAUAGAUUUUGGUGGUUGACGACCAACACAAUCCAUGUGGACUAACUAGUUUGUCUAGAUAUCAUUCAUAUCUGGUGCAUAAGAUUCAACACAAACCAAGAAAGAAUUCAUUUAGGGGACACAAGUUAUUUGGAGCAAAAAGGAUUUGAGUGUGCUGACUUGUGGUGCACCGGACAGUGUCCGGUGUGCACUGGACGUGUCUGGUGCACCAGGGCCGUACAACUCCGAACUAGUCACUCUUGGGAAUUCUAGGGGAGCCUCCGCUGUAAUUCAUCGGACUGUCCGGUGUGCCACCGGACUGUCCGACGAGCCAGUGGAGCAACGGCUCCCUGCGCCAACGGUCGACUGUGCAAAGUGAACAGUGAUGAACAAUGCCGCGCAGAGGUCAGAGCGUAGAAGUCAGAGGGCACCGAACUGUUCAGUGUGGCACUGAACUGUUCGAUGCAGCUAGAAGACAAACGCCUCCAACGGUCAACUGCUCCGAACCCUAAUGGUUGCGUUGACGUGGUGCGCACCGGACAGUCCGGUGCGCCCAUCGCCAGCAGCCUUCCCCAAUGGCUAUGGAAGUGGUUGGGGGCUAUAAAUACCCCCAACCACCUCAUUCAUAUCCAUCCAAGCCUUCUGAAAUCUUCAUUCAUUGCAAGAGCAAAAGCCCAACACUCCAAGACACAAUCAAAGCAAUCAAUCCACUCAAAGUCCCCAAAAUCAACUCUAGUACAUUAGGGCUUGUGAGAGGAUCAAUUGUGAUCUUUUGUUGCUCUUGUUGCUCGGAUUGGCCUUUUCUUUCCCCCUUCUUAUUAUCAAGAGAAUUGUAAUCGAAGCAAGAGACACCUAAGUGUGUGGUGGUCCUUGCGGGGUCUAAGUAACCCGUGAGAUUAAGGAAAAGGCUCACUCGGUCUAAGUGACCGUUUGAGAGAGAGAAAGGGUUGAAACAGACCCGGUCUUUGUGGCCUCCUCAACGGGGACUAAGUUCUUUGGAACCGAACCUUGGUAAAACAAAUCAUCGUGUUCACUCACUUUGAUUCUCGUUUGAUUUGUUUUCCCUCUCUAACGUUUCCUUGCUAGUAUUGAUUUGAGUUGGCUCCCAUACGUCAUCCGCAUUCGUUGAGGAACUCUUAGCAAGAGAAACAUUCUUUUGACAUGAAUUUAAUUCUAACGCUAACCCCGGCCUUUAGUGUGAGUUUAAAGUUGAUAAAUUUCAGGUUUCGCCUAUUUGCCCCCUCUAGGCGACUUUCAAUUGGUAUCAGAGCCAGUGCUUCAUUAAGAGCCUAACCAACUCGAAGUGAUGUCUAGAGAUCACGCCAAGAGGGAGAUCGUGACCGACGAAAAGGCCACAGGCUCGAGGAGGACUCUCUCAAGGGAGUCCGGCAACAAGUAUAAGGAGGAAUCCUCUUCCUCCAUCAAGUCACAUCGGAGAGGUGACAAGAAGAAGAAGAUGAAGAAAGUGGUCUACUACGAGACCGACUGUUGUCACCCUCCACGUCCGACACCGAGUCGUCUACUACUUCUAAGCACCAUGAGCGCAAGAAGUAUAGUAAGAUGCCCCUACGCUAUCCCCGUAUUUCAAAGCGUGCUCCAUUACUUUCCAUACCCCUAGGCAAACCACCAUAUUUUGAUGGUGAAGAUUAUUAUAUGUGGAGUGAUAAAAUGAGGCACUAUCUAACCUCACUCCACAAAAGUAUUUGGGAUAUUGUUGAGUUUGGAGCGCAAGCACUAAAGGUGGGGGACGAGGACUAUGACUCGGACGAGGCCGCCCAAAUACGACACUUUAACUCCCAAGCAACUUCUAUACUCCUCCCCCCUUUAUGUCGAGAGGAGUAUAAUAAGGUGCAAGGGUUAAAGAGCGCCAAAGAAAUUUGGGACGUCCUCAAAACUACGCACGAAGGGGACGAGGUGACCAAGAUCGAGACGAUCGAAGGAGAACUCGGUUGAUUCGUCCUCAACAAAGGAGAAGAGACACAAGCCAUGUACAACCGGCUCAAGACCAUGGUGAACCAAGUGCGCAAACUCGGGAGCACCAAAUGGGAUGACCAUGAAAUGGUCAAGGUUAUUCUUAGAUCCCUCGUAUUUCGUAAUCCUACAUAAGUACAAUUAAUACGUAGGGAUCCUAGAUACAAGCUAAUGUGUCCCGAGGAAGUUAUUGGCAAGUUUGUGAGCUUUGAACUUAUGAUCAAAGACUCCAAACACAUUGUCAACUUGGAGGAAGGCGCCACCUCUACACCCGAGGUGCAACCCGUCGCAUUCAAAGCGACGGAAGAAAAGGAGUCUACACCAAGUAGGCUUCCAAUUGAUGCCUCCAAGCUCGACAAUGAGGAGAUGGCGCUCAUCAUCAAGAGCUUCCACCAAAUCCUCAAUCAAAGGAGGGGGAAGGAUUACAAGCCCCGCUCCAAGAGGGUGUGCUACCGGUGUGGUAAGUCCGGUCAUUUCAUAGCUUAAUGUCCAAUUUCUAGUGAAAGUGACAGGGAUGAAGACAAGACGGGGAAGAAGAAGGAGAAGAAGAGAUACUACAAGAAGAAGGGCGGCGAUGCGCACAUGUGCCAGAAAUGGGACUCCGACGAGAGCUCUACCGACUCCUCCUCCGACGAGGACGUCGCCAACGUCGCCGUCAACAAAGGCCUCCUCUUCCCCAACGUUGGCCACAAGUGUCUCAUGGCUAAGGACGGCAAGAAGAAGAAGAUACACUCUAGAGCCAACCUCAAAUAUACUACGUCUAGUAAUGAGGGUAGCUCUAGCGAUAAUGAGGAUGAUUUACUUUCUCACUUUGCCAACCUUAGCAUGGAACAAAAUAAAAAAUUGAAUGAAUUAAUUGAGACUAUUAACGAGAAGGAUGAUCUCUUGGAAUGCCAAGAAGACUUGCUCGUUAAAGAAAACAAAAAAAUUGUUAAGUUGAAAAAUGCUUAUGCUCAGGAUGUAGAAAAAUGUGAAAACUUAUCUAAGGAGCUUAGCAUUUGUCAUGAUUCAAUUUCAAGUCUUAGAACUGAGAAUGCUAGUUUAGUUUCUAAGAUUGGAAAGUUGAAUGUUUGCAAUGAGUCAAUUUCUAGUCUUAAAAUUCAGAAUGAUAAUUUAAAUGCUAAGAUUGAGAAAUUGAGUAUUUGCAAAGCAUCUACAUCUACUGUUGAAAAUGUUACAAUUUGUGCUAGGUGUAAAGUCAUUAAUGUUGAAGCUAUGGAUGAUCACCUUGCCAUGAUUAAACAACAAAAUGAUCACAUAGCUAAAUUAACUGCUAAAAUUGCCGAGCAUGAACUAGAAAAUGAAAAUUUUAAAUUCGCUUGUAGUAUGCUUUAUAAUGGGAGACGCCCUGGUAUUAAGGAUGAUAUUGGAUUCCAACAAGGGAACCAAUCCAAUGUCAAGCUUAAUGCCCCUAAGAAAUUAUCUAAUUUUGUUAAGGGUAAGGCUCCCAUGGUUUAGGAUAGUUAGGGUUACAUUUUAUAUCCUGCAAAUUAUCCCGAACACAAAAUUAGGAAGAUUCAUGCUAGGAAACCUCAUAAUGUUUCUCAUCAUGCUUUUAUGUAUAAGAAUGAGGCUUCUAGUUCUAGGCAUUCCACCCAUGUUAAAAUGCCUAAAAAGAAAAUUCCUAAUGCAUCAAAUGAGCAUAAUAUUUCAUUUAAGACUUUUGAUGCUUCUUAUGUUUUAACUAACAAAUCAGGCAAAAAGUUGCCAAAUAUGUUGGGGGCAAACACAAGAGCCCAAAGACUUGUGUUUGGGUACCCAAGGUGCUUGUUUCUAAUGUAAAAGGACCCAAGACCAUUUGGGUACCUAAGAACAAGGCCUAAAUUUGUUUUGUAGGUUUAUGCAUCUGGUGGAUCAAGUUGGAUAAUCGAUAGCGGGUGCACAAACCACAUGAUAGGGGAGAAAAUGAUGUUCUCCUCAUAUGAGAAAAAUGAAGAUCCCCAAAUAGCUAUCACAUUCGGGGAUGGAAAUCAAGGUUUGGUCAAAGGUUUGGGUAAAAUAGCUAUAUCCCCUGACCAUUCCAUUUCUAAUGUUUUUCUUGUAGAUUCUUUAGAUUACAAUUUGCUUUCUGUUUCUCAAUUAUGCAAAAUGGGCUACAACUAUCUAUUUACUGACGUAGGUGUCACUGUCUUUAGAAGAAGUGAUGAUUCAAUAGCAUUUAAUGGAGUGCUAGAUGGUCAGCUAUACUUAGUUGAUUUUAAUGAUAACCAAGCUGAACUAGACACUUGCUUAAUUGCUGAGACUAACAUGGGUUGGCUCUGGUAUCGCCGACUUGCCCAUGUUGGAAUGAAGAAUCUUCAUAAGCUUCUAAAGGGGAACACAUUUUAGGACUAACAAAUGUUCAUUUUGAGAAAGACAGGAUUUAUAGCGCAUGUCAAGCAGGAAAGUAAGUUAGAGUCCAUCAUCCACACAAGAAUAUAAUGAUGACUGACAGGCCGCUCGAGCUACUCCACAUGGAUCUAUUUGGCCCGAUCGCUUAUAUAAGCAUCGACGGGGAUAAGUACUGUCUAGUAAUUAUGGAUGAUUAUUCUUGCUUCACUUGGGUAUUCUUUUUGCAAGAAAAAUCUCAAAUCCAAGAGACCUUAAAGAGAUUCUUGAGACGGGCUCAAAAUGAGUUUGGAUUAAGAAUCAAAAAGAUUAGAAGCGACAAUGGGAUGUACUUCAAGAAUUCACAAAUUGAAGGAUUUCUUGAGGAGGAGGGCAUCAAGCAUGAGUUCUUUCUCUCUACACACCUCAACAAAAUGGUGUAGUGAAAAGUAAGAAUAGAACUCUAUUGGACAUGGCAAGAACCAUACUUGAUGAGUACAAGACACCAGACCGGUUUUGGGCUGAGGCGAUUAACAUCGCCUGCUACUCCAUCAACCGGUUAUAUCUCCACCGAAUCCUCAAGAAUAAAUCAUAUGAACUUCUCUCUGGUAAAAAGCCCAAUGUUUCAUAUUUUAGAGUCUUUAGGAGUGAAUGCUUUAUUCUUAUUAAAAGAGGUAGAAGUUCUAAAUUUGCUCCUAAGGCUGUAGAAGGCAUUUUACUAAGGUAUGUCGCAAACACAAGGGCAUAUAGAGUCUUCAACAAAUCCACUAGAUUAGUUGAGGUUUCUUGUGACAUUGUGUUUGAUGAGACUAAUGGCUCCCAAGUGGAGCAAGUUGAUCUUGAUGAACUAGAUGAUGAAGAGGCUCCGUGCGUUGCGCUAAGGAACAUGUCCAUUGGAGAUGUGUGUCCUAAGGAAUUCGAAGAGCCUCCACAAGCACAAGAUCAACCAUCAUCUUCCAUGCAAACAUCUCCACCAACUCAAGAUGAGGACCAAGCUCAAGAUGAUGAAGAUGAAGAUCUAGAGAAUGAGCCACCUCAAGAGGAGGACAUUGAUCAAGGGGGAGAUGAAGACCAUGAUGACAAGGAAGAUGAUCAAGAAAUUCGGGAUCAAAGACCGCCACACCCAAGAGUCCACCAAGCAAUUCAAAGAGAUCAUCCCGUCAACUCCAUUCUUGGUGAUAUUCACAAGGGGGUAACCACUAGAUCUCGAGUUGCACAUUUUUGUGAACAUUACUCUUUUGUGUCUUCUAUUGAGCCAUACAAGAUAGAGGAUGCAUUAAGAGAUCCGGAUUGGGUGAUGCCUAUGCAAGAGGAGCUCAACUACUUCAUGAGGAAUGAGGUAUGAUACUUAGUUCCACAUCCUAAUCAAAAUGUUGUAGGUACCAAGUGGGUAUUCCGCAACAAGCAAGAUGAGCAUGGUGUGGUGACAAGAAACAAAGCCCGACUUGUGGCCAAAGGUUAUUCACAAAUCGAAGGUUUGGAUUUCGAUGAAACCUAUGCACCCGUAGCUAGGCUUGAGUCAAUUCGUAUAUUACUUGCCUAUGCUACUUACCAUGGCUUUAAGCUUUAUCAAAUGGACGUGAAAAGUGCCUUCCUCAAUGGCCCUAUUAAGGAAGAGAUCUGUGUUGAGCAACCUCCCGGAUUUGGAGACAGUGAGUAUCCUAACCAUGUAUAUAAACUCUCAAAGGCGCUUUAUGGGCUUAUGAAUGCCUGCGAUACUUCCUUAUCACUAAUGGCUUCAAAGUUGGAAAAGCCGAUCCUACUCUCUUCACUAAAUCUAUCGCAAAAGACUUGUUUAUAUGCCAAAUCUAUGUUGAUGAUAUUAUAUUUGGGUCUUGUCGGAGGGUAAAUCUCUCCGGCCGGGUGGCGGAUUGCACCCGCCCUAAUUUUUAAAAUGAGGAGGGGCCUAAGCGUUUUGCUUGUUACGAGGUUGGUGGAUGAACACACGAGAGCACACGAGGGUUUAGAGUGGUUCGGGCCACCGGGGCAUAACACCCUACUCCACUGUGUAAUGUAUUGUGAGUCUGAGCUUGGAUCUCUCGUAACGCCGCAUGCCUCCCCUUUUAUAGCUGAAGGGGGGCAUGCACAAAGGCACUGAGCCCCGACAUAUGGGCCCAGGGUCAUAAUGAAUAUAGCGCUCGGGACUACAAAUAUUUGCUGUUGGGGAAAUCUCCUUUUGUCCUGUCACCCGAGAUUUGUGUAUCUUCGGCGUGCAGGGAAAGCUUCUUGCAGAAGGGAUAAUGAGCACGAUGCGCCGCAUGGCACAGGCGCAUUGUUCGAUGAUAGAUUGGACAUGCGCGCCGUCUAACGCCGUCUGCCAGCGGAGUGGACUGGACGCAUUAAAUGCCGAGGGGGCACAUCGUCCGUCGGCUUGGUGGCAGGUGGUGCGUCCUCUCCGCAAUAAAUGUGGAGACCACGCGACCUCAGUGGCCUGACGUCAGACUCCGUCGGUUGGCUUAUGUCAUGAGCGACAAGCCACGCGACAGCAGUGGGUCUCUAUACGAGUGGGGAGCGUGGUGCAAGCCCCGGACACGUGCCAGCACCAGACCUCUUCCGAGGCGGGGCCCGGGUAUUCCCUGCCCUAGAAUCCUAGGACCCGGUGGUAAUCCGUCCGGACCCCACACGGAAGGGUCUAGGAUCUUUCUCGGAGGUCCACCCGUUAUGCACGAGGUCCUGUGCUUUCCACGUGGUAGGCCCGGACCUACUACGUGUAUCCGGAGCACGCUUUUUCCCUUGGCCGCGUGGUGACCCCAAGGCGGCCGAUGUUGCACGACGGUGAGCCGCUUGCCGCGCAACUAGAGGCUUUACCGCCGACACGACGUCUAUACCUUGUAACUGGGGGUACCCCUAUUUCAAGGUACCGACAGGUCUACUAACAAGUCAUCUUGUGAAGAGUUUAGUAGGAUGAUGAUACAGAAACUCAAGAUGUCUAUGAUGGGAGAGUUGAAGUAUUUUCUUGGAUUUCAAAUCAAGCAACUCCAAGAGGGCACAUUCAUCAGCCAAACAAAGUACAUUCAAGACAUACUCAAGAAGUUUGGAAUGAAGAAUGGCAAACCCAUCAAGACACCCAUGGGAACCAAUGGGCAUCUCGACCUCGACACGGGAGGUAAAUCCGUAGAUCAAAAGGUAUACCGGUCGAUGAUAGGAUCUUUACUCUACUUAUGUGCAUCUCGACCGGAUAUUAUGCUUUCUGUAUGCAUGUGUGCAAGGUUCCAGGCAAAUCCUAAGGAAGUUCUGAAAGGGAAAUGUGCCCUUGGGCCAUUUCUAAGUAUUUUGGUGAUUGAGUGUCAACACAAGUGUUUAAAUGUGAAUCAACGCCCAUGGAUGAACAAAGUGCAAAUCUUCAACAAAGGUAUGUUUCUAAGUCUUAGUACAUUGGUUUUGUGUACUAAUAUAUUUGUCUAAGUGUUAGAAACAGAAAGAAGAAGAGAAGAGAAGACUUGGCCUGUGUGCAGCCAAGGGGCUGUUUCGGUCUGGGGCACCGGACUGUCCGGUGGUGCACCGGACAGUGUCCGGUGGUGCACCGGACAGUGUCCGGUGCACCAGGCUGCCUCGGCUGAAGAGGCCACUCUCGGGUUUUUCUCCGGCGACUUCGGCUAUAAUUCACCGGACUGUCCGGUGUGCACCGGACUGUCCGGUGAGCCAACGGUCGGCCGGGCCAACGGUCGGCCGCGCGAUCGGCGCGCGACACGUGGCCGAGCCAACGGUCGGAAGGAAGCACCGGACUGUCCGGUGUGCACCGGACAUGUCCGGUGCGCCAACGGUGCGCAGAUCUGACUCUGACAGCAACGGUCGGAUGCGCUGUUUAAGGAAACAAAUCGGGCACCGGACAGUGUCCGGUGUGCACCGGACUGUCCGGUGCGCCACGAGACAGAAGGCAAAGAUGGCCUUCCAGAUUUGUUCUCAACGGCUCCUAGCUGCCUUGGGGCUAUAAAAGGGACCCCUUGGCGCAUGGAGGAGUACACCAAGCAUUCCUACAACUCUUCUAAGCACCAAGACAUCAAUCUCACGCAUUCGUUUCAUUGUGAUAGCAUAUAGAGCUCUUGUGGAGUUGUGAACUCUUUGUGUUGCGUUGCGAGCUCUUGUUGCGACUUGUGUGCGUGUUGUUGCUCUGAUUUUCGAGUCUUGUGUGCGUUGCUCAUUCCCACCUUACUCCGUAUUUCUUUGUGAACUCAAUUGUAAGGGCGAGAGACUCCAAGUUGUGGAGAUUCCUCGCAAACGGGAAAAGAUCAAAGGAAAGAAAAACACCAUGGUAUUCAAGUUGAUCAUUGGAUCACUUGAGAGGAGUUGAGUGCAACUCUCGUCCGUUGGGACGCCACAACGUGGAGUAGGCAAGUUUUGUACUUGGCCGAACCACGGGAUAACCACCGUGUCAACUCUGUGAUUGCUUUCUUGUGGUUAUCGUGUUUUGAGUUCUCUCUAGCCACUUGGCCAUACUUGUGCUAACCCUUAACAAGUUUUUGUGGCUUAAGUUUUGAACUUUUACAGGAUCACCUAUUCACCCCCCCCCUCUAGGUGCUCUCAAUUGGUAUCAGAGCCGUUCUCUUCAAGUAAGGGACUAACCGCCCGAAGAGAUGGAUCCUAAGGGGAAGGGAAUUGUGAUCAACGACAAGGAGAAGGAGUCCUUCGUCAACGAGCCAAGGGAUGACAAGUCCAAUGACUCGGGCUCGGGCCACAAGCGAAGAGAUAGGAAGAAGAAGAAGACAAGACGCAUCAAGGAGAUCGUCUACUACGACAGCGAUGAGUCCUCUUCUUCCCAAAAGGACGACGACCACGACAAACAAAGGAAACCGGUUAAUUCUAACUUUUCUUUUGACUACUCUCGUAUUCCGCAAAGUUCAAAUUCACAUUUGCUUUCUAUUCCACUCGGCAAGCCCCCACACUUUGAUGGGGAGGACUACGGAUUUUGGAGCCACAAAAUGCGUAGUCACCUAUUCUCUCUCCAUCCUAGCAUAUGGGAGAUUGUAGAUAGUGGAAUGCACUUUAAUAGUUCGGAUAGUCCUAUAUUCAUUAAUGAGCAAAUCCAUAAGAAUGCACAAGCUACUACUGUUCUUCUAGCCUCAUUGUGCAGGGAUGAAUAUAAUAAAGUGAGUGGCUUGGAUAACGCCAAGCAAAUCUGGGAUACCCUCAAGAUCUCUCAUGAGGGAAAUGACGCUACCUUGCUCACCAAAAUGGAGUUGGUGGAGGGCGAGCUUGGACGGUUCGCGAUGAUAAGGGGCGAGGAGCCAACUCAAACAUACAACCGGCUCAAGACCCUUGUCAACAAGAUAAGGAGCUAUGGAAGCACGCGAUGGACGGACCACGACGUCGUCCGCCUAAUGCUAAGGUCCUUUACUGUUCUUGAUCCUCAUUUGGUGAAUAAUAUUCGUGAGAAUCCCAGGUACACCAAAAUGUCGCCCGAAGAAAUUCUUGGAAAAUUUGCAAGCGGGCGGAUGAUGAUCAAGGAGGCAAGGUACGUCGAUGACGCGUUGAACGGUCCAAUCCACGAGCCUCAACCCAUUGCUCUCAAGGCAUCGAGGAGCAAGGAGGCACUACCAAGCAAGGUGGCGCAAAUUGAGGCGGCCGGGCUUAAUGAUGAAGAAAUGGCUCUCAUCAUUAAGCGCUUCAAGACGGUGCUAAAGGGUCGCAAUGGACAGCCGAGCAAGACUAAGACCAAGGGGAAGCGAUCAUGCUUCAAAUGCGGUAAGCUUGGUCAUUUUAUUGCUAACUGUCCUAAUAAUGAAAGUGACCAGGAAAAGGGAAACAAGAGGGAAAAGAAGAAGCAUUAUAAGAAGGCAAAGGGCGAGGCGCAUCUAGGCAAGGAGUGGGACUCGGAUUGCUCCUUGUCCGACUCCGACAAUGAAGGACUCGCCGCCACCGCCUUCAACAAAUCAACCCUCUUCCCCAACGAGCGUCACACAUGCCUUAUGGCAAGGGAGAAGAAGGUAUGUACUCGCAACUCUACCUAUGCUUCUUCAAGUGAGGACGAAUCUAGUGAUGAGGAUGAAGUAGAUUAUUCAUGUUUGUUCAAGGGCUUAGAUAGAUCUAAGAUAGACAAAAUUAAUGAAUUAAUUGAUGCCUUGAAUGAAAAGAAUAUACUUUUAGAAAAGCAAGAGGAUUUGUUGUAUGAAGAGCAUGAUAAAUUUGUUGAGGCACAAAAAUCCUAUGCUUUAGAAGUUAAAAGAAAUGAAAUGCUUUCUUUUGAACUAUCUACUUGUCAUGAAACCAUUUCUACUUUGAAAGGUGUCAACAAUGAUUUAAAUGCUAAAUUAGAAGUAGCAAAUAAAUCCAAUUCUUGUGUAGAACAUGUUGAAAUUUGUACUAGGUGUAAAGAUUUUGACGUUGAUGCUUGUAGUGAACACCUAGUUUCAAUUUCCAAGCUUAAUGAUGAACUGGCUAGUCUUAAUGCUCAACUUAAGACUAGCAAGAAUGAUUUCGAUAAGCUAAAAUUUGCAAGGGAUGCCUACACAAUUGGUAGACACCCCUCAAUUAAGGAUGGACUUGGCUUCAAGAGAGAAGCUAAGAACUUAACAAGCCAUAAGGCUCCCAUUCCCGCCAAGGAGAAAGGGAAGGCCCCUAUGGCUAGUAAUGUGCAAAAGAACCAUGCUUUUAUGUAUCAUGAUAGGAGACAAACUAGAAAUGCUUAUAGGAGUUUGAAUGCUUUUGAUGAUUUUGACUCUCAUGCCAUGUUUGCUUCUAGUUCUUCCUAUAUGCAUGGUAGAAAUAUGUCUAGGAGAAAUGCUAUUCAUCAUGUGCCUAGAAAGAAUGUUAUUCAUGCUCCUAGGAAAGUAGUGAAUGAACCUUCUACAAUUUAUUGUGCUUUGAAUACUUCAUUUGCAAUUUGUAGAAAGGAUAGAAAAGUAAUUGCUAGGAAGUUAGGGGCAAAAUGCAAAGGUGAUAAAACUUGCAUUUGGGUCCCUAAGGAAAUUGUGACUAACCUUGUAGGACCCAACAAGAGUUGGGCACCUAAGUCCCAAGCCUAAAUUUGCCUUGCAGGUUUAUGCAUCCGGGGGUUCAAGCUGGAUUAUCGACAGCGGAUGCACAAACCAUAUGACGGGGGAGAAGAAGAUGUUCACCUCCUACGUCAAGAAUAAAGAUUCCCAAGAUUCAAUUGUAUUCGGUGAUGGGAAUCAAGGCAAGGUAAAAGGUUUAGGUAAAAUUGCAAUUUCUAAUGAGCACUCCAUAUCUAAUGUAUUUUUAGUUGAGUCUCUUGGAUAUAAUCUGCUAUCUGUAAGUCAAUUAUGUCAUAUGGGGUAUAAUUGUCUAUUUACAAAUGUAGAUGUGUCUGUCUUUAGAAGAAGUGAUGGUUCACUAGCUUUUAAGGGUGUAUUAGACGGCAAACUUUAUUUAGUUGAUUUUGCAAAAGAAGAGGCCCGUCUAGAUGCAUGCUUAAUAGCUAAGACUAGCAUGGGCUGGCUGUGGCAUCGUCGCUUAGCACAUGUGGGGAUGAAGAACCUUCACAAGCUUCUAAAGGGAGAACACGUGAUAGGUUUGACUAACGUGCAUUUCGAAAAAGAUAGACCUUGUGCAGCUUGUCAAGCAGGUAAACAAGUGGGAGGAGCGCAUCACAGCAAGAACGUGAUGACCACUUCAAGACCCCUGGAGCUGCUGCAUAUGGACCUCUUCGGACCUGUCGCCUAUCUGAGCAUAGGAGGAAGUAAGUAUGGUUUAGUUAUUGUUGAUGACUUUUCCCGCUUCACUUGGGUGUUCUUUUUGCAGGAAAAAUCUGAAACCCAAGGGACUCUCAAACGCUUCCUCAGGAGAGCUCAAAAUGAGUUUGAGCUCAAAGUGAAAAAGAUAAGAAGCGACAACGGGUCCGAGUUCAAGAACCUUCAAGUGGAGGAGUUCCUUGAAGAGGAAGGGAUCAAACACGAGUUCUCCGCUCCCUACACACCACAGCAAAAUGGUGUGGUAGAGAGGAAGAACAGGACGCUCAUCGACAUGGCGAGGACGAUGCUAGGAGAGUUCAAGACCCCCGAGUGCUUUUGGACGGAAGCCGUGAACACGGCGUGCCACGCCAUCAACAGGGUCUACCUUCAUCGCCUCCUCAAGAAGACGUCGUAUGAGCUACUAACCGGUAACAAACCCAAUGUAUCGUACUUUCGUGUAUUUGGGAGUAAAUGCUACAUUCUAGUAAAGAAGGGUAGAAAUUCUAAGUUUGCUCCCAAAGCUGUAGAAGGGUUUUUAUUAGGUUAUGACUCAAAUACAAAGGCGUAUAGAGUCUUCAACAAAUCAUCGGGUUUGGUUGAAGUCUCUAGCGACGUUGUAUUUGAUGAGACUAAUGGCUCUCCAAGAGAGCAAGUUGUUGAUUGUGAUGAUGUAGAUGAAGAAGAUGUUCCGACAGCCGCUAUACGAACCAUGGCGAUUGGAGAAGUACGGCCACAGGAACAAGAUAAACGAGAUCAACCUUCUUCCUCGACCAUGGUGCUACCCCCAACUCAAGACGAUGAACAGGUUCAUCAACAGGAGGCAUGUGAUCAAGGGGGAGCACAAGAUAAUCAUGUGAUGGAGGAAGAAGUGCAACCGGCACCUCCAACCCAAGUUCGAGCGAUGAUUCAAAGGGAUCAUCCCGUCGACCAAAUUCUGGGUGACAUUAGCAAGGGAGUGACUACUCGAUCUCAAUUAGUUAAUUUUUGUGAGCAUUACUCCUUUGUCUCUUCUAUUGAGCCUUUCAGGGUAGAGGAGGCCUUGCUAGAUCCGGACUGGGUGUUGGCCAUGCAAGAGGAGCUAAACAACUUCAAGCGCAAUGAAGUUUGGACACUGGUGCCUCGUUCGAAGCAAAAUGUUGUGGGAACCAAGUGGGUGUUCCGCAACAAACAGGACGAGCACGGGGUGGUGACGAGGAACAAGGCUCGACUUGUGGCAAAAGGUUAUGCCCAAGUCGCAGGUUUGGACUUUGAGGAGACUUUUGCUCCUGUGGCCAGGCUAGAGUCCAUUCGUAUUUUGCUAGCAUAUGCCGCUCACCAUUCUUUCAGGUUGUACCAAAUGGAUGUGAAGAGCGCUUUCCUCAAUGGGCCAAUCAAGGAGGAGGUGUACGUAGAGCAACCCCCUGGCUUUGAGGAUGAACGGUACCCCGACCAUGUGUGUAAGCUCUCUAAGGCGCUCUAUGGACUUAAGCAAGCCCCAAGAGCAUGGUAUGAAUGCCUUAGAGACUUUUUAAUUGCUAAUGCUUUCAAGGUUGGGAAAGCCGAUCCAACUCUUUUUACAAAGACGUGUGAUGGUGAUUUGUUUGUGUGCCAAAUUUAUGUCGAUGACAUAAUAUUUGGUUCUACUAACCAAAAGUCUUGUGAAGAGUUUAGCAGGGUGAUGACGCAGAAAUUCGAGAUGUCAAUGAUGGGCGAGUUGAACUACUUCCUUGGGUUCCAAGUGAAGCAACUCAAGGACGGCACCUUCAUCUCCCAAACGAAGUACACGCAAGAUCUGCUAAAGCGGUUUGGGAUGAAGGACGCCAAGCCCGCAAAGACUCCGAUGGGGACCGACGGACACACCGACCUCAACAAAGGAGGUAAGUCCGUUGAUCAAAAAGCAUACCGGUCAAUGAUAGGUUCUUUGCUUUACUUAUGUGCUAGUAGACCUGAUAUUAUGCUUAGCGUAUGCAUGUGUGCUAGAUUUCAAUCCGAUCCUAAGGAGUGUCACUUAGUGGCGGUGAAGCGAAUUCUUAGAUAUUUGGUUGCUACGCCUUGCUUCGGGCUCUGGUAUCCAAAGGGGUCUACCUUUGACUUAGUUGGAUACUCAGACUCCGACUAUGCCGGAUGUAAGGUCGAUAGGAAGAGUACAUCGGGGACGUGCCAAUUCUUAGGAAGGUCCCUGGUGUCAUGGAACUCUAAGAAACAAACAUCCGUUGCCCUAUCCACCGCUGAGGCCGAGUACGUUGCCGCAGGUCAGUGUUGCGCGCAACUACUUUGGAUGAGGCAAACCCUCAGGGACUUUGGCUACAGUCUGAGCAAAGUCCCACUCCUAUGUGAUAAUGAGAGUGCUAUCCGCAUGGCGGAAAAUCCUGUUGAGCACAGCCGCACGAAGCACAUAGACAUCCGGCAUCACUUUUUGAGAGACCACCAGCAAAAGGGAGAUAUCGAAGUGUUUCAUGUUAGCACCGAGAACCAGCUAGCCGAUAUCUUCACUAAGCCUCUAGAUGAGAAGACCUUUUGCAGGUUGCGUAGUGAGCUAAAUGUCUUAGAUUCGCGGAACCUGGAUUGAAUUGUAGCAUACAUGUACUUAUGCUUUUAAUCAUGUUCCUUUUUGCAUUUUGUUGCUUAUUUUGGUGCUCAAGUUGUACAAACACUCCCUGGACCUCACAAGUCCGUUGCAAAGUGAUGCACAUGUUUAGGGGGAGAUGUGUUACAACUUGACCCUUUGAGACUAACCAUGUGCUUGAGUUUGAUAAUUUAGUCUCGAAGGAGAAUUGAAAGGAAAAAGGUGGACUUGGACCAUGAAAGACUUCCACUGCACUCCGAUGAGAGGGUAACUAAUUCCAAGUUCAUCUCAUGAAAUCUUAUUGCCAUUUGCUCUUAAUUGAAGACUUUGGUGAGGCAAUGGGGUUAAAAGGCCAAGAUUGAUCCCGUUUUGGUGCUUGAUGCCAAAGGGGGAGAAAAUAAAGGCCAAAGCGAUAAAUGGAUCAGCUACCACUUGAGAGAUUUUGAAAAUAGUAGAAUAGAGUUUUUGUGUUGUUAAACUCUUUUAUUGUCUCUCUUGUCAAAAGUUGGCUUCUUGUGGGGAGAAGUAUUGAUUAUGGGAAAUCGGGGGAGUUGUUGAACUCUUUGAUCAAUCUCUUUUGGAAUGACUCUCUUUAUGCCUCAACAUGUGUGUUUGACUUAGAGAUAGAGAUUUGAGUUUGAUUUGCAAAAACAAACCAAGUGGUGGCAAAGGAUGAUCCAUAUAUGCCAAAAUUGAAUCAAAACCAAUUUGAGUUUUUAUUUGAAGUGAUUUUGCACUUGUUCUAGUUGCUUUAUGUUGUGUUGGCAUAAAUCACCAAAAAGGGGGAGAUUGAAAGGGAAAUGUGCCCUUGGGCCAUUUCUAAGUAUUUUGGUGAUUGAGUGUCAACACAAGUGUUUAAAUGUGAAUCAACGCCCAUGGAUGAACAAAGUGCAAAUCUUCAACAAAGGUAUGUUUCUAAGUCUUAGUACAUUGGUUUUGUGUACUAAUAUAUUUGUCUAAGUGUUAGAAACAGAAAGAAGAAGAGAAGAGAAGACUUGGCCUGUGUGCAGCCAAGGGGCUGUUUCGGUCUGGGGCACCGGACAGUGUCCGGUGGUGCACCGGACAGUGUCCGGUGCACCAGGCUGCCUCGGCCGAAGAGGCCACUCUCGGGUUUUUCUCCGGCGACUUCGGCUAUAAUUCACCGGACUGUCCGGUGUGCACCGGACUGUCCGGUGAGCCAACGGUCGGCCGGGCCAACGGUCGGCCGCGCGAUCGGCGCGCGACACGUGGCCGAGCCAACGGUCGGAAGGAAGCACCGGACUGUCCGGUGUGCACCGGACAUGUCCGGUGCGCCAACGGUGCGCAGAUCUGACUCUGACAGCAACGGUCGGAUGCGCUGUUUAAGGAAACAAAUCGGGCACCGGACAGUGUCCGGUGUGCACCGGACUGUCCGGUGCGCCACGAGACAGAAGGCAAAAAUGGCCUUCCAGAUUUGUUCUCAACGGCUCCUAGCUGCCUUGGGGCUAUAAAAGGGACCCCUUGGCGCAUGGAGGAGUACACCAAGCAUUCCUACAACUCUUCUAAGCACCAAGACAUCAAUCUCACGCAUUCGUUUCAUUGUGAUAGCAUAUAGAGCUCUUGUGGAGUUGUGAACUCUUUGUGUUGCGUUGCGAGCUCUUGUUGCGACUUGUGUGCGUGUUGUUGCUCUGAUUUUCGAGUCUUGUGUGCGUUGCUCAUUCCCACCUUACUCCGUAUUUCUUUGUGAACUCAAUUGUAAGGGCGAGAGACUCCAAGUUGUGGAGAUUCCUCGCAAACGGGAAAAGAUCAAAGGAAAGAAAAACACCGUGGUAUUCAAGUUGAUCAUUGGAUCACUUGAGAGGAGUUGAGUGCAACUCUCGUCCGUUGGGACGCCACAACGUGGAGUAGGCAAGUUUUGUACUUGGCCGAACCACGGGAUAACCACCGUGUCAACUCUAUGAUUGCUUUCUUGUGGUUAUCGUGUUUUGAGUUCUCUCUAGCCACUUGGCCAUACUUGUGCUAACCCUUACAAGUUUUUGUGGCUUAAGUUUUGAACUUUUACAGGAUCACCUAUUCACCCCCCCCCUCUAGGUGCUCUCAAGUUCACCUUAGGGCCGUGAAAAGAAUCAUGCGAUAUUUAGUUUACACUCCUAAGUUUGGGCUUUGGUACCCUAAGGGAUCUUCCUUUGAUUUAAUUCAGUAUUCUGAUGCCGAUUAUGCCAGAUAUAAAAUUGAUAGAAAGAGCACAUUAGGGACUUGUCAGUUUUUGGGAAGAUCCCUGGUGUCAUGGGCUUCAAAGAAACAAAACUCUGUAGCUCUUUCCACCGCCGAAGCCGAGUACAUUGCCGCAGGCCAUUGUUGUGCGCAAUUACUUUGGAUGAGGCAAACCCUUAGUGACUAUGGCUACAAAUUGAGCAAAGUCCCUCUCCUAUGUGAUAAUGAGAGUGCAAUCCGCAUGGCGGAUAAUCCCGUUGAACACAGCCGCACUAAGCACAUAGACAUCCGAUAUCACUUUUUGAGAGAUCACCAACAAAAAGGGGAUAUCAAAAUAGCUUAUGUGAGCACCCACAAUCAAUUAGCUUAUAUCUUCACCAAGCCACUAGAUGAGAAAACCUUUAGCAAACUUAGGAAUGAGCUAAAUAUACUUGAUUGUCGGAACUUUGAUUGAAAUAUUGCACAUAUAGCUAAUUUAUAUAUUUUUGAUCAUGUCUCUUCCAUUUGGUACAAAUGCAUAUUUCUUAUUCUUCUUGUGCCAAGGAUAAGACUAAUAUGUUUUCGAGUAUAUCUCUAUGAUUAGUCUUAGAUUGAAAGGGAAAUGGAGUAUUCGACAAAGAUAAGGCUUCCACUCAAACUCUAACGGUAUCAUUUACCCUUCGUCGCUACUCCUACAACUCUCAAUGGUAAGAACCUUCAUUCGUAUUUGUUUUACCAUUUGGGAGAAAGUAUUAGGCCCCAAUGGGGGAGAAAAAUGCAAAAGGGCUCUCAAGUUCUCCGUUUUUGGCGCUUAAUGCCAAAGAAGGAGAAAGAAUUAAGCCCAAAGCAAAAAGACCGCACCACCACCAUUUCAAAAUUUUAUUUCCCAAAUAAGUAUUUCAAUUGGUACUUGAUCAAAAUGAAUUUUCAAUUGGUAUGUGAAGUGAAUUUCUUAAUUAGUAUCUCAUUUGAUAUUUCAACACUUUAGAUUAAGAAUGAAAGAAUUUCAAUUAGUAAAGAUUUCAAUUGAUAUAAUCUCACUUCUUAUCUAUUUCAAAACCCUCUUGAAAGCUAAGAGGAGAAUUUCAUUCAGGGGAGCUUUUAUUUAGUCAAAGGAAAAGCAUUUGAAAUAGGGGAAGAGAUUUCAAAUCUUAAAAAUGCUUCUUGCAAUCGUAUUCCUAUACCUUUGACUAUUUGCAAAAAGAUUUUGAAAAGAUUUUUACGAAAGAUUUGCAAAAAUAAACAUGUCGUGCAAAUGUGGUCCAAAAUGUUAAAUAAAGAAAAGCAAUCCAUUCAUUCCUAUUCAUAUGUUUAAAGUCUUUCAAUUGGUUUAAUUCCAAGUAACCUAUGCACAACUAUCUCAAUUGCAAACUAGUUACAUUUCUGCACUUUAUAUUUGCUUUAGUUCAGUGUUGGCAUCAAUCACCAAAAAAGGGGAGAUUGAAAGGAAAAUAGGGUUAACCAUUUCCUAUAAAUAGAUUUUGGUGGUUGACGACCAACACAAUCCAUGUGGACUAACUAUUUUAUCUAGAUAUCAUUUAUAUCAGGUGCAUAAGGUUCAACACAAACCAAGAAAAAAUUCAGUUAGGGGACACAAGUUAUUUGGAGCAAAAAGGACUUGAGUGUGCUGACUUGUGGCGUGGACAGUACAACUCUGAACCAGCCACUCUCGGGAAUUCUAGAGGAGCCUCCGCUAUAAUUCACCGGACUGUCCGGUGUGCCACCAGACCGUCCGAUGAGCCAGUGGAGCAACGGCUCCCUGCGCGCCAACGGUCGACUGUGCAGAGUGAACAGUGAUGAACAAUGCCGCGCAGAAGUCAGAGGGCACCGGACCGUCCGGUGCAGCUAGAAGACAAACGUCUCCAACGGUCAACUGCUCCAAACCCUAACGGUUGCGCUGACGUGGCGCGCACCGAACAAUGCACAAUGACAGUCCGGUGGUGCACCGGACUGUCCGGUGCGCCCAUCGCCAGCAGCCUUCACCAACGACUAUGGAAGUGGUUAGGGGCUAUAAAUACCCCCCAACCACCUCAUUCUUAUCCAUCCAAGCCUUCUGAAAUCUUCAUUCAUUUCAAGAGCAAAAGCCCAACACUCCAAGACACAAUCAAAGCAAUCAAUCCACUCAAAGUCCAAAAAAUCAACUCUAGUACAUUAGGGCUUGUGAGAGGAUCAAUUGUGAUAUUUUGUUGCUCUUGUUACUUGGAUUGGCCUUUUCUUUUUCCUUCUUAUUCUUAACAAAAUUGUAAUCGAAGCAAGAGACACCUAAGUGUGUGGUGGUCCUUGCGGGGUCUAAGUGACCCAAGAGAUUACGGAAAAGGCUCACUCGGUCUAAGUGACCGUUUGAGAGAGAGAAAGGGUUGAAAUAGACCCGGUCUUUGUGACCUCCUCAACGGGGACUAGGUUCUUCAGAACCGAACCUCGGUAAAACAAAUCAUCGUGUUCACUCGCUUUGAUUCUCGUUUGAUUUGUUUUCCCUCUCUAACGUUUCCUUGCUAGUAUUGAUUUGAGUUGGCUCCCAUACGUCAUCUGCAUUCGUUGAGCAACACGUAGCAAGAGAAACAUUCUUUCGACUUAAAUUUAAUUCUAACGCUAACCCCGACCUUUAGUGUGAGGUUAAAUUUGAUAAAUUUUAGGUUUCGCCUACUCACCCCCUCUAGGCGACUUUCAGCCUUCACCAAACUGUUGUCGAGGGUCUUACCUGCUCCUCUAGAAACCACAAAAUGCUCGUUGUCUACGUGAUACAAGCAUGCAUUCAAUACACUUGGAGAAAGGUAAAAGAACAAUACACCAAGCAUAUGCACAAAGAAACUCAUAGUAUAGCAAAAGUUGUGGCAAUAACUGUGGAUUUAACCAGCUUUGGGUGAAUCAAUGCACAUACUCCCUUUUCAAUGUGUUAGUUAUGAAGCAAAAAUAGGAUUCUAGGCUUUAUUUCCAUCUAUAAAGUAAACCCUACAUUUGGAUGAAUUUCUAGAAAUCAUGGUUAAAAUUCCCAGUUUAAAACAAAAUUUUAUUAUCUACCGAUUUCAUGACUUAAAAUCAAUUUAUAGUUUAAUAGACAUUAUGUAAAUAAAAUUAUUUGCUUAUGUUACUAGCAACUAGGAUUUGCUAUUUUUCCGAGCUAGGACAUAAGAUAGAGUUUUCUAACCCUAAGCCACACUAAUACAACCCUUACUACUUCAAUUAGAUUAGCAAUCCUUUAUUAGUUGGAACAUUGAAACAAGAGAAUAAUAUGCUACUGACAUGUAGCCAAAAUUAUAAUGAUGAUAAUGCAACUUGAACCAUUUAAUUCAGAGUUUUUAUGCAAAAGUUAUAAGGUUUCAAAGUUUUAGGGACCAAAACAUAUAAUUAACUACAGAUUACAAGGGCUAGCAGGGAAUUUUUUGUGACUCAGAGAACAAACACGCCAAUUUCAGAAAGCUCAAGGGCCUCAGUGCAAAACCUCGGGCACAAGCAGGACACGUGGCGGCGGCUAAGGCUAUCCACCUUGGGUACGAUGCUGGAGUGUGGGUUAGUUAGAAAGACUUAUAAGGUUCUUUUUGCAAAAUGGACGAUGCUGGAAACUAGGGAAACAAUGCUUUAUAGUAGUAAAGAAAUGAUAUCUUGACACACUUGUGAGCCUUAUUGCUUGUGUUGUUAUUUUAGUCACUAAAACCAUACCAGUUAAGCUAUAUGAUCCAUAUUCCUUAUAAAAAUAUGGCAACUCCCAAUAAAGUAAAAAAAAUUACACAUGCAACUAGAUAUACUACUAAUGUUAUUCUUUUAACUACACAUCAGUUUCGAAUUUUAUAUUAUACUCCCCGUGUCCCUAAAUAAAAUUUGUUUUUACCUUUUUAGUUGGUUUUUACAGUAAUUAAUGUAAUUGUUUUAUAUAUAUGUCUAGAUUUAUCAUAAUCAUUCAUUUGAACAUAAACAUAAAAAUCAAGAGCUAAAACAACUAAUAUUUUAGGACGGAGGGAAUAUAUUUGAUAGGUCAAAUAAUAUUAUUUAAAAAACAUAUUAACUACAAAGGUAUGGAUCUUAUUGAAUACACUAUAACUUAUUUUGAUGUUAGCUUUGUCUCCAUUCAACGGUGUAAACCAUCUCAAAUUUUAUCUAAGGAUUUAUAUCGAACAUUUGGAUUUAUCAACCAUCUCAAACUAAAAAGUUGCCAAAUACAAAGGUUUACAUCUUUUUAAAGUCUAGAAAUUUUACAUAAAGUUUAUCUCUUGAUUCAUUCUCGACAGUAGCGAAGCUAGCAAAUAUUUGUAUCGUGGUCAUCAGUAUUAUCUACUGGAUCUGCACUAUAGAACUAUUGUUAUUAACACCGUUUUUCCAUUAGAGAUUCAGAAAAUUACCGGCAUCAGCUGACCCCAAAAAAUGGCCUGGCUCCGCCCCUGAUUCUCGAAGAUGAAAUGUGAUGAUGUUUUUUUUAAACAUACCGUCAUUAGCGGUUCAAGCUGACAUGUUAAAGCCAUGAACCAGCUGUGUUAGUUAACGGCCUAUCACUAUAUAUAGGUUAUAUUAUCACCGUCGAUUGAAGUCACAUGAACAACGGUAGCCACAUGAACAACCGGUAGCCAUAGCCUAACAUUGUUGCUUCCUGUAGUGGUAUAUCCUUUCAGGCAUGUCGAAGAUGUUGCAACAAAAUAGAGUUAUAAAAAACGAAGGAGAUAGAAGAUACACUAUCCACGUACUCAUGCACAUCUGCAACUUCUGAAUUCUCUCAUCAAAUGGAUGAGCUAGCCAUGCAUUCCAUUCAGGGAACAAUUAAUACAUCAGGAAACAAUACACACAACACUUUAUUUGAUCUCGAUCGCAAAUAUAGGACCUCCAACUUGGACGCACCACCCUGAGAGAUGAUAUCCCGUCUAAUCUAUCCCUCCUAAUUCCGGCCGACCAGAUAGGGCUUCCAGAGUGCCAGGUGACGAGAGUGCAUAUCCUGGCAGAUAAGUCCACGUGGCAAAAGAUUAGGAUGAGCAUUCCAAAGCCAAAUUACUUCAGCAUCAGAUAGGACACAGCUAGCUAGCAGCCAUAUGCAUGCAUGAAUCCAUGCAUCCACAUCCACAGAGCCGGUCGAGAGGGCGGCUGUCAUUCUUGCAACUAACUGUUUGUGAUGACACAAUCCCAGAAAGCCUGCCCCCCCACCCCAAUUAUUUCGAUAAGGACACCUUCUUUUCUGGCCAAAUCAUGAUAGAGAAAAAGGGGUGAAAAGAGAGAGAGAGAGAGAGGAAACAUUGCCUGCUAAAACAGCAAGCAGAGAGCCUUACAUCUGUGGAGCCAGCAGAUACAUCACACGUGGACACACUGUGUGCAGUGUGCACCAAAUAAUACGGUGGUAUCUCUUCUAUUUGACCUGGGUACGUUAAAUCAUGGGACCUAUCUUCAUCAAGCUAACAGAAAACAUAAAAAAGCAGAGGCAAUAAAUAGAGCGCGGCAGCCUCAUCUCUCUCUCUCUCUUGAGCGCGGCUGCUUUAGCUGUGAUGAGGACAAUUCUUAUCUCCAUCGCUGUUGCGCAGCAGUGCGCGCUUAGGAGGACACUAAAGCCAGCUGGGAACGAUGAUUUCAGCCAGCAGCCUGGGUGUCGAUUGCAUGGGCCAUCCAUGCAUCCCCACCAAACUAAAGCUGUGGCUCCUCUGAUUUUUUAUUUUUUUUAAAAAAAAAGACGCAACGAUAGGUUUCCAUGGGGGGCAAACUUGGCGCGUGGUGUGGUGGCAAGAUGUGACGUCACUCAUGCACUGACGAACAAUCCAGUAAUUUUUUCAUUAAAAAAUUUGGUUGAUUGCAAUGGCAGGCUUUUUUCCCUUUUUUCCUCACGCAGGGUUUACAUUGCACGGAACUACAAUUUUUCACGUAAGUAUUGGUGUAAGUAUUGGUGGUAAUACCUAUUGCCUUGUGAUAGUUGAUGAUUAUUCUAGAUUCACAUGCGUAUUCUUUCUUUAUUAUAAAUCCGAUGUAUUUGAGAAAUUCAAAUCAUUUCCUGUCUUCGAACAAAAUCAAUUUGGAAAUGAUAUCAAGAAAGUAAGAUGUGAUAAAGGGUUGGAAUUUCAAAAAUGCAAGACUUGAUGAUUAUUGUGAUGACAAGUGAAUUAAGCAUUAUUUUUUUUCUUCCAAAUAUACACCAAAACAAAAUGGUAUUAUUCAAAGGAAGAAUAUGACAUUAAUUGAUAUGGCUAUGUCUAUGCUCGCAGAAUAUAAUAAUGUGUCGGAUUCUUUUUGAUCCGAAGCUAUCAAUACUGCUUGUCAUGCAUCAAAUAGAUUAUAUUAUCAUAACUCUUGAAAAAGACCCCUUAUGAGUAACUUAUUGGAAGAACGCCAAAUAUUUUUUAUUUUCGGGGUUUCUUUUUUAAAUGUUAUACCUUGAGAAAAAAAAGUCGCUGUGGGAGAUAGAUAUCUCGUGGGUCACUAAAGCACAGAUACACUCCAUGGACCGCCAGAGAGGCCCCCAAUAACUCAUAUGGUAGGGCGCAUGAUUGGUCUUAAAGCGGGACGUAGGAGCCGACUAAAAUGACGACACAAUGAAUACUGCAGAUGUGUACUGGAGGCGCGCGUGUCUCACUAAGGGAUCACCUUGCCUAUCUUGCGGAAGGAUUACCUGAGCUCUAAAGACGCGUCCCUCACGCGGCCAGGCACCAGAUCACUCGAAUGAUAACACGGAGAAGGCAACCAAGCACCAGAAGAGUAGUCAUACUUGUAGAAACAGAAAGUGGACUCAAGAGAGCUCAAUAAUCUGUAAGGGGAUAUCUCUCAAGUCGGCUAUAUAAGGCUGCAGAAGUACCCCUACCAAAACUCUCUCGCUGACCAUUAGAUUGAUAGGGGACGUCAUCUUCCACCUCCUGCAAACCACCUGUAAUUUGCGAACUCAAGGCAAUUCAAUACUCAGCACCACACAUGACGUAGGGUAUUACGCAUUCACGCGGCUUGAACAUGUAUAAACUUUCUAUGUUCCGACGUGCCCCCGCACGUACCAUCGAGCAACAAUCGAUGUCAUUGUCCUCCCAAAAGCACUGUGUGGGCUACCCCAUAGUGCGCAGUCGGGACUAAACACCGACAGCUGGCGCGACAUGUAGGGGGUGCACCGUCUAUUCAUGAUAGCUCCAUGGAGGGGUAUUUAUAGCCUCCCCCACACUUCUAGCCGUUGGAUAGAAAGUAGUAGCUUUCUAUCGAUGGGCAUACCUGACAGUCUGGCGCACACGAGACAUACACUGUUCAUUGUCCGGUGCCCUGCCACGUCAGCCGACCAUUGGGGUCUGUAGCAGUCGAUGAUCGUUGGAUUCGACCGUUAACCAGACUGUCCGGUGCACACCAGACAGUCCGGUGCUACAGCCUGAGAGUGCCCAUUGUGGACCUCUCUGCGCAGACUGUCUAGGUGCCCCACCGGACAGUCCGGUGCACACCUGACCGGACAGGUACUGUGCAUUGUCCGUUGCGCCACCAGGGCGCUGGCUGACUGCCCACUUCAUGGAUUUCUUCGCUGAUUCUUGAGUCUUGGACUUCUAAGCUCUUUUUAUGUCUUCAUUUGAUUUGUUGCAUCCUCAGUGCCUUAGUCCAAUCCUCUUCGCAUCAUGUGAACUACAAGCAUAAACACUAGCAAACAUAUUAGUCCACAAGUUAUGUUGAUCAUCAAACACCAAAACAUAUUGAGCCAAAUGGCCCGGGGUCCAUUUUCCUUACAGCUAGAACAAGAGACCGAGAGACGAAGUGCACGCCACUAAGUCGCCAGCAACCCUAGCUCAUGGCGACAACGUGCGAACACUAGAUGAAAUUCUCGAUGGGCAGUGUCCGUACCACAAGGAGAUGUGUCUCUCCCUGCGCAACUGCCGGGACUUCAAGAACUCGAUCGGCCAUGGCCGAUUGUUCUAGCUGCUCCUAUCGCCACCACCAUGAGGGGAUCAAGCAUGUACUCAGCAGCAACCUCAUCAGCAGGGAGGGGAAGGUAGGGCUUUUCCUCGCAUUGACAGAGAAGUCAAUGUUAUAUUCGGGGGCCAUGGCUCUAAGGAGAACAAGAGGAAGUAGAAGCUGACUAACCACCAAGUCCUGGUGGCCACUCACAAUGCACCGACGCCAUACCGGUGGUCGGAGCACCCGAUCACCUUCAGUCGAGCCGAUCCGUGGCUCAACUUUGAUCACCUAGGAAAGUACCCUCUGCUUGUUGAUCUCAGGAUCUAAUAAAGCCUGGUCAAGAAGGUGCUAGUGGACGGUGGCAGUAGCACCAAUGUCACCUUUUCUAGAACACUCCAAGCUCUCAGGAUCAUGACCGCAGACCUCAUCGAGUUGAACACCCCUUCUUCGGCAUCGUCCCGACCGAAGGAGAAUACUGAAAGUCGCCUAUAGGGGAUGAAUAGGCGUAAUCUGAAAUUUACAACUUUAAACACACACUACAAGACAGGGUUAGCGUUAGAACUUAAAUCAAGUUCGGGAGAGAGGGGAAAACAAAUCAAAUGGAAAUCAAGCGAAUGAACAUGGUGAUUUGUUUUACCAAGGUUCGGCUCCAAAGAACCUAAUCCCCGUUGAGGUGGUCACAAAGACCGGGUCUCUUUCAACCCUUUCCCUCUCUCAAACGGUCACUUAGACCGAGUGAGCUUUCUCCUUUAUCAAAUGGGUCACUUAGACCCCGCAAGGACCACCACACACUUAGGUGUCUCUUGCUUUGAUUACAAGUCACUUGGGAACAAGAAUGAGGAAGGAAGAAAGCGAUCCAAGCAACAAGAGAGCAAAAGAACAUGAACACACACUCUCUCAAGUCACUAGGUGGUUGGAAUGAAUUUGGGACUUGGAGAGGCUUUUGAUCUUUUGAUUUGUGUCUAGGAGUGAAUGCACUAGCUCUUGUAUUGAAUGAAAAACUUUAGAAGACUUGGACGCUUGGAGUUGUGGUGGUUGGGGGGGUAUUUAUAGCCCUCAACCACCAAGAAGCCGUUGGGGAAGGCUGCUGGCGAUGGGCACACCGGACUGUCUGUGCGCCACCGGACAGGUCAUGUUCACUGUCGGGUGCGCCGCCACGUCACCCAACCGUUAGGGUUCGGAGCUCGGUCGACCGGUGGAGCUUUGUCUUCUUGCGGCACCGGACAGUCCGGUGCCCCUCUGACUUUCUACUCUGACUUAUGCGUUGCACUGUAGCUGCACUGUUCACCUUUGCAAAGUCAACUGUUGCGCGAGUUAGCCAUUGCUCCAGUGGCACACCGGACAGUCCGGUGAAUUAUAGCAGAGUGCGCCUGCUGAAACCCGAGAGUGGCUGGUUGGACUCAGUACGGUCCUGGUGCACCGGACACUGUCCGUUGCGCCAGACCACAUCCCACUUGGUUUCUUUUGCUCCUUUGAAUUUGACCCCUAACUUGAAUAUUUAUUGGUUUUUGUUGAACCUUUUUGCACCUGUAGAACAUGUAUUCUAGAGCAAACUAGUUAGUCCAUAUAUUUGUGUUGAGCAUUCAACCACCAAAAUUAAUUGUGGGAAAAGGUUAACCCUAUUUCCCUUUCAAUCUCCCCCUUUUUGGUGAUUGAUGCCAACACAAACCAAAGCAAAUAUAUAAAGUGCAGAAAUGAACUAGUUUGCAUAAGGUAAGUGCAUAGGUUACAUGGAAUUAAACCAAUUGAUAAUCUUACUAGAUAUGAAUGGAUUGCUUUCUUCUAUUUAACAUUUUGGACCACAUUUGCACCACUUGUUUUGUUUUUGCAAAUCCUUUUGGAAAAUCUUUUCAAAGUCUUUUUGCAAAUAGUCAAAGGUAUAUGAAUAAGAUUGCAAGAAGCAUUUUCAAGUUUUGAAAUUUCUCCCCUGUUUCAAAUGCUUUUCCUUUGACUAAAUAAAGCUCCCCCUGAAUGAAAUUCUCCUCUUAGUUUUCAAGAGGGUUUUAAUAGAUACCAAUUUUGAAAAUUUAUCUUUACAUGUACCAAUUGAAGAAGUUGCCAUUACAAGAUACCAAUUGAAGUUUAAUACCAAUUGAGAUUUUGCUUUCUCAAGAUAAGGAUAUCAAUUGAUAUAUUGUCAUGGCAUAGAUACCAAUGAAAAAUAUCAAUUAAACCUUUAUUUUGAAAAUUUUGAAAUUGGUGGUGCGGUCCUUUUGCUUUGGGCUUAAUAUUUUCUCCCCCUUUGGAAUUAAUCGCCAAAAACGGAGAUAUUGAGAGCCCUUCAUAUUUUCUCCCCAUUGGUACAAGUAAAUAAUAGUGAAGGAUUAUACCAAUUUAGAGUGAGCAGAGUAGCGACGAAGGGUAAACGAUACCGUUAGAGUGGAGUGGAAGCCUUGUCUUCGUUGAAUACUCCAUUUCCCUUUCAAUCUACGACAUAGUAUAGAAAUACACUUGAAAACACAUUAGUCGUAGCCUUAGUACAUAAGAAAUAUGCAUUCGUACCAAAUGAAAGAGACAUGAUCAAAGGUAUAUAAAUGAGCUAUGUGUGCAAUGUUUCAAUCAAAAUUCCGAGAAUCAAGUAUAUUUAGCCCAUUCCUAAGUUUGCUAAAGGUUGUAUCAUCUAGUGGCUUGGUAAAGAUAUCGGCUAAUUGAUCUUUGGUGUUAACAUAAAUAACCUAUUUCGAUAUCCCCCCUUUGUUGGUGAUCCCUCAGAAAGUGAUACCGAAUGUCUAUGUUCUUAGUAUGGCUUUGUUCAACGGGAUUAUCCGCCAUGCGGAUUGCACUCUCAUUAUCACAUAGGAGAGGAACUUUGCUCAAUUUGUAGCCAUAGUCCCUAAGGGUUUGCCUCAUCCAAAGUAAUUGUGCACAACAAUGUCCUGCGGCAAUGUACUCGGCUUUGGCGGUGGAAAGAGCUACUGAGUUUUGUUUCUUUCAAGCCCAUGACACCAGGGAUCUUCCCAGAAACUGACAAGUCCAUGAUGUGCUCUUUCUAUCAAUUUUACACCCUGCCCAAUCGGCAUCGAAAUAUCCUAUUAAAUCAAAAUUGGAUCCCUUGGGGUACCAAAGCCCAAACUUAGGAGUAUAAACUAAAUAUCUCAUGAUUCUCUUCAUGGCCCUAAGGUGAACUUCCUUAGGAUCGGCUUGGAACCUUGCACACAUGCAUACGAAAAGCAUAAUAUCUGGUCGAGAUGCACAUAAGUAGAGUAAAGAUCCUAUCAUUGACCGGUAUACCUUUUGAUCUACGGAUUUACCUCCCGUAUCGAGGUCGAGAUGUCCAUUGGUUCCCAUGGGUGUCUUGAUGGGUUUGCCAUCCUUCAUCCCAAACUUCUUGAGUAUGUCUUUAAUGUACUUUGUUUGACAGAUGAAGGUGCCCUCUUGGAGUUGUUUGAUUUGAAAUCCAAGGAAAUACUUCAACUCCCCCAUCAUAGACAUCUCGAAUUUUUGUAUCAUGAUCCUACUAAACUCUUCACAAGUUGAUUUGUUAGUAGACCCAAAUAUGAUAUCAUCAACAUAAAUUUGGCAUACAAACAAAUCUUUUGCAACAGUUUUAGUAAAGAGUGUAGGAUCGGCUUUACCGACUUUGAAGCCAUUAGUGAUAAGAAAGUCUCGCAGGCAUUCAUACCAUGCUCUUGGGACUUGCUUGAGCCCAUAAAGCGCCUUUGAGAGUUUGUAAACAUGGUUAGGGUACUCACUAUCUUCAAAGCCGAGAGGUUGCUCAACAUAGACUUCUUCCUUAAUUGGUCCAUUGAGGAAGGCACUUUUCACGUCCAUUUGAUAAAGCUUAAAGCCAUGGUAAGUAGCAUAGGCAAGUAAUAUUCGAAUUGACUCAAGCCUAGCUACGGGUGCAUAAGUUUCAUCAAAGUCCAAACCUUUGACUUGUGAAUAUCCUUUGGCCACAAGUCAGGCUUUGUUUCUUGUCACCACACCAUGCUCAUCUUGCUUAUUGAGGAAUACCCAUUUGGUACCUACAACAUUUUGAUUAGGACGUGGAACUAAAUGACAUACCUCAUUCCUCGUGAAGUUGUUGAGUUCCUCUUGCAUUGCUAGCACCCAAUCCGGAUCUCUUAGUGCAUCCUCUAUCCUGUAAGGCUCAAUAGAGGACACAAAAGAGUAAUGUUCACAGAAAUGUGCAACUCGAGAUCUAGUGGUUACCCCCUUAUGAAUAUCACCAAGGAUGGAGUUGACGGGGUGAUCUCUUUGAAUUGCUUGGUGGACUCUUGGGUGUGGCGGUCUUUGACCCUGUAUUUCUUGAUCAUCUUCCUUGUCUUCAUUAACUUCAUCUCCCCCUUGAUCAUUGUCCUCCUCUUGAGGUGGCUCAUCCUCCUAACCUUCAUCACCUUGAGCCUGUUCCUCAUCUUGAGUUGGUGGGGAUGGUUGCAUGGAAUAUGAUGGUUGAUCUUGUGCUUAUGUGGGCUCUUCGGAUUCCUUAGGACACACAUCCCCAAUGGACAUGUUCCUUAGCACGACGCACGAAGCCUCUUCAUCAUCUAGUUCAUCAAGAUCAACUUGCUCCACUUGAGAGCCAUUAGUCUCAUCAAACACAAUGUCACAAGAAACUUCAACUAAUCUAGUGGAUUAGUUGAAGAAUCUAUAUGUCCUUGUGUUUGAGUCAUAACAAAGUAAAAAGCCUUCUACAGCCUUAGGAGUAAAUUUAGAUUUUCUACCUCUUUUAAUAAGCAUAAAACAUUUGCUACCAAAGACUCUAAAAUAUGAAACAUUGGGCUUUUUACCGGUGAGGAGUUCAUAUGAUGUCUUCUUGAGGAUUCGGUGAAGGUAGAGCCGGUUGAUGGAGUAGCAAGGAGUGUUGAUUUCUUCCGCCCAAAAUCGGUUCGGUGUCUUAUAUUCAUCAAGCAUGGUCCUUGCCAUGUCCAGUAGAGUUCUAUUCUUCCUCUCCACUACACCAUUUUGUUGAGGCAUGUAGGGAGAAGAGAACUCAUGCUUGAUGCCCUCAUCCUCAAGAAAACCUUGAAUUUGAGAAUUCUUGAACUUCGUCCCAUUAUCGCUUCUUAUCUCUUUUAUCCUUAAUCCAAACUCGUUUUGAGCUCAUCUUAAGAAUCCCUUUAAGGUCUCUUGGGUUUGUGAUUUUUCCUGAAAAAAGAAUACCCAAUUGAAGCGAGAAUAAUCAUCCACAAUAACAAGACAUUACUUACUCCCGCUGAUGCUUAUGUAAGCUAUCGGGCCGAAUAAAUCCAUGUGGAGUAAUUCGAGCGGCCUGUCAGCUGUCAUGAUUUUCUUGUGUGGAUGAUGGGCACCAACUUGCUUUCCUGCUUGGCAUGCGCUACAAACCAUGUCUUUCUCAAAAUGAACAUUGGUUAGUCCCAAAAUGUGCUCUCCCUUUAGAAGCUUGUGAAGAUUCUUCAUCCCAACAUGGGCAAGUCGGCGAUUUCAGAGCCAACCCAUAUUAGUCUUAGCAAUUAAGCAAGUGUUGAGUUCAGCAUUGUUCUCAUUAAAAUCAACUAAAUAUAGCUGACCUUCUAACAUUCCCUUAAAUGCUAUUGAAUCAUCACUUCUUCUAAAGACAGUAACACCUAUAUCAGUAAAAAGACAGUUGUAGCCCAUUGUUGGGGACUUGUUCUUAAAUGUUAUGAAUUAAGAACAAGGCAACACAAAAAUGGGUUAUUGGUUAAUGCCCUUCGUCCUUCGAAGCAUUAUUUCCCUUAGGAUAUAACGAUCUUCGGACGAAGGCCAUGAAUGACGUACCUUCAUCAUCACAGUACAUAUUGAUGAAAGACGAAGCAUAUGGAACAUGAUAAAUAAGAUGAAUAAUUAUAUGACAUUAUUUAUAUAUCUUUUCUAUAUUAUCAUGAAUGAAUAAGAACAACAUUGAAUUACAUUGUACCUUCGGCUUGACAGAAGGCAAAAGUACAAGCGUGACACACGAGCGGGUGCAAGUCAGCGUGAACAGUACGGUGGUACUGUUCAUCUAUUUAUAGGCACAGGGCGCAGCCUGUGUAAAAUUACAUUCAUGCCCUUUAUGUUUACUAUUAUCUUAAGGACAAUCCACUGAGGAUUAGAUAGCCUUUUUCCCUUUUAAGUCGGUUUUUCUUUCUGCCGUUGAGCCGAAGCACCCUUGCGCGUAGCUUCGGAACUGCAUCAACCUUCAUCUUGACCAUGCUUUCCAUAUCAUGUAUAGUUUUAUUCCGAGUCCGAAGGUACCUGCAUGUAUAUUACACUUGGAAAACAUUGUUAAAUCAUGUUUUUGAGGACCUUCGGAAGACGAAGGCCCCCAACAGUAGCCCCUCGCAGUAUUAAUUUGUUAUAAUAACGAAUUCAGACUGCGACAUGAACGAAGACCUUAAUCCGAAGGUCCAAAAAAACACCUUCCCUUUGCUAGAAUAGCAAUAGUCAAUAACAAAUGGGGCCCUCCAAUUUGUAACGCACUGGGCAUAUAAAUAUGAAUCCAUGCCGGCAGCAUUCUACACGCCAUUUCUGCCACUUGCAAUAUUUUCUCAAACUUUUAUUUCUUGCUCACUAGCUCUCGCUAGAUUUUUCAAUCUUUUUGAGCUUCGGCUUAAAGACGCAUUUUCAUCGUGUCUGGGAAAAAAUGACUGAGGAGACGAAGCUGACUGUGGAAGCGAAGGUAGCUGAAGAAACGAAGUUGUUUGAAGAAAAGAAUGCUGUGAAUCCUUAUAUUGCUGGAUUUAUUGAGUCCAUGUCAAAAACAAACACAGAGAAGAUUACUAAAGAGAUACUAGAAGGUUUGUCUGAAGACACUGGUGACAACGAUAGCUAUGGUGUGGAAAGUGGGGAUGAAGAUUCUGAAGAUCGGCCCUGGCGGCCAAGCCACGCUGUCUUCGGAAAAUCGACCAUUAAACAGAGUCAUCUUGAGAACAUGAGAGGAAGAUACUUUCGGGACAUGUCUAUCGUGAGGGCUGGCGGAGACAACAACGUCCCUGCCCCUGAAGAAAACGAAGUUGUCAUCUACCGAAGCUUUUUUAAGGCUGGACUUCGGUUUCCUCUAAGCAAGUUUGUAGUUGAAGUGCUGAAGAUGUACCAGAUCUUCCUUCAUCAGAUCACCCCCGAAGCUAUUAUGAGAAUGGGGAUUUUUGUCUGGGCUGUAAGGAGUUAGGGGCUAGAGCCAAGCGCAAAGUGUUUCUGCAAUAUGCACGAGCUCUUAUAUGAGACGAAGGCUACUGGCAAAGAACAGUAUCAUAACAACUUCGGUUGUUAUGGAUUUAUUGCUCGCCCUAACGCAAGCCACCUGGUGCCAACAUUUCAGAAGAGAUGGCCCGGGGCCUGGAUGGAAGAGUGGUUUUAUGUGAAGAAUGAUUUAAAGGCAAGGGAAGAUAUUAAAGAAGUCAUCAUGCGUCCCAUCUGGUCCCGCUUCGGCCUUCGAAGGCCGAAGGUGGAAAUUGAUGAUACUGUCAAAGCAUGCCAGAGGGCCUUCAGCACUGUUUGCUCCUUCAUUGGCACAAGAGAUUUGAUUCAAGAACAUAUAGCCUUCAAGGUAUGGACGUUUGUGGAAAGCUGGGAAAUGCCGAAGGAGACCACCACUGACUCUAGUGAUAGUGGUCUGGUCUGGCUGAAGUAUACCUUCAGGUUUAGGGAGAAAUUUGAUGAGCCGAACGACGAUUGGCUAAAGUGCAUCGAAGCUACCAGUGAUGAGCUGCUUGGAGCAUACUCCAAGGCUAAAGAUAAUGCUCUGUCCGCAGCCUUCGGAGGUCGAGGAAAGAAAAGACUGAAUAGACUUUUCGAUGUGAUAGGCUUCAUAUACCCUGAUUAUCGCUACCCACUGCGAGGGCAAGAGAAAAAGAGGAAAAUUGCUGCUUCGGUCACCCUAGCUGAGCCUGUGCCGAAGAGUAAAAAGGUGAAGGUUCUGACCCACCGGCCACGUUAUAUUGAACCGGCUGUAGUGCCUGAAUUCGGCGCAGGGUCCUCCUCAUCAGCCGAAGCAAUAGAAACUGCUUCAAUUGCACAGAGCACUAAAGAGGCGACCGUAACGCCGAAGAUACCCAUAGCCGAGUCAAUCGAGGCUAAAGUUGAUAAGGUUGAAAAGGCAAAAGUUGAAGAGAUAAUAAAGGUGCCAAAAAUUCUGAGCCCUCCGACGGAAGCGAAACUACCAAAGGUGCAGAAAACUUAUGCGGCAACUCCCAAGAGGAGGAGGAUGGCCAACGUGCUAGAUGUUGUCCUGGAAACUACGAAGGUCUUGAGCCCUGCAACUGCAAAGAAAGUUGCCAAAGCUACAAAAACGCAGGUCGAAGCCAAAACCGGGCAAGCAGAAACCGAAACUGCGCAAGUUCAAAUUGAAUCAGAAGCUGGGCCUUCAUUGCCAUCGAGACGGAGCCAGUUGCUCCUGAGGAAAAAGCGACAGAGCAGAUUGCACCUGAGAAAAUCGAAGCUGCUGCUCCCGAAGCUUCGAACAAAGGCACUAAUUAUAUCCUUCGACAUGCUUCGGGAAAGGAAUUAUCGCAAGAAGAAAUACUAGAAGCCGAACACUAUGCCCAAAAAUUAAAAUAUCCGAAGGGGGCGUUAGUGUUCAAUGGUAGUAAUGAAGAAGAUUUUCUGUACUGUAUCCCGGAUAACAAAGAAAUAUCCGUUUGCCGGGAGAUAGGUAAGAGCAUCGGAUUCCCGAAGCUAGAAGACGGCCUAUCGAUUUUAUCGAAGGAUGAACUUGCUGACCGCCUAGCAUACAAUAGUAUAAAGGUAUAAAAAUUUACUUUUAAGUUGGAAACUUAGCAUAUUUCAUUGCCAUACUUAACUCUUUCUUCUUAUUUUCAGGGCUUAAUUCUUAGUAAUGCCCUGAGGGCACAAAAGAAUAUUAAAGACGAAGGUUAUACAAUGGCUCUGAAUAACCUUCGUUCAUAAGUUAUUGAAUUAAGAAACGAAGGUCUGGAAAAGGACAAAAUCUUAAUUUCAUUGGUAAAUAAAGUAAAGGAAGACGAGGCUAACUAUAAAGCUCAGGCCGAAGCCCAGAAAACAGAAAUUGAAGAUCUUCAGAGGCAGCUGGCCGAAGCUAAGGAAAAAUGCGCAGUCGCACAAACUAAUCAAGAAAUCAGCGAAUAUUGGAAAAAUUAUCUAGAGAAAAAUGUUGCAGAACUUCGCACAUCCAAGGAAAGGUGUUUUGAAAAAUCCUUGGAUUGUGUGAAGAAAAUAAAAGUUAGUUUCGCCAAAGUAGGUGCCUAUUCUACUGAAGAAAACUUCAUACGAGGCGACACCGAAGGCGUUAUUGAAUGGAUAAGUGGAGAGGCCGAGACCUUCAAAGAAAUUUUGAGUGAUCGCGGGGAUGUUUGUGUGUUUUCCGGUGCGCGGGGAAUUUCAGCUAUCUUGGAGAAGGCAGGAUGUGAUCACAUCAAGACCAUGGCCUAGGCCGAAGCUGCCUUCUCCGUAGAUAAUACGAAGGAUCCUUCAGCUGAAGCGACCUUGGUGGGCGGUAAAUUUUAUAAUGAUGUCUGGGUGAAUGGUGACCGAGAGAUGGCUCACGAAAUUAUAAAGAAAAGUGAAAAGGAUACCCACGACGCCUGAGCAGAAGCAAGGCGAACUGAAGAAGCUACAGAGCGUGAAAAACGUAUAGGUAUUGCUUUUUGGCUUUUAGCUUCGGCAUUUAUUUUUGUGGCUUCAGACUGAUUAACUUUUCCUACUUUAGCUGAAUUAUCUCCGUCACCAGAACCGUUCGAUCCCCUGGCAGAUCCAGAAAUGAAGGAAGCGCUAGACAUUAUAAACAUGGCUGAAUCCAUUGUUGAUGAAGUUGUUAAUAAAUUACUGCACGAAGUUGCAGAGAAAGUCCUUAAAGAGGAAUAACACUUAUUGUAAAAACAUUUUGAGAUGGUCAAUGUAUGAGACACUAGAAUGGACAUUGUACUUUUAUUGUAACAAGACUGUAAUAUUUGAUGUAGCUUUGAAUCGAAUAUGUAAAUUAUUGUAAUUCAUUUCUUUGCGAUGCAUGAAAUUUACACACAUAUCGUUUUUUAGCCUUCGGCGAAAAAACACCUUCCCUUCUUUUCAUGCUUCGUAAAGAAAAACAUACAUGCUUUAUAGAGAUCCUUUCUUGUGACAAGGCUGAUAAAACUGAAUUUCCCGAAACUUACUUCGUGCCUUAGCACCUUUUCAUUUUGACGAAGAGUUUUGCUGAAGAUCAGCUUCGUAUUCAAUUCAUGUCAUUGAAGCAAUAUGAUGUAUGAUGUGAUGUUAUGUGGAAUGAUGUGAUGAUAUGAUGCAAAAUGAUGAGGAUGCCAAAGACACACACCCACACUGGAACACACAAGCUCUGCAUCCCCUUAGGAACGACUUUGGAGCCUUUUUCACCGUUUAUUUUUCGGUGUUUACCAUUUAUUUUUCAGUGUAAGUUCUGCAUCCCCAAAGGAACGACUUUUGAACUUCUUCGCCUUCUAUUUCGGCGAUAUAAGUUCUGCAUCCCCUUAGGAAUGACUUUUGAACUUCUUCGCCUUAUAUUUCGGCGGUAUUUGGCUCUACAUUCCCUUUGGAACGACUUUUGAGCAAAAAACUUACGUUGUGCUCCCUUAGGAACGACUUUUUGUAGCUUCGUAAUUUUAGCUCUGCAUUCCCUUAGGAAUGACUUUUGAGCUUCAUAACUUUAGCUCUGCAUUCCCUUAGGAAUGACUUUUGAGCUUCGUAACCUUUGAGCUUCGUAAAUCUAUGAAGAAGAUAUAUUCCAUUCUGAUAGAAGCAAAAUCAUUACAAGAAAUUAAAACUAAAUUUAUAUUGCUUGUUCCUUAUUAAAAAGAAAAAUGGCAUAGAACAUAAAAGUAUUUCGGAGGCAGGAUAUCAUUUAGUAUAUGUGCUUUGAUUCUGGCACAGUACUGUUGACUGUACGAGCUUCGGAUUCCUCUCUGAAUUGACAUUGCUAUUGAGAGUGCUGGCGCCCUUCUGGCUGCUGGCUUCGGGAAUAAGUAGGUUGCAGUGGUGGUGGCGGUGGGAGCUGAGGCCAAGAAGCCUGUGAAUGGCUUGCCGAAGCAACAGAAGCUGCAUGAUGAUUGCCCACAUAUUCUGGCAGAAACCGGUGUUGUUGCCCCCGAAGCAUCCUCCGAAAUUCGUGAUUAUAUUUUCCGUCAUGCUUCGGGGAAAAAAUUAUCAGAAAAAGAAGAACAAGAGGCCCAGCAUUAUGCCCAAAAACUGAAAUAUCCAAAGGGGGCGUUAAUAUUUAAUGGCAGUGGAGAAGAAGACUUCUUGUAUUGUCUUCCCGACAGCAAGGAAAUUUCUGUCUGCCGGGAGAUGAGCAAGAGCUUCGGAUUCCCGACUUUAGAAGACGGGCUCUCAGUGCUGUCGAAGAACGAUCUGGCCGACAGCCUGGCUUACAAUAGCUUAAAGGUAUGAUAUAUGAAAAUCCUUGUAUUUUUCCGUUCGUUUAAACCUACUAACACACACACAUAUUUCUCUUUGCAGGGCUUGAUACUUAGCAAUGAUCUUAGAGCACAGAAAGAUGCUGAAGACGAAGGGUGUACUAUAGCCCUGAGCAACCUUCGUUCCGAAGUAAUUGAACUGAGGAACGAAGGUCUCGAAAAAGACAAAAUAUUAUACUCAUUGAUAAAUAAAAUAAAAGAGGACGAAGCUGCUUUUAAAAUUCAAGUUGAAGCUCAGAAAAGCGAAAUUGAAGACCUUCGGAAACAGCUGGCCAGAGCCAAGGAAGAACGCAUACUUGAAGAAACAAAGCGUGAACUCAGCGAUCAAUGGGCAGAUCACCUAGAAGUGACUGUUGAAGAGCUUCGUUCGUCCAAAAAGAGAUGCUACAAUAAAUCUAUAGAUUGUGUCAAGAAAUUAAAGGCUAGCUUCGCCAAGGUUGGCGCAUUCUCAAGUGAGGAAAACUUUUCAAGAGGCAAUCCCGAAGGUGUCAUCGAAUGGAUUAACCACGAAGCCGAAGCCUUCGAAGAAAUUUUAAAUAGCCGAGGAGAUAUAUGUGCCUUCUCUGGCGCCAGAGGGAUUGCCACUAUCUUAGAGAAGGAGGGCUGUGAACAUGUAAAAAUUUUAGCACAGUCCGAAGCUGCUUUGUCCUUUGAAGAUACAAAAGAUCCUUCGGCCGAAGCUAGUAUAAUUGGUGGAAAGUUUUUUACUGAUAUCUGGGAUAAUGGUGGCCGAGAGAUGGCCGGAGAAAUUAUUCGAAGAAGUGAAAAGGGUAUUCACGAUGCUAGAGAAGUAGCUGAGGCUGCUAAAAAGAGCGCAGAGGCCGAAGGUCAAUUAGGUAUCAACUAAUAGUUUUUAUCGUGUUGUAAUCUUAGGCUUUAAGAUUUGUUUAUGAUUUGUAAUAGCAAUAUAGCCGUGUCCUGUCCUUCCUCAGAUCCUACUGAAGUAUCUCCGGGUGCUCGGCCUAGGGGUGAUGAUGAAAUUAAAAAGAUGGCUGAAGCUAUUAUGGAUGAAGCUGUCGAUCGACUGUUGAACGAAGCUGCAGAAGUGGUACUUAGGGAGGACUAAAUGCUAUUGUAAAAACAUUUUAAAUGUAACAUGUGUAAUAUCUUGUAAUCCUGUAUGUAAUAUAUUUGUCUUAUUUUUCUUUAUGGUUCAAUUCUUUACGAUGCAUGAAACUUUACAUACGUACCGUUUUUGAGUCUGGCGAAAAAAACACCUUCCCUUCUUUUCAUGCUUCGUGAAGAAGAAUUACCAUUUAUCACAACAAUAUCCGAAGUAUCCCGAAAAGUGUUGAAGCUUCGUAGAAACAUUCCUCAAGGCUUAUACUUCAGAGAUCAAUAUUGUUUCUCCUUGUGACUUGGCAUGAUUUGCCUCUUUUUCAAAGCGUUUUCCCGAAGAUUGAUAUCAUAUCUCUUUCUUAUGCCACAUGCAGUAUGAUGUAUGAUGCUUAUGUUAUGCAAGAUGAUGUGAUGAUGUUAUGCUAUGUAAGGUGAUAUUCCGAAGGUACACGCAUAUCUGCGCGAUAAAACACAAUCUUUUUGCGAACCAGCGUUAACUUUUCGCUAUAAGCCUCCCUUAGGAGCUUCUUCGCCUUUUACUUCAGCGGAAUCAGCGUUGACUUUUCGCUGUAAGCUCUGCAUUCCCUUAGGAACGUCUUUGGAGCUUCUUCGCCUUUUACUUAGGCGGUAUCAGCGUUGACUUUUCGCUGUAAGCUCUGCAUUCCCUUAGGAACGUCUUUGGAGCAGAAAACUUACACUGCGCUCCCUUCGGAACGACUUUUUGUGACUUCAUCAAACUUACUCUGCGUUCCUUAGAACGACUUUUUGUUGCUUCGAAGAAUUUUCGAUAGUCCGAAGGUCCUUUUUAUUAUCACAAGCCGGUGAAGAAAACAUAUUUUUCUUGUAGGAAUCAACGAAACUAAUUACAUGAAACCUAAACAAUGUCCUUUAUUACAGAAAAUAAAACUGAAUGAAAAAGAUUGCUAUUAAGGUAGGAUAUUUGUCAAUAGAUGUGCUUUGAUUCUGGCACAGUGCUGUUGACCGUGCGAGCUUCGGACUGUUCUCUGAAGUCCCUUUGAUGCGGAGCAUAUUGGCUCCCUUCUGGCUGCUGGCCUUGCUGCAACGGAGGUGGAGGCGGAGGCUGUUGCCAGGAAGCUUGAGGCUGACUCGCCGAAGCAACAGAGACUGCAGGAUGGUUGCCCACAUAUUCUGGGAUGUAGGGCGAAUGAUACGAAGCUGUAUGCAUGACCUGCUUCGGCUGAGCUUGUUGUGCUGCUGCUUCAGCUAUUUCCUUUUGCUUCUGAAUAGUGACAUGGCACAUCCUGGUAGUAUGGCCUUUGUUCUCACCGCAGAAUAAGCAAAAGAUUCUUCUCGGUUGAUCGCCAAAUCUUCCUCCGAAGCCCCUGGCGCCUCUGCCUCUUGGAGCUGGAGGUCGGAAGGAACUUUGUUGUUGCCCUGAAACCUGUGAGGAGUAUUGUGGCCUUUGUUGCUGACUCCCUUUAUCAUCAUUCUGAGUGGAAUUGUGAAUUGACCUGACAUGCCUCGGGUAAAACCUUCCUCCGAAGCCCCUGGUCAUUUCAGAAAACCUGAAAGCCUCCUCCCUUCUUUGACGAAAAUCAUUGUCAGCUCGAAUGUAUUCGUCCAUCUUGUGGAGCAGCUUUUCCAGCGUUUGUGGUGGCUUCCUGGCAAAAUACUGUGCUGACGGCCCUGGCCGAAGCCCCUUGAUCAUAGCCUCAAUGACAAUCUCAUUGGGCACUGUUGGCGCCUGUGCCCUCAAUCGUAGAAACCUUCGGACAUAUGCCUGAAGGUACUCUUCAUGGUCCUGAGUGCAUUGGAAGAGAGCCUGAGCAGUGACCGGCUUCGUCUGAAACCCUUGAAAGCUAGUUAACAGCAAGUCCUUCAGCUUCUGCCAUGAGGUGAUCGUUCCUGGUCGAAGGGAGGAAUACCAGGUUUGAGCAACGCUUCUGACAGCCAUAACGAAAGAUUUGGCCAUGACUGAAGCAUUGCCACCGUACGAAGACACUGUUGCUUCGUAGCUCAUCAAAAACUGCUUCGGGUCUGAGUGGCCAUCAAAUACGGGGAGCUGAGGCGGCUUGUAGGACGGGGGCCAAGGUGUAGCCUGCAGCUCAGCGGACAGGGGAGAAGCAUCAUCAAAAACAAAAUUCCCAUGAUGGAAAUUGUCAUACCAGUCAUCUUCGUUGGGAAAACCCUCCUGAUGAAGAUCUUGAUGCUGAGGCCUUCGGUGUUGCUCAUCCUGAGCAAGAUGGCGAACUUCUUCAGAGGCUUCGUCUAUCUGCCUCUGCAGUUCAGCUAGCCUGGCCAUCUUCUCCUUCUUGCGUUGAACCUGCUGCUGAAGGAUUUCCAGAUUUUGAAUCUCCUGAUCUAGAUCAUCCUCCGGAGGUGUUGGACUGGUAGCCUUCCUCUUCUGGCUUCGUGCCUCUCUAAGAGAAAGGACGUCUUGAUUGGGGUCCAGCGGCUGCAGCGUGCCAGCCCCUGGUGCUGAAGUCUUCUUCGGCGGCAUGACGAAGGUGAUGCUUGCCGAAGGUGUUGAAACGCUCAAGAAAUGGAAGUGAGUUCACCGGAGGUGGGCGCCAAUGUUGGGGACUUGUUCUCAAGUGCUAAGAGUUAAGAACAAGGCAACAUAGAAAAUGUUAAUCGUUAACAUCCUUCGUCCUCCGAAGCAUUAUUUUCCUUAGGAUAUAAUGACUUGCGGACGAAGGUUAUGAAGGACAUACCUUCAUAAAUUCAUUAAACAAUGACGAAGGAUGAAAUAUAAAAAAUGUAAAAGAAAACAUGAACAAUCAUUUAUUAUUAUUGAGCAUAAACAAAAAUAUUAUUGAACUACAAGUGUACCUUCAAUCGGAAGGAAAUGACAGUACAAGCGUGACGCAAAAAGCGAAUGCCCAGUCAGCGUGAACAGUACGGGGAUACUGUUCACCUAUUUAUAGACACGGGACACAGCCCUUACAAAAUUACAUUCAUGCCCUUUACAUUUGAUAAUAACUCUAUAGUAGUCUAUCGAGGUCUGAAUAGCCUUUUCAUCUUUAAGUCGGUUCCACUCUUUGCUGUUACGCCGAAGCUUUCCUGCUCGACACCUUCGGCUCUGUAUCAAGCUUCGUAUUAUUCCGGUCUACUGCAAUGCCGACUUUAGUCCGAGGGUACCUGUUCACACAUUGUACUACAGAAAUACUGUUAAAUCCUGUUUUUGAGGACCUUCGGACGCCGAAGGUCCCCAACAUAGGGAGAGUGGUACGAAGCCGUAUGUAAGACUUGCUUCGGCUGAUUCUGCCGAGCUUCUACAUCGGCAAUCUCUUUUUGCUUCAGAAUAGUGAUCUGGCAGGCUCUUGUAGUGUGACCUUUAUCCUCACCACAGAAUAAGCAAUAAAAUUUUCUGGGCUGAUCCCCAUAUCUUCCUCUGAAGCCCAUGCCGCCUCUGCCCCUUGGAGCUGGUGGCCUGAAGGAGCUUUGCUGCUGUCCCGAAGACUAUGAGGUGUGUUGUGACCUCUGAAGCUAGCUUCCUUUAUCGUCAUUCUGACUGGAGCUGUGGAUUGAUCUAACAUGGCUAGGAUGGAUUCUUCCUCUGAAGCCCCUAGUCAUCUCAGAAAAUCUGUAAGCUUCUUCCCUUCUUUGUCGGAAGUCAUUGUCGGCUCGGAUGUACUCAUCCAUCUUCUGAAGCAGCUUCUCCAGAGUUUGGGGAGGUUUCCUGGCGAAAUAUUGAGCCGUGGAUCCUGGCCGAAGACCCUUGAUCAUGGCCUCAAUGACAAUUUCAUUGGGCACUGUGGGCGCUUGUGCUCUCAGUCGCAAGAACCUUCGGACAUACGCCUGAAGGUAUUCCUCAUGGUCUUGUGUGCACUGGUGAAAGUCGCCUAGAGGGGGGGGGUGAAUAGGGCGAAACUGAAAUUUACAAAUAUAAACACAACUACAAGCCGGGGUUAGCGUUAGUAAUAAAGAAACGAGUCCGCGAGAGAGGGCGGAAAACAAAUCCCAAGCGAAUAAGCAAGUGAGACACGGAGAUUUGUUUUACCGAGGUUCGGUUCUUGCAAACCUACUCCCCGUUGAGGAGGCCAUAAAGGCCGGGUCUCUUUCAACCCUUCCCUCUCUCAAACGAUCCACGGAUCGAGUGAGCUUUCUCUUUUCAAUCACUUGGAACACAAAGUUCCCGCAAGGACCACCACAAGAUUGGUGUCUCUUGCCUCAGUUACAAGUGAGUUUGAUUGCAAAGAAAGGAUCAAGAAAGAAGAAAGCAAUCCAAGCGCAAGAGCUCGAAAGAACACAAGCAAAUCACUCUCUCUAGUCACUAUUGUGUUGUGUGGAAUUUGGAGAGGAUUUGAUCUCUUUGGUGUGUCUAGAAUUGAAUGCUAGAGCUCUUGUAGUAGUUGGGAAGUAGAAAACUUGGAUGCAAUGAAUGGUGGGGUGGUUGGGGUAUUUAUAGCCCCAACCACCAAACUUGACCGUUGGCUGGGUUGUCUGUUCGAUGGCGCACCGGACAGUCCGGUGCCCCCUGCCACGUCAUCACUGCCGUUGGAUUCUGACCGUUGGAGCUUCUGACUUGUGGGCCCGCCUGGGUGUCCGGUGCACACCGGACAGGUACUGUUUGCUGUCCGGUGUGCCAGCAUGGGCGUGCCUGCCAUCUGCGCACGCAGAGCCCGCAUUAAAUGCGUGGCAGAGAGCCGUUGGCGCGAAGAUAGCCGUUGCUCGGAGUCGCACCGGACAGUCCGGUGAAUUAUAGUGGACGAGCCGUUGGCUUUUCCCGAAGCUGGCGAGUUCCUGAGGCCGACCUCCCUUGGCGCACCGGACACUGUCCGGUGUACACCGGACAGUCCGGUGAAUUAUAGCCGAGUCGCCUCCGGAAAUACCCGAAGGUGGCGAGUUCGAGUCUGAGUCCCCCUGGUGCACCGGACAUGUCCGGUGGCACACCGGACAGUCCGGUGCGCCAUACCAGGGGUGCCUUCGGUUGCCCCUUUGCUCCUUUGUUGAAUCCAAAGCUUGGUCUUUUUAUUGGCUGAGUGUGAACCUUUUACACCUGUAUCAUCUAUACACUUGGGCAAACAAGUUAGUCCAAAGAUUUGUGUUGGGCAAUUCAACCACCAAAAUUAUAUAGGAACUAGGUGUAAGCCUAAUUCCCUUUCAAUCUCCCCCUUUUUGGUGAUUGAUGCCAACACAAACCAAAGCAAAUAUAGAAGUGCAUAAUUGAACUAGUUUGCAUGAUGUAAGUGUAAAGGUUGCUUGGAAUUUAGCCAAUAUUAUUACUUACAAGAUAUGCAUGGAUUGUUUCUUAUUUAUAACAUUUUGGACCACGCUUGCACCACAUGUUUUGUUUUUGCAAACUCUUUUGUAAAUCAUUUUCAAAGUUCUUUUGCAAAUAGUCAAAGGUAAAUGAAUAAGAUUUUUGCAAAGUAUUUUCAAGAUUUUGAAAUUUUCUCCCCCUGUUUCAAAUGCUUUUCUUUUGACUAAACAAAACUCCCCCUAAAGGAGAUCCUCCUCUUAGUGUUCAAGAGGGUUUUGAUAUAUCAUUUUGAAAUACUACUUUCUCCCCUUUUUGAACACAAUAGGAAAAUCAAUUGAUAAAUAUUCAACACUAAGUUUUUGAAGUCGGUGGUGGUGAGGUCCUUUUGCUUUGGGCUCAUUUCUCCCCCUUUUUGGCAUGAAUCGCCAAAAACGGAACCAUUAGAGCCCUCGAAGUAGUUUCUUCCCCUUUGGUCAUAAACAAAUGAGUUAAGAUUAUACCAAAGACGAAGUCCUUUUGCUUUCUCCCCCAAGGAUGGAGAGUGGUAUGUAGCGACGGCGAAGGUUGAGUUACGGAGUGGAAGCCUUUUUGUCUUCGCCGAAGACUCCAAGUCCCUUUCAAUAUACCUAUGACUUGAUUUGAAAUAGACUUGAAAACACAUUAGUCAUAGCAUAGGAAGGGGAUACGAUCAAAGAUAUAUAAAUGAGCUAUGUGUGCAAUCUAGCAAAAGAAAUUGCGCGAAUCAAGAAUAUUGAGCUCAUGCCUAAGUUUGUUAAAAGAUUGUUCAUCAAGAGGCUUGGUAAAGAUAUCGGCUAAUUGAUCUUUAGUGUUAAUGUAAGAAAUCUCGAUAUCUCCCUUUUGUUGGUGAUCCCUAAGAAAAUGAUACCGAAUGGCUAUGUGUUUAGUGCGACUAUGCUCGACGGGAUUGUCGGCCAUUUUGAUUGCACUCUCAUUAUCACAUAGCAAAGGGACUUUGGUUAAUUUGUAACCGUAGUCCCGCAGGGUUUGCCUCAUCCAAAGCAAUUGCGCGCAACAAUGACCUGCGGCAAUGUACUCGGCUUCGGCGGUGGAAAGAGCGACCGAAUUUUGCUUCUUUGAAGCCCAAGACACCAAGGAUCUUCCCAUGAACUGGCAAGUCCCUGAUGUGCUCUUUCUAUUGAUUUUGCACCCCGCCCAAUCGGCAUCGGAAUAACCAAUUAAAUCAAAAGUGGAUCCCCGAGGGUACCAAAGCCCAAACUUAGGAGUAUAAGCUAAAUAUCUCAAGAUUCGUUUUACGGCCGUAAGGUGAGCUUCCUUAGGGUCGGCUUGGAAUCUUGCACACAUGCAUACAGAAAGCAUAAUAUCCGGUCGAGAUGCACAUAAAUAGAGUAAAGAACCUAUCAUCGACCGGUAUACCUUUUGAUCCACGGACUUACCUCCCGUGUCGAGGUCGAGAUGCCCAUUGGUUCCCAUGGGUGUCUUGAUGGGUUUGGCAUCCUUCAUCCCAAACUUGGUUAGAAUGUCUUGAGUGUACUUUGUUUGGCUGAUGAAAGUGCCCUCUUGGAGUUGCUUCACUUGGAAUCCUAAGAAAUACUUCAACUCCCCCAUCAUAGACAUCUCGAAUUUCUGUGUCAUGAUCCUACUAAACUCUUCACAUGUAGACUCGUUAGUAGACCCAAAUAUAAUAUCAUCAACAUAAAUUUGGCAUACAAACAAAUCAUUUUCAAGAGUUUUAGUAAAGAAUGUAGGAUCGGCCUUUCCAACUUUGAAGCCAUUAGCAAUAAGGAAAUCUCUAAGGCAUUCAUACCAUGCUCUUGGGGCUUGCUUGAGCCCAUAAAGCGCCUUAGAGAGCUUAUAGACAUGGUUAGGAUACUUACUGUCUUCAAAGCCGGGAGGUUGCUCAACAUAGACCUCUUCCUUGAUUGGUCCAUUGAGGAAGGCACUUUUCACGUCCAUUUGAUAAAGCUUAAAGCCAUGGUAAGUAGCAUAGGCCAAUAAUAUGCGAAUUGACUCAAGCCUAGCUACGGGUGCAUAGGUUUCACCGAAAUCCAAACCUUCGACUUGGGAGUAUCCCUUGGCCACAAGUCGAGCUUUGUUCCUUGUCACCACACCAUGCUCAUCUUGCUUGUUGCGGAAGACCCACUUGGUUCCUACAACAUUUUGGUUAGGACGUGGAACUAAAUGCCAUACCUCAUUCCUAGUGAAGUUGUUGAGCUCCUCUUGCAUUGCCACCACCCAAUCCGAAUCUUGGAGUGCUUCCUCUACCCUGUGUGGCUCAAUAGAGGAAACAAACGAGUAAUGUUCACAAAAAUGGGCAACACGAGAUCGAGUAGUUACCCCCUUAUGAAUGUCGCCGAGGAUGGUGUCGACGGGGUGAUCUCGUUGUAUUGCUUGGUGGACUCUUGGGUGUGGCGGCCUUUGCUCUUCAUCCUCCUUGUCUUCCUUAUUUGUAUCUCCCCCUUGAUCAUUGCUAUCAUCUUGAGGUGGCUCAUUUGCUUGAUCUUCUACUUCAUCAACUUGAGCUUCAUCCUCAUUUUCAGUCGGUGGAGAUGCUUGCAUGGAGGAGGAUGGUUGAUCUUGUGUAUUUGGAGACUCUUCGGAUUCCUUAGGACACACAUCCCCAAUGGACAUGUUCCUUAGCGCUAUGCAUGGAGCCUCUUCAUCACCUAUCUCAUCAAGAUCAACUUGCUCUACUUGAGAGCCGUUAGUUUCAUCAAACACAACGUCACAUGAGACUUCAACUAGUCCAGUGGACUUGUUAAAGACCCUAUAUGCCCUUGUGUUUGAGUCAUAACCAAGUAAAAAGCCUUCUACAGUCUUAGGAGCAAAUUUAGAUUUUCUACCUCUUUUAACAAGAAUAAAGCAUUUGCUACCAAAGACUCUAAAAUAUGAGAUGUUGGGCUUUUUACCGAUUAGGAGUUCAUAUGAUGUCUUCUUGAGGAUUCGGUGUAGAUAUAAUCGGUUGAUGGCGUAGCAGGCGGUGUUGACUGCCUCGGCCCAAAACCGAUCCGAAGUCUUAUAUUCAUCAAGCAUGGUCCUUGCCAUGUCCAAUAGAGUUCGAUUCUUCCUCUCCACUACACCAUUUUGUUGAGGUGUGUAGGGAGAAGAGAACUCAUGCUUGAUGCCCUCUUCCUCAAGAAAACCUUCGAUUUGAGAGUUCUUGAACUCCGUCCUGUUGUCGCUUCUUAUUUUCUUGAUCCUUAAGCCGAACUCAUUUUGAGCUCGUCUCAAGAAUCCCUUUAAGGUCUCUUGGGUUUGAGAUUUUUCCUGUAAAAAGAAUACCCAAGUGAAGCGAGAAUAAUCAUCCACAAUAACUAGACAGUACUUACUUCCGCCGAUGCUUAUGUAAGCGAUCGGGCCGAAUAGGUCCAUGUGUAGGAGCUCCAGUGGCCUGUCACUAGUCAUAAUGUUCUUGUGUGGAUGAUGAGUGCCAACUUGCUUUCCUGCCUGGCAUGCGCUAUAGAUCCUGUCUUUCUCAAAAUGAACAUUUGUUAAUCCUAAAAUGUGUUCUCCCUUUAGAAGCCUGUGAAGAUUCUUCAUCCCAACAUGUGCUAGUCGGCGAUGCCAGAGCCAGCCCAUGUUAGUCUUAGCAAUUAAGCAAGUGUCGAGUUCAGCUCUAUCAAAAUCUACCAAGUAUAGCUGACCCUCCAACACUCCCUUAAAUGCUAUUGAAUCAUCACUUCUUCUAAAGACAGUGACACCUACAUCAGUGAAUAGACAGUUGUAGCCCAUUUGACAUAAUUGAGAUACAGAAAGCAAGUUGUAAUCUAAAGAAUCAACAAGAAAAACAUUGGAAAUGGAAUGGUCAGGAGAUAUAGCAAUUUUACCCAAACCUUUGACCAAACCUUGAUUUCCAUCCCCGAAUGUGAUCGCUCUUUGGGGAUCUUGGUUUUUCUCAUAUGAGGAGAACAUCUUUUUCUCCCCAGUCAUGUGGUUUGUGCACCCGCUGUCGAGUAUCCAACUUGAUCCCCCGGAUGCAUAAACCUACAACACAAAUUUAGUUCUUGACUUUAGGUAAUUGAAAGUCGCCUAGAGGGGGGGGAGGUGAAUAGGGCGAAACUGAAAUCUACAAAUAUAAACACAACUACAAGCCGGGGUUAGCGUUAGUAAUAAAGAAACGAGUCCGCGAGAGAGGGCGGAAAACAAAUCCCAAGCGAAUAAGCAAGUGAGACACGGAGAUUUGUUUUACCGAGGUUCGGUUCUUGCAAACCUACUCCCCGUUGAGGAGGCCACAAAGGCCGGGUCUCUUUCAACCCUUCCCUCUCUCAAACGAUCCACGGAUCGAGUGAGCUUUCUCUUCUCAAUCACUUGGAACACAAAGUUCCCGCAAGGACCACCACAAGAUUGGUGUCUCUUGCCUCAGUUACAAGUGAGUUUGAUUGCAAAGAAAGGAUCAAGAAAGAAGAAAGCAAUCCAAGCGCAAGAGCUCGAAAGAACACAAGCAAAUCACUCUCUCCAGUCACUAUUGUGUUGUGUGGAAUUUGGAGAGGAUUUGAUCUCUUUGGUGUGUCUAGAAUUGAAUGCUAGAGCUCUUGUAGUAGUUGGGAAGUAGAAAACUUGGAUGCAAUGAAUGGUGGGGUGGUUGGGGUAUUUAUAGCCCCAACCACCAAACUUGACCGUUGGCUGGGUUGUCUGUUCGAUGGCGCACCGGACAGUCCGGUGCACACCGGACAGUCCGGUGCCCCCUGCCACGUCAUCACUGCCGUUGGAUUCUGACCGUUGGAGCUUCUGACUUGUGGGCCCGCCUGGGUGUCCGGUGCACACCGGACAGGUACUGUUUGCUGUCCGGUGUGCCAGCAUGGGCGUGCCUGCCAUCUGCGCACGCAGAGCCCGCAUUAAAUGCGUGGCAGAGAGCCGUUGGCGCGAAGAUAGCCGUUGCUCGGAGUCGCACCGGACAGUCCGGUGCACACCGGACAGUCCGGUGAAUUAUAGUGGACGAGCCGUUGGCUUUUCCCGAAGCUGGCGAGUUCCUGAGGCCGACCUCCCUUGGCGCACCGGACACUGUCCGGUGUACACCGGACAGUCCGGUGAAUUAUAGCCGAGUCGCCUCCGGAAAUACCCGAAGGUGGCGAGUUCGAGUCUGAGUCCCCCUGGUGCACCGGACAUGUCCGGUGGCACACCGGACAGUCCGGUGCGCCAUACCAGGGGUGCCUUCGGUUGCCCCUUUGCUCCUUUGUUGAAUCCAAAGCUUGGUCUUUUUAUUGGCUGAGUGUGAACCUUUUACACCUGUAUCAUCUAUACACUUGGGCAAACAAGUUAGUCCAAAGAUUUGUGUUGGGCAAUUCAACCACCAAAAUUAUAUAGGAACUAGGUGUAAGCCUAAUUCCCUUUCAACUGGAACAAGGCCUGAGAUGUGACUGGCUUUGUCUGAAAGCCUUGAAAACUGGUAACCAGCAUGUCCUUGAGCUUCUGCCACGACGUGAUUGUCCCUGGCCGAAGGGAAGAAUACCAUGUUUGGGCCACAUUUUGGACUGCCAUGACGAAGGACUUUGCCAUGACAGCUGCAUUGCCUCCGUAUGAGGAUAUUGUUGCCUCAUAGCUCAUUAAGAAUUGCUUUGGGUCCGAGUGCCCAUCGUAUAUGGGUAGCUGGGGUGGCUUGUAGGAUUGUGGCCAUGGAAUAGCCUGCAAUUCUGUUGCCAGGGGAGAAGCAUCAUCAAAAGUAAAGGUACCAUGAUUAAAAUCAUUGUACCUAUCAUCUUCGUUGGAUGAGCCCUCCCGACGAAGCUCCCUGUGUUGGGGCCUUCGGUCAUGAUCAUUCUGAGCAAGAUGACGUACUUCCUUAGUAAUUUCAUCGAUCUUCCUUUGAAGAUCGGCUAGCCGAGCCAUCUUCUCCUUUUUCCUUUGCACCUGCUGGUGGAUGAUUUCCAUGUCCCUGAUCUCCUGGUCCAACUGCUCCUCCUGGAAUGUUGGACUAGUGGCCUUUCUCUUUUGGCUUCGGGCCUCUUGGAGAGAGAGAGUCUCCUAGUUUGUGUCCAGUGGCUGUAGUGUAGCCCCUGGCGCUGUUAACUUCUUCGGCGGCAUGACGAAGGUCGAUGUUUUGCCGAAGGUUGUGGAAUUGAGUACACCGGAGGUGGGCGCCAAUGUUGGGGACUUGUUCUUAAAUGCUAUGAAUUAAGAACAAGGCAACACAAAAGGGGUUAUUGGUUAAUGCCCUUCGUCCUUCGAAGCAUUAUUUCCCUUAGGAUAUAACGAUCUUCGGACGAAGGCCAUGAAGGACGUACCUUCAUUAUCACAUUACAUAUUGAUGAAAGACAAAGCAUAUGGAACAUGAGAAAUAAGAUGAAUAAUUAUGUGAAAUUAUUUAUAUAUCUUUUCUAUAUUAUCAUGAAUGAAUAAGAACAACAUUGAAUUACAUUGUACCUUCAGCUUAACAGAAGGCAAAAGUACAAGCGUGACACACGAGCAGGUGUAAGUCAGCGUGAACAGUACGGUGGUACUAUUCAUCUAUUUAUAGGCACAGGGCGCAGCCUGUGUAAAAUUACAUUCAUGCCCUUUAUGUUUACUAUUGUCUUAAGGACAAUCCACCGAGGACUAGAUAGCCUUUUCCCUUUUAAGUUGGUUUCUCUUUCUGCCGUUGAGCUGAAGCACCCUUGCGCAUAGCUUCGGAACUGCAUCAACCUUCGUCUUGACCAUGCUUUCCAUAUCAUGUAUAGUUUUAUUCCGAGUCCGAAGGUACCUGUAUGUAUAUUACACUUGGGAAACAUUGUUAAAUCAUGUUUUUGAGGACCUUCGGAAGACGAAGGCCCCCAACACCCAUUUUACAUAAUUGAGAAACUGAAAGCAAAUUGUAAUCUAAAGAAUCUACAAGAAAAACAUUGGAAAUGGAAUGAUCAGGAGAUAUAGCUAUUUUACCCAAACCUUUGACCAAACCUUGAUUUCCAUCCCCGAAUGUGAUAGCUCGUUGGGGAUCAUCGUUUUUCUCGUAGGAGGAGAAUAUUCUCUUCUCCCCUGUCAUGUGGUUUGUGCAUCCGCUAUCAAUUAUCCAACUUGAACCCUCGGAUGCAUAAACCUGCAAAACAUUUUAGGCCUUGUUCUUAGGUACCCAAACAGUCUUGGGUCCUUUCACGUUAGAAACAAGCACCUUGGGUACCCAAACACAAGUCUUUGAACUCUUGUGUUUGCCCCCAACAUAUUUGGCAACUACUUUGCCUGAUUUGUUAGUAAGCAUAUAUGAUGCAUCAAAAGUCUUAAAUGAAAUGUUAUGCUCAUUUGAUGCAGCAAGAAUUUUCUUUUUAGGCAUUUUAAUGUGAGUGGUAUGCCUAGAGCUAGAAGCCUUAUUUUAUACAUAAAUGCAUGAUGAGAAGAAUUGUGAGGUUCUCUAGCAUGAAUUCUCCUAAUUUUAUGCUCAGGAUAUUAGCAGGAUAUAAAAUGUAACCCUCAUUAUCCUGAACCAUGGGAGCCUUGCCCUUAACAAAAUUGGACAAUCUUUUAGGGGCAUUAAGCUUGACAUUGCUUCCCUGUUGGAAACCAAUGCCAUCCUUAAUGCCAGGGCGUCUCCCAUUAUAGAGCAUGCUUCUAGAAAAUUUAAACUUUUCAUUUUCAAGUUCAUGCUCGGCAAUUUUAGCAUCUAAUUUAGCUAUAUGAUCAUUUUGUUGUUUAAUCAUGGCAAGGUGAUCAUUUAUAGCAUCAACAUUAAUAUCCCUACAUCUAGUACAAAUAGAAACAUGUUCGAUAGUACAUGUAGAGGGUUUGCAUGAACUUAAUUCCUCAAUCUUAGCAUUUAAAAUAGCAUUCUCAUCUCUAAGACUAGAAAUAGAAUCAUUGCAAACAUUUAAAUCUUUAACCGUAGAAAUUAAGCUAGCAUUUUCAUUUCUAAGGCUAGAAAUUGACCCAUGGCAAUGCUAAGCUCCUUAGAUAAAUUUUCACAUUUUUCUACAUCCUGAGCAUAAGCAUUUUUCAAUUUAACAUGUUUUUGUUUUCUUUAAUAAGGAAUUCCUCUUGGCUAUCCAAAUGUUCAUCCUUCUCAUGAAUAGCUCCUAUUAGUUCAUUUAAUUUUCCCUUUUGUUCCAUGUUGAGGUUAGCAAAAAGAGUAAGUAAAUCAUCUUCAUCUUCACUAGAGCUACCCUCAUCACUAGAUGUUGUAUAUUUGGGGGUGGCUCUAGAGGGUACCUUCUUUUUCCUGUCGUCCUUAGCCAUGAAACAUUUGUGGCCGACGUUGGGGAAGAGGAGGCCCUUGUUGAUGGCGAUGUUGGCGGCGUCCUCGUCGGAGGAGGAGUCGGUGGAGCUCUCGUCGGAGUCCCAUUCCCGACACACGUGGGCAUCGCCACCCUUCUUCUUGUAGUGCCUCUUCUUCUCCUUCUUCAUCCCCUUCUUGUCGUCGUCCCUGUCACUUUCAAUAGACAUUGGACAUUUAGCAAUGAAAUGACCAGGCUUACCACAUUUGUAGCACACCCGUUGGGAGUGGGGUUUGUAGUCCUUCCCCCUCCUUUGCUUGAGGAUUUGGCGGGAGCUCUUGAUGAUGAGCACCAUCUCCUCAUUGUCGAGCUUGGAGGCGUCGAUUGGAAGCCUACUUGGUGUAGACUCCCUCUUUUCUUCUUCCAUCGCUUUUAAUGUGACGGGUUGCACCUCGGGUGUGGAGGUGGCGCCUUGCUCCAAGUUGACAAUAUGUUUGGAGUCUUUGAUCAUAAGUUCAAAGCUCACAAACUUGCUAAUAACCUACUCGGGAGACAUUAGUUUAUAUAUAGGAUCCCCACGUAUUAAUUGAACUUGAAUAGGAUUACAAAAAACGAGGGAUCUUAGAAUAACCUUGACCAUUUCAUGGUCAUCACAUUUGGUGCUCCCGAGGUUGUGCACUUGGUUUACCAUCGUCUUGAGCCGGUUGUACAUGGCUUGCGGCUCUUCUCCUUUGUUGAGGACAAAUCGAUCGAGCUCGCCCUCGAUCGUCUCCUGCUUGGUGAUCUUGGUCACCUCGUCCCCUUCGUGCGUGGUCUUUAGCACGUCCCAAAUUUCUUUUGCGCUCUUUAACCCUUGUACCUUGUAUACUCCUCUCGACACAAGGAGGCGAGGAGUAUAGAUGUGGCUUGGGAGUUAAACUGCCGAGUUUGGGCGGCCUCGUCCGAGUCAAAGUCCUUAUCCCCCACCUGUGGUACCUGCGCUCCAAAUUCAACUAUAUCCCAAAUGCUUUCGUGGAGUGAGGUUAGGUGAUGCCUCAUUUUAUCACUCCACAUACAAUAAUCUUCACCAUCAAAAUAUGGUGGUUUGCCUAAGGGAACAGAAAGUAAUGGAGCGCGCUUAGAAAUACGGGGAUAGCAUAGGGGCAUCUUACUAUAAUUCUUGCGCUCAUGGCGCUUAGAAGUGACGGACGAGUCGGAGCUUGAUGACUUGGAGGGUGAUGAAGUGUCGGUCUCGUAGUAGACCACCUUCUUCAUCUUCUUAUUCUUGUCACCCUUCCGAUGCGUCUUGUUGGAGGAAGAGGAUUGCUCCUUAUGCUUGUGGCCGGACUCCCUUGAGAGGGUUCUCCCCGAGCUUGCGGGCUUGUCGCCGGUGACGAUCUCCCUCUUGGCGUGUUCUCCCGAAAUCACUUCGAGUUGUUAGACUCUUAAUGAAGCAACGGGCUCUGAUACCAAUUGAAAGUCGCCUAGAGGGGGGCAAAUAGGCGUAAUCUGAAAUUUACAACUUUAAACACACACUACAAGUCGCGGUUAGCGUUAGAACUUAAAUCAAGUCCGGGAGAGAGGGGAAACAAAUCAAAUGAAAAUCAAGCGAAUGAACACGGUGAUUUGUAUUACUGAGGUUCGGUUCCAAAGAACCUAGUCCCCGUUGAGGUGGUCACAAAGACCGGGUCUCUUUCAACCCUUUCCCUCUCUCAAACGGUCACUUAGACCGAGUGAGCUUUCUCCUUUAUCAAACGGGUCACUUAGACCCCGCAACGACCACCACACACUUAGGUGUCUCUUGCUUUGAUUACAAGUCACUUGGGAACAAGAAUGAGGAAGGAAGAAAGCGAUCCAAGCAACAAGAGCGCAAAAGAACACGAACACACACUCUCUCAAGUCACUAGGUGGUUGGGAUGAAUUUGGGACUUGGAGAGGCUUUUGAUCUUUUGAUUUGUGUCUAGGAGUGAAUGCACUAGCUCUUGUAUUGAAUGAAAAACUUCAGAAGACUUGGACUCUUGGAGUUGUGGUGGUUGGGGGGUAUUUAUAGCCCUCAACCACUAAGAAGCCGUUGGGGAAGGCUGUUGGCGAUGGGCACACCGGAUAGUCCGGUGCGCCACCGGAUAUGUCCUGUUCACUGUCCGGUGCGCCGCCACGUCACCCAACCGUUAGGAUUCGGAGCUCGGUCGACCAUUGGAGCUUUGUCUUCUUGCGGCACCGGACAGUCUGGUGUCACACCGGACAGUCUGUUGCCCCUCUGACUUUCUGCUCUGACUUCUUCGUUGCACUGUAGCUGCACUAUUCACCUUUGCAGAGUCGACCGUUGCGCGAGUUAGCCGUUGCUCCGCUGGCACACUGGACAGUCCGAUGAAUUAUAGUGGAGUGCGCCUGCUAAAACCCGAGAGUGGCUGGUUGGACUCAGUACGGUCCUGGUGCACCGGACACUGUCCGGUGGCACACCGGAUAGUCCGGUGCACCAGACCACAUCACACUUGGUUUAUUUUGCUCCUUUGAAUUUGAUCCCUAACUUGAAUAUUUAUUGGUUUGUGUUGAACCUUUGUGCACCUGUAGAACAUGUAUUCUAGAGCAAACUAGUUAGUCCAUACAUUUAUGUUGGGCAUUCAACCACCAAAAUUAAUUGUGGGAAAAGGUUAACCCUAUUUCCCUUUCAAAUACCCGCUGGGCCAUCUCUACAUGCCAGUGACUUUCGACGCCACCGAUAACUACCGAACUGAGUUCCUACGCUUCGAGGUGGCUCGGUUCAACUGCGGCUAUAACGCCAUCAUUGGGAGGCCAAGGUUGACUAAUUUCAUGGUCAUCCCUCACUACCCCUACAUGGUGCUCAAGAUGCCCGGGCCCCAUGGAAUCAUCACCGUCUGGGCUCACUUCUAAUGAGCAGCAGAUCGUGCUACCAUGGGACCAUCCAGAUGGCUCUUAGCGCUGGCCCCUCAGUGGCACCAUGAUAACCGGCGCCCAACACUGACACAUCACCAGGGGAUGACCUCAUGAUCCCAGUGAAAGAAGCAACCCCAAGAAUCAUCACUAGAAGAGGUAUACUUGCGAGUGUCUCUACAAAAUAUAAGUUUAUCAUGCUCAUCAAAAAGAAGAUCUUGCUUUUCUAUAAGUUCAUUCUUCUCAUUGAUGUAGUUAAUCAAUUUUAUAUCUAUCAAGGCCCUUAAACAACUUGCUAUAAUCCUCCUCAUCACCACUAUAGAAGUGGUAUACUUGCGAGGUUCUCUACAAAAUACCUUCUUUUCUUUUGCCAUCAAGCAAGUGUGAUGGACCUUGGGAAAGAGAGAAGACUUGUUGAAGGCGAUGAUGGAAAGGCCUUCGUCGUCAGAGUUGGAGGAGCCGCAGUACAAGUCCCACUCCUUGUCGAUGUGCGCCUCACCCUUCUUUCUAUAGAACUUCUUCUCUACUUUCUUCCUCAUUUUGUUCUUAUCUUGGUCAUCAUCAUUAUCGAGGCAGUUAGCUAUAAAAUGACCAGUCUUACCGAAUUUGAAGCAAGCAUACUCCCCCUUGGUUUAGCGCCAUUGUUGUUUUGCCCCUUCAACGCUUGCUUGAAAAUCCUUAUGACGAGUGCCAUCUCCUCGUCGUUGAGGCCGACUGCCUCAACUUGUGCCACCUUGCUAGGGAUUGCCUCCUUCUUGUUUGUUGCUUUCAAAGCAACAUCUUAGGACUUGGUAGAGGCAUUGCUUCCAUUGGCAAUGUCGUCGAUGUACUUGACAUCUGUAACCAUCAUUUGAUAGCUAACAAACUUACCAAGUACUUCCUUAGGUAUCAUCUUAGUGUACCUAGGGUUCUCAUAGAUCAAAGAAACAAGAGUAGGAUCUAAAGUGUAAAAAGCAUUAGCAUGAGUUGAAUGACUUCAUGAUCCAUCCAUCUCUUGCUCCCAUAGUUCCACACUUUGUUCACUAGGGACUUGAUCCUAUUGUACUUUUCUUGUGGCCCUUAUCCCUUCUUCAUGGAGAACCUCCCAAGUUAAACUUCGAUGAGCUCCAUCUUGGUGGCUUUUGUCAUCAUGUUGCCUUCGUGUGCGACCCUCAAUGUGUCCCAAAUCUGCUUUGCAUUUUCCAAGCAAUUCAUCUUAUUAUAUUAUUCCCUACAUAGGGAAGCUAGCAAAACUCUAGUGGCUUGGGAAUUUCUAUGAAUAAUUUCUUCUACUUCUAUAGCAUUGUAAUUGCCAUCAUCGCUAUCAAGUAUUUGCAUUCCAUUUUAUACAAUGUCUCAAAUACUAGGGUGGAGAGAAUAAAGAUGACUACACAUUUUAUGGCUCCACUAAGAAUAAUCCUCCCCAUCAAAGUGAGGAGGUUUGCCAAGAGGUACAACAAGUAAUUGAGCAUUGACAUUGCAAGGAAUGCAGGAAUAGUUAAAAUACAUUUUAUAAUAGUUUGAUUUAAUCGCCUUUUGGUGAUGCUUGGAGGAGGACUCUUCUUUGUGUGAAGUGGAGGAAGAUGUAGAAGUAUCGCUCUCAUAGUAGAUGAUCUUCUUCAUGCGCUUCUUCUUGCUCUCUUUCUUGUGUUGGGAGUCUGUGGUCUUGUUGUCUUCAUUCGUUGCCACCACCUCCUUGUGGGUGUCCACCCCUUGCCUUUAGGAUCUUCUCCUAAAAUCACUUUGAGUGGUUAAACUUAACAAGAUGUAUCGGCUUUGAUACCAAUUGAUAGUCACCUAGAGGGGGUGAAUAGGUGAUCCUAAAAUAAUCACAACUUAAAAUAAAUUUGGAUCCAAAUUAUUGAUUAGUGCAAAGCCAAGAUCCAAGAGAGUAGAAAGAGGUGGGAAAAGUUCUUGCACUUGAUGCCCAACUUGAUUUAUGAAAUAGUCCAAGGUCAAAAGCUCAAGUGUAGAUCAAGAACAUUAGAGUGGAGAGGAAGGACAAAUUCCAAUAAGAAUAUAGCACACAAGACAUAACAAUUUUUUCAUGUUGUUUAGUCAAGCCUCAAAUGCUUGCCUACUGCAUGUUGUGGUGUCCCAAAGGACCAGGGUUGCACUGAACCCCUCUCAUGUGAUCCAAUGAUCAAAUUAAGACCACUGUCUUCCUUAUCAAAUAUAUCUCAUCACAGGGAUCUCCAUAGAUUGGAGUCUCUUGUAGUCAUACAAAAGUUAAUGGGAGUUGAAACUCAAAAGAACAAUAAGAGAGAGGAGUAUAACGCAACACAAGAGCUAAGAAACAACACCCAAAGACACAAAACACAAGUGCGAUAGCAACAUGGCUCAAUCUCACUACAAAGGGUGCUCAGAUCGCUUUGGCGUGGUUCACAAAUGUGUAGGAAUGAAGUGCUUGCUCUUGAGUAUCUUGGUGAAGAGAGGGGCCGCUAGGGGCUCUAUUUAUAUCCCAAAGUCCCGUCAUAGCCAUUGAAGAUUCCUCCAAAAAUUGCUUUGCGCAGUGGCACACUGCACCGUUCCGGUGAACCACCGGAUUGAGAAAAGUAGCACACACACCAAGAUUCUUAUUGGCGGCUUCCAUAAUUGAGUAGCACAUGACUAAUCUGGUGCACCACCAAACUAUCUCCACAUCAGCUAGCCAUUGGCCGCCCACUGAAGCCCGCAAUAGCCCUUACUCACGAAGUCUGAUGCACUACCGGACCAUGGUUAGAUGAUUUUUAGUAGAAAACCCUGAAGACAAGAAGUUCACAUACGGAUGGUCCGACACACCACCAGACUGGUUUGGUGUGCUAGGCCUCUAAAGCCCUAGUCUGGGCUCCCUACGAAUUCGGUCCGGUGAGCCCCAGACAGCUGGUUGAAGUCCUUUUUAGCCAAGUGUUCUUUAAUUCGACUUGGCUUUCCUUGGGAGCUAUUCUAUGACUUAGACAAACAGACUUAAACUAUGUUGGACAUGCCUAAGUCAUAUGUUCAUACCAUUUAGCUCAUCUCCCUUUGAGUUUUCCCGUUUCUGCUCAAAACAAGUCCAAAUAUGCACUUUCUCCAAAAACUAAGUUAGAGACCAAACCGAAGAGCUAAAUACAUAACAAUAGGUGUGUUAAACUUAUUCAAAUGUCGAAACCUCAUUGUUUUACCCAUUUUCAUAAAGUUGCAUUUUCUCGCCUCAUUUGAGCAUAUCUGAACUUCACUUUACUCAAUUUGUCUUAAAUUUAACCUGUGCUCAUAGACUUUGCAAAUAGUUAGUCCAGUAUGUUGUGUUGUACAUUAAUCACCAAAACAAUAUGGAAAUGACUAUUUGUCCAUUUCCUUUUCCUUUGUACCGUCGAGGUGGAAUAUAUAUCGAUCGAAAUUUGUUGUGCUCAAUUGUUAUGAAUGAAACAAACUCUAUUGAAUUAUGGAAUUUUAUUAAACAAUGUGUCGCUUAUGUGUGAAAACAAAAGUGCCAUGUAAUUGGCCACAAAUCCAAUUCAACACUUAGGAACUAAGCAUAUUGAUAUAAAGCAUCAUUUCUUGAGAGAUCAUGUAGGAAAGGGAGAUAUUUCUAUUUGUUUUAUUGGCACAGAUGAUCAAUUGGUAGAUAUAUUUAUAAAACAUUUGGAUGAAUCAAGGUUUUGCAAGUUGAGAAAUGAGUUCAAUGUCUGUUGGGGACUUGUUCUCAAAUGCUUCGAAUUAAGAACAAGGAAACACAAAAUGUUAAUGAUUAAAGACAUACGUCCUUCGAAACAUUAUCUCCCUUAGGAUAUAAUGAUCUUCAGACGAAGGUUAUGAAGGACGUACCUUCAUCAUCUCAGUAUAUCAUAAUGAAAGUAAGAGCAUAUGGAGCAUGGGAAAUAACAUGGAUAAUCAUAUGACAUCAUUAGGAUAUUUUUUGUUAUAUUAUCAUGAAUAAACAUGAACAAUAUUGAAUUACAUUUGUACCUUCAGCUUUGACAGAAGGUAAGAAUUCAAAUGUGACGAGCGAGUGAAUACAAGUCAGCGUGAACAGUUCGGUGUUACUGUUCAUCUAUUUAUAGGCACAGGAUGCAGCCUGCGUAAAAUUACAUCCAUGCCCUUGACAUUUACUAUUAACUUAGGAAUAAUCUAUCAAGGACUAGACAUCCUUUUCUCCUUUAAGUCGGUUUCAUUUUCCAUCACUAAGCUGAAGCUUUUCCACGGGUAGCUUCGGAACUAGUUCAUCCUUCUCCCGAACCGCGCUUUUCAUAUCAUGUACAACUUCAUCCCGUGUCCGAAGGUUCCUGUAUAUAUAUUAUACUUGGAAAACAUGUUAGUUGUGUUUUUGAGGACCUUCGGAAGACGAAGGCCCCCCAACAGUAGCCCCUCGCAGUAUUAAUUUGUUAUAAUAAUAAAUUCAGACUGCGAUGUGAACGAAGGACUUAAACCUAAGGUGCGAAAAACACCUUCCCUUCGCUAGAAUAGAGAAAUUCAAUGAUAAACGGGGCCCGCCAUAUUGCAAAGCGCUAGGUGUAUAAAUAAGAACCCACAGCGGCAACAUUUGAUACGCCAUUUCUGUUGUUUGCCUUAUUUUCUCAAACUUUUAGCUCUUGCUUACCAGCUCUUGCUUGAUUUUCGAGCUUCGAUUUAAGGACGUGCUUACUCCAUGUCUGAGGAGAAGAUGACCGAGGAAAAGAUGACUGAGGAGAAGAAGUUUGCUGAGGAGAAGAAGCUAUAUGAAGAGAAGAAAGUUGCUGAUCCUUUCAUCGCUGGGUUUUAUGAGUCUAUGGCAAAAACGAAUAUAGAGAAAAUUACUAAGGAGAUAAUGGAGGGUUUGUCCGAAGAUUCUGAUGAUAGUGAUAGUUAUGAUGUGGAAAGUGGGGAUGAAGAUUCUGAGGACCGGCCCUGGCGACCAAGCCAUACCAUCUUCGGAAAGUUGACCAUCAAACAUAGUCAUAUUGACGCCAUGAGAGGGAGAUAUUUUCGCGAUAUGUCCAUUAUCAGGAUUGGAGGGGACAACACUGCCCCUACGCCUGAGGAGAAUGAAGUUGUUAUUUACCGAAGCUUCUUGAAAGCAGGCCUUCGGUUUCCGCUGAGCAAAUUUGUGGUUGAAGUGUUAAAGAUAUUCCAAAUAUUUCUUGAUCAGAUUACCCCCGAAGCUAUAAUUAGGAUGGGGAUGUUUGUUUGGGCUGUAAGGAGCCAGGGGCUAGAGCCGAGCGCGAAAUGCUUCUGCAAUAUGCACGAGCUAUUAUACGAGACAAAGGCUACCGACAAAGAACAAUACCACAACAACUUCGGUUGCUACGGGUUCAUUGCCCGCUCCAAUGCAAGUUACCCGGUGCCAACAUUCCGGAAAAGAUGGCCCAGGGCCUGGAUGGAGGAGUGGUUUUAUGUUAAAAAUGAUCUAAUUAAAAGGGAAGACAUCAAGGAAAUUAUCCAGCGCCCCAUCUGGUCUCGCUUCAGCCUUCAAAGGCCGAAGGUCACUAUUGAAAGUGACGUCGAAGCAUGCCAGAAGGCAUUUAGCAAUGUUUGCGCCUUCAUUGGCACAAGGGAUAUAAUUCAAGAGCACAUAGCCUUCAGGGUGUGGCCAUGUGUGGAGAGUUUUGAUAUGCCGAAGGAGAGCACUACCGAAUCCAGUGAAGGUGGCCUGGUUCGAUUGAAAUAUACCUUUAGAUUUAGAGAGAAGUUUGACGAACCAAAUGAUGACUGGUUGAAAUGUGUUGAAGCUACCAGCGACGAGCUGCUUGGGACAUAUUCCAAGGCCGAAGAUGAUGCCUUGUCCGCAGCCUUCGGGGGUCGGGGCAAGAAAAGAUUGAACAUGGUGUUUGAUGCGAUUGGCUUCAUAUACCCUGACUAUCACUACCCGCUACGAAGGCAAGCAAAGUAGAGAAAGACUGCCGCUUGGCCACCACUGCUGUGCCGAAGGGCAAAAAAGUAAAGGUUAAGACCCACCGGCCGCGAUACAUUGAACCGGCCGUAGUGCCUGAUUUUGGCGAAGGGACCUCUUCAACUGCCGAAGCUAAACAAGCGAGCCCCGCCAUGCGGAGCGCUGUAGAAUCGGUUGUAGUGCCGAAGAUGCCUACAGUCGGGCCAGCCGAAUCCAAGGAUGAUAUGACCGAAGAGCCAAAAGUGGAAAAGAAAGUAAAAAUACCAGAAAUUCUGAGCCCAUCAGCAGGGGCGGAAUUGUCGAAAGUACAAAAGGCUCCUGCUGCAACUCCCAAAAGGAGGAGGAUGGCCAGCGUGCUAGACGCUGUCCUAGAGACCACAAAGGCGUUGAGCCCUGCUCCUACCAAGAAAGCUGCCGAAGCUAUCAAAGUUCAGGCUGGAGCCAAAGCUGGGCCUUCAGUGCCGAUUGAGACGAAGCCUGUCGCGCCUGAGGAUAAAAGAGAGCAACAGACUUCGGCUAUCGGCAAAGCAUCAGAGGAGAUCGCAACAGAAAAAACUGAAGCUCCUGCUCCCGAAGCUCCGUCUGAAGAUAUUAAUUACAUUAUUCGACAUGCUUCGGGAAAGAAAUUAUCCGAAGCAGAAAUCUUGGAAGCCAAACAUUACGCCCGGAAACUGAAAUAUCCAGAGGGGGCCUUGGUGUUUAAUGGCACAGACGAAGACGAUUUCAUGUACUGUCUCCCGGAUAACAAAGAAAUAUCCAUUUGCCGGAAGAUAGCCAAGAGUAUGGGAUUUCCGAAACUUGAGGAAGGCCUUUCGGCCAUGUCGAAGGAUGAUCUUGCUGACAGCCUUACAUACAACAGUAUAAAGGUACAAAAGCUGUUAACUUUUAAAGUUGGGAAUGAAGUAUCUCAUUGUCAUGCUUAAUUCUUUCUUUUUCUUGCAGGGCCUAAUUCUUAGUAAUGCCUUGAGGGCACAAAAGAAUGCCGAAGACGAAGAUUGCACAAUAGCUCUCAGCAACCUUCGCUCAGAGGUAAUUGAGCUGAGAAACGAAGGUUUUGAGAAAGAUAAAAUUUUAAUUUCAUUGGUGAAUAAAAUGAAAGAAGACGAAGCUAAGUAUAAUGUUCAGGCCGAAGCCCAAAAAGCCGAGGUUGAAGACCUUCAGAAACAAUUGGCCGAAGCUAAAGAAAAUUGUGAAGUAGCGAAGGCCAACCAAGAAAUAAGUGAAUGGUGGAAGGCCAGACUGGAGAAGAAUAUUGAAGAGCUUCGCGAGUCCAAGGAAAGAUGCUUCGAAAAAUCUUUGGACUGCGUAAAAAAUUUAAAAAACAGCUUUGCAAAAGUUGUUGCCUACUCUACUGAGGAAAACUUCAUCCGAGGCGAUCCCGAAGGCGUCAUUGAGUGGAUACGCGGGGAAGCCGAAGCUUUUGAGGAGAUUUUGAAUGAUCGUGGAGAUAUUUGUGCUUUCUCUGGCGCCCGGGGAGUCGCAGCUAUUCUGGAGAAGGCUGGAUGCAAACAUGUGAAGGCUGCAGCGAAUGCCGAAACUGCCUUCUCCAUAGAUGAUACAAAAGACCCUUCAGCCGAAGCGACUUUGAUGGGCGGAAAAUUCUAUUCUGAUGUCUGGGUGAACGGUGGCCGAGAAUUGGCUCAUGAAAUUAUAUAAAAGAGUGAAAAAACACCCACGACGCCCGAGAAGAAGCUAGAAAAACUGAAGAGGCUGCUGAGCGCGAAAGGCGCAUAUGUAUUUUUUUUUAAUUUUAACUUCGGUACUUACUUUAUGGCUUCGCACUAAUAGUUUAUAUAUUACAGCUGAGCUAUCACCGCUGCCGGAGCCGUACAAUCCCCUGGCCGAUCCGGAGAUGAAGGAAGCACUGGACGUUAUAAGCCUUGCAAAUUCUAUUAUCGACGAAGUUGUCAACAAAUUAUUAAACGAAGCUGCGGAGAAGAUCCUUAGAGAAGAGUAGACUUUGUAACUUCAUUGUAAAAAUAUUUUGUAGCAUUUGGUGUAUGGAACAAUGGACGAGACAUGUAAAUUAUUGUAACAUAUUUCUUUACGACGCGUGAAAUUUACACACAUACCGUUUUUGAGCCUUCGGCGAAAAAACACCUUUCCUUCUUUUCAGGCUUCGUAAAGAAACAAAUCCCUUCUAUAGCGAGUUUGAUAAAACUGUAUUUCCCGAAGCUUACUUCGUGUCUCAGCACAUUUUCAUUUUGACGAAGCGUUUGCCGAAGAUUUGCUUCGUAUUCAAAUUUUGUGCCGUUAAUGCAAUAUGAUGUAUGAUGUAAUGUUAUGCGAAAUGAUAUGAUGAUAUGAUGCAAAAUGAUGAGGAUGCCAAAGACACACACCCACGCGCCCACACUGGAAUACACAAGACUCUGCAUCCCCUUAGGAAUGUCUUUUGAGUCUUUAAGCUUUGCAUCCCCUUAGGAACGACUUUUGAGCUUCUUCACCUUCUAUUUCGGUGGAAUUUAAGCUCUGCAUCCCCUUAGGAACGACUUUUGAGCUUCUACACCUUAUAUUUCGGUGGUAUUUGGCUCUGCAUCCCCUUAGGAACGACUUUUGAGCAGAAAACUUACGCUGCGCUCCCUUAGGAACGACUUUUGCAGCUUCAGAUUGUAAUUUUUGGUUCUGCAUUUCCUUAGGAACGAUUUUUGAGCAGAAAACUUACGCUGCGCUCCCUUAGGAACGACUUUUGCAGAUUCAGAUUGUAAUUUUUGGCUCUGCAUUCCCUUAGGAACGACUUUUGAGCUUCGAAAUUUACUGCGUUCCCUUGGAGUCGUCUUUCGAGCUUUGUAAAUCUAUGAUGAAGAUAUAUUUCACUCUGGUGUAGGCACAAUCAUUACAAGAAAUUGAAAUUACGUUACUUGUUUCUCACACAGAAAACAAAAUGGAAUAAAAGAUAAAGGUACAUCAAAAGUAUGAUAUUUCUCAGUAUAUAUGCUUCGACUCUGGUACAGUGUUGUUGACUGUACGAGCUUCGGACUCCUCCCUGAAGUCGCGCUGCUGUUGGGCGUGCUGGUGCCCUUCUGGCUGCUGGCUUCGGGUAUGAGUAGGGGGCAUUGGUGGUGGUAGUGGGAGCUGAGGCCAGGAAGCUUGUGAAUGGCUUGCCGAAGCAAUAGAAGCUGCAAGUUGAUUGCCUACGUAUUCUGGUAUAUAAGGAGAAUAGCACGAAGCAGUGUGUAAAACCUGCUUCGGCUGAUUCUGCCGUGCUUCUGCUUCAGCAAUCUCUUUUUUCUUCUGGAUAGUGACCUGGCAUGUUCUUGUAGUGUGGCCCUUGUCCUCGCCACAAAAUAAGCAGUAGAGUUUCCUGGGCUGAUCCCCAUAUCUUCCUCCAAAGCCCCUGCCACCUCUGCCCCUUGGAGCUCGUGGCCUGAAAGAGCUCUGCUGCUGCCCUGAAGAUUGUGAGCUAUGUUGUGGCCUCUGAAACUGGCUUCCUCUGUCCUCACUCUGACUGGAGUUGUGGAUUGAUCUAACAUGCCUAGGGUGGAUUCACCCUCCGAAUCCCCUAGUCAUCUUAGAAAACCUAUAAGCUUCCUCCCUUCUUUGGUGGAAAUCAUUGUCGACCCGGAUGUACUCAUCCACUUUCUGAAGCAGCUUCUCCAGAGUCUGAGGGGGUUUCCUGGCGAAGUAUUGAGCCAUAGGUCCUGGCCAGAAACCCUUGAUCAUGGCCUCAAUAACGAUUUCAUUGGGCACUGUGGGCGCUUGUGCUCUCAGUCGCAAGAACCUUUAGACAUACGCCUGGAGGUAUUCUUCGUGGUCUUGCGUGCACUAGAAAAAAGCUUGUGCAGUAACCGGCUUUGUCUGAAACCCUUGGAAACUGGUGAUCAGCAUGUCCUUCAGCUUCUGCCAUGAUGUGAUUGUUCCUGGCCGAAGAGAGGAGUACCAAGUUUGGGCAACAUUCUUGACUGCCAUGACGAAGGAUUUCGCCAUGACUGCGGUAUUGCCCCCAUACGAAGAUAUGGUUGCUUCGUAGCUCAUCAGGAACUGCUUCGGAUCUGAGUGCCCAUCAUACAUGGGGAGCUAGGGUGGCUUGUAUGAUGGGGGCCAUGGGGUAGCCUGCAGUUCUACUGACAGAGGAGAAGCAUCAUCGAAAGCAAAAUUUCCACGAUGGAAAUCAUCAUACCACUCAUCAUCAUCAUAGGAAUUGUCUUGACGAAGCUCUCUGCGUUGAGGUCAUCGGUCCUAGUCAUCCUGAGUGAGAUGACGCAUUUCCUCAGCAGCUUUGUCAAUCUUCUUCUGUAGAUCGGAGAGGCGAAGCAUCUUCUCCUUCUUUCUCUGGACCUGUUGAUGGAUGGCUUCGAGGUCCCUUAUUUCUUGGUCCAACUCCUCCUCCUGAGGCGUUGGACUUGUAGCCUUCCUUUUUUGAGUUCUGGCUUCACGCAGUGUUUCCUGGUUGACGUCUAGUGGCUGCAGUGCAGCCACUAGUCUUGAAGAAGCUUUCUUCGGCGGCAUGACGAAGGUCACGUCUUGCCGAAGGUGGUCGAAUGUGGUCGAAUGAGUUCACCGGAGGUGGGCGCCAAUGUUGGGGACUUGUUCUCAAAUGCUUCGAAUUAAGAACAAGGCAACACAAAAUGUUAAUGGUUAAAGACCUUCGUCCUUCGAAACAUUAUCUCCCUUAGGAUAUAAUGAUCUUUAGACGAAGGUUAUGAAGGAUGUACCUUCAUCAUCUCAGUACAUCAUAAUGAAAGUAAGAGCAUAUGGAGCAUGGGAAAUAACAUGGAUAAUCAUAUGUCAUCAUUAGGAUAUUUUUUGUUAUAUUAUCAUGAAUAAACAUGAACAAUAUUGAAUUAUAUUUGUACCUUCGACUUUGACAGAAGCUAAGAAUUCAAAUGUGACGAGCGAGUGAAUACAAGUCAGCGUGAACAGUUCGGUGUUACUGUUCAUCUAUUUAUAGGCACAGGACGUAGCCUGCGUAAAAUUACAUCCAUGCCCUUGACAUAUACUAUUAACUUAGGAAUAAUCUAUCAAGGACUAGACAACCUUUUCCCCUUUAAGUCGGUUUCAUUUUCCAUCACUAAGCCGAAGCUUUUCCACGGGUAGCUUCGGAACUGGUUCAUCCUUCUCCCGAACCGCGCUUUUCAUAUCAUGUACAACUUCAUCCCGUGUCCGAAGGUUCCUGUAUAUAUAUUAUACUUGGAAAACAUGUUACUUGUGUUUUUGUGGACCUUCGGAAGACGAAGGCCCCCAACAAUGUCAUUGAUUUCUCCAAUGUGGCUUGAAGUUGGGAACAUAUGCGAUGAAAUAUUCAUUUAGCCCAUAUUGCAUACUAUUUAGUCAUUUUAUUGUGUUUUAGGUGUUUUUAGUUUAUUAUAGAUUCAUGUCCAUUUACAUGAAAUUCAUGUACUUUCAUGUAAAUUACAUGUAUAUAUGCAUACUAACCCUUGAUGCAACCAAAAUGUCCAUAUAUGAGCAACGAUACCUUUACAAAAGUCACAAACGAAGAUAAUAGCAGCAAUUUCGGAUAGAUAAAGUGUCAGGGCUUGGACCAUCCGGUCCUAGGCUUUGGACUGUCUGGGUGUCUAGGUCCCAGACUGUUCAGGCUCUGAUCGUGGACCGUUCGGUCAAUCAGGCCGUGGACCGUCCAAGCUCCCACUACAAACCAUCCGCGGCAAGUAGUUCAAUAUAACCCGAGGACAUCCAGCCUUUGGACUCUUUCCCCCAUUCAUUUUCUAGUUAGUUGUCUCUCAAAUACACCCAAAAGUGAGUCUUUAUCGCUAGUGCGAAGGGAGAUCCUUGGAGAAAUCCAUGAACCAUUCGGAGAUCAUCAAGACAAAAGAAUCUUAGUCAAUCAACAUGUCUUCCUCAUGUGGCUUGGGCAAGACUAUGAAAAGCUUAGUAGGGCAUUUCAAGAAAGGUGCCAGCAAGAAACAGAGGGCAGAUGAUGAUGCAGAUAGGGAUUAUGAUUCUACUAUGGACUUAGAGGCUCGAUCUUCUAUUGAAGGGAGUGUGUCAAUGGACACUGAAGAUGCUCCUACUCUCCAUCCUAAUGAGCUUAUUGACAUAACUGUAUGGAACUUUCCUAAGAGAAUGUUCUCAAUGGUCAAGUACUUAACUCUAAGGAAUCAAAAUCAGUAUGUCUUACAGUGAGACACCAACAUUCUGUUCUUCCAUUCUCAGCUACAGUUUGAUCUCUUUUCGAGAUACAUCUUGGAAACUAACUGUCACAAGCAUCAAACCAUCGUUUGGGCAUACAUGCUAAAGGAGUCUGUGAUGGUGGACUUGGUUCCUUCAUUUCAGAAUGUUGGGCUCUAUGACUUUAUGUCCAAAAUGUGUGAUUACAGUGAGAUGAUAGUUAGACAAUUUUUGCCACUACUAAAAUUGACAUUCCUAAGAAUAUGACUGAGUGCAUGACUAGACACAAGAGAUGUAACACCCCAGGUGUUACCAAGGCCCUGACUCCAUACUUGUAACCGUGAAUUGUUAUCACAUGUGUUAAGUGGAGGAGAGGGAGCCCCAAAACCUUGGAAACCAUGGAUUAACUAAUAAUGUAAAUGACAAAAACUUCACCCAAACAUUUUGACCAAUUAUCACCUUGGGCAAAAGAGGUUAAACCCUAGACCCCUUAAAGCACUAGACUUCCAAGCAAGGGAUUAGUGGGCAAGCUAAUCAAAUGGCAAAUUCUUGUUUCGAAUCCUUAACCAAGAUUUAAGUACACUAAUGUAACUUCAAAAACAGCAAGGGAAUCAUCACAAAAAGGCCCCUUAAAGACCCCAAAUCCAUUCCUUAAGUAGUGAGCACACUAGAGCUCUCUAAUCUUCUCUAAGUCAAAAAUAAACCCUAGUUUAAAGAUCAGACGUGUUCACUUAGUAAAUGAUGCCAAAACCACUUGGUCUGAAUACCAAAAAGGAGCCAAACUACCUAAGGAACCCAUUGGAAAAGUUUGAACCCGAGCCAAAUUCGUUUGACACGAUUUGAUAGCACUUUUGUCUCGGGGUGAACAGUGAGACAACGCAGAAUUGGCGUCCGCAAAUCUCCCUACCUAGGGCAUAUCUGCCAUUGGAACUCACAUACAAGAGACAGCCUAGCAAAAUCAAUUUGGUUAAAUAAAACUGAAGUUAUGAAUUUUCCUAAGUAGUUCACAUUAUUCACAACCUAGCAAAAUGUGGCGGAACUGCCCGAAUUAUUCCAACUUAAGUGCCUAAGUCCCGCCUUAGAGGCUAGACCACACUUAAAUGGGAAUAACCCGUCAAUCCCUCGGAUCUAGUCCGACGAGGCCACUAACAGGAUCAAGUACCAUAGUCUCACUCGAUGGUGAGUCACAGAGCAAAUACAAUAAAGCAAAAAACCAUACAUUAAGGAAUAGUAAAUUUAUUACAUCAACAUCAGAGUUUUAGCAAAAGUAGCAUCAUUGUCUGAAGUGCAACGGAAAAAAACUAACGGUAAAUAACCGGAGAGAUGGGGAAGCCUGUCCCAUCACUCCUCAUGCUCCUCCUCAGCCGAGGCAGGGUCCCACUCGACUGUCCAACCCGGUGGCAAGAUGGACGGCCAAGUCACUCCAGCAACCAUGUCCUCCAGAGAACCUAUAAAAAAUUAUGCCACAAGCAAGGCUGAGUAUACUAAUACUCAGCUAGACUUACCCGGUGUGAGGAGUCUACUCCUCUACCUCUAGACAUGCAGCUGUUUGGCUGUGGGGUUGGGUUGCCAAAAGCACUAGCUGAGUUUAUAAAUCAAGUUUUAGCUUUGUCAUGUUUUAGUGUGACUCUCUUAAGACUAGAUAUGUACUAUCUACUCAUUCAUGGUAGCAAGCAAACUUAGCAAUCAACAUCUUUUGUCACCUCAUCAUAUUCCACUUGUUACUCAAUGUAGCACCAUGGAUCAAGCAGUCUCGUUAGCUGCGAGAAGCAGACGAUUUGAAUCGAGUUUUUAUCCUUGCAAGGUAAACCUAAACACACGACAUGUAGGGGCACUCCAUCCCCACACACAUCAACCGUCCCCAUCGAUUCCCUAGCAACAGAUCAGGGCUCACCGCCUUGGCGUACAAUGCCUCACUGACCCCGACUGCCAUCGUGCAGUGACCGCACUUGUACCCACCAUAACCGGAAUGGGAGACCACGUCUCAGGUCGCGUGAGGGGAUAUGUCUGCGGGCAGGUUCACUCAGGUACUAAGCUUAUCGAUUUACCAUAUUUCUCGGUAUGUGAUUAGUACGUUCAAACGCUUGACUCACGGUACAACACCUUAAUCCUUAUUCCAAUUUUUAUCCCGUGGACAACCAAUCCCCAUGGAUUGUUGUCCACAAACCAGCAUCAUUAUGAUAAGAAAGUGGAUACAACCAAUUUUCUGACCUCGCGCGAGUGCUAGAAAAAUCACUCGACUUCUACCGAAAUCCCUAAUUAAUAAAGCAGCUACUCGGCUUAGCAUACUAGUUUUCAUCUCAAUGGGAUUCCUGAGAUCAUGCAACUAGGGUUUCAAACAACUCCUACACUUAAGUGCACAUUCAAUCCUACAAUCAUUAAGUGUAGUAAAAUAGCAUAAUAAACAGGUUAUGCAUAAACCGGGGCUUGCCUUCCAAAGCUGGGGCAGGCAGAUCCUCUGGUGCAGGCUCUGGUGCUGGAUCCAGGGCUACCUCCUGAGCAGCUCCUUGCUCCGGCACGAGGACGUACUCUCCGUCAGCGAGGUUGCAGUCUAUCGAAUGCAAUGAAUGGGAAUAUGUAUGUCAUGAUUAUGCAGGAUUUAACAAACAUUAUGCUAAAUGAAGAAAAGCUAAGUUAGUUAGUAACUUAGGUUUUUCUGGUCAUACGUGGCUCUUUAGUGGUUUAUGCUUAUCACUCUAGGUUUGGAUUUUGUUAGGGAUAAUCAUAGUGGAUUUGUAACUUGGAUUUCCCUUAGAUGUUUUAGUAGACGUUUAAGGGAUUUUGUUGGUUGGGUUAAAAUGACAUUACUCUCAUUGUUAAUUUCCUCUUUCUUUUUCUAUUUAUGAAUUCUAGGGUGGGUUUGAACUACAACAGUGAUUUAACCUAUUUCAAAAAUUCUGAAACAAUUUCAGUAGACUACUAUUGGCCACUGUAGUUUGUCCUAUGAAUUUGAGGUCCAGAAUAAAUAGAGUAUGCUCUGGACAAAAAUAACAAAGGUUGGGGCAAAGGGGUCACUUUGCACUACAACUCUUAACUAGGGGUAGGUUUUGUCCUAAGGGUCAUUUUUGCUGGUAUUUAAAAGUAAUAACAUGCUUCUGUGCCAAAAUUCAUAGAGGGUUAUUUAGUUAUGAUUUUCUAAAGUUUAAUGCCAAAAAGAUACUUAUAACUAACUUGUUAUUUGAAAAAUAUCAAAACAACAGAACUAGUAUUUUUCCUAUGUUCUUAAUAACAAAACAUUAGUUAUCCCAAGGUUUGGGUUGUUUUUUCCUUGGAAUUAUUUUUCUAGGGUUUUCCUAAGGUUUCCUUGUUUUCCUCAAAUAAAAGGUAUCCCAUUUAUUUUGUACUAAACAAGGGUAUAAUAAAUUUUCCUGGUAAACUAUAUUGAAUAAGUAAAUUAACAAAAAUGUGGGUGCUCCCUGGUUCUUUAUUUAAACCUCCAUUAAUAUUUUCUUAAACUUUAGGCUAAAAAGGAUUUAAAUGGUAAACUCUAUCUUAACUGGGUGUACAGAGGGGUUUAUUAUUUUUGAACAUGUUAGGAAGAUGAUCAAGUACUUCUCCAAAUUUUCUUAACCUCAGUCUAACAGUGUAACUAUUUUUCCUUCUAUUAUUUAGCUUUUGGCCAAACCAAUAUUUAAAUCCUAACUUUAAGAUUUUCAGUAGCACUUAGGGGCUUUAUAUUUUUCCUAAGUAGUUUACAUUAUUUAGGAUCUGGCAAAAUUGGUUUGACUCGAUUUGGUUGAAUAAAACAAAAGUUAUAAAUUUUACAAACUCUAUUUGUAUUUAAAUUUGAAAUAUUUAAAAAGUUUCCUGGAAAAUCAGUUUACACUGAGGACCCUGGGUUCUUUCUAAACUAAUCCUCUCAGUUAUACCCCUCCGCGACUAUUCCCCUGAGUCACUGACAACGCACAAAACCCCCUAGCCUUUUCUUCUUCUCCCCCGCGGUCCCUCCCCUGGUUUAAACAGUACCCACAGAAAAAAAGGGCGGCGCGGCUUACCGGCGGCGAGAGAGGUCCGGCGAGGGACGGGGUUGGCUCCGGGAGGUCCUAGCGGUCACAGCGGUGUACGGCUCGACGGCGGAGGUGGCCGGAAUCGUUCGGUCCACGUGCACAGGCGGGUGAUCUCGUCAGCGGCGGGUGUUCCGGCUAAACCACGGCGAUCUAGUUCAAUCAAAUGGCACGAUGAGCUCCACGGGGUGAUGUAGAGGCUAUGUGCACAAGGAAUUAAAGAAUGGGGCAGAGAUUUACCCGGUCUACGUUCACCGGCGGUCGAGCGAAGUCCAGCGAUCGUGGACUGGCUUCUCCGGCGAAGCAAAGUCCGAUUCCUUGCUCGGGGAGCUUCACCGAGGUGUGCACAGCCUCUUCCAAGGGUCGGGCGUGGCUAGGAAAAGCUCUGUUGGCCGGUCUACGGUGGCAGGGGCUCGGGUGGCCGCGGGCACGCCGUGCGCGGGGCAAACGCCGGUGGUUUCUGGCUCUGGUGAGGUCGAGCGUGCGCGGAGGAGUACGGUCGACGCCUGAGGAUGAUUUAUAGGCGCGGGCGCGAGCAGGAGACGCGGGCAUGGCUUGGCGUGGCGCGGGGCGCGCGGGGUCGGGCGCGGGUGUGCUCUGGCGUGCCCAGAACGCGUCGAACACGUGGAGGUGUUCUUCUGCCCAUGUUCAAAAGCUUGCUGAGAUCGCAAACGUGCGAAUCUUGGCAAAAAUCCGGUGCAGACCUCUUCCUGGCACCUAUGGCUAUCUCUUGUAUGUGAGUUCCAAGGGAACAUAAGCCCUAGGUCAGAAGAUAUGCAGACGCCAAAUCUGGCUUGUCUCCCUGCCCAGUUCGCGACAAAAGUGAUUUGCACAUUUGCUUAAUCUCCCCCCUUCAACCAAGGUUUUAGGAGAUAGGGGUUCAAGGGGGGGUCUAGGGUUUACUCCCCUCUUGCCCAAGGUGAUAAUUGCACAAAACCUUGGGUAAUGCUUUUGGUCAUUCACAUUCUUGGGUAAAACAUGGUCUCCAAAGUUUUUAUGCUCUCCUCCUCAAGUUUCUUCCACAUGUGAUCACAGUCAUUAGUGCAUAGAUGUGCCAUGGCCAUAGUAACACCUGCGGUGUUACAGCCCUCCCCCCUUAAAGGAAUCUCGCCCCGAGAUUUCAGGUAGAGUCCUCUUGAGGGGUGCCAUGAAGGCGUGUUAGUGCGUUGUUCCUUCUUUUAUUCAAGUUUCUCUAGUUAACUGCUCUUCGAAUGUCAUUCUCUUUGCGACUUCAGAAGGAAGUCCUUUUUAAGUCAAAUCCACAACUUAUACUACCCUUAUCAUCUAAGUUUUUCUUAUAUUUGUAUUCAAAGGGCAGGUGGGGUAGGGUUUUGGGUUACGUACCGACUCUUUUGGGCAGAAAGUUAGGGAAGCGAGAGCGUAGAAAAUCCUUAGUCUCCCAUGUAGCUUCUUCUACUGAAUGGUGACUCCACUGAACCUUAUACAUUCUGAUCGACCUUGCCCGUGUUGAUCUCUCUUUCUGAUCCAAUACCUUGACGGGGUACUCUUGAUAGGACAGGUCUAGUUCUAUCUCAAUUUCUGGUUUAGGUAGCACUUCAGUGGGUAAGCGGACACAUUUUCGCAGCUGAGAUACAUGGAACACAUCAUGAACAGCUGACAUGUGUGGUGGCAACUUCAAUUGAUAUGCUACUGGUCCACAAGUUUCCUUGAUCUCGUAGGGCCCAAUGUAGCGAGGAGCUAACUUGCCCUUGAUUCCAAAUCUCUGGACACCUUUGGUGGGUGACACCUUAAGAUAAACAUGAUCUCGCACUUCAAACUGCAGAGGUUUCCGCCUCUUAUCAUGAUAGCUCUUUUGCCUGGCCUGAGCAGCUUCUAAGUUCUUCUUGAUGACUCUGACCUUUUCCUCUGCUUCAAGUACCAAAUCUGGCCCAAAUAUUUCCCUCUCUCCUGCUUGAGACCAAUUCAGCGGGGUUCUACACCUUCUCCCAUACAGGGCUUCAAAAGGUGCCAUUUUUAAACUGGACUAGUAGCUGUUAUUAUAAGAAAAUUCUGCCAAAGAAAGACACUUGUCCCAAUCCUUUCCAUAGUGUAGCACACAUGCCCUCAACAUGUCUUCCAAAAUCUGAUUUACCCUUUCGGUCUAGCCAUCUGUUUGAGGAUGGUAUGCUGAGCUUCAUAUUACAUGGGUCCCAAGUGAUUCCUGCAAUUGCUCCCAAAAUCGGGCCACGAAAGGUGCUCCUCUGUCCGAUACUAUAGUCCUUGGUAUUCCAUGCAAACGAACUAUCUGGUCGAUGUAGAUUUCUGCAUACUUCUCCGUCCUGUGGGUGGUGUGUACUGGCAAGAAAUGAGCUGACUUGGUCAAUCUGUCCACAAUGACCCAAAUGGAAUCAUGGUGCCGGGAGGUAUUGGGCAAUCCCACGAUAAAGUCCAUGCAAAUGUCCUCCCAUUUCGAAGAUGGUAUGGGAAGGGGUUGCAAAGGGCCCGCUGCCUUCAAAUGACUGGCCUUGAUUUUCUGGCAGGUGUCACAUUCGGAUAUGUACUUAGCAAUUUCCCUCUUCAUCUGGUCCACCAGUAUAAGGAUCUGAGAUCAUGAUACAUCUUGUUGCUGCCGGGGUGCAUGGAGAAUUUUGAAAGGUGAGCUUCAUCCAAUAUCUUCUUUCUGAGCUCAAGGACCUUGGGAACAACCAAUCGAUCUCCAAACCAGAGAAUUCCUUUGCAGUCCUGAUGGAAGCAUUUGUAUUUUUCUGCUUUCUGCUUAAUCAUUUCCUUGAUAACCUGAACACCCUUGUCUUCAAUUUGUGCCCUGACUAUUUGCUCUUGUAAUGUGGGCUCCACCGAGAUAUAACUUAAGGCACCUGAAGACACAACUUCCAGGUUCAGCUUGCACAACUCAUCACACAGGGUGGUAACUCUUGCAUCCAUGCUCAUACAAUUGCACUGGGCCUUUCUGCUCAAGGCAUCUGCCACAACGUUGGCUUUGCCAGGAUGGUAAUGCACCUCCAAGUCAUAGUCCUUGAUUAACUCUAACCAUCUUCUCUGCCUCAUAUUUAGAUCUGCCUGAGUGAACGAAAAUGUAUUUGAGACUCUUAUGAUCAGUGUAAAUGUUACAGUGAGCUCCCAUCAAAUAAUGUAUCCAAAUCUUGAGAGCAUGAACCACAGCUGCUAACUCCAAAUCAUGGGUAGGGUAGUUCUGCUCAUGGGGUCUAAGUGCUCGGGAGGCAUAAGCAAUUACUCUGUUAUCUUGCAUUAAGACGCAUCCCAAUCCAGUACCGGAAGCAUCGCAAUAAACUUCAAAGGGCUUGGUGUUAUCAGGUUGAGCUAGCACUGGGGCUGUUGUCAAAUGCUGCCUUAGUGUAUGAAAGGCAUCUUCACACUUCUGGCUCCAAUUAUACUUGACUCCCUUCUUCAACAGUUCAGUCAUUGGCUUGGCAAUUCUGGAGAAAUCCGGAAUAAAUCGUCGAUAAUACCCUGCCAAUCCCAGAAAACUCCGAAUCUACCGCACUGUGGUAGGAGGUUUCCAAUCCAUUACUUCUUGUACCUUCUCAGGAUCCACUGAUAUCCCAUCCUGGGAAAUUAUGUGGCCCAGAAAUUUAAUUUCCCGCAGCCAGAAAUCACAUUUAGACAAUUUGGCAUACAACUGAUGGUCACGCAGUCUCUGAAGUACAGUAUGCAAAUGUUUAGUGUGCUCAGCUUCAUUCUUGGAAUAAACCAGAAUAUCAUCAAUGAAAACCACCAUAAAUUUGUCCAGCUCUGGCAUGAAUACUGAGUUCAUCAGGAACAUGAAAUAAGCCGGGGCAUUGGUCAGCCCAAAAGACAUCACCAAAAAUUCAUAGAGCCCAUAUCGGGUAGAGAAGGCCGUCUUCGGAAUAUCACUGGCACGGAUCUUGAUCUGAUGGUAGCCCGAGCGAAGGUCUAUCUUGGAGAAUACCUUGGCUCCCACCAACUGAUCAAACAAAACAUCAAUGCGGGGUAGUGGGUAUUUGUUCUUGACGGUCACCGCAUUGAGAUGGCGGUAAUCAACACACAUUCUCAAGCUCUGAUCCUUUUUCUUCACAAAUAAGGCCGGACAUCCCCAUGGUGAAGUACUUGGGCGAAUGAACCCCUUGUCCAACAACUCUUGCAGUUGCUUUUUCAGUUCUGCCAAUUCCACGGGAGGCAUCCUAUAGGGUCUCUUGGAGAUAGGAGCGGUCCCGGGUUGCAAUUCAAUUGUGAACUCAAUGUCUCUAUCAGGUGGCAUCCCUGGCAAUUCGUCCGGAAAAACAUCUGGGUAGUCACGGACCACUGGGAUCCUUUCCACUGGGGACUCUAUCAUAACGAAGGCACAAGAACGGGUACAACCCUGGUCGGGCAAAUAUAAUGUGGUUUCACCACAAGUCGGUGAGUGCACCUCAAUGGCCCUAGUUUCAAUAUCCAUAACUGCCUGAUGUUUGGUUAACCAGUCAGUUCCCAAUAUGAUAUCCACACUAUCCAAACCAAAAAUGAGGAGGUUGGUUUUGAUUAUCAAACUACCAAACUUUAUAGGCACAUUCUUGUUGAUUUGGUAGGUGGCAACCCUGCCUCCGGGUGUUGAAAUUGUAAUACCCCCAUUGGUGUGGAGAAAAGGUAAUUGACACUUGGCACUAAAUUUGGUACUGAUAAAACUAUGUGAUGCACCAGAAUCGAAGAGAAUAAUAGCAGGAUAAUUCAAAACUGUAAAGAUACCAGUCAUGACGGGUGCUCCCUCUCGAAUAUCAGCCAUGGUGGUGAAGUUCAGCCUGCCUUGCCUCACUUGCACCUUCUGCCUCUUGCCUUGGUUCUGAUUAACAUUCUGUCCCUGCCUCUGCUGGUUUCUGGGGCAAUUCUUGGCAUAAUGUCCGGUGUUGCCACAAGUGAAACACCUGUUGUCAUUUGCUUGACGAUAUUGCUGCUGCUGUUGAUUGUUCCUCUGAGCUGGAAACUGGGUGCGGUUGGGUGCCAGCUGCUGCUACUGUGGUCGGAUCACCCAUCGCCCUUGCUGCUGCUGAGGUCCUCUGUUCUAAGUGUCAGACACGAUCCUAAAGUGCUGUGGCUGAGCUGAAGGUCCUGCCACAGUGGUCUUCCUCUUCUUCUCUGCCUAACGAGCUGUGAUACAGUCCUCCUGAGAAAUGGCCAUGUUGACUAACUCAUUAUAGCUGUUGGCCCUGACUGUGUUGAGACGGUCACGGAGCUUAGUGCUGAGCCCCCUCCUGAACCUGUCCCUCUUCUUCUCGUCCGUGUCUGCAUGAUACCCAGCAUACUGGCACAGGUCAUUAAAGGCCUGAGCAUACUGUAACACUGUCUGGUUUCCCUGAGUGAGUGCCAGGAACUCGUUGAGCUUUCGGUCCAUAAUGCCUGCUGGUAUAUGGUGUCCCCUGAAAGCUGCCUUGAACUCUCUCCAUUCCACCUCUCGGUCAUCUGGCUGCAUAGCAAGAAAAUGGUCCUACCAUGUCCGCGCGGGUCCGCGAAGCUGUUGGGUGGCGAACCUGACCUUAGUGACCUCUGAACAAACUCCAUGGAGUAGCGGGAAUUUGGAUUCCACUACUCUCAACCAUACAUCUGCAUCAAGUGGGUCCUCUGCCCUGGUGAACAAUGGUGGCUGGGUACUGAGGAACUCCUGGUAGGUGGCUGCCGCGGGGUGACGCUGAUGAUCACCACCACCAUAAUGCUGAGGUGCUGGCUGACGCUGAGCUAGCUAUCUCAAGAUAUCAUUCUGCUGAGCCAUCAGCUCCUGCAGAGUAGGAGGCGGUGGUGGUGGUGGAGGAACGCGCUCAUUUUGACCACGACGCGCUCUCCCGGCCAUCUGAACAAAAAAAUCACAUAUAUUUUCAAUAUCACAACUUUGAGGUUCAAGGCUCAAUCGCGGUGAAAGAGUCAAAAGGCGAAAUCCAUCUAUUCUUGCAUAAUCAUAAAAGAUCCCACAUGGCAUAAACUUUUCUUCUUAAAUUAAGACUGACAACAUUUAUCAACCAUGCUUCCAAAGGAGUUUAUCGCGAUUACAUCAAUACCCCAAAAGACUCAACUCCAUCUAGCCUAGUACCCUAAGGGUGCAAAAGCUAAGCUAGCUUCGAGGAGUUCUACCAUCGCCGACUUCUAACUCUAUCCCUGCGACCUAGUGAGCAAACGAGGCAACACUCGACUCGGGGGAAGGUGGACUCCCUGAGCCAGCAGUGUCCAAGCUGGAGGCAGGCUCCUCUCCUCCCUCGAUGUCGACAUCCUCGUUGGCCUCCAUGUCCUAGAUCUCUUGGUGAUGCAUAUCCAGGUGCUUGUUAGCCUCCGCAAGCUGCUGCUGAGUGUUGAUAAGCUGAUCCUCGAGAACCUCGAUGGUGUUCACCCUGGUUCCCACUAGUUCCUCAAGCUCUUGGAUCUCAUUUGACAGUUGCUCCACCUGUAAGUCCUUUUCCACCAUCUCAGUGGAUAAGUCAACCACAAGCUCCUCUCUGUCAUCCAAGGUGAUCUUGGUUGCCUCCAACAAUGCCAUCAGAUGGGACAUUGCCUCACCACGCAUCACUUGCAGACGAUACAGGGAAUUCAUGCACUGCACCGUCAAGUGAGCAGUCUGGCCUGGGUAGAUAGCCCAGAUGUCCUUGGCAUGCUCCACUCGGUCCUUCCACAUUGGGUCGUCCUCCCUCUCAGCGGGGAACAAGCCAAUCGGGUGGGUGGACAGCUCCAAGGGGUGGAAUCCGCAGAAGGUGGUCCGUCCGUGAAGGGCAAUCGCCUCGAUCAUAUCAUCAGCCCGGUAUCCAAAGGACUCAGAGUCCAGCGAACGCCAGCCUGGCUGCAGGGGAUGAGGCUCCAGGGUCAUCCUCACCCUACAGCGGGGCACUCGGUGCUUCUCGAACUGCUGCACCGCGUACUGAGGAGGCGUCGUGUAACCGGCCCCAUAAAGCACCUCCCACAAAAUACGGGGGAAACCCUCUCGUGCAAGCCCGUCAGUGUGGGACUGUGCAUUCCCUUCGUCCGAUGAUCCAUGAGAAGUCAUCUGUGUACGGUUAAGCGUAAGUAAAAGAAAAAGAAUUAUAAAAAGAAAAAGGGAUCACAACUCAGCCUCUCUAUAACUACGACAGUGGUACUGGGGUGCUUAGUUUGUCAUCAUUUUGUAUUAAAGUUCUUACCCAAUUAUCCAUUAGUUUAAUUAAGGAUGCAUGCAUGCUCGUCCUGAACGACCUCUCAUCAACUUAGAGAGGAUAGGGAUGAACUCCUAUCCCUUAUAGUAGCCUGUAGGGCUUACUCAAUUAGCCACCUAGCUACCCCUCUAUCAUCCUAAGGCUUCACGUCCUAGGUCUAUCCUGAUCGUCCUACGAUCUAUCCAACAUUUGUUUCUAUCAAGUUUUACUUUGGAAAAGGAUGGUAUUUAUAGUUUAUUGAUUCCUCUGUGGUGGUACAAGCUCUGAUACCAGCUGUGGCGGAACUGCCCGAAUUAUUCCAACUUAAGUGCCUAAGUCCCGCCUUAGAGGCUAGACCACACUUAAAUGGGACUAACUCGUCAAUCCCUCGGAUCUAGUCCGACGAGGCCACUGACAGGAUCAAGUACCAAAGUCUCACUCGAUGGUGAGUCACAGAGCAAAUACAAUAAAGCAUAAAACCAUACAUUAAGGAAUAGUAAAUUUAUUACAUCAACAUCGGAGUUUUAGCAAAAGUAGCAUCAUUGUCUGAAGUGCAGCGGAAUAAAACUAACGGUAAAUAACUAGAGAGAUGGGGAAGCCUGUCCCAUCACUCCUCAUGCUCCUCCUCAGCCGAGGCAGGGUCCCACUCGACUGUCCAACCCGGUGGCAAGAUGGACGACCAAGUCACUCCAGCAACCAUGUCCUCCAGAGAACCUGUAAAAAAUUAUGCCACAAGCAAGGCUGAGUAUACUAAUACUCAGCUAGACUUACCCGGUGUGAGGAGUCUACUCCUCUACCUCUAGACAUGCAGCUGUUUGGCUGUGGGGUUGGGUUGCCAAAAGCACUAGCUGAGUUUAUAAAUCAAGUUUUAGCUUUGUCAUGUUUUAGUGUGACUCUCUUAAGACUAGAUGUGUACUAUCUACUCAUUCAUGGUAGCAAGCAAACUUAGCAAUCAACAUCUUUUGUCACCUCAUCAUAUUCCACUUGUUACUCAAUGUAGCAGCAUGAAUCAAGCAGUCUCGUUAGCUGCGAGAAGCAGAUGAUUCAAAUCGAGUUUUUAUCCUUGCAAGGUAAACCUAAACACACAACAUGUAGGGGCACUCCGUCCCCACACACAUCAACCGUCCCCAUCGAUUCCCUGGCAACAGAUCAGGGCUCACCGCCUUGGCGUACAAUGCCUCACUGACCCCGACUGCCGUCGUGCAUUGACCGCACUUGUACCCACCAUAACUGGAAUGGGAGACCACGUCUUAGGUCGCGUGAGGGGAUAUGUCUGCGGGCAGGUUCACUCAGGUACUAGGCUUACCGAUUUACCAUAUUUCUCGGUAUGUGUUUAGUACGUUCAAACGCUUGACUCACGGUACCACACCUUAAUCCUUAUUCCAAUUUUUAUCCCGUGGACAACCAAUCCCCAUGGAUUGUUGUCCACAAACCAGCAUCAUUAUGAUAAGAAAGUGGAUACAACCAAUUUCCUGACCUCGCGCGAGUGCUAGAAAAAUCACUCGACUUCUACCGAAAUCCCUAAUUAAUAAAGCAGCUACUCGGCUUAGCAUACUAGUAUUCAUCUCAAUGGGAUUCCUGAGAUCAUGCAACUAAGGUUUCAAACAACUCCUACACUUAAGUGCACAUUCAAUCCUAUAAUCAUUAAGUGUAGUAAAAUAGCAUAAUAAACAGGUUAUGCAUAAACCGGGGCUUGCCUUCCAAAGCUGGGGCAGGCAGAUCCUCUGGUGCAGGCUCUAGUGCUGGAUCCGGGGCUACCUCCUGAGUAGCUCCUUGCUCCGGCACGAGGACGUACUCUCCGUCAGCGAGGUUGCAGUCUAUCAAAUGCAAUGAAUGGGAAUAUGUAUGUCAUGAUUAUGCAGGAUUUAACAAACAUUAUGCUAAAUGAAGAAAAGCUAAGUUAGUUAGUAACUUAGGUUUUUCUGGUCAUACGUGGCUCUUUAGUGGUUUAUGCUUAUCACUCUAGGUUUGGGUUUUGUUAGGGAUAAUCAUAGUGGAUUUGUAACUUGGAUUUCCCUUAGAUGUUUUAGUAGACCUUUAAGGGAUUUUGCUGGUUGGGUUAAAAUGACAUUACUCUCAUUGUUAAUUUCCUCUUUCUUUUUCUAUUUAUGAAUUAUAGGGUGGGUUUGAACUACAAUAGUGAUUUAACCAAUUCCAAAAAUUCUGAAAAAAUUUCAGUAGACUACUAUUGGCCACUGUAGUCUGUCCUAUGAAUUUGAGGUCUAGAAUAAAUAGAGUAUGCUCUGGACAAAAAUAACAAAGGUUGGGGCAAAGGGGUCACUUUGCACUACAACUCUUAACUAGGGGUAGGUUUUGUCCUAAGGGUCAUUUUUGCUGGUAUUUAAAAGUAAUAACAUGCUUCUGUGCCAAAAUUCAUAGAGGGUUAUUUAGUUAUGAUUUUCUAAAGUUUAACGCCAAAAAGAUACUUAUAACUAACUUGUUAUUUGAAAAAUAUUAAACAACAGAACUAGUAUUUUUCCUAUGUUCUUAAUAACAAAACAUUAGUUUUCCCAAGGUUUGGGGUGUUUUUUCCUUGGAAUUAUUUUUCUAGGGUUUUCCAAAGGUUUCCUUGUUUUCUUCAAAUUAAAGGUAUCCCAUUUAUUUUGUACUAAACAAGGGUAUAAUAAAUUUUCCUGGUGAACUAUACUGAAUAAGUAAAUUAACAAAAAUGUGGGUGCUCCCUGGUUCUUUAUUUAAACCUCCAUUAAUAUUUUCUUAGACUUUAGGCUAAAAAGGAUUUAAAUGGUAAACUCUACCUUAACUGGGUGUACAGAGGGGUUUAUUAUUUUUGAACAUGUUAGGAAGUGAUCAAGUACUUCUCCAAAUUUUCUUAACCUCAGUCUAACAGUGUAACUAUUUUUCCUUCUAUUAUUUAGCUUUUGGACAAACCAAUAUUUAAAUCCUAACUUUAAGAUUUUCAGUAGCACUUAGGGGCUUUAUAUUUUUUCUAAGUAGUUUACAUUAUUUAGGAUCUGGCAAAAUUGGUUUGACUCGAUUUGGUUGAAUAAAACAAAAGUUAUGAAUUUUACAAACUCUGUUUGUAUUUACAUUUGAAAUAUUAAAAAGGUUUCCUGGAAAAUCAGUUUACACCGAGGACCCUGGGUUCUUUCUAAACUAAUCCUCUCAGUUAUACCCCUGCGCGACUAUUCCCCUGAGUCACUGACAACGCACAAAACCCCCUAGCCUUUUCUUCUUCUCCCCCGCGGUCCCUCCCCUGGUUUAAACAGUACCCGCAGAAAAAAAGGGCGGCGCGGCUUACCGGCGGCAAGAGAGGUUCGGCGAGGGGCGGGGUUGGCUCCGAGAGGUCCUGGCGGUCACAGCGGUGUACGGCUCGACGGCGGAGGUGGCCGGAAUCGUCCGGUCCACGUGCGCAGGCGGGUGAUCUCGUCGGCGGCGGGUGUUCUGGCUAAACCAUGGCGAUCUAGUUCAAUCAAAUGGCACGAUGAGCUCCACGGGGUGACGUAGAGGCCAUGUGCACAAGGAAUCGAAGAAUGGGGCAGAGAUUUACCCGGUCUACGUUCACCGACGGUCGGGCGAAGUCCGGCGAUCGUGGACUAGCUUCUCCGGCGAAGCAAAGUCCGAUUCCUUGCUCGGGGAGCUUCACCGAGGCGUGCACAGCCUCUUCCAAGAGUCGGGCGUGGCUAGGAAAAGCUUUGUUGGCCGGUCUACGGUGGCAGGGGCUCGGGUGGCCGCGAGCACGCCGUGCGCGGGGCAAACGCUGGUGGUUUCGGGCUCCGGUGAGGUCGAGCGUGCGCGGAGGAGUACGAUCGACGCCUGAGGGUGAUUUAUAGGCGCGGGCACGAGCAGGAGACGCGGGCACGGCUUGGCGUGGCAUGGGGCGCACGGGGUCGGGCGCGGGCGUGCUCUGGCGCGCCCAGAACGCGUCGAACACGUGGAGGUGUUCUUCUGCCCAUGUUCAAAAGCUUGCUGAGAUCGCAAACGUGCGAAUCUUGGCAAAAAUCCGGCGCAGACCUCUUCCUGGCACCUAUGGCUAUCUCUUGUAUGUGAGUUCCAAGGGAAGAUAAGCCCUAGGUCAGAAGAUAUGCGGACGCCAAAUCUGGCUUGUCUCCCUGCCCACUUCGCGAUAAAAGUGAUGCCAAGACAUGUCAAAUUCAAGGGCUCGGUCUCAACUUUUUCCAGGGGGUGCCUUAGGUGGUAUGCCACAUUUUUGGUAUACAACUUAGGUGGUUUUGGUGCCAUCUACUAGGUGAACACGGUGGAUCUUUAGAUUAAGUGUAGAAUUUGACUUAUAGAGAAUUAGAGAGCUCUAGCUCUCUCUCUAGUUAAGGAAUGGAUUUGGGGUUUCUUAAGGGGUCUUUUUGCAAUGUUUCCUCUCUAUAUUUGUAGAUUAAUAUGUUACUUAACUUUGGCCAAAGGUUAGGUCAUGAUUUGCACAUUUGCUUAAUCUCCCCCCCUUCAACCAAGGUUUUAGGAGAUAGGGGUUCAAGGGGGGGUCUAGGGUUUACUCCCCUCUUGCCCAAGGUGAUAAUUGCACAAAAGCUUGGGUAAUGCUUUUGGUCGUUCACAUUCUUGGGUAAAACAUGGUCUCCAAAGUUUUUAUGCUCUCCUCCUCAAGUUUCUUCCACAUGUGAUCACAAUCAUUAGUGCAUAGAUGUGCCAUGGCCAUAGUAACACCUGGGGUGUUACACAAAAGAAUUUAAAGUUUUGAAUUCAAUAGUGUUCUGGCCAAAAGCUGAAUAAAAGGGGGAAAAUGUUUACACUGUUAGACUGGGGUUAAGAAAAAUCAGAGAAGUACUUAAUCACUCCCUAAUCUGUGUAAAAAUAGUAAACCCCUCAGUGCACCAGAGUAAGGAAGGGUUUACCAUUUAAAAUCAUUUUUGCCAAAGUUAAAAGAAAUAAAAAUGGUAGUUUAAAUUAAGAACCAAGGGGCAACCAAAUUUUUGCUAGCUCACUUAUUCAGUAUAGUUCACUGGAAAAUUUUGUUAGACCCUUGUUUAGUACAGAAGAAAUGCAUUACCUUUUAUUUUAUAAGAACAAUGAAAACUUAGGAAAAUCUUAGAAAAAAUAAUCCUGAGGAGAAAACACCCUAAUCCUUGGGAUAACUAAUAUUUUGUUAUUAUAAAUAUAGGAAAAUAUGAGUUCCGUUGUUUGAUAUUUUUUCAAAUAACAAGUUAGUUAUAAGUACCUUUUUGCCAUUAAACUUUAGAAAAUCACAACUAAAUAUCCAGUAGCUCUUUUUCUGUGAUUUUUAACACAGAGGCCUAAUAUCACCUAUGAAUCUGGACAAAAAUAAAAUUUAGUGCAGAGACCUCACCUAAAUUAGAGCUAUAGUAUAAAGUGCCCUUUUUCCCUUACUUUUGAUAAUUUUACACAAGUAGUGUCUGAAUCAAUUUCAGCCUCAAACUUCUAGAAUAACCCACAAUGGUGAAUAUUUACUCACUGUAAUUUUUAUAACAGUUUUGGGAAAAAGAUAACUGACCAUGAUAGUUUAAAAAUGCUUAAAUAGAAACACAAUGGAAAGAAAAAGUAAAAUGUUGGGAGAAUUAAAUAAUGUACAAACCAAAGCCUUUCAAGUACCUCAUAGAGCAUAGAAAUAGAAUUAAAGAGUGUAAGUUUAUUCAAAAAAAAUCUCAAAGGUGGAAGUAUAAAACCCUUAAGUAUACCCAAAAGAAACCCUAGAAUACCACUACACUUAGUACUAUUUUACCAUGCAUAACCUCUACAAUUUAUCAUGUCAUUAAUAAGCAUAUAUCUUAUUCAUUGCAUUCGAUAGACUUUAAUCUCACUGACGGGGAGUACAUCCUCGUGCCCGAGCAAGGAGUUGCUCAGGAGGUAGCCCAGGAGCCAGCACCAGAGCCUACCCUCGAGGAUCUGCCUGCCCCAGCUUUGGAAGGCAAGCCCCAGUUUUAUGCAUAACCUACUUAUUAUGUUAUUUUAAUACACUUAAUGAUUGUAGGUUUGUACUGUGCACUUAAGUGUAGGAGUUACCUGAAACCCUAGUUGCAUUAACUCAGGAUUCCUUUUGAUAUGGAUACUAGUAUGCUAGGUCGAGUAGUUGCUUUACUAAUUAGGGAUCUCGGUAGAAGUCGAGUGAUUUUUCUAGCACUCGCGCGAGGUCAGGAAUUGAUUGUAUCCAUUUUAUAUCGGAAUGAUGAUGGUCUGUUGACGACGGUCCAUGGGGAUGCAUCGUCUCCGAGACGGAAACUUGAAUAAGGAUUAAGGUGUGGUACCGUGUGUGAAGCGUUUGAACGUACUAAGCACAUGCCGAGAAAUUUGGUAAAUCGGUAAGCCUAGUACCUGAGUGAACCUAGCAGCAAAUUGCCCUCCUCACGCGACCUGAGACGUGGUCUCCCAUUCCGGUUAUGGUGGGUACAAGUGCGGUCACUGCACAACGGCAGUCGGGGUCAGUGAGGCAUUGUACGCCAAGGCAGUGAGCCCCUCUCUGCUGAUGGGGAAUCGAUGGGGACGGUUGAUGUGUGUGGGGACAGAGUGUCUCGCCACGUCGUGUGUUUAGGUUUACCUUACAAGGUUUAAAACUCGAUUCGAAUCGUCUGCUUGUCGCAGCUAAUGAGACUGCUUGAUCCAUGCUGCUACAUUGAGUAACAAGUGGAAAUGUGCUGACUUGGUAAAAUGUGUUGAAUGCUAAAUGUUUGAUACCAUGUAUGACUAGAUAGGUACACAUUUAGUCUUAAGAGAGUCACACUAAAACUUGAAAAAGCUAAAACUUGAUUUUAGACUCAGCUAGUGCUUUUGGCAAACCAAACCCCUCAGCCAAACAGCUGCAUGUCUAGAGGUAGAGGAGUAGACUCCUCACACCGGGUAAGUCUAGCUGAGUAUUAGUAUACUCAGCCUUGCUUGUGGCAUAAUUUUACAGGAUCUCUGGAGGACAUGGUUGCUGGAGUGACUUGACCGUCCAUCUUGCCACCGGGCUGGACAGUCGAGUGGGACCCUACCUUGGCAGAGGAGGAGCAUGAGGAGUGAUGGUCCAGGCUUCCCCAUUUCUCUAUUUAUUUACCGCUAGUUUUAUUCCGCUGCAUUCCGAACAAUGAUCACUACUUUUGUUAAACUCCGAUGAUGUUGUAAUAAAUUAAAUACUCCUUAAUGUAUGGUUUUAUGCUUUAUUGUAUUUGCUCUGUGCCUCACCAUCGAGUGAGUACGUGGUACUUGAUCCUGUUAGUGGCCUCGUCGGACUAGAUCCGAGGGACUGAUGUUUUAUUCCUAUUUAAGUGUGGUCUAGCCUUUAAGGUGGGACUUAGGCACUUAAGUUGGAAUAAUUCGGGCGGUUCCGCCACAAGAGAUAUGAGGCCACAUUUGUAGAGUUUUCUUAUGCAAAUUAUCUCGAUUGUGCUCUUAUUUUAGCUAGUAUUGACCUUUAUGAGGAAGAGAACUAUGAGAUGGAACAAUUCUAUGAGCUAGCAAGGUUCGGUAUUGCUAGGAGGUAGGAGACCCUAGGGUUAAGGCACCAACCUACAGUAAUCAACAAAAAAGGGUCACCAUCUUUCAUAAGAGCGGUGACAAGAGAAAUAUUAAAGAUAAGUUUUGUAAUAUCAUUAAGUGAUGUGACCAUUCCAGCAUCGUCAACCUUGCCGAUCAUUUCUACCGGACCUAUCAAUCGAAGCCGAGCAAAAUAGAUACAACAAGAGGUGCACGAUCUACUUUACGAAUUUAAAUUAAACACUAAUGAUAACUUUAUGCUACUUAAGUCGUGUAUGUUGAUUUUGCUUAGGUUCACCAAAGAGGAAGGACAAAACAUAUCAAGGGCGAAUCAGAGAGAAGAACUAUGUUCGAGUUAGCCCAACGUGAGAGAAUCGUCUAGAAGAAACAAUCAUAUCUUUUGAUUCCCAAAAGCUAUGAAUGUCCAUAAGUAAAUUUUGGAAAUCUAUUGAAUUCUAGUUUCGAAUGCUUCUAAGACCGACUUAAUCGGAUCUCCCAGCAAGGCAACCGACCUACUUUAGUGUUGACUGGUCAGAAGGUCAACAGACUGCUUGAUGACCAAGUUUCAGUAUUAAACUGCAUCAUUAUACAAAGUUUCAUUAGCCAUGCUAUACAUGGUGAGAAAGAUUAUAAAGUUAGCUUUCCAACGCAUCUAGCCCCACGCCAUUUGGAGAUUGCUAGGAGAAGUUAUUAUUAAAAUGAUGAAGGCUGCGCAGAAGUCAAACAGCCACGCGGAAUUCAGCUCUGGAUAUCUCCCGAAGAGGCCCCUUCAGAUUAGCACGUUAAAAUACUUUUUUUUCGUGUUUAUGCCUAUCUAAGGCUGGUUGUUUCUAGUAUAAAUACCCCCUAUGUCUAUGAUAUAAAACAACUUUUGAUAACCUUUGAUGAUUUGAUAAUCCAAGUGAUUACCUCAGCCGAGUUGCUGAGUGUUACUCUACCCCUGUUCUUCCUUGUUCUCCUGGACUUGUGAAGAGAUUCCUCUGGGAUCCACUAGUUCGUGCCUUGUGAGUUCUAGUACGGCUGCCUCACAUUAUGUGGAUUAGCUCCGGUUGUGGUUCUGCGGUCGUUCGGAGAUCGAGUCGAAGUCUACACAGUUUCGGUGUCUCUCUCCCCCUCACUUGGUCACCUCCGACCUUGAUCAGGUAUAAAGUUAGUUACUCGUUGUUCUUCAGUAAGAUUACCUUGUUAUUCCGUUACUUUUAUACCCAACCAUCCUAUUUAUCAACCUACUGUCGUGAAGAUCGAGCCACCCUAGUACCGAAUAUAACUCGGUACAUAUCAUCUGGUAUCAAAGCUUUCGUUGUCAUGGUAGGUCUUACUAUCAUCCACUUAUUUAUCACAGUCUUCAUCCAAAGCCAAAAGAACCUAUAACCCUUUGGCGGUACUGUUACCUUGUGUUGUUUAAACUUCCUCAAGUUGCUAGUUACCACCAUCGUAUUCAUAUUAUGUCAUUGCAUUUGAUCUUGGCACCCCAUUAGUGUUAUAAAAAAGAGAGAAAGAAAAAAAGAAGAGAAAUAAGUAAAAAAAGAAGUGAAAAAAUUGUGAAAGGGGAUUGUGUUGCAAUGUGUUGCUGAAAAUUUCAGUUUACAUUGAUUUGGUGAGAAUCUUUGCAGCAACAAUUUCAUAUAUUUUUAGCACGUCAACACACUUGGUUGACAAUACCAUAGCCCACCUUGAUUAGCCUCCUAUAGCUCCACUAAAAACAUGAAUUGGGACGUUUGACUUGUGAUCCUUUCGACCGCUCUACCAUCUCUGUCGAAGCUGUCACAUCGGCACCAUCAUGGUCCUAGAGAUCAGGAAAGAGCUUGGAUAAGUAAGAGGUGAGAUCGAGUGUUCCACAAAUACUUUUAUAUUCUACUUUCUCUUUCUUCCCUUUAACAUGGUAGGAUCCAAUUCAAGUGUUCAAAGUGGAAACCAUGGAGACGGAGAGCCCCCUGUCUCUCGGGCUGAAUCGCAUCAGAUGGCCGACUCACUUGUGUAGGCCAUGGAAAGGAUGUUAAAUGAACGUCUGCCCGUGACAGGUGGUCGAAGGCAACAUCAUCGUGAUCCAGAAGAAUUUAACCGUGAAGAAUCCGAAUAUGAGAAUUCUGGUUUCGGCCAUGAAAUCGAUCCCUUCGACGAUGGCCGUAGAGGUUAUGGUGAUGGUCACCACGCUAAUUUCGAUAAUUUGUGUGGAAGGCGUCGUGUACAUGAACGCCAAGUAAGAUUUGAAGACGAGGAGUUUGAAGACCAUGAUCGUGAGGAAGAAUCUGAUGAGAAUCCCUUUGCAAAUGAUGGAAUGUUUGGUCAGCGUCAUCAUCACUGACAUGCUAACUUUGAAGAUAGAGACUGUUAUCAUGGGCGUCGUCAUAGAAAUGACCCGGACAAUAUUUCCUGAGUCAAGUUGGAUAUUCCUAAAUAUACUGGGAAAGAAAGUGCAGAUGAAUAUCUUAAUUGGGUUGAGAAGCGCGAUCAAAUUUUCAGAGUUCACAAUCUUUUAGAUCAACACCGAGUGAACUUGGCUUCAGUCGAGUUCUCUGGUUAUGCUCUAAGUUGGUGGAAUCAAGUGCAAGAACAUCAAAUUAGAUUGGGACUAGUCCAUAUUAAUACAUGGGAAGAGAUGAAGCGAGUGAUGAAAAGGCGAUUUGUUCCUUCCAGCUAUCAACGUGAUCUUCGAAAUCGAUUGCAAUUAUUGAAGGAAGGAAAGAAAUUAGUUGAUGAAUAUUUUAAGGAUAUGGAGUUGCUGUUAGUGCGGACUAGAAUCAGAGAAGAUCCCGAGUCAACAAUGGCAAGAUUUCUAGGCGGACUCAAUGAAGAGACUUCUGGAUUUGUCGAGAUGUUCCCAUACCGUACCUUGCAAGAUCAAGUUGAUCAAACAAUGCGUACAGAGAGAAAAAAUUCAGCAAGAGUCACGUGGAAAAUCUUAUGCAAGUCAUUAUAAUGUUGUCCCAUGGCGCAAACAGCAAUCCAAUGCUUCUUUUGGUGGAGGAUGAUCCCAAGGAAAUGCAGCUAGGUCUUCUCCAUCCAAUGGUACAUCAAAGGUGGCAGCUUCUAUAGGGUCAUUCCCUACAAAUAAUCAGCGGCCUCCUGCUAGUACAUCAGAUCCAACUAAAACUUCAGUCGCUACUUCUUCUACCCGUACAAGAGAAAUUGUGUGCCAUAAGUGCCAUGGUCGUGGGCACAUUGCUGCUCGAUGUCCAAGUAGGAGAACAAUGAUGUUGAAUGAGAAAGGUGAAUGGGAAUCAGACAGUGAUCCAGAAGAUGAUGGACCGAAGUUUGAUGAAUAUAUUCAAUAGGACGAGAAUGAGAUUUAGCCAGAAGAAGGAGAUCAUAACUGUUUUAUCUCUCUUCGAGUGCUAAGUGUGAUUGCUGAAAGGGAAGAAAAUGGACAGCGCCACAAUCUUUUCCAUACCCGAGGUAUGAUCAAAGAUAAGCUAUGCCGCAUCAUUGUUGAUAAUGGUAGCUGCAACAACAUUGCUAGUCAAGAAUUGUUGGACAGAUUAGAAUUAAAAUCAAGGCGUCAUCCUAGUCCAUAUAAGAUGCAGUGGCUUAAUGAUUGUGGAGCGUUGCGUGCUAGCCACAUGGUGAAUGUUCCUUUUUCUGUUGGGAAGUACAAUGAUCAUGUGGAAUAUGAUGUGGUCCCUAUGCAAGCAUGUCAAUUACUGCUAGGCCGACCUUGGUUAUAUGAUUGUGAUGUCUAGAUUUUUGGAAGAACCAACAAGUUGUCUUUCUUUUAUAAAGGGGAGCGAAUCUCUUUGCUUCCUUUAACACCGGAGGAAAUUUUGAAGGAUGAUCUAAAGAAGAAACAUCGAAAGAGCAAGAACCACUUGAUAGUGAUCCACAAAAAUAGUAGGGGAGAGUUUCCAAAGCCAAAUAAAACUCCACCGCCUCCAAUAACCAAGACACCGGGAAAAGAGGGAUUAGUCAUGAUGACUAGGAAGGGGGAUCUAAAAGAAUUGAGUGAACCUAAUGUCAUGUUCUUUGUGCUCCUGUACAAGGACACCCUUCUUUCUACUAACAACUUACCCUCUACCUCGCCAAGUAUUGUCUUUGAUGCAUUAAAAGAAUAUGAGGAUGUGUUUCCUAAUGAAGUGCCACUAGGGCUACCACCUAAGAGAGGGAUUGAACAUCAAAUAGACCUUGUGUCUGGCGCUUCCCUCCCAAAUCGUGUUGCCUACCGCACCAACCCAGAAGAAACAAAGGAGAUUCAACAACAAGUGAAAGAAUUGAUUAUUAAAGGGUACGCACAAGAAAGUCUUUCCCCUUGUGUUGUCCAUGUCCUACUAGUUCCUAAGAAAGAUGGAUCUGGGAGAAUGUGUGUGGAUUGCCGAGCUAUCAAUAACAUCACCGUAAGGUAUAGACAUCCAAUUCCUAGAUUAGAUGAUAUGCUUGAUGAACUUAGUGGUGCUUUUAUUUUCACUAAAAUUGACUUAAGAAGUGGCUAUCAUCAGAUUCGUAUGAAAGAGGGAGAUAAAUGGAAAACAGCCUUUAAAACAAAAUUUGUGUUGUAUGAAUGGUUGGUGAUGCCCUUCGGGUUAACAAAUGCACCUAGUACAUUUAUGAGAUUGAUGAAUCAUGUUCUUAGAACUUUCAUUGGCAAAUUUGUUGUUGUCUAUUUUGAUGACAUACUAAUUUACAGUAAAUUCCUUGAUGAACAUGUUGAACAUAUCUGAUACAUACUUACUGUCCUUCGAGAAUAGAAAUUGUAUGCUAACCUUGAGAAGUGCACCUUUUGCACCGACAAAGUAGUGUUUCUUGGAUUUGUUGUAUCAGGACAAGGUGUGGAGGUAGAUGAAGAAAAGAUCAAAGUUGUACGUGACUGGAUGCCUCAAUAGAAUGUGAGCCAAGUGAGAAGCUUCCUUGGGCUCACUGGGUUCUAGCGGCGGUUUGUAAAAGACUUAAGUACUAUUGCUGCUCCCAUCAACGAAUUAACCAAAAAAACAAGUACCUUUCAAAUGGGGAGAAGCACAACAGAAGGCAUUUGAAGAAUUGAAGACAAAGUUAACAAUAGCCCCAGUUCUUGCACUCCCAGACUUCGGUAAGACAUUUGAAAUAGAAUGUGAUGCCCGUGGAAUUGGGAUCGGAGGCGUGCUCAUGCAAGAAUGAAGACCAAUUGCCUACUUUAGUGAAAAGCUAAGUGGCCCGACUCUAAAUUAUUUAGUUUACGAUAAAGAAUUAUAUGCUCUUGUUCGGAGUUUGGAAACUUAGCAACACUAUCUUUUUCCUAAUGAAUUUGUGAUACAUUCAGACCAUGAAUCAUUAAAACAUCUUAAAGGACAACUAAAACUAGAUAGAAGGCAUGCAAAAUGGUGUGAAUUUAUUGAAUCAUAUCCUUAUACUGUCAAAUACAAGAAAGGAAAAGAUAAUGUUGUAGCAGAUGCUUUGUCUCGACGACAUGCUUUGCUAACACAACUCGAUGCUAAAAUUGUCACACCCGGAUUUAAGGGACAAAGUCGGUGCAUCUCAUAUAUGCGCCAAAGAAGACAACACAUAUAAUAACAGAGUGUAUAGAGAUAAAUGUCACAAUAUAAUCAGAGUACUUAUUACAUAGCGGAAGUCUUACAGGAUAAAAGAUAAAUAUAAAACGAACUAAGGUCCAUCCUUGGUGCCAUAAAGUCAACUGGGAGACGCCACCUAGAUCAAAUUGAACUCCUCGAUGUGUGGCUCCACUUGAACCACCUGUUCUUCUCCUGUGGGGGGGUGUGAGACAGCAAGGGUGAGCUCACACAUGUUCAUCGCUCAACAAGUUAUGGGAAAUAAUGUGGCAUGAACUCACCAAAGGUGGGAGUUCCUGUGAUGUGUAAAGCUGAUCAACAAAAGGGGUUAAAGUUGAGCAUUGCUUUUAAUAAGUUGGUCAAAUUUUAUUAGUAGUUACUAAGUGUAAGUAAAUACCAAACCAUAAUAAAUAAUAGAACAAAAUUAAUAAAUAAUCCCAUACAAUGCAAAUGACAAAUUGAACUUAAGUUCCAUAAAUUAAUCAUGCGAGAGUCCUAAGCUGCUCUUGACCGUGAGCUCGACUAGUAUACCAGUUUUACACUCUGCAGAGGUUGUACCCUGUACCCACAAGUCAUGUUACCCAUCUGCCAAGGGGUCAUGAAUCACAUACACCUCUACCAAGGAAGCGAGGCAGGGUAACGCUAUGAGGCCGUUACAAAGUUCCACUAGCUUCCAAAAACCGCUACAGUUUAUGGGAAGAGCACUUGCAAAAUCCCUUGUCUCACCGCCAUCGCAGCAAAAUCAACCCGAGAAUCUCCCUGCAUGCAACUCUCCUACUGCCUUUGCCCCUUUCGGGUAAGAUAGUCUUCCACUAGCUUUCCUAAUUAGUCAGCCAAGGGCAUCCCAUUCCACCCUUGUGGUGGCACGUGUUUCUCAAGUUAAGCUCCAUGUUCCAAUUAAAGAUAAUGAUCUUGACAUGAACAUAAAUAACAUAACAGAAUAAUUGGAACAUGGAUAUAAUGAAAUAUUAACCCAAAACCAUAUAGAGCAAUAGCAAAAACUACCCAAAUAGUUGAGGGGUAAACAAGGCAUAAAGAUAAUCAGACUAGGGUGACCUGUUGGGUCCCAUCGAAAUUAAACCUAUGCAUUGAAUAGUGAUAAUAAAGAACAUUAUUGGGUAAAUGAAAGUGAUCAAGGGCACAACUUGCCUGACACUUGAGAUUCCAAGUACCAGGAUGAUCUUCAGAUCCUCGUGACCUCACUGCUAGUCGCAGCAAUACAAACAAACAUAGUAUAGGCAAAAUUAACAUCACAUCAAACAUAAGUACAAAUUGAAUAAUAAUAAUAAUCUACGCGAAGCUAUGAGCUCGUGGCAUCGAGAACUACCAAGAUCGGAGUCAGGGUUACGAAGUUAUGAUCUAUGGAAGAUCUAUGUGAUUUAAACUAUAUUAUAAAUUGGUUAGUACAUAUCAUACGAUAGAUUAUUCCAUAAAUAAUUAUCUCAAUUUAAAUCUAGGACAUUAUUUGAUUAAAGAUCAUCUAGUUAAAUUAUAACCAUAAGAUCAGAAGUUAAUCCAAUAGACCUAGAUUAAUCUAAUUAACAUAGGAUAAAUAAAUAUCUAAUUAUAAAAGUAUGAGACAUGGUAUAAUCAAUGUUGUUAUUGCGUAGUAAAUAUUUAUACAAAACUAACACAACUGGAACGAGUCAAUUCGGAAUUAAACAGAGAAGUUAUAAAUUUCCAAAGGUUUUAUGUAUUUGGUACAAGAUUAAUUAAGAGAAUAAUUUUAAUGGGGUUUUCAUGUCAAAACAGUGGCACUAUUUGAUAAACAAUAAUAUUUUUAUAAAAUUAUAGGAACUGGAAUGGUUCAAUUUGGAGUUAAAAUGAAUUUUCUAUGAAUUAAACAAGUUCUAGGAAUUGUUUUGUAUUAAAAAUGCAUUUUCUAAUUCAUUUACCUUGAUUUUCCAUUCCCUGGACUGCGCGCAUUAAAACAGAGAAUAACAGGGGUUAACUCGCAAGAAUUCCCAAGACUCAGGCUACUAUUCCCUGGAUUGCGGGUUGAUUUGGUGAAUUCGCGAGGGUUCUUUUAUAAAAUGGGCGCGACCGAGGGAAACUCCUGAUCCGAGCUGUCAGAUCAAAACAGACGGCCUAGAUCAGAUUUACCCCUCCAUGAACCGGUACGCGAUCUAAGUCGUCAUUAUUGCGUCAAUGGCCUAGAUCUAACCGAGCGAAUCCGUAUCUCAUGACUUAAUCACGACCGUCCGAUCUAGAUUCUACGGAGUACACGAUCUCACCGUUUCUUCCCCCUCCGUUCAGCCGUCGCCACGACGGCGCCGACUGCGCAACGACGACAAUUGCAUCGGCGAGCGACCUAGUCGAGCACAAACUCCAAAUUAAGAUGCGCAACACAUUGACAAGAACAUGGGGAGCACGUGGGAGGGUUGCAUACCAAGGGUAACGCGGAGCAGAGCGCUGCCCGCGGGGGUCCGAGAUACGCAGCGGAUGGAGAAGUCCGGUGAGCAAUUCACAUCACCCCGAGGCUUCAUGCUCCCGAAUUUCGUGCCGCGCACAACCCACAAACACGUCCAAGCGUCUAGGAUCCAGUCACUGGUGCUAAGCGGCAACAGAAGUGAGGUUCGAUGACAACGGCGAACUCCUUCUCGACUCUCCCUCACUGAUGGCGAUGGCAGCCCUCGGUGGUUAGAGCGGCGAGAAACCUCGACACACGGGUCACGCAGGAGGGACUGCGGAGAGCCUAGGGGGGUCUUAUCCCCACGGCGCGGCAGACCCGGUCUAGCUUCCGGAUUCCACGCGGAGGUGGUAACAGCACGCCCGCGAGAGGGGGAAGACUGGCCUAACCAGCGGGGCCACACAUCGACGACAGGCUUUGACGAAAUAGGGCUGACCGGUGGGGUCCGCACGUCAGGUACGCAAGGCUUGCGGCGCGUGACAGAGAAUGACCGAGGGGCCCGCUUGUUAGUGGGGCGCGAUCGUGUGUGAGAGAUAAGUGUGAGGCUGACAGGGAAGCCCCGCCAUCCAGCGAGCGCGCAGGUGGUGAGGUCGUGUCGCGUGGAGAAGGAACACUAGUGGGCCGAAUUAGGAUAGAGUGAGCCCAUGCGUCUAUUUUUCUUUUUCUUUUGAUUUUAUUUUCUGUUUUCUUUUAUUCUCAACUCUUUUGAAUCCAAAUUUGUAUUCAAACUUAAUUGCAAAUUUAAACUCAUUUUAAUUGUGAAAUUUUGUCAAACCUUCAUAGCAAGGUUUUAUUUAUCCCAUAUUUUGUUUUAUUUUGUAUAGUAGCUUUCCUUCACUUUUUCAAAUUUCUAGAAUUGUAAAUUAGGUAUCAAAUCACAAUAUUAACAUAAUUAUAUUUUUAUUGAUAUUAUCAUUGUUUAUAAAUACCUAACAAAAUAAACUCCAGCAUGGUGCACAAGUUGUUCAUGUCUCAUUUGUCAAUUCUUCACUUUUAGGUGUGGUUAUAAGUGGAGACAAAAUACAUAAGAGAGUUACCCCUUUUUUAUAUGGUUUACAACUUUGGGUAUUACAAAAAUUCUUGGAGUAGAAGGUAUAAAGGAAUUAUAUCCGACUGACUUAAACUUUGCUGAACCAUAUUCUAAGUGUUGUGAUGGCAAAGGAUGGGUAAAUUUUCAUAUUAAUGAUGGUUUUUUGUUCUGAGCUAACAAACUGUGCAUUUCAGAAUGUUCUGUUUGAAUUUUGCUUUUGCAGGAAGCUCAUGCAGGAGGACUUAUGGGUCAUUUUGGCACCAAGAAGACAGAGCAAGUGCUUGCCGAUCAUUUCUUUUGGCCUAAAAUGAGAAGGGAUGUGGAGUGACAUGUCCUUCGAUACGAAUCAUGUCAUAAAGCUAAGUAUCGUUUAAACCCUCAUGGCUUAUACACUCCACUACCUAUUCCUAGUGUGCCUUGGGAAUCAUGUCCUUAUACAUGUCCUUCGAUGCGAAUCAUGGUGUUGUCCGCGAGGGCCUUGCCUUUUUUCUCCACCAGUAGCGCUGCAUGGGGCUGCCUUCGAACUAGCUCGCUUGGAGGCCAACACGGGUUGUUUUUCGUAGCACGAACGGUGGGCGCCAUAUGUUGGCACUUGCUCUCCUGGGCAAGUUGAUCCAACGGGAAAGCAGAAAGAGUAUUUGCAAAGUUUGGCAUGGGAUGGCAAAAGCUUUGUUUAUCUACCACUAUGAGGGCACUGUAUGAGGGUAUUUAUAGGCACUCGAGCGGCCACCCGUCCCUUGUCAAAGACGUUUAUGCCCUUGAGUACCCGGUUUAUCCCCAUAAUAUUCCCACGAGGGGAGGUUAUAGAUAGUCAUUACAGCAAAAGGCUAUUACUAACGCGGCCCGUAAUGUGCUUAUCCUCGCGGGGGUCGUUACCGUGGGCCAAAUCCCGCAUGGGCCUCCCGGGGCGGUGACGACGUGGGAGACUUGUAAACUUCGACGAAGCCUUCGUCUUGCAAUAGAGAGGACGAAGAGGGACCGCGCCGUUCUUCAUCCAAUCGACGCCUUCGGCUUGUUCGGGCGUGUUAUGUGGAUGUAGUCUUCGUAGGAGUGACAAGGCGACGAAGGCAUCGAGUGAAGGGUAGCAUGUUUGCCUUCGCCCCAACAGAUAUAUCCAUGGAUUUUGUUCUUGGUUUACCACGAACUAAGCAGGGAAGGGAUUCCAUUUUUGUUGUGGUUGAUCGAUUUAGCAAAAUGGCAAAUUUUAUUCCAUGCCACAAGAGUGAUGACGCGUCACAUAUUGCUGAAUUGUUUUUCAAAGAAGUUGUUCAUUUACAUGGGAUUCCACGAACUAUUGUUUCUUAUCAUGACACUAAAUUUUUGAGUUACUUUUGGAAAACUUUGUGUGGAAAACUUUGAACAUGACUUCUGUUCUCUACAACAUGUCAUCCACAAAUAGAUGGACAGACUGAAGUUGUAAAACGAACAUUAUCAAUAUUGCUAUGAGCUAUCCUCAAGGAAAAUUUAAAACUUUGGGAAGAAAGUCUACCACAUGUCGAGUUUGCAUACAACAGAGCUGUAAACUCGACUACUAAAUUUUGUCCAUUUGAAACUGUAUAUGGCUUCAAACCCACUGCUCCCAUAGAUCUUUUGUCAUUUCCUAUGCAGGAACGGGUAAACUUUGAUGCUAGCAAGCGAGCCGAGUUAAUCAAGAACCUUCAUGAAAAAGCUCGAGCAAAUAUUGAGAAGAUGACCAAGAAAUAUGAAAAGUGUGCCAACAAGGGACGAAGAAAGAUGUUGUUCGAACUAGGAGACAUGGUUUGGGUACAUCUAUGCAAAGAAAGAUUUCCUGAUCAACGCAAAAGCAAAUUACAACUACAAGCUGAUAGUCCAUUCAAAGUGCUUCACAAGAUCAACGACAAUGCUUAAGAAAUUGAUCAGCCAGAUACUUAUAGUGUGAGUUCCAAUUUUAAUGUGGACGACCUCUCUCCUUUCUUUGGAUUGGAAGAGUUGGGGACGACUCUUUUCAAGGGGGGAGGAUGAUGUGACCAUACCAGCAUCGUCAACCUUGCCGACCAUUUCUACUGGACAUAUCACUCAAAGCCGAGCGAAACAGAUACAACAAGAGGUGCACGCGCUACUUUACGAAUUUAAAUUAAAUACUAAUGAUAACUUUAUGCUACCUAAGUCGUGUAUGCUGAUUUUGCUUAGGUUCACCAAAGAGGAAGGACAAAACAUAUCAAGGGCGAAUCAGAGAGAAGAACUAUGUUCGAGUCAGUCCAGCGUGAAAGAACCGUCCAGAAGAAAUAGUCAUAUUUUUUAUUCCCAUAAGCUAUGAAUGUCCAUGAGUACAUUUUGGAAAUCUAUAGAAGUGUAGUUUCCAAUGCUUCUAAGACCGACUUAAUCGGAUCUCCCAGCAAUGCAACCGACCUACUUUAGUGCUGACUGGUCAGAAGGUCAACAGACUGCUUGAUGACCAAGUUUCAGUAUUAAACUGCAUCAUUCUACGAAGUUUCAUUAGGCAUGCUAUACACGAUGAGAAGCUUAUCAAGCUAGCUUUCCAAGGCAUCAAGCCCCAUGCCAUUUGGAUAUUUCUAGGAGAAGUUAUUAUCAAAAUACUGAAGGCUGUGCAGAAGUCAAACAGUCACACGAAAUUCAGCUCUAGAUAUCUCCUAAAGAGGCCCAUUCACAUUAGCACGUUAAAAUACUUUCUUUUCGUGCUUAUACCUAUCUAAGGCUGGUUGUAGCUAGUAUAAAUACCCCCUAUGUCUAUGAUGUAAAACAAUUUUUGAUAACCUUUGAUGAUUUGAUAAUCCAAGUGAAUACCACAACCGAGCUGCUGAGUGUUUACUCUACCCCUGUUCUUCCUUGUUCUCCUGGACUUGGGAAGAGAUUCCUCUGGGAUCCACUAGUUUGUGCCUUGUGAGUUCUAGUAUGGCUGCCUCACAUUGUGGGGAUUAGCUCCGGUUGUGGUUUUGCGGUCAUUCGGCGGUGUCCCUCUCUGUGUCGCUUGGUCACCUCCGACCUUGAUCAGGUAUAAAGUCAGUUACCCGUUGUUCUUCAACAAAUUUACCUUGUUAUUAUGUUACUUUUAUACCCAACCAUCCUAUUUAUCAACCUACUGUCGUGAAGAUCGGGCCACCCUAGUACCGAAUAUAACUCGGUACAUAUCAUUAAGCAUGUUAUGAAUGGAGAGAUCAUGGAUGUGGUUACUUUCAUAUAUCAUGCGUAUGCUCCAUAUAUCAUGAUCCUUAUAAAAGAGAAGACCAGAUUUCAAGGUAGGCGUGAAGUGGUACACACCUCCUUCGGGCCAUUCAAGAAUGACACAACCUUUCUUCAUAGGCCUCUAACUCCAUUCCUUAAUUAGGAGCAAGCAAACUAUGAUGAUGAGGAGUAGGAUGCUCCAGUUGAUUAGGGUGCUUAUAAAAUGCCUCCAUGUCCUCCACAACAGUUCUGGGUUCCUCCCCUAGGUACACUGAUUCAUAUUUCACCUCUAUGCAGUAGGCGACCCAGAAUGCUAUUACUCAUCGGUUUCAAGUGAUGAGAAGCUACGUGGCUGGACAAUUUAGUAACAUGACCUUCAGAUUUGAGGAGAUGGAUGAAAGGCUUGUGAGGUAAUGAUGAGAAUACAAACUCUGCAGGAGAAUGUCCUGACCCAAGUGCAUGAUCCUCUCAUGGUUGGGAUGAAUAACAUGCAACAAAGUUUCUAGGACAACAUGGGUGCAUUAUCUUGUCUAUUAAGGAAAUUAUCAUGAGCAUGAUCAGAAGAAACAUGACCUCUAGAAUGAUUUCAGUCAGUUCACAUCUAUUUUUGAUGACUUCAGUGAGCACUUCUAUUCAGUCUAUCCUCUUCCUCCACCUGGUGGUCAGUAGGUGGCGCCUUUUAUGACAAGUUGAUGACAAAGUGGUAGAUAACUGAAGUGAAGCUCAAGAGAAGGUUGAAUGACUAAGGGGGAGCUCAUGAAUUAUCAUAGACAAUUGUUAUAUUUUUAUGCAUGAAUAUGUGUGUUGGACUAUGUGUUGAACUAUGUUGGUUAUGCAUUUCAUGUGAACAUAUGCUUACUAUUUAGUGUAAAAACUUGGUGUCUGCCAAAUAUUUAAUCUUCUUAUGGUUUAUCUUAUAGAAAAUCUAGCAUGAUUUGUUGGUUGAUCGAGUUGUUAUGAUUGCCCUAUAGUAUCUUGAUUAUCAUAAUAUUAAGAAGUGUGCCUCACUCACCAUCAUAUAGGGAGACUUCACUAAAACUCUGGUCAUGUAUAUGUGCAUAGAUCAAAUGAUUAUAUCAUGAACAUAUCUAGGGGAGUUAUCGCAACACCCUUGAGUUUUGUUAUGACUUAUCCACUUUUCAAAAAGGGACCUCACUGCCAGAUAAGUCACUCAAAUCUCACCCUCAAAUCCUUCUUAUACCUCGGGUAUUAGAAUGAUUUGAUCUCCAAAUGACCUCUUGAGAUGCAUUGUCAUCAACUACUCAAAAUGGGGAUAUUAUGAAGCAUCUUGGCCCCUAAGUACUAUUUUGGUAAUUAAUGUCAAACAUGUGUGGACUAACGAUUUCUUUGAGAAAAUAAGAAUGCAGGUUGGUCCAUGAACAUGUGAGCUACAUAAAGUCUUGAAGGACUUUGGAAUGAAUUGUUGGAUAGCUCAAGGCAAAGGUAAAACGUAGGUUUUUCCGUUUGCCGGUUAAAAGGUGAUUAGAGAAGUACAUUGACUAGAUUAGUAGGAUAUAUAGUCAUACUAUUAAGAGGGGUUAAUGAUGUUUUCUUGACGAGUUUUUAAGGCCUCGUUGAUCAUAUAGUUGAGGCAUGUGCAUGAGGGAUAAUAACGCUUUUGAUUGUGAAAAAAAAUCUUUUCAGAAGCAGAUUUUGACAAAGGGGUUGAUUUGUGUAUUGUGGAUCGUCCGGGCCAGGAGGUCGGACUAUCUAUAGGUCUAAUAGAAAGGUUGCAUAAAUGUGUGUUUCUAUGUGGUUUGCAAAAUUUGUAGUGCAGACCAUCCAGAUCAAGUGGCCGGACCGUCCGCAGUAGAGGCCAAUAGUGCCACAGAUUUUGGCUAAGUCCUUAGUGCCUUCUACGGGCCGUCUAGCCCAAAGGCAUAGAUCGUCCACAUUUCUCGUGUUGGAUCUAUGCAAUGACUAUGUGUUUUUUGGGUAUUGUCUUGCAAACAGUCCAUGCCCAGGUCAUAGACAGCCCAGUUGCCCAAGCCAUUAAUUGUUCGUGCCUAGGUGUCGUAUCGUCCACGAUUGUGCAAAAUUAGGUCUGCAGAGCUUGGGGUGCUUUAAGUUUGUGGUUAGUGGACCACGGCCAGGGUCAGUGGAUCAAAGAAGAUCGUCAUCUUAUUACUCUUGGAGGUUGGCGCCUCCUAGAUGGCUUAGUAAAGGUUCCUCGUUGAGCUAUCCAACAAAGAUUAUGGAGAGGCCAUGACGAUGAUUGUGAGAGGCUUGUGCUUGCCUCACCGAAGCGAUUAAAAGUGAUGCUAGUGGAAUCGAGGUGCGAGUGAUUCUUUGACCUUCUAGCUUAAGAGAUCAAGUGGAGCCUUGAUAGAGGACGGUAGAGUGCAUUGGAUCCACCUCAAUGUGGAUUAGGGGUGAUCGACAAAUCAUUGAGACCAUGAUAAAAAAAUCCAGUGUCUUAUGUGUUGAUUACUUUGUUUUCAUGGCCAUUACUUGUGUUUAAUUUAUGUUAUCUCACAUUACUAUCAAUAUUGAUCACUUGUUCAUCCUAGCAUGCAACCAAGCCAUGGGCCCUCUCCACACGCAAGUGGUGCUCCGCUUCUAGCUCCUCUCGGAUGCACCCCGCCGUCUCCAAUAUUGAGCUUCUGGCCGAAACGUUGUGGGCCUUGUUCCCACCGGUACACGGUGGCCGUCGUGACACAAACAUGGUUGUCACGGCCUCGCAAGACUCGCGCCCCACUCUGUACAAUUACAAUGGCUCACACAAGAGCCGAGGAGUUUUGUGGGUUUUUUUCUAAACUCACUCAACUAACUAGGAUUCACCUAGAGCAAGUGCAUAAGCGGUCUAACUAACCUAAGCACUUCGCAAAGCACCUACGCUAAUCACCUAGUGAUUUUAUUAAGCACUUGAGUGUUUGGGCACUUGGAAAUGUCUAUAUCCUUCCUUGGUAUGUUGCUUGGGCUCCCACUCCUUCAAAUGGCCGGUUGGGUGAAGUAUAUAUAGGCCCCAACUCUAAACUAGCCAUUGGAGAAAAGUUGCUACUUCUCUGCGGCACACCAUACAGUCUAGUGGUAGUCACCGGACAGUCCGGUGCCCUGUCUGGUCCUCCACUAGACCUUGGAUUCAUCAUUGCAGGUGACCAUUGCCGCACGUCAGCCUUGCAUCGGACAAUCCGGUGGCUCUGCUCCACAGUUCCACCAGAAACUAGUCAUUGGGCUACUAUUCCCUGGUGACCAGACAGUCCGGUGUGCCACCAGACAGUCUGCUGCUCUCAGUCGGACGGUCCGCUAGUGGCUACACUCUCUUCAUGUCUUGGACUUUGAUUGAUGCUUGUUGAUCUUCACUAAUAGUCUUUAUAAUGUCUUCUUUUGAGGUGUUGCUUCCUUAAUGCCUAGUCCAAGUCACUUUAGCAUCAUGUGAACUACAAAUACAAACACUAGCAAACACAUUAGUCCACGAGUUAUGUUAAUCAUCAAACUGUUAGAAAUAUGUCCUAGAGAUAAUCAUAGAGAUGAGCAUAUUUAUUUGUAUCCAUGAUAUAUAUAUAUAUAUAUAUAUUGCUUAAUUGAAUAUCCAUGAAAGGCACCUUGUAUUGAUUAGCAAUUAUGUGAAUUGUUUGUGAGAUUCUUUACUUUUAUGGUUAUUCUAAAUGAUGUCCCUAAUCAGAGUCGAUGACUAGCACAUGUAUUAGCUGAUGACUACAUUUCACAAGUCAUGGACAUGGAGAUGUUAAACUAAUAAUGUGCAUGCCUGUAUGACAUGAGGCUAGACCGACCCAACAUGAGAUAUUGUAAUAUAGUUAUCUUUUUGCAACAUGUAUAUUGUAUCCUUAGACCUAAGAUUGUCACAUGUUCUUAAGAUGUGAAUUAACUUACUUAGGUACUAUCAAACGCUACUCCGCAACUGGGUAGUUAUAAAGGUAGUUUUGGGUUUGUCAGGAAGCAUGCUGUGAGGCAUGGUCAGUCAAGAUGGAAUUUGUCCCUCUCUUCUUGAGAGAGAUAUCUCUGGGCCCCUCAAGUGAUUGGAUCAAGAAAUGAAUGGUCGUGCUAGGGCUAAGUGUUAACCAAUAUAAGGAUUCCAAUUCACAGUAUCGAGAAAGAGAGGUUAGCUUAGAGUCAGACCAUAUAUCGUGAGACAAAGAGAACAACACGUACGUAAUGUUGCAAUGGUUCAUCUGAUGUGAUCUUUACGUGCGCAUAGGAAUUGACAUGUCUUGCUAGAGGCCGCUGUCAAUUAUUAGGCCAAGUAAGAGUACUUGGGUCAUAUGUACGUGAACCUAUAGGGUCACACGCUUAAGGGGAAGGAAGCGUAACUCGGAUUAGAUCUGAAAUUAGACAGGACUUUAGGGUUACUGAUGUGUCUCAGAGUUAUAAGCCCAACAGAAUGCCUAUAUAAUGAGGGGCAGGGGCACGGAUAAGAGAACGCUAAUUCGCUACCAGUAAACGCGCAGCCGCCUGCUCCUUGCCCUCGCCUAACUGCCAUCGCGAACCUAGCAGUUCGGAACGCGACGCUUCCUCCCUGUACGUGUGGAUACCUCGGAGGUGCUGCAUCUGGAGCAAUAGGAUGAACCACGCGAGGACGUGAAGGUCGCCGGCGACUGCACAACACUGCUCGACGUGUUCGUCUACAUCGAGACGUGUUCCACUGCCCUGCGCGUCUAGUGGUAAUUCUAUGAUCUAUAACCGUAACAGUUUCAGGUUUUAUGGGGUCGAAAUUUUUGUUUUGCGCUAGUGUAGCCUCCCCAUAAUCCUUCACAAACACCAAAAUUAAUUAGUUAAAUGGGUCGAGGUCUAUUUUCCUUACAACUUGAAACCUUGGAACAGACAAUAUUUUUUCACCAUUACUAACCUAGUCUAAGGCUCCCUUUGGUAGGGCUCUUCCUCUGCCACCUUCAGCUCUGGAUCUGGCUUCUUCAGAAAAAACAGUUCCCUACUUAUUUUUAGGAAGAGCUUCAGAAAGAUUAUCCUGUUUGGUUAGAAACACAGCUCUACAUCGUCUCGUGCGAUGUGGGUCCAUCGAAAAGAAAAAAAAUGGGAGAAAAGCCGCUAGAAGCUCCUUUUACUAGCUCCUGUUAUUUUUUGGAGGACCUUCUUUCUCUUUUCUAGAAAGAGCCCAACAAAGAACCUCUCAUUUGGUAGAUUUUUUCAACUAGAUGUUGGAGGAGCCCUACCAAAAGACCUAAACUUGCAUUUUUUUUAUUUGGAGUGGUAGUGGGGUUUAGGGUUUAGGGCACAAAAAGAGCACCUUGUUUGGUUAGAAACACAGCUCCUUCUGCAACGUCUCAUGCGAUGUGUGGGUUCAUCGAAGAGAAAAAAUGGGAGAGAAAGUCGCUAGAAGCUCUUUUUAUUGGCUCCUGUUUUUUUAGGAGUUUUUCCUCUUUUCUAAAAACAGCCCAUCAAAUAACCUCGAUUUUUUUCAACUAGACGUUGGAGGAGCCCUACCAAAAAACCUAAACUUGCAUUAUUCUUUUUUUUUAUUUGGAGCGGUAGUGGGGUCAGCCUUUUGGUCAAUAGUCUUUCCACGAUGAUAGCCACUGAAAGUGGUUCGAUAAAAUGUUUGCCAAAGAAAAGUGAAAGAUCGAGGAAAAAGACCAAUAAUAUAAGUAAAGAGAAAUAAAGAGUAGUGACGAGUUCACGUCACAGCAGGGAUAAAAGAAAAUGCAGAACGCGCAUAUCCUAAUGUUAAUGCGCACAAGAUCGUGGUCUGGAAAAAACGUAGUAGCUAGCAGCGAAGGUGACAAUUCAGCAAGAUUUUGUGGGGGAAAGCGCUUUAUUACCGGAAAACGACACCGGAGAUUCUGCUGCGAUGCAAGAAAUUAUACAGUGUAGUACUGCUGCUACCUCAUACGGUGAACAAAAUAUCUCUAGUCUACGGCGCGCGCCUCUACACGUACGGUACGUAUGUGCCAUGCAAAAACAAUACAGUUAUAAUAACAAUCAAAUACCUAUAGAUGUUACAAAAUAAAUAAAAAAGGUAAAACGUAAGGCUAUUGUGUAUUCUGGUAGUAAGGCUAAAGUCAGCAGGUCGUGUAUCUGACCAUGCAAAAUACUAUUUUUGUACUGUAGAUAAUAUUGUUUACAUAGCGAAGUUUGAAAUACGGUAAUAUGAGAUAAGAACGGGGAUAGGAGAGCCGUUGGAGUUUAAGAUCAAGAACUAACUUGUAGAACCAUAAUAUAUAACAAGACAUUGCGAAAGGAUGGUGGUGAACUCUACAGACAAAAGGGUUCUUUUCCUGUAAUCAUGAUGAGCUUCUCUCUUUUCUGCAGGCGACCGUGUGAUGCAUGAGCCGUGCAUGUUCAUCGUUCAGCGAGAAUAUUCGCCACAAGUCAGCAUCAGCAGCUAGAAUCUGGUCUCUCCAAGCAUCGGCUGUGCUGCAACACCCCUCGAAUUGUCAAUUAAGCUGAUACGCUUCUUUUGCUUUUUAAUUUCAGGGUGGGAGAUUCUUUGAGCUAUGAUCACUACUAAUCAAGCCAGCUAGUGAAUCCAUACAUGCUUUAUAUAUAACAACAUUAAUCAUACACCUGACAUUUGUGGGCUUUUUGGAAAGCAUGACUUUUGUUGACUACUACUUACAACCUAAGGACGAACGAUCUCAAGUUCUCAACCAUACAUAGACAUGGAUGGUGUACGCUUGUCUAGUGUAUAGCCUAUUGGUUUGACUGCAUUUGUUAUUAUUGUUAAACAAUACCAUGAUCGUAGUAUAAUAUGCUUGACCAUCUUUAUAAAAAGAAAAAGGAAUGACAGUUGGAUGCACCAUUUGGGGUUAGCAUGAGCAGCGUAGGCUUUAGGUCCGUGCCAUUAUCAUAUUAUGAUCGAGCUACCGUUCAUGCAUGUAUGAAGAUUGGUUAGCAGCUAAAAUUAGCUGAAAUGUUUAGAACGGAUCAACUAAUGGACCAACUAGUAGUUAGUUAUACCUCUUAAAUAGCUAUUAGUUGUUAACUACUCCAACGCAACUAAAAUUGAUUAGCUACCUAACAAUUAGCUCUACGGAAAGGGCUAACUACAAAUCGAAGAUUUUUGGCACAUGGUUUCAAUUAACAGAAAUUAACCAUUUUCCAAUAUAUAACAAAGGGCAUUUUGGCUACCACGAGGUAGUAUACAAAGUUCACAAAGUUGAAAAUCAGUUCUAUGAUGACAGUUGGUUCAAAAGUUUCAAGUACUAAUAACUGAAACUGAAAACCCAAUGCAUCGAAAAUCCUCAUCCAUGGUGAGAGGCAGAUAAAACAUGGCAUUUCCAAAGUGCAAAAUUAUCACAUACUUUCUUAUGGUUGUAAGUGCCUAAUAUAAGGUGCCUUUGUUAUGAUAUUUUUUUCAUUUGCAUUAUAGUUUUGUUUGACAACACAUUUUUAUUGUAUUUCCGUUGUCCCCUAUCCAUUUGUUUACCAAAUCCACAACACAAUUAAAGUUAUAUUUACUUACAUGAUAAUAAAAGGCUACAUGAGAACAAUAACUAGUUGACCACCAAUAUCUCUGUUAGAAAAUAAAGCUGCUACUGAUACACUAAGGGAGAGAAAGAGUCUUCAGACACUUAACGUUUAGUACUGGUUGAUUUAGAACUGAUACAGACGCAAGCAUUACUACCAGUUCUAAGUACCGAAUUCUUAGAGGAGCCAUUAAUAUCAAUUGGUGGCUUCAACCGGUAUUAAUGUUCCUUUUUCAGUAGUGGAUGUAGCUACAUGUUGGAGACUUGUUCUCAAAUGCUUCGGUUUGACGGAAGGCAAAAAUCCAAGUGUGGCGCGUGAGCAAUUACAGAAUCGCGUGAACAGUACAGGGGUACUGUUCAUCUAUUUAUAAGCACAGGACGCAGCCUAUGGGAAAUUACAUUCAAGCCCUUUACAAAGGUCUACAAUCAUAAUACAAAUUAUUAUGGGUCGAUUGGUCAUUUCAUCUUUAAGUCGGUGCCUUUGGAAAUGUACUCCGAAGCCUUCUGAUUGGUAGCUUCGGCUUUGUGUCAAUCUUCCGAAGGUGUUUCUUCUUAUGGGAUCUUCGGCGACGAAGCAUACCCCCAACAGUAGCCCCUUCGCGGUGCUAGAUCGUUUUUCGUAACGAGCUUGAUCCGUGAAAAAAUCUCAAAGGCUUCGGAAUGCCGAAGGUCCGAAAAACACCUUCCCUGAGCUCGUUGCCGAGAAACGAUCACAAUAUUCCGAGCGUGAAAUGGUCCCACCAUGCAACGGAUACGCGCGUCCUGGCGAUUCACCUUCUUGGGUUCUGUGGCCCACCCACUAGUACAAUUUGGCUCUAUACAAGCGGUAGGAUUUUUACAUCACAGGCGGUUCGGUUAGAAAACCGCCUGUGAUGUCCCAGGCGGUUUAGUACGCCUGUGAUGUAAUAGUAUCACAAGCGGUUUUUGUUAAGGACCGCCUUUGAUGCUCUAUCCUUUUCACAAGCGGACCCUAAGACAAAACCGCCUGUGAUUGUAAAAAUAUGAAAAUACAAUUUAAAUAUGAAAAUAAUUUUAAUUUUUAACAGAAAUAUGCAAAUACAAUUUAAAUGAAUUAAUAUUUAAUUUUUAACAAUAAUAUGCAAAUACAAUAUAAAUGAAUUAUAAUAGCACACAUCGAUAACUAGAGAGAUUUUAAAUUAAUUGGCAACCACAAUUCAUAGUCGAUCAUACAUGAUAACAAAUACAAUUUGAUUCAUACAAUUUUUCAUGAACUACCAUUUUUCCGCAUGUAUGGCUUUAAGUUCUUAUCAAUUUUCUUUUCCACACGCUUGAUUCUCUCUGGACCGUUAAAGACGAACAUCUCUUCAUACUUAUUGUAUUCCUCAUCUUGGUCUCCCACAUUCUCAACUCCAACAAUUUUUUGCUUUCCAGAAAUAACUACAUGCAUCUUCUCAUCUGCUGGAUCGAGUACAUAGAACACUUGUGCAACACAUUCGGCGAGAACCCACGGGUCAUCUUUAUAUCCUACUUUCUUUAAGUCUACCAGUGUGAGUCCGUAGUUAUCCACUAUCACCCCCACGGGAUGUUGUACCCAUUGGCACUUAAACAAGGGUAUUUUCAUGCUUGGGUCAUAAUCAAGUUCCCAUAUUUCCUCUAUGAAUCCAAAAUAUGUGGUCUUCUGUCCAUGUAGGUCAAAAGCAUCGAUACGAACACCGCUAUUUUGUGCAACACUUUUCAUGUCUUUUGAUUUAGUGUAGAAUGUGUACCCAUUGAUGUCAUAUGCUUGCCAUGAUGUCACAAAACACGAUGGCCCAGAAGCCAAAUUCUUCAUUGUUUUCUCAUCCGAAGAGUCUCCGAAUGGGAUGUUUUUGUCCAUUAACCAUUCGCUGAAACGAUGUUUGUGCUCCCUCAUGAUCCAGUCCUCUGUGCGGUUCUGAUUUUCUUUACGAAGCUCAUUCAGGUGUUCCUCUAUGUAAGGCUCGGCUAUCGUGAGAUGUUGUAGUACACUACCAUGAGCACAAUGUACUAGCUUGUAAUCCUCAACGCGAAAAGUUUUCUUGCCCAUUCUCCCUCUCCCACAUAGUUUACCCUCAUGUUUAGGUACAGGCACACCUAUCAUUGUUCCGUCACUGAUGUAAUCUAUACAGCUCUCAAUCACUUCUUCUGUAGUGUAUCCCUCCAUGAUUGAACCCUCUGGGUGAGCGCGAUUUCGCACAUAACCUUUUAAUACUCCCAGGUAUCGCUCCAACUGAAACAUAUGAUGUAAAUAUAGUGGCCCUAAUAUUUUUAUCUGAUCCACGAGAUGUAUGAUUAGGUGUACUUGCAUAUCAAAAAAUGAUGGAGGAAAACACAUUUCAAGCUUGCACAUAGUCUCGAUGAUGUAUGCCAUUAGAUAGUCCAAGUCUUCUAAAGCUAUUACUUUUUGUGAAACCGCAUUGAAAAAGUAACACAAGCGUGUGAUGACAACUUUGACAUGCUCUGUUUUGAGGGCUCUUACCGCAAUUGGGAGGAACACCGUCAUCAUCACAUGGCAGUCAUGAGAGUUGUAGCCAAAUAGAGACAAGUCCUUCAUCCUGACUAGUCUGCUGAUAUUGGAUGAGAAACCUGUGGGCACUUUGACCCCACGCAAACAUUUGCAAAUCUUUGUUCUCUCCUCAACUGACAAGUUGUAGCUAGCUGGGGGGAGGUAAGGCUUCCCUUUGCCACUAUCCACUGGAUGAAGUUCCGGUCUGAUUUGAAGAUCUACUAGAUCAUUGCGUGAUUUAAGUCCGUCUUUUGUCUUACUCGGCAUGCCCAACAAGGUUCCAAUGAUGCUGUCAAAAACAUUUUUUGUUACAUGCAUCAAAUCAAUGCUGUGGCAAAUUUCCAUAUCCUUCCAGUAUGGGAGGUACUUGAAAAAUAUUGAUUGCUUCUUGAAAGUUGUGUAAGUUGAAGGGUUAGUUCUCUUUCUCUUUUCUCCUUUGUUUUUUCCCUUUCCGAAUACAACAUGAAUGUUCUUUACAAUUUCAAAAACAAGUUUCCCACUAUAAGGCUUUGGUGCACCUUCACUUUCCAGUUGAUUGUUAAAUUCCUCUUUCAUCUUUCGGUACUUAUGCUGCAUCAUCAAGAACCGUCUGUGUCCCAUGAACACCAACUUCUUGGAUGAUUUAAGGUACAUGGAAGCAGUUCCAUCGACGCACACUACACAACCAUUCUUUCCUUUAGUCUUUUGCCCUGAUAGUGUGGCGCCACCGGGAGAAUCAUGGAUGGUAACAAAUAUAAUUGCUCUUAAGUUGAAAUACUCACGGCAAUACUCAUCCCAUAUUCUAACUCCUUCAUUCCAGAGCUUUGUCAUAUCUUCCAUAAGAGGUUCUAGGAACACAUCAAUAUCAACACCAGCUGAUUUCGGACCUUGAAUAAGAAUAGUCAACAUAAUAUACUUUCUUUUGUGACACAGCCAUGAUGGAAGGUUGUACAUCGUUAAAGUCACGGGCCAGGUGCUAUGUACACUUCUUUUUUCACCAAAUGGAUUCAUUCCGUCUGUACCCAAAGCAAAUCUUACAUUUCUGGUUUCUUUGGCAAACUCAGGAUACAUAAGAUCGAAAUUUUUCCAUUGUGAUGCAUCAGCAGGGUGUCGAAUCUGUUUGUUAUUCUGCUUGCGAUUUUCAGCAUGCCAACGCAUAAGCUCAGCCUCCCUAGGGUUUGAGAACAAACGUUUUAAGCGAUCAAUUACUCGAAGAUACCACAUCACCAAAGCUGGGUUCUUUGACUUCUUUUUCCCAUCCAUGUCAUCAAAAGUGUCAUCGUCACUUUCAGGUCCAAUAGUGGAUUUCUUGUUUUUAUUUUUCUUCGGGAAUUUUUUUACACAGUCUUGAUUGUAGCUCUUCUUGUAUCGACUGACAUUGAAAACUGGGCAUCUUGAUGCGUUCUCAAAAUCGCCACGAUACAGAAUACAAUGGUUCGGACAUGCAUGAAUUUUUUGCACACCCAGAGCUAUGGGAGAUAUAAGCUUCUUCGCUUUAUAAGUGCUUGUUGGUAGUUUGUUGGGUUUUGGUAGUAAUUGAGACAGAAAAUUCAAAAGAUCUGUGAAGCUAGUAUCAGACCAUCCGGCGCUAGCCUUCAACUUCAGAAGUUCUAGAACUGUACGCAGUGUAGUAAACUCUUUGUCACAACCCUUUGAUUCAUCAUAUAAAGGUUCUUUUGAGGCACUUUCUAGUCCCUCCAUUUUAGAUAGCCCUUUCUGCGAUCCCACAGAACUUAACAUUUCUGGUUCCAUAUGGCGCAACAUCUCUUCACAAUCAAAUUCUUCAAAUUCUUGAUUAGCAUCCACAUUAUCCACUUUACCAUCAACUUUAAGAUCUAAAAUUCCGACAACUCUCUCGUCAUUACCAAACACUUCACACGGAUCCAACUCACCAUGUUCUGACCAUAUCGUGUAAUUGUUUUUAAACCCUCUUUUUAGCAGAUGUGAUUGGAUUACUCCUAUAUCUCUCCAAGCUAUCUUAUUAUCACAAUCGAUGCACGGACAUAAUAUCUCCUUGCUCUUUCGCAAAUUCGCGUGCUUGUUGGCCGCUUCAAUAAAGCUUCUCAAAUUUCGAAUGUACGACGGAUGUGGUCUUGGCACAUUGUACAUCCAACCUCGGUCCAUUACCUAUCCCUAUAUUGAUUAACGUCAAUAUCGAGAUGUAACAUGAAAAAAAUAAAUGUUCAUGAAAGUGAAACAAGAUCAUAUCGAGAUGUACCUAGUACAUGAGACAAAAUUUUUUAAAAUAUCCCUAAUUAAUUGAAUUUAAUCCCUAAAUCAUGAACGAAUUAAUGUGCAUGAAAAUGAAACAAGAUUGCAGCAAUAUAGGUACCUUGAGGUGAGACAACUCUUCAAAAAAAAUCUUUAAAUUAGAUCAACUACAAGUCUAAAUCUUGGAAUUCCUGAGUUUUUCUUCAAUUCCGGUCUAUAUUACAAAAUUGAGGCAAAAAAUCGUAUCAAAAUGAGAAAUAAAACAAACGGAGAUCAUAUAUAUGCAUAAACUCUUGAAAUCAAGCCCGAAAAUCAAAAACAAAACCUUCUCCCCGUAGAUCAAAAAAAUCCGCCGCCGCUACAGUAGUGUGCAGCCUAGCGGCGUCGGGCUCCGGAAGUUAGGGUUCCUGCGCUGGAACCGAGCCUUUUAUACUACAUACACAUCACAGGCGGAUUUUAAGAAAAACCGCUUGUGAUGUAUAACAUCACAAGCGCUUUUCUAUUUCGACCGCCUGUGAUGUUUACAUAUCACAGGCGGUCGACAUAGAAAACCGCUUGUGAUGUUAUACAUCACAAGCGGUUUUUCUUAAAAUCCGCCUGUGAUGUGUUUACUAUAUAAAAGUGUCGGUACGGUGGCUUAGGGUUUAGUUUUCGCCCGGAGCUGAUACUACGCCGCCAGGCUGCUGCGCCGCCGUUCCCGUCCCCGUCUCCGAGCCGUGAGCGCCCGCCACGCCGUCGCCGAGCCCGAGCCCAACCGCCACCGUCUCCGAGCUGGGCGCCCGUCCCCGUCCCCGAGCGCCACCGUCUCCGAGGCCAAGCGCCGCCGUCUCCGUCCUCGAGCCCGAGCGCCGCCGAGCCCGAGCGCCGAGUGCGCCGCCGUGCCCAUCUCCGAGCCCUCGGUGCACUCCUUGAUCAUGCCUUAAUUACUUGUUAAAAAUCCAUGCCUUGAUUACUUGUUUUUGCUAGUCCUGCCUUAAUUAUUGUUAAUCUUAUAUUGUUAAUGUUGGUCAUUAUGCUUAUAUUGUUGGUGUUUUCACUUACAUAUUUUGUUAAGGUCACCAUUUUUGCUUUAGUAGCUUGUAUCCCUUGUGAUUAAAUGUUGGUAAUUAUGCUUAUGAAGAAUUUUGUCAUGGAUAGUUGAUGCAACUACUAGGACCCCUUCUUGGUAGAAAAUCUCCAUAGUGAUUGGGGAAACAAGUCUAUUUUUAGUGUUUAUGGCCACAUACAUCAUGGAAGUACAUAGCCAUGGCAAUGUUAUUAUCUCCCUAUGUUAUACGACUUGUUCUUAUCUCCCUUCUUAGUUUUUUGACUACCUAUCUUUGCUUCCCAACCCUAUGUUAUAAGACUUGUUCUUAUCUCCCAUCUUUGACUUGUUCAUAGCCAUGACAAUGUUAUUUGGACCCCUCUUUUUGCCCUAUAAGCCACAUCCUUGUUUUCCCUCUGAUCUCUGCCUUUGUUGCGAUCUCAAUGUUGAUUGUGAGGCUUGGCCAUUUUCAGUUUUAGAGAUGGAAAAAGAGCCACUUGACAUGGUUGAGAGCUCAGUUCGAGUCAUCGAGACACAUGUUGACAUCAUUUGCAGUCUAAUGACUGAUGGGGUUGUGGAUACUAGUGAACCAGAAUCAGUGUACACACUUAAGACCACUUUGUUUCAAAUUGGAGAUGUAUGCGACAUGCUUGAGAAGUGUGCUCUGUCCAUCAAAAAGUAUGCUGACUCCAAGAGGGCUAAAAUUAUUCAAGAUGAAGCCCUGCAAUAUGCUGAAGAUGAUGAAGCUGCAGAUGAUUUGGAGGAACUCCCAAGCCCAGAUCUCCUUACUCAAGCCGACAUAUUGGAAAAAUAUUUUGGAAUUGAGUAUGAUAGCGACCAGUCAAGGGGUUGUUGAUGUUUAGUCCUAAACAACACGAUAUGAGUAUCGUAGGUUUCACUCUUAGAGAUAAUGUAUUUUGUAUGAACCUCUUAGAGAGUGUCAAGUCAAUGAACUAUCUUCGAGUACUAUUGGGAAGUGUAUCUCUUUGAUGUAUUUUUUUUUCUAGUGAUAUCGAUGGUGCCGAGUAGCACCAAAUUUGGACUUGUGUCCAUAUCUAUAGAUGCUAGUAGUUGAGCACUAGCUCCUACAAUCUUGACUACCUCAUCCCUAUUCUCUGUUUGGGACUUAUAUGGAGAAUGGCAUCGGCGGAAUGCCUGAAUCGGCAGACCCCAAGAAGAGAUUAAGUCCUGUAGUCUACCACCUCCCGUUAUUUGUGGGCUUCACCGAUGGCUGGAAACAUUUGGUGAUAGCAAACGACCUUCGGGUUGAAGACGUCUGCGAGCUUGUUAAGGGGCCAGAUGAUGGUGAGCCGGUGUACUAUGUCCGGAUGUGUGGUCACAAAAUUUAAAGCUGCCCCGGCUGCAUGUGUGUGCUUCUCUUCUCUUAGGUGGGGUGCUAAGUGAUCUUAGUAGCCGACAUAAGAGAAGAGAAGCGCACAGAUGAAGCCGGGGCGGCUUUAAAUUUUGUGACCACACAUCCGGACAGAGUACACCGGCUCACCAUCGUCUGGCCCCUUAACAAGCUCGCAGACGUCCCCAGCCCGAAGGUCGUUUGAUGUCACCAAAUGUUUCCCGCCCUCGGUGAAGCCCACAAAUAACGGGAGGUGGUAGACCACAGGGCUUAAUCUCUUCUUGGGGUCCUACAGGGCUUAAUCUCUUCUUGGGGUCCUUCAGCAUGGCUGUGAUGUUAUAAUGCUGAAGGACCCCAAGAAGAGAUUAAGCCCUAUAGUCUACCACCUCCCGUUAUUUGUGGGCUUCACCGAUGGCUGGAAACAUUUGGUGAUAGCAAACGACCUUCGGGUUGAAGACGUCUGCGAGCUUGUUAAGGGGCCAGACGAUGGUGAGCCGGUGUACUAUGUCCGGAUGUGUGGUCACAAAAUUAAAAGCUGCCCCGGCUGCAUGUGUGUGCUUCUCUUCUCUUAGGUGGGGUGCUAAGUGAUCUUAGUAGCCGACAUAAGAGAAGAGAAGCGCACAGAUGAAGCCGGGGCGGCUUUAAAUUUUGUGACCACACAUCCGGACAGAGUACACCGGCUCACCAUCGUCUGGCCCCUUAACAAGCUCGCAGACGUCCCCAGCCCGAAGGUCGUUUGAUGUCUUCAAAUGUUUCCCACCCUCGGUGAAGCCCACAAAUAACGAGAGGUGGUAGACUAUAGGGCAUAAUCUCUUCUUGGGGUCCUUCAGCAUUAUAACAUCACAGCCAUGCCUUCUCUGUCUAACUGCAUUGGAAAGUGCCUUUUCUCCAAGUUCCCUUAUUGAUGGAACCAGUAUAUUAGACUAACAGUAUAUCCCUUUAUCGAUGGAACCAGCUUGAAUGGCAGACAAUGAGCAGCCUAGUAUGGAUGUGGUCUGCACCGGUGCGUCUAACAAAGUUGAUGAAGACGCGACCAAACUUGAAUGGCAGACAACGAGCAGCUCCAGUGAAGGGAGCGGGGAGGAUAGUUCUAGUGACGACAAUCCUUGUACUCCUAUACCUCCAAGGAAGAAAAAAACAUCAGAUGAGUUUGAUGCCGACUAUAUUCCCAACGAUGAAGAGGUAAAUAGAAAUAUGUCGACUAUAUUGUAAAAUAAUGUUCAUAUAUGAAUGGCCAUUAAUUUUUUCACUAUAUAGAUUUCAAAUGAAGAGAAGAAAGAGGAUGCAUCUUCUACACGAAACACGGAGGAUGCUCCGAUGCCUGAAUCAUCCAUUUCACAUAAGCGGAAACGAGGGCGACGAGGUCCAAAUCAGAUGAAAGAAGGUGCAGUUAUGUAUGUAACAAAACUAAAUGCAGAGGGGUUUCCUGAAGAACCACUUGACGUGGUUACAAAGUUUCAAAAUUCCUGCGGGGCUACUGUUAGAGAUAUAGUGCCAAUCACACUUCAAAAAUGGAAGGAUUUAGAUGAAGACACCCGCAACAAGCUAUGGGCUAAGUUGUCUGAGUCAUUCAAGUUCCCAAAAGGCACAGAGGAUGCAGUAAGGAAGUCGAUGCUCUCUGCUAUGGCCAAGAUGUUUCGUGGGUGGAAGGCCGAGAUGAAUAGGGACUUUGUUAAGAAGAAUAAGGUUCCUCCGCCCAAGAAAAUGGGGAAAAUCACUCAAGCUCAGUGGGAGGAAUUUGUUCGUCAGAAGACCGAACUGAAGGCCAAAGAACUGGGCGAAACUAAUUCUCAGAGAGCGAAGAUGAACAAACACCCCCAUCGCCUGGGGUCAAGCGGAUAUCACCAUAAAGUUGUGCAGUGGAACAAGAUUAUCGAGGAAGCUAUAACUAACGGCACUUUGGACUCAAUAUUAAAAGAUAUCGAUGAGAGAGCUAUUCGUUGGAUCUUAGGUCGAGCAGGUUUGAGUGAGGACGGCAAACUUGUGCAUCCAGAAUUGGUAGGCGAAGUUUCGUCAAAAAUUCAAGAAUAUGCAGAUAAGAGAAAAAAAGGAGAAUUUAAGCCUCGGAGGGAGAAUGACAUACUAACUGCAGCCCUAGGCAAUCCUGAACACACUGGACGGGCUCGGGGAAUCUCUUCUAAGAUUUCCUGGAGAGAGGUGUUUCCAGAGUAUGCGUCGUCAUAUAGGAAACACGAGAAGUCGAAAAGGACCCUUGAAGAGACUAUUGAUGAAAGGGUACAAAAGGCUAUUAAUGACGUGAUGAACAAAAUGAAGAAAACAGAAUGCAUAUCAUUUGAACUCAAGCCAAGCCACAUGAGUCCACCUAUAGUCCCUAGCAGCGUUGGAUCUGUGCAAGACUUGACCAAGUACCCUGUAGACGAUAUUGUUGAGGACAAGCCUUGCUUUCUUCAUAUUCCAAUCAAUCGAUCUGGGACAAAAACAAAGCAAGCUGCUACUAGUUUGGUAAAACCAGGACUUGUUAACUACAAGGACAAUCCUGUCCCACCACACUAUGCUGUGGUCCAAGUUCUAGAAAUCACAGACAAUGGUUGUGAAGAUUGGGAGAUAGAUUUUCCAGUUGAGGGGAUCAUAACUUUGCAUGAGGCAAUUAACGAGUUGGUCCUUUGGCAUCGACGCGACAUCAAGUUUGGUGAUGAGCCGAAUUCAACACCAAUGCAACAAAAAGCUAGUUCGAUCAUUCCACACCCCAUGGUGCAGGAAGAUAUGACACCGACCUCCAAAAAAAUCGUUGAAACAAUCAUAUCGCCUCUUGCGAAGGAACUCGACGAGGGGGACGUAGACAAAAUUGUUCCUCAGAAUGUCGACGUCAACAUCAAAAAGGAACCAAAGGUUGGCACCAAUGUUGAAGGGCCAACUAUUUCAAAGAAGAUUCAUAAGCGAAUCGCCACAGACGAUGUCAAGAAACCGUCAGAAUCAGUGGCACGCUACCUGCAUAAAUUGCAGAGAGUUAUGACUAAUCAAUCAAAAGCAGUAUCAGCAUCUCAUGGAGUAGGCACACGGCCGGCCCAAAUAGACAAUUUCGAAGUAUGGGAAGAAGAUGGAAUGAUUCAUACUCGAGAAUCAUUACGUCUUAAAACCAAUAUCUCGGUAUACAAGAAGGAGGAUGUUCCUCUUAAAUUUGUGAAUGGGAGGCCGUUCUUAACGACGGUGCAACUUUCUAAGUUGUCGACUCCGGAGAUUAGAAUGCAUGAGUGGUACAUGGUGGCUAGCAACAAAUACAAACUCGAGGAAUUCACAUUUGUUGUGCCAGAAGAUGCAUUUUGGAGCAAUGAUCAUAUAAAUCCUGUGCGGCAUUUAUUCUUUGACGAUCUCUGGUCGUUGUACCACCGACAAAGGAUGGAAACGAACUGCUUAACCCUCUUCUGCUUGUAAGUACCUCUAAACUUUCAUAUUUGUUAGUUUUGUACACGCACACAUAAACGAGAGUCUAACGAUUAACACUAUUACACGUAGGAUGCAAUACAUGGAUGAUAAGAAGAAACAACUUAAGACAGGGUUUCUUGACCCGUUGAUGAUAUCCCAAGCUCGCUACAAAGUAGUUGCUCGGAGGCAAGGAGAAGAAUACAAAGACUUGGACGAUGCUGAAUUUGAGAAAGCCGUCAAACAGAAUCAGAGAAAGAAAAUGAAGGUAAUGGCGGCAUACAUUGGAUGAGCCAUGUAUAAUCAUGUACAACAUGGCAAGGACUUAAUAAUAGCUCCUCACCACUUUAAGUAAGUUAUCGACAUGGUUUAAUUUUGAACUAUAAAUUAUGGCAAUCGUGAUAUUAACAUGUGUUUUCGUCUAUGUAUAUAUAGUGACCACUACAUUUGUAUCAUGAUCUGGCCAAAGGAUGGUAAAGUCGUGGUCUUCGACUCACUGAGAAUGGAAAAGGCUACGUAUAAUGACUUCUUGAAGAUUUUAGAGAAGUAUGAUUAUUAUUGCACACUUGUACUUAUUACAACUUAACAAAUGUAUUCUUAAUCUCACAAUGCUAUUCUUAUAUGCAGUGCAUACCGUUUUUAUUGGAAAGAUCUUGGCGGCGAACAUCCAGAGGACAAGCCUAAUUUGUCAAUAUCAUUAUUUCCAUAUGGUGACAAACAACCUCCGGGUACUGUCCUGUGCGGUUAUUAUGUAUGCGAAUGGUGUCGUGUCACCUUCCAUUACAUGGUCAAUCGUGAGGAUGUAAGUUCGCUAUCAUUAUCUAUAUUGCAAUUUUUAUGUUAUAUUGUUGCUCAUCACAUUACUCUUAGCACCGAUUGCUUUUUGCUUUCAUUGCAGGUUCCUAAAUCUAAGAUCAAUGCUGAAUGGUUAGAAAGAGAUAUGGUUUCCACCGGCGUGGCUAAGGUUGUAAGAGACUUGCUUUACUUUAUGCGCCGUGAAGUUCUUCAUCAACAAGGGCUAUUCUACAAUGUAAAUGGAAAUUUGCAAAAAUUCCUAGAACUAAGUUUGUACACAAUAUCACACAGUGUUUAGGUCUUUAGUUAGGAAGUUUAGAUGUUUAGGUGUCUAUGGAACUUUGAGAUGUUGAGUUGUUAUGCAACUUGAUGUGUAUAAAUCUGUGUAUGAUGGAACUUGAUAUAUAUGUGGAUGAAUCUGUGUAUGGAACCUGCUAUAUAUGGGGAUGUUUGAAUCUUUGUAUGAUGAAUAUGUGUUUGAAUCUGUGUUUGAAUCACAGGCUGUUAUUAAUUCUGUUUCUGUAUAUGAAUCUGGAAAAUAUAUAUGAAUCUGCUUCUGUAUAUGAAUCUGGGAAAUACAGGCGGCUUAUAAUUAAAACCGCCUGUGAUGUGUGUCUAUCACAGGCGGUUCUUUUAAACCGGACCGCCUGUGAUGUGUGACUAUCACAGGCGGUUCUUUUAAACUGGACCGCCUGUGAUGUGUGUCUAUCACAGGCGGUUUUUGAUUGACCGCCUGUGAUGUUGUUUUACAUCACAGGCGGUGCACCACAAGCGGUUCCUGGAACCGCCUGUGUAGAGGCUAUUUCGACCGCCUGUAUAGAGGAUACCUGUAGUAGUGACCAUUCAGUGGGUGCGAGCGACUGUUCGUCCGGUGCGGAAGACUUGACGAUUCACCUUCCCACCUGCGGCACUAUACAAACAGACGGGUAGGUGUGAAGUUACCACAGCAUUCAUUGCUAUUGCACUGUUUUGCUGCCAAAAAUUUGACCAUAGCCGAAGCUUCUUCAUCGUACUCAACCGAAGUACCGUUGUUGGUUUUGCUUCGUCACAAGAGGAAGAGCUUCGGGAAAAUUAAAAAAGUCAACAACUUGAUCAAAAAUUGUAAGGAAUUCAUCAUCAAAUGGCGAGGGUACGUUCCACUGCCAGGGUUACACGUGACGGAGAAGAAGCCGAAGCUGCUGAAACCGCUCUGAUUUCUGAAGUGAUGAAACGGUCAGGGCUGGUAGUGCCGGAGGAUGUUUCUGACGAAGGUGCACCUGCCACUGAAGCUGAGGAGGUUGAUGCUGAGGAAGGUGAAUCUGAAGAUGAUUACAGUGCCCUGCCAGCCACCUGGAGUUUGGGAGGUCCAAUGUUACCGAAGAUGAUAUGCCUAAGUUGAUGAAGUUAGGCUAUUUCAGUGAAGCCAAAAAGAAGCUGAUUCGUUUUGGCGGAGAUGAAAUUACUCCAAAGCCAGAAAAGGAUGAGGUGGUAGUCUUUAAAAGCUUCUUUAAAGCAGGAUUAAGAUUUCCUUUGAAUGAUAUGAUUGCGGAUGUUUUGGAGAAGUUUGGGAUUUAUCUUCAUCAGCUAACUCCUAACACCAUCAUUAGGCUUAGCAUCUACAUCUGGGCUCUUCGAAGCCAGGGGGCAGAACCGCUUGCCGAGGGCUUCUGCCGGGCACAUGAGCUUCAUUAUCAGACAAAAGCUAGAGAAGAUGGGCUGCACGAGAACUUCGGCUGCUACAAUUUUGCUUAUCGCCAAGAUGCGAACUCUCCAGUUAUCAGCUAUCGUACCAAAUGGCCAGCUGGCUGGAAGACUGAAUGGUUUUAUGUCAAAGUUGAUGAGAAAAAGGAGAAGCUAGUUCAAAUCCCAUUAGAAUUAAUAUUCGAAGAGACUAGGCCCCGGUGCGACAUGAAACCAAAGAGUCCAUGCCAAGUUGCACUGGGCGACUUUCAAGUUAUUGCGGAGCACAUUGGUACUAGGGAUCUGGUGCAAGAAUUCUUAGCUUUUAGAGUAUUCCCAACUUUGAAAGAAUGGGACAUGCCGAAGCUCAAAGGGGAAAAGAAAGAGAAGGAACUUAUUCGGUUGCCCUAUUACUAUAAAUUCAAGAAACACUUCAAAGAACCUUACCAAGAAUGGUUAGACACGAUUGAAGUUAUGUGCAACAAGAUCAUUGGCAACUAUUCUAAAAAAGAAGAUCAAUUAAUGACUGCAGCCUUCGGCACUCGACCGAAACGAAGGUUGAGCCGGGUGAUGGAUGCCCUGAAUUUUGAGUAUCCUGACUAUGAGCGAUUGGACAGAGGUGCCGAAGGACAAAAAAGAAAAAGAGUUGCUAGCGUCCUGGAUAAAGAAGCUGCUAAAUUGGUGAAAAAGGAUGAAGAAACUUUGAAGAAAAGAAAAUUAAGCCCUGAGCCGAAGAUAGCUGCUUCGAAGAAAAAGAAAGUUGCGGCUUUGAAGCGAAAAAUGACUGAUACUGAGGAUGAAGCUCCUUCAACACCUCCUGCUGCCGAUGUGGAAGAAAUUUUAAAGGUAAUGACUGAAUCUUUGCCUGUCAAGCUAAGUCCACUAGGGCCACAUCUGACGAAGCUUUUUCAGAAGGAAAAGGAGCCUUCGGUAGCGAAGAAGCCAGAUGAGCCGAAAAAACGAAGAAUUAUUCAUGUAGUUGAAGUUAUCGAGCAGACACCGCCGCUGGCAUCGGCGACAGAGACUCCAGCUAUUGAGAGCAGUGCUGCUGCCGAAGCUGCACCCACCGAAGCCGAAAGUGCCGAAGCUGAAACCGCUGAAGAUGUAAAUCUAGAGGCCACACUCUCUGAAAUUGAUACCAUGCUUCUGGUGCGGCCGCGGAAGAAGCUGCUGCAACCGCUGAAGAGAUCCCGGGCACAGUGGCUGGAAAAGGAAAGGAAAAAGCCAAGGAUACUUCGGAAGAAGAGGACUUCAAUUUCCAAGAUAUACUUGGGCAAGAAUUGUCAAAGGCUGAAAAAGAAGAACUGAAAGAGUAUGCUAUAUCUUGCGGGUACAGACCAGGUGUGUUACUCUUCGGGGGAGUCAACGAAGAAAGCUUAGGAUGCCUUCGGGACAACACUAGGGUGAAGGUUGUCGGCACUCUAUCGAAGAGUGUUGUCCUCCCGAAGGUUGAGGCAGACCUCAGCAGGUACCGGUGGCAUCAUAUCGCCGGUAGCCUAUUUUAUGCUAACUUUAAGGUAAAAUUCUUAACUUUGUAUUGCUUUGAUAUGAAGAUUGUUUUCUGAUGAAGCUUAUUUUAUCAGAGCUUACCACUGAGCAAACUCCUGAGGAUGCAACAAGACCUCGAGGACAAAAAGAAUGAAAUUAUAAUUGACGGCCUGGAGAAGAAGAUUAAAGACCAUGAGGCUACCUUGGAGAAAAAGACUUCGUACUUCAAACCAUGGAAGGUUCAGUGGCGGUGGCCCAGGCCGAAAUUGCUAGAUUGAAUAGUGAACUCUCUAUGGAAAAGAAAAUUUUUGAAGCCAAACUCGAAGCUGAAGCUGAGAAAAAUUCAAAUUUGCGGAAAUCACUGAAAGAACUUCAAGAAAAAUGUGUAGACUUCGGCAACCAGUGCCUGCAACGACUAAAGCAGGUUUUCAACUCGGUUGGAGCCAGCGCUGAGAAAUUCAGUCCUUUAGUUGAAAACCUGCCGGAAACCUUCGAACACAUUGAGGGCGAAGUUGAUGCACUCGACAAAGUUAUAGCUGGACACGCCGAUUUCUGCGCUCUGCUAGCUUCUCGGGGCACAGUUGUUGCCUUUAUGAAAUCUGGCUGUACACAUGGAAAAAUUGUCAACAAACCAAAUUUUAGCUUAUCACCAGCAGACUAAAUUGAUAUCCCCAGCCUAGCUCGGAGUAUAGGAAAUAGAUUCAUAACUCAAAUUUGGGUAAAAGGCGGGCGAAAAAUGGCUGGCGACAAAGCUCGAAGCCACCUUAAGCCGGUAAAAAAUUUGUGCCUGUUACUUUACCUUCUCCUUGAACUCUACACUUCUCUCAUAUCAUUUUAAUAUGUACAGGAUCACGAUGCUGAGGAACAAUGAGCCGAAGCUUGACAGGUGAUCCGAAGCUCAGAUGAUCCGAAGCUCAAUAAUGUCAAAGCUGGAGACCUUGCUGAAAAAUUCUAGAGAAAAUCUUGUAAUAUCAUUGUAAAAAUAUUUUUAAUUUAAGAAUCAAAUACUAAUUCUGUAAAUUUGUGCAUACCUUGUAAUAUAUUUUUACCUUUUCGUCCAUGUAUGAACUGCUUUGAUGUGGACGAAAUUAGUAUUUUUUGAGCCGAAGGCGAAAAACACCUUUCCUUCUUUUCGUACACAACGAAGCAUGAAACUGCUUCUUUUUCUUUUUGCCGAAGCUUUAUCUUUAUAGCCAAAGCAUCUGCCUGUGUGUAUGUUAUGAUGAUGAUCAUCCUAUGUAUGUCUAAAUGAAUGUUUAUGAAUGCAAAUGUAUGAUGUAAUGUGUCGUGCAAAUGAAUGCCCAAACACACACAUCCGAAGCUUCAUGCACAACCUUCAUUCCCUAAGGAAUGACUGAAAUCUCUUUGUCGUUUAUUUUUCGGCUGCACCGUUUAUUUUUCGGUGUAAGUUCUGCAUUCCCUAAGGAACGUCUUUUGAACUUCUUCGCCUUCUAUUUCGGCGGUAUUCACGUUGACUUUUCACGCUUCGCCUUAUAUUUCGGCGGUAUCAGCGUUGACUUUUCACUGUAAGAUCUGCAUUCCCUUGGGAACGACUUUUGAGCAGAAAACUUACGCUGCGCUCCCUUAGGAACGGCGUUUUGUAGCUUCGUCAUGCUCUGCAUCCCCUUAGGGACAACUUUCGAGCUUCUCCCUGUUUUUUCCUUUUUUCCCUGCACUCGAUGGUGCAUGCUCAGUUUUUACAUUUACAUAUUUGGGGGAUUUUGCUCUCGUAGAGCUGAAUAAGAAAAAGAGAAAUUACAUGCUAUGGCCCCAUUAAAAACUUUUCUCCCCCUUUAGAAAGGAAAAGGGUGCCAUAGGAAAAAUAAAAAGAUUACAUCAAACUAGACAUAAUAUCGUCGAAGCUCAUCCGCAUUCCAAGAUCUAGGAAUGUCGUUGUUGUCCAUAUCCUUCAACCUGUAAGAACCGGGUCUUGACGAAGAUACUACCAGAAAAGGUCCUUCCCACUUGAGCUGUAGCUUGCCUACUGUAUCUGGGUUGGCCACUCUCCGAAGUACCAAAUGCCCUGGCUUAAUGUUCUUUAGCCGAACUUUUCUGUCACCCCAUUUUAUUGUUUUGGCUUGAUAUUUAUUGAUAUUCUCCAUGGCCUGAAGCCUGAUCCCUUCUAUAGCAUCUUUUGCCACAGAAUAAUCAGCUUCGUCCUCUGCUGAAGCCACUGUUCUUAUUGAUCCUGCCUUAGCUUCUUCUGGGGUUAUUGCUUCGUCACCAAACAAUAGUUUGAAUGGUGUAAAACCUAUUGACCUUGAUAUUGUUGUGUUGUGGCUCCACACCACUUUGAUCAAUUCAUCUGGCCACUUUCCUCUGGGCUGAUUGAAGAUUAACUUUAUUAUUCCCGUCAUUAUAAUGCCAUUAGCUCUUUCAACAAGUCCAUUUGACUCUGGAUGUCUGACCGAUGCAAAAUGAAUCUUUGUGCCAAUUUGUUCAUAGAAUUCCUUGAAAGCUUCAGCAUCGAACUGUGUUUCGUUGUCUACAGUAAUAGCCUUCGGCACUCCGAAGCGACAAACAAUGUUUUGCCAGAAGAAUUUUUUGACGGUGACCAAAGUUAUUGUGGCUAAAGGCUUCGCCUCAAUCCACUUGGAAAAAUACUCUACCGCCACCACAACAUAUUUUAGAUUUCCUUGUGCUGGUGGAAGUGGGCCUAGCAAAUCGAGGCCCCACCUUUGCAACGGCCAAGUGGGCUGUAUUAACUGAGUGAGAGAUGAAGGUUGCUUCUGGUCUCUUGGACAUUUUUGAUAGCCUUCACAUUUUUGGACUAAUUCUGCUGCAUCCGAAGCUGCCUUCGGCCAGUAAAAUCCUUGUCGAAAAACUUUUCCCAACAAGGGCCUAGAUCCAAUGUGAGAUCCACACAGACCUGCAUGUAUCUCUUUCAUUAAUUCCAUACCUUCAGUUCUUGAUGAACACUUGAGGAGUGGUGAACAAACUCCAUGUUUAUACAAUUCCCCUUCUAUUAUCACAUAUGGUCUUGUUCUUGCCUCCAUUCUCUUGUUAUAAGCUUCGUCACAUGAAAGACAAUUGCCUUGGAGAAAAGAUAUUAUUUCAGUUCUCCAGUCUUCACUUUGUAUUGGAGAAAUAGUAGGCACUGCUCCUUCCAUGAGCUCAACCGAAGGUGCUUUUAUUGUUUCGAAAAAUACUUCUGAGGGUAGGGGGAGCCUCUGAGCCACUGAUUUGGCUAGCAAAUCUGCAUGCUCAUUUUCGCCUCUUGGAAUAUUCUUGACAGAAAAACCUUCGAAUGAAGCUUCCAACCUUCGAACUGUAUCCAUAUAUCUUUCAAGCUUCAGAUCUCGUGCCUUGCUACUUUUGUCCACAUGGCCAGCAAUAACUUGAGAAUCAGUCUUUAGGAUGGCCCUUCUUAUUCCCAUUGCCCUUAGUUUCCGAAGCCCUAAUAGAAGUGCUUCGUACUCAGCAAUAUUAUUUGUGCAACUGAAAUCCAGUUUGAUUGCAUAACAUGUUUUAACUUUUGAAGGUGCCACAAGGACCGCAGCUGCUCCUGCACCGAAGGCUCCCCAAGAACCAUCGCAAAACACCAUCCAGGCUUCGGCAUCUUUGCUUGUCCCCUUUUCGUGAGCCCCGGGAGUCCAAUCAGCGAUGAAAUCUGCUAGCGCUUGGGAUUGAAUUGAAGAUCUGUGCACGUAGUCAAUAGUGAAUUCAUUGAGCUCCACGACCCACUUUCCAAUCCUUCCAGUAGCUUCUCUAUUCCUUAUGAUAUCCUUCAGGGGUUGUGAUGAAGGAACAAUUAUGUGAUAUGCUUGAAAAUAAUGCCGAAGCUUCCUGGAUGCCAUUAACACAGCAUACAACACCUUCUCCAAUUCUGUAUAGUUUUUCUUUGAUAAACUCAAAACUUCGGAGACAAAGUAUACUGGGACUUGCUUUUUAGCUUGCCCUUCAAGCUUUUCUUGUACAAGCGCCGCACUCACUGCAGAGUGCGAAGCUGCCACAUACAAUAGCAAUGGAGCCCUAAGCACAUGUGGAGUUAAUGUUGUUAAAUCAAUCAGGUAUUGCUUCAGCUCUUUGAAAGCUUUCUGUUGAGUUGGGCCCCAUUGAAAAACUUCAGCUGACUUUAGUACUUCAAAGAAUGGUAAAUUUCUUUCUGCUGAUCUAGAUAUAAAUCGAUUUAAAGAUGCCAGUCUUCCUGUCAGCCGUUGGGCCCCCUUCUUUGUGCUUGGCGGCUCCAUUCGAAGGAUAGCUUCGAUCUUGCUUGGGUUGGCUUCGAUCCCCUUUGUUGAAACUAGACAGCUAAGGAACUUUCCCUUCUUCACUCUGAAGACACGUUUUUCUAGAUUUAAUUUCAGGCCAGCUUGCCUAAAGUUAGCAAAUGUUUCCUGCAAAUUAGUAAUGUGGUUUUCUUGCUUCGUGCUCUUCACUAUGAUAUCAUCAACAUAUGUUAGUACAUUUCUGCCUAUCUGAGAAUGAAGAACCUUGGUUGUCAUCCUGCUGAAGCUUCCUCCAUCAUUCUUGAGCCCCUCAGGCAUCCGAAGAUAACAAUAUGUACCACUCGGGAUUAUGAAGAUGGUCUUUGGCUCGUCUUCCUUCUUCAUCCAGAUUUGGUGGUAGCCUGAAUAACAAUCUAGUAGACUCAUGAGCUCUGACGAAGCUGCUGCAUCUACUAGAGAAUCUAUUCUUGGUAAUGGGAACUCAUCCUUUGGACAAGCCUUGUUCAGAUCAGUAAAAUCAAUGCACAUUCUCCAUUUACCAUUGGCCUUCUUCACCAUAACAGUGUUGGCUAGCCAUUCUGGGUAUUUUACUUCUCUGAUGACACCAGCACUGAGAAGUCUUUUUACUUCGUUCCGAGCACCUUCGACUUUAUCGUCAGACAUUUUCCGAAGCUUUUGCUUCCUGGGUCUGAAGGAUGGAUCGACAUUGAGUGAAUGUUCAAUGACGUCCCUGUUGACACCACAGAGAUCGUUGGCUGACCAUGCAAAAACAUCUUUGUUGUUGAAUAAAAACCUUAUCAAGGUUUUCUCUUGCUCUUCAGAUAAUUGGGACCCCAGUAAUACCUUCUGCUCUGCUAUGUCUUCACAUAGAAGCAUGGGCUUCGGCUGAUCAGCCGAAGCAGCUUUCUCUCUUCUGUACUUAUACUGUUCACAAGCUUCGGCUCCAUCUAUAUUGUGGAUUGCUUUUGAGUCUGUCCAAUUUCCUUCAGCCUUUCUGGCAGCUUCCUGACUUCCAUGAAUAGCAAUAUGCCCUUGAUCCGAAGGUAUCUUCAUGCAUAAAUAUGCUGGAUGAAGAAUUGCUUCGAAUGCGUUGAGUGUUCCACGACCAAUGAUCGCAUUGUAGGGGUACUCCAUGUCAACAAUAUCAAACACAACAUGUUCAGUUCUUGUAUUGUGAACAAAUCCGAAGGUCACUGGCAUCGUGAUCUUGCCAAGUGCUACAAUCUACCUUCCUCCGAAACCACAAAGAGGGUGUGUAGCAUCAUGGAUCUUAUCCUCUCGCUCUUGCAUCUGUCUGAAGGCCUUAGCAAAUAUGAUAUCCGUUGCACUGCCUAUAUCAACCAGAACAUUGUGGACUAGAAAUCCCUUGAUGACACAAGAUUUGACCAUAGCAUCAUUGUGAGGGUAAUCCUUGAGCUGAAGGUCCUCUUGGGAGAAGGUAAUUGGGAUGUGGGACCAUUUUGACUUGAUGAAGGGUCCCUGCACCCCAACAUGUUGUACCCUUCUCUAGGCCUCCUUCUUCUGCUUCUUAUUGGCCGGCUCUGAGCAUGAACCACCUGUUAUCGGGACCACCAGCUUCGUAGCCGAAGCAGCUUCAACUUGAUUGUUGAAAGAAGCCAUCAGCUCAAAAAGUGGAAGUGAGUUCACCGGAGGUGGGCGCCAAUGUUGGGGACUUGUUCUCAAAUGCUUCGGUUUGACAAAAGGCAAAAAUCCAAGUGUGGCGCGUGAGCAAUUACAGGAUCGCGUGAACAGUACAGGGGUACUGUUCAUCUAUUUAUAGGCACAGGACACAACCUGUGGGGAAUUACGUUCAUGCCCUUUACAAAGGUCUACAAUCAUAAUACAAAUUAUUAUGGCCCGAUUGGUCAUUUCAUCUUUAAGUCGGUGCCUUUGGAAAUGUACUCUGAAGCCUUCUGAUUGGUAGCUUCGGCUUUGUGUCAAUCUUUCGAAGGUGUUUCUUCUUAUGGGACCUUCGGCGACGAAGCAUACCCCCAACACUACCGAUUAGUUCUAAUAUCUCCGCAGAGGUUAGGAUUAAUUGGUGGCUCCAACCAGUACUAAACAAGGGACAAUAAUACCAAUUGGAUCCACAAACCGAUACUCUCCAAUCCACUAUUUAAGGGUUUCUUUCUCUAGGGCCAUAAACAAAUACGACCUAUUUUCAUACUCUAUUUAUGGUGAUUUUUAUGGGAGUUUCUACCAAUUUAUUUUAAGGUAUUUUCUUGUAUCUUAUACUUAUUUAGUUGUUUAGCAAAAGGUUAGCAAGUUGAUCCUCUCAUCUUUUAUGAUGACAAAGGUUUAUUGUCUUAUUUACUUUUUUUGAGUUAGGUGGUUUGUAUUUGGUUACAAAAAGAAAUAUGUAUGAUCAAAAAAAUUCAUAAAAUGUUUUUGAAGACUUCAAGCAUCUAAAUAUGAAAAAGGUUUAGCAACUUGAUACUCUCACCUUGUAUGGUUACAAAGUUUUCUUGGACUUUUGGAAAUUUUGAUUUAGAUGGUAUGCCUUUAAUUAGAUGCAAAUGGAUAUAUGUACGAACUUCAUUGUCCAUAUAUCUGGUAUACUGUAUAUGUUAUAUAUAGUUGUUUUUUUGUUGAAAGUCUAAAUGCUUUAGAGAAAAUAUAAGUUAACACAUUUCAUGGAAGAGUUGAAAUGUUAUUACAUGUAAUUAUCUACAAAUUAUUACAUUUUAUAAUAUUCUAUAUCUUUUAAACUUUAAUUGGGGCUAUAUUUUGAAGCCGAGGUGCUCACAAAAUAUUUCCAAUAGAUUUUUGAAGCGGAGGUGCUCAUCUAAUCCUGCAAAACGUUAGCACCUUGAUCCUCUCACCUUGUAUAUACAAAUGUUUCACAUUUUAUAUUCAGAAAAAAAUACUUUUUAAAUUGUAUGUAUGUUGUAUACUAUUUUUUUAAAUUUUGUUGAAGACCUAAAUGCUUUAGAGAAAAUGUAAGGUAAUUAGGUUCAUAGUAUUGGUAUGAUGCAUGCAUGCAUGUUAUAUUUCAUUGGCUAUAGAUGUUUACUUUUAUUGUCACACCCUAAAAUUUUCCCAAAUUACAGGAUUUGAAUAAGAAGAAAAGUUAAUACAGCUAUUUUUUGCAUAAUUUUAAAUUUUUUGCUAACCUGCACGUGUAGGGUGUAGGGUCCACUCACUGGAGUCGUCUUCUAUCAAGAGUCCAUAUAAUGAGAGGUGAGCCCAUGUAACCGCCCACCUCCUUGGACUAUAUAAGGAGAGGUGAGAGGAACCCCGAGAGCACAGACCAGAACAUAAUAGAUCAAUAGCCACAAAAACACUGGAUAUAAGGUAUUAUCUCACAACGAGCGUCCGAACUAGAAUAACCUGUAAAUUUACUAUCGGAAAUCCUCGAUGGAGGGAUUGGAAGACCAACCCUAUGAAGACUCGGAGCAACAUGUAGAAAGAAACAAGUUGUGUUCUUGAUCACGUUGCUUUGACCUAUUUAAUAUUUACUGUUAUGUUCUCACAUUUGCAUUACUCAGUUAAGUCAAUUUGACGGGACCAAAUAGAGUAUACCUAGAAUUGUUUUCCCUAGACCUUGAUUACACCUGGUUUAUUUUAUAUUGGGUAGACUGCUAGUGCUCUACUUGAUUUUUAGAAUAAUGUUACAUAUGAAAUAUUUAUAAUGAAUUAUUAUUGUUGGCUUAUUUAUUAUGCAUGAUAAAAUCACUUUGUUUAAUUGGAACAUGGAAUAGCAACCCAAGAAAACAGUACAAUUACAAGGACAAUUAUGCUUAUGGUUUUAGCUGAUUAAUUAGCAAAGGUAGUUUGGGUUUGUCGUACACGAAAGGGCAAGAGGGGAGGAGUUACUCAAAUAUAAGUAUGUUCUUAGGCUAAUCGGCUCUAUCGUAGCUUUGUAGACAAGGGAUAUCUAUACCACCUCUACUUGAAACCUUAGCAGGCACUCUAAUACUAGUGGAUCUUAAAGGCCUCGUGGUGAACCCUGCCUCACCUCCUACGAAGAGAUGUAUGGGAGUCAUAACUCUUUGGCAAAUGGGUAACACAUUUAUGGGUAAAGAUGUACAACCUCUAUAGAAUGUAAAACUAUUAUAUCAGUCAUGCUCAAUAUCAAGAGUGGCUCAGAUCCUCACAUGGUUAAAUUACGGAAUUAAAAUAAACUAGACAUGCAUUUUAUUGUUAGUAUUUUAUUUAUGAUCUUUUACUUCAUUGAUGUGUUAUCAACAUAUACUUAGUAAUUACUAAUAAAAUUUUGACUAACAAAAUUAAAAUGUGCAAUGCUCAGAUCAAACUAUUCCUUGAUAAGACUUACACUGCACUUUUCUUCAUACUUGCUAAGUAACAACCAUAAGUGUACUCAUUAUUGCUGAAUUUGUUGCUCAGAACAAGGACAGCAUGAGGAAGACUGUUAUGAAGAGUUUUAGAUUAUCGUCGCACCGGUCAACUUAUCUGUGGCUCGUUAUCGGGAUCAUCGUCGUCGCUUAGUUUCUUUAAUUCAAUUAGUUUUGCAAAGAUAUUUUAUUUAUAAAUAAAGUUUGUGACAUCAGUAUCUGUACGCUGAGUCAUCAUAUGUGUGUAAAUUGGUCCUAGCGCACAUAUGGAAUACAUCUGGAUUUGUGUUGAAAUCAAAGUGUGAAAAUUAUAGAACCCCAUAUCAUUUGAUCUAAUGUGCCUAAGUGUUUUCCAAGAGAUUACUACAAGUAAAAUUGACCUUGUGAUUUUUAACUAGGGCAUCAAUUUCUUUACUAGUUUAACACUAUACAAAAUUUGAUUCUAGAAUACUAUCAAAUUUGUUAAUAAAGACACUCCAUAAUUAUCAUCUACUAAAAUAUCUAGUUAAAUCAUGGACGUUGUGUCCAUUUUUAGAGAAAAUUAAACAAAAUUGAAACAACCAUGUCUCAAAAUGUACUUACAUAGACAUGUCUCUAAAAAGAACGUCUGUAAAACUAAGAUAUUUUUCGACGGAUAACCCUACAAAUGGGAUGAAGCCUAGCUACCCCAUUAUUAUUUUUCCAUCAAUCUCAAUAUUCCUUUGGAUCUCUCUCUUUCAAAGGCAAGGGUACACUAGUGAAGGAUGGCUUUGAGCAUGGUGACACGAUCUCUCGCAUGAUUGAGGGUGCAUUUAAAGGCAUGGUUUCAUGCAUGUCAACCCGACCAUACUAUACUAUGCAUACAGAACAUUAGGUGUGUUUGUCUUCAAUGUUAUCAAUGGGAAAUUUAAUAGUGUGGUGUUAAGCAUGUGACCACUGCAAUUUCUACAUGAUCGUGGACAUGAUGGCCUUGCCCCCAACUGAUGUCACCUCUUAGAUGUGGCAUGUGGGGUGACUUUAGCAUUGAUGGGUUGGCUAUUGACUAUAUGCCCAAGAGGCUAUCAUUAUCCAUGGGAACACAUUGGAACUUUAAGAUAAAAGCACAUUAGCAUUGGAGAUUUAUACACAAAGGGGUUGGCAUGCUAAACAAAAGACAAACUCGUAUUAACUGGCAUGACAUUUCUCUCUAGGGUUAUGGGUACCCAAGAUGCUACUAUCGUUUCUCUUGCUGCACACACACUGCUAGCACACUAACAUGGCGGCAUUCCCUCCUCACACAUGAGGAUACCAUGGAGGAGCAUCUACUAUUGUUGUAGUGUUGAUCAGCAACGAACUUUAUGAGCACGUGUGAGCAUUUUGUUGUUAAUGGUACCUGAGGACGUACGAGUACUUCCACUAUAUCAUCGUGCUUCUUUUGCUAUAUUGCAUGUCUAGUGGUAACAAUCCAUGAGGCACUUCUCACAUGCUAUAUUGGUUGAAAAUGGCAAAUAAAAAACACGACAUGUGGAAAAUGUCAAAUGUGCUAUUGUGGAGAGUACCAAUUUACCAACAAUGGUGCCAAAGCUAGAUCAUGCACAAUUUUUGAUCUAGAUAGUUUACAUGUAAGUGAUAUACCUAGUAGAUUAGAUAUAGUUUUGCUUUAGUUGUAGCAUAAAUUGGGAUGAACGAGGUAGUUAUCGCUAUAGUCGCAUAUUUUAUUUUCCACUACCAGUUUGGAAUCACCAUCGGGGCUUAAGUUCAGUUUGCUUUCCCUCUUAACCCCUCACAAUACUUACCCCUCCCAACCAGUAUCACCGUUGGGGCUAAUAGUGCAUGUAGCUUUCAGGUUGAAAAGGCGAUAAAACUGAGUUGGGUGUACUAUUAUCAUUAUACCUAACAUUGUUUACAUAUAAUGCAUAAAUUGUCUGAACAAUCCCUUUUCACAUCACGUGUAGUAUCUAGUUGUCCACAUAACUUGGUUUUGCAGGAGAAGUUCUGAAAUGGUAUGGACUAAAUCUAAGGUCCAUGGACGGAAACUUAGUGAUGGAGAUCACCAUGAUAAAGGACCAUACUAUCUCACAUUUAAUAUGAUUUUCUGUGAUGUUUUUUUCAUGUUAUAUUAUUCGUCCAUGUAUUAAAUGUGAUAGAAUAGUUUACCUUAGAAAAAUUAAGAGUUCACUCUGAUUCCCUUCUAAUUGCUGAUGCAUAUUCUAAUCAUUAUUUGGUAGGUCCACAAGUGUAGUGUACCAUCAAUUAUUUUGACCUAAUAGGGUGAAUGUCAGACAUCUACAAGCAUAAUGUUGGUUUGCAUAAUGAGGCUAUAAAAUUAGAUUUGGGCCUUGGGCAUGAUGUUUGGAGCCAGGGUAAUGGAUGUCACCUAACAAACAAGAGUCACAUCGAAUGUGAUUAGCAAAUAUUGCUUACUUAUGUCUGUAUGUUUCUAGCCUUGUUGCCAAGGAUUUCAAAAAGGCUUAAGGAGCUUCCACCUUUGGAACAAAGGUAGCUUAUCCUCGUUACAAGGUUAAGCUUUAAGCUCUUUGACAAUAAAAUCACUUUACCCAGUUUUAGCAAAAAUGCAUUAAUGCAGGAAUGAAAUUUUUGAGAGGUUAAACUAGGUAUGAAGCAGGGAUAAUGCAUAGACAUGCUUUCUCUUCCUUUUAUACAAGAUAUGCAAGGAAUGUAUAGGAAGAUUUAGGUAUAUGUGUAAAUGAGAGGAAGUGGUUUACCCUUAUGUACCUUCAUAUAGAGAUGCUCUCUUCAUUGUGUUUUGUCAUUAGUCUUGGUUACUUAAGACCUAUAUUCAAGACAAUGUAUGGAAAUAUUUUGCACAAGAGAGAGUUCUACAACUAGUGAUCCUUUUUUUGUUAUAGCUAUCAUAUAUCAAGUAGAUCACAAAUUGCAUAAAUUUAUCCUGAAUUCUCCUUUAACUUAGUGCAUAUCAAGAGAGAUAUUGAUUGAUAGUAUAUCAGGCACUAAGCAACAUAAGUGUCAAUUGAAGUUAUUCAAUGAAUAACAGAUGCGAUCAAAAGAACAACAUAAGAAUAUCAAAUAUGCUUAAAAUAGGAGAAUCCAGUAAAUAUGCUACUUUAAGAAUAAAAGCUACAAUCCUUGAUUAAAAGUGAUAUUACUUUACCAAAUUGGAUUGAAUUGAAGCAGCAUAAUUCAUGAGAAACUUAUUCUCAUACUUGAGACUUUAUGAGAUUACUAAGAGAAAAUGUUAGUCUUAAUAUGAUCAAGAUAUAGAAAUGGAGCUCCCCCUAAAGAUAUGCAUCAAGAAUUUGAAUGACUUGGUUAGAUACACUUUUCCUUUAAAGAAACAUAGGGGAAUACAUUGAACAUCUUGAUCAAGGCAUGUAAUAUUUCCAAUAAUCAACAUAUGCCUGGUAUUCUCAACAAUCAAAAAGGUUUAGAAUACUUACAACCACACCAUUGACCAUUUGAAGAUCUUACUGACCAAGUAGGUGUUGUUGUGCUUGAUGUCUUCCUUUUGAGUGUCCUCCCUUUGAAGUUGUCUCUUUUUCUUUUCAAACUUAUUGAAAAUACUCAAGAAAGAUAUUAGCAGCACAGAGAAGUAUAUGAUGAAUGAUGAUUUCUUUGCUUUUACCUUUCUUCUUUUAGGGGAAGAGCAACCCUUGAGGCUUGUGUCUUUUAAUAAAUUGAACAUGCACUUACUCUCUUGUAAAUUUUCAUAAAUAUGCUCAAGAGAUAUGUCAUUAGUAACACAAGCACUAGUUUCCCUUUUGUAAUCAUUUUUUAGAAGGAAUGAAAAGUAGAUUACUAAAGCAUGUAAACUUCAUAACAUGAACUAGAUUAUCCCAUAGAUAAUAUCAUGCUUAGUUUUAACUCAUAAAACAAGCAUAAUUAAUCUCUCAAGAUCAUGGGAACAAAUCUAAUUCAUAAUAUGGAUAGUGAUUAAUGUAGAAGAAUCAUAUUCAAAUGAAGCAAGAAGAAAUACAUCAUAUACUAUUGGACUGAUCUACCUUUUGUGUUAAAAGUAUGCAUUCCAUAGAGAAACUCAUUAUCUUGAUGUAAGACUACUUGAGUCACUUAGACAAAAGCAUUAGUCUCACAAAUCUAGUCAUAAAGAGAACUUUUCUUUUAUAAGUGUCCUAAUGAUUUGAAUUCCUUAUAUGCCACUUUAUUCUUUUAAGAACUUGGAAUAUCUCUCUCUAUGUCUAGAACAUGGCAACAAUAGGAUAAUUAAUGUAGAUCAUGCCAUAAGGUAGUUAAAACAAUUUAAAGCAUGUAGAUUGCCAUAAUAUAGAAAUGAUAAAUAUGCAAUCUACCAUAAGAGAGAAACUUCCUCCAAAGAAUAGUAACAAAAUUUAACAUCAUUCUUAAGUGCUUCCUUUUUUAUGUGACUACACAAGACACAAGAGAUAUGAUAAUUGAAGAUACUUGCACUUAAAGACAUAAGUGUUACCAUCCUUCGGCUUUCCUCCAUGUUGUAGGUCUUCUUGAUUUUCCACAUAGGAUAAUCCUACAACAUCAAUGUCUUGCUCGAGAUGAUAUGAGUUUUAGAUAUAAUAACUCAAAAUAACUUUGGGUCAAUUUUAGAUAUAUAUAUAACAUUGUAAGAUUGAUAGCUUGAACUAAUAAGAAUUGAAUUAACCCACUCAAGCACCGCCAAAGCUUCAUAUCAUCUCCUUUCCCCUGCAAAGCUUGUCAUGCAUAUUUUGGUCCCCAUCUCUUGAUGGGUCCAUCAAGGUUAGUCAACAAAGAUUUAGGAACCCAGAUGUCCUUUGUGCUAGCACUUGGUAAACUUAUUACCUUUCUAGCACAAGUUGCGAUUUUGGAUUGCCUAGUUACAUAUGAAUCAAUUGACAAGUUAGGGGCGGGAUAGUUACCAAUAGGACAAUCCUUACAUUGAUGUCCUUUCUUUCGGCAUAUGUAGCAAAGGCGAUCUUCUUGUCUUGAAGAUUUCUUCUUUCCUUGUUUCUUGCUUGCUACAUGGUUAGUAAAUAUUUUCUUUUCUAAAACUAUGCCUUUUUGUUUUACAUAGGGACAUGACUUUACUACAUGUCCCUUCUUAGAGUAUUUGAAACAAAGUUUAUCAUCCUUGUUAAUAAUCAAGCCAUUUUCUUUAAUAUAGGGUCAUGACCUAAUCAAGUGCCCCUUUUCAAAGCAAUUACUACACUUCUUACUUUUCUUAGCGCGAAGUGUGGCUUGAUCAUUACCUUGGAUGUUACCUUGUGUGGAGGCAUGGUUGAGGCUUUUGACAGAGGUAUUUAUUUUCUUCUUUUGUUCCUUCCUCUUGACAAUCCUCAAGUCCUUGACAUUUCUUUCAAGGGAUUUUGUGCAUGCCUCGGUUGUUCCCGUCUCAAGCUUUUUCACCAUGUGAUCAUGGUUAUCUUGAGAAGGUUGAGCAGUGCACUUCCCUUUUUGUUGUGUCAAGCUCAUUCUUAGCCUCUCAUUUUCUUCCUUGAGCUCUUGACAUGAAUCAUCUUUUACUCCUGCAAAUUCUAGCUCAAAGGAAGAUUUGCUUGCUGACGAGCAACAAGCAUUAGCACAUGGUAAUACACUUUCAAUUUGAAUACAUGUGCAUGAGUGAGGUUGUUUGGAUUUUAAGUUUUCUAUCACAACCUCAUGAGCAAUGUUUAACAUGAUAUGAUCAUCCAUAAGAUUUUCAUGAGAAUAUAGAAGCAUAUCAUGUUUUUCUUGAAAGGCUAGAUUUUCAAUUUUUAGCCUUUCUACUUGGUCCUUAAGUAAGGCAUUCCUAUUUACUAAUUGAGCGAUACAAUAUAAAGAAUUAUCUUGCUCAAUUGAAAUAGUUUCAUACCUUUGGACCAAAUCAACAUGAGAGCACUUUAGCUCCUCAUGUUCUUUAGUCAACUCUUCAAAGUAGUGCAUUUUUAUGUUGAGAAUAUCUUCUAGCAUGUGAAGAGCUUCACUUUGCUCUCUCGCUCUUUUUAAAAGUUUGAGCAUGACCUCCUUAUCUUCUUGGCUUAGAUGAGCGUAGAGUUGCAUGAGGCUUCUUUCAUCCUCCUCAUCCUCAUUUGCGCUUCCACUAUCAUUUUCAUUAGCCACACAACAUAUGUGUGAAUCGAAAUGGGAAGACAAACCUUUUGGAGAGGUGGAUUCAUCAUUUGGUCUCCAACGUUCAUUUUUUUCUUCUUCCUUCAAAGGGUUAGUUUCACAAGGACUAAAGGAAGUAGAAGCAUCAAAUGAACUAAUAUGUUUGGACUCUUCAAAUUUAUUUUUAAUUCUAGUCCAAAUAUCAUGCGCAUCAUGAAUAGGUUCAUCAUAUCUCAUUAUGAUGGCACGAAAAUCUUCUUUGCUAAGAGAAUUACUUAAGAUGUCAUAAGCUAGCUAGUUUAAUCGUAUACAUCUUUGAUCCUCCUUGGAAGCAUUUUUCUUAUCAUAACUAGAAGGUAUAAUACUCUUGUCUAAAAUCUGUUCUAAUUGUGAAUCUAUGGUUCUAAAAGCAUUUAUCACACGAGUAGACCGUGAAACAUAAUUAGAACAAUCGGAAAGUAAUAACUCAAGAGUUACCUCAUAAUUUUCCUUCGGAGGUGUCUUCUUGUUCUUUUGGGAUCUUCCUCAAGCCAUCACUUCGAGUUGUUAGACUCAAUAUGAAGUGCCUAGCUCUGAUACCAAUUGAAAGUCGCCUAGAGGGGGGUGAAUAGGCGAAACCUGAAAAUUAUAACUCUAAAUACAAACUAGAUCCCUUGAUUAGUGAUUGGAACAAGAAGCACAAUUAUCGAAGUGUAAAACUAAGUCCCUUGCUUGUAAAGAGUGUUGCUUUCAAAGAAUGCGGAAUUAGCAAAUCAAUACAACUAAUAAAUUUAUGGAAUAUAGAGCAAGAGGGCUUAGGUAAAAGGAGGAAUAACGCAAGUUCUUUCUUGCAAGACGUUGCUUCUCUAAAUGAGAAUUUAACUUGAAGUAACACAAAAUAAUAUUAGCAAGGAAUAGUGCAAGAGAACUUAGAGAGAAAGAAAACAAACAAAUCAAAAUCAAUAAGCACAAGAGACACGGGUGAUUUGUUUUACCGAGGUUCGGUUCUCGAGAACCUAAUCCCCGUUGAGGAGUCCACUAAGGAUGGGUCUUUUUCAACCCUUUCCCUCUCUCCACCGAUCACCAAGACCGGCGAGCUCUUCUUCUUCUUUGUCAACAAGAGACUGAAGUCUCCGCAAGGCCAACCACAAAGAUAAGGGGCUCUUGCUAGCUUUACAAUGAAUGGGUGUCAAAACUCCACGAUCAAAUGAUCACAAGAGGUAGCACACACUUUCUCUCAAUAAUUCUCACAAGACACUAUCACUAAACGCACACGAGUAGCUCUUUCUUGCUUGAUCUCUCUUUUGUGGCACUUGUGAGGCUUUGAUGUGUAUAGAAGUGUUGCUCUAGUAGAUAGGAGUUAAUACCCAACUCUUGUGUAUGAAAUGGAUCAAUGAAUACUUGUGAAUGGGCUGGUUGGGGUGGCUUUUAUAGCCCUCAACCACCCAUAUAGCCGUUGGGGCGCAUCUGCAAGAAUUUGCACUGGCGGAUGGUCCGCGGCUAGGGCCCGGACGGUCCGUGACCCUCCAACGGUCGAUUCUGACAUCUUCAACGGAUACAUCUGACAGAUCAACGGCUUUCUGCCUCGGUCACACCACCCGGACGGUCCGCCCUUGGUCCCGGACGGUCCGCGUCAGCUCUAUAAUUCCUUUUGCUCAACUUGUCACCUUCGGGCCGAACUAGGUUUACACAUGCGGACGGUCCGUGAAUUAUAGCCGGAUGGUCCGCACUGUAUAGACGGACAAUCCGCGGUUUACUCGGACUAUCCAUGAUUUUCAGUUCCUGGCCGAAGUCGAAACGGUGUCGCGGACGGUCCGCCAGAAGGGGCCGGACGGUCCGUGAUAGGCAAUUUCAGAACUUGAGUUUCUGACUUCCUGUUGAUCUUUGAACAAUCUUCUCCAAGUUGCUUUGGCUAAACUUGAGAGAGAUCCUAUGACUUAGAAAAAUAUCUCAAGUGGCUUUCCAUCUAUUCUAAAUCAUGGAUCAUGAACAUUUUGAUUCUUUCAUUCAUGUUUCUUCUUUUGCUCAAACUAGCUACAAAAUAGUGAUACGUUGAUUUUGAGCUUUCCAACCUUUCUAGAAAUGUUGAAUACAUUUCUCAGGGUAUUUUGAACUUAUCCAAAGAGUAGAACUAUUGGUAGUUCAUCUAUCUCAUGUUUUACCCCCUAUUUGGUUGAAUCUGAGCUGAUUCUUUCUUAGAAAUUGAACUGUUGAAUCUUAUGAACCUGUGAAUCAAAGACUAGGCAAACUAGUUAGUCUAAAUGGUUGUGAUGGUCGUCAAGCACCAAAAUACAAGAAAUGGUUUAAGGCCAUUUCCCUUUCACUAACAAAACCAAAUCGAAUGAACCUCGACACCCACCCUUAGCAGAGCAAGCACUAUGCCCCAGCCCCCAUUGACAGCACAACAGUGAAGCAAACUACACCCCCAGGUUCCUCCAAUUAAUCAGCUAAGGGCGUCCCAGUCCACCCUCAUGGUAGUACUGUUGUCCUGAGUGGUCUCUCAACAAACAGGUCCUUACGGAGAGGUACUCGGGAAACAGCCCGAGCCCCCUAAGUGCCACAAGUUCUACAUCUCAAAUACCCAUUACUACCAGAUCAGCAGGAAACUGUAUCCCCCAUCUUUCGACUCUUGCAUUUGGAAAAAAUUUGUCUAUUGGGGUCCUCCCACCAAUUGAACUAACCCUCAUAGGUGGGAACAUUGUGUGUUUCUACCCAUGAUAUAGUCACAAAAGAAUGUGUGGCUCCCGUAUCAAACAACACAUUUGCAAAAUGAGAUUCGACUAAGAACGUACCUAGUGCCACUCCUGGGGUCUCCUAAACUGUGUCGGCCUCCAGGAAGUUCACCUUUCCCUAUUGGGUACGCGACUGGCCACGGAUGCUUGCUUCCUGCCGAGGUGCAUUAUGUCUUGCUGGGGCAUUAGGAGUUGACUGUUGUUGAGCCAUCUUCUUCGAGCACUGCAUCACCUAGUGGCCUUGCUCUCCAUAAUGGAAACAUCCUCGGCCUCCUCCUUGCACUUGGGCUAUCUGGCUGUUCUAAUUAGCUGCUGGGGCAGGAAGGCGAGGUGCCUAACUGUUCUGGCUCUAGUACUGAUUUCCUCCUGGUUGGCUGUUCUGACGGUACUGCAGCGGCUGCUGAUACUGCCUCUGAGUCUGCUGCUAGUUCUGACACUGAUUCCGCUGCUGAUAUCCCUGUGGGUGGCUAUGCCUGAACUACUGAGAUGAGUUGCCUGAGAAACGGGGGCGACUAUUGCUCCUAGGCUGGGAUCCACUCAUCUUGCGCUUUCUUUCAGUCAUGAUAGCUCUAUCAAUCAGGUGUUGGAAGGUAGGGAAGGUGUGAUUCAUCAGUUGGUAGUUGUAAUAUCCCAAAAAAAUAUUGCCAAAGGUUGAUCUUUGGUGUGUGGAUGUGGGAAAAGGGUUGUGGGCCGUUGGAUGCUAAGUCAGAGUCAUCUGUGGCUUCACUUCAUGUCUCCCGCAAAGAAACCCUAGUGGUGGCCUUUUCCCCUUUUUGCCCCUACUUGGCCGCCACCCCUUUCCCCCCCUCCCACACUUGGUGGCCGCCCCUUUCCCCUUGGGCUGGCCAUCCUCUCCUCCCAUGGUAGCCCCUCUCCACGGCUUCCUCCUCCCUCUAGAUCUCCCUCGCGCAGCAAGGAUCGAGAAGAGCAGGAGCACAUUGAAUUGAAGGGGAAGAGAGGAUCAAGGAGAUGUUCUUCCCUAUCUCUUCUUGCAGAAUUUCUUGUGGAAACCCUAGGUAUGGAUGAGAUCCUUGUUCCUCCCUGUAAUUAUGUGCUUUUGGAGGUUGUGGAUCAUGGGAAUUAAAGGAUUAGAGGUUGGAUUAGAUGUGGGGUUAGGUUUUGAUCUCGAAUUUAGUUUUCUGCAGAAUGGCAGAUUUGUCAGUUUCUGUUCAUGCCAGCUUUCCGUGGUUUUAGUGGCCUCAAAAAAUAAAAAGUCUAUAUAUUAAUCGUAGAUAAUUUGUAGAUCUUUUUGUGGCCGCGAAGAACACCUCAAUCCGACGUCAUAUCAGAGAGUUAUUGUAGUUUGAUUAUAUCAGUUUUUCAGUCUCUUAAUUCUGUGCAGAAUCUGUUCUCUUAAGAUUUAGGCAAUUUUAUCAACAUAAUUAAACCUUGGGUUUGUAAAAAAAUAUGUAGAUAAUUUCAUAAGCUUUCCAUAUUGUUAAAGAGUGCAUUCAUAUGAAUUAUGAAACUCCAGUUAUGUUUGUUUUACUGUGGCUGUUCCUGUUUGCCUGACAAAAAUGAGCGGGUCUGUUCACCGGUAGGUUUCAUGAGGUAAAUGGCCGAAUUGGCUCUCCCAGCUAUGGAGAAUUUUGUAGAGGGAUAAAAGUUCUUACUUCCAGCAAAAUUUCAUGAUUUUUGGUUGAGUAGUUGUUUGAUAUAUCGAAUUGAAAGUUAACUAUGCUGGUGUCUAAAACAGAUUCAGUCAGUUAUUUUGUCAGAUGUUUUAGAACUUAUAGAUGGCAAAAUUUAAUUAUCCAUCGAAUGUCGAAGUUGUAGAGUAUUUUGUGUAGAUACUCUUAGAGUAUUUGUUUGAUAUCAACACUGUUAUAAUUUUAAAGAUACAAAAUUAACAAACAGCGCUGCUGCUGUAUGGCAUAUGGUUCAGAGUGGGAGGUUUUCCACCAGGUCUUGGUUUCAGGUGUAGGAGCGAUUUGUUGAUUGUUGGCAAAUGUUUGUGAAAUAUUUGUACUAAGUUUUAUGCCCACUAGCAGGUGGCUACACUCCAGACCAUGCCUAGUACAUUUUUCUUCUUCGAUGAAGGCAAGUGAAUGUAGGGGUGGUUGCUUCCGUUCUGACCUGUUAUUUCUAUCGCCUACACUCUAGUAUUCAGAAUUAUUGGAUUCUUUCAUAAUUGGACUCCAUGGUGAUGCUUUACUUGCUUGCAUUAUCCUGAUGCUCAAUCAUAUAUUGAUGAUGAUUAUUAUUCGAGUACGACUCAUGAGAUUAAUUCACACCCCUGAAGGUAAAUGAAGUAUUAUUUGAGGUUUGUAUUGUAUCUAAAGGUAAAUGAAGUAUUAUUUGAGGUUUGUAUUGCAUGUGAAGGAAGUGAAGUAUAUUGAUAAAUGCAACAUGCCAUAUACAUUGCAUGAUUCACUUGCAUCUGAAGUUGGGUCGUGACCUAUGGCCUGACCGUACCGGUACAACUUAGCAUCGUACGUUGCCCGAGAAGGGGUACGAUGCGGCUUCAUACCCUUAGAGGUAUGAAGGCAGAGGACAUAUGCAUUGCAUUCAUAUGCAUUCAUUGAAGUGAUAUUUGCAGAUGAUGUGGUUUUAUACCCUCAGAGGUAUGAAGACAGAGUACUUACACAUUGCGUUCCUAUGCAUACAUUGAAGUGAUAUUUGCAGGUAUUGUUGACGCAGGGAAGUGUUAUACAAACUAUUGUGGUUGUUCGAGGAAAUGAGAUGGUAUUGGUUAUAUUGAGAAUACUGAGUUCUAUAUCUACAAGUAUUUCUGAUCUUAAUUGUGAUUCUUUUAAAAUGUUGAUUAAUUCAAUUUGUGGUUUAAAUAUCUUGUCAAAACAAUUCGCUUGUUGAGAUGUUUCAUCUCACUCUUGCAUUACUCAAUGCAGGUGCUUGUUGCUCAUCAAGGGAAGUGGGAAGUAGCAACACAUCCACCGUCACUCUCAUAAUAACGCUGCCUAGGCGCAGUCAUGAUUUAGUUAGAAACUUCUUGUCAAAGGAUGUUGUUUCUAACAAGUUGUGCGCACUGGUUGAUUUAGUUCAUGCUGUUAUGGUUGUCUUCCCAUUGCUAGCAGAUUAUUAAUGUCUAUUAUGUUUUCUUAUCAUGUAUCUAUUUAUACUUUGUUGUUUCCCCAUUUAUGCAAUUUUCAAAGAGGAUGCUGUCGAAAUUUUAUAUAUGAAUGUUAGAUGUGUAGUUUAGUAGCAUUCUAGGGUGUUUGUAGAUCCCGGGGUGUUACAGUAGUGUAGGGGAUCAACCAAACCUCUCAGGAAUCGAUACAGCCUCUUCGCAUCAGUGUUGACGUCUUAGGGUGCAUAGCGAGACAACUGCAGGAAUCUGUCUCGGUACUCACUGACGGACAUGUGUCCCUUCUUCAGUGCCAGGAAAUCCUCCUUCACUAUCAUCAUACCCUCUGAAACAUGAUAUCGAUAGAAAUUUUCUAUUAAUUCCUCCCAAGUGAUAGCUUCAGGAUCGGCAUGGGUGGCGAGGUAGGACUCCCACCAGGACUGUGCUGCUUCCCUUAGCAUACGAGGACCAUAUAGAACCUAGUAUCUGUCAUUGCAUUGUGCGGUGUGCAACUCCUGCUCCAUUGUGCGCAGCUAGUCUUCGGUGUCCAUGGGGUUGGUAGAGUGGGUGAAGAUAGGGGGUGACCUCUAAUGAACUCCACAAGCUUAUCUCUUGGCAUCUUAGGCAUCUACAUUUGUGGUUGAGGUUGAGGUUGUUGUUGUGCUUGCUGCAUGGCUGCUAGAGUCUGCCCAAUUGCUUGCACGGCUUGGGUCUGCAUGAAGAACGUUAUCUAAGCGAGUGCGAACACACAUUCAAUAUUCUUGAAACAGAAAAGAACUAUACACCAUACAAGGGAAAAACAUGUGCCAUACAAAAUAGUGCUCGUUUCUACGGUCACACGAGAAAAAGAAACGCCGAGAUCAAAGCUACGAUUGAGAAGUCAUUGCAUGUACGUUCUACAAAUAUGAAAUGUAACAUUUAAUUCUACAUACUCGUAUUAUUCAAAAUUUAUUAAAUGCAAUUAGAGCUAUCGCUUAGUCUUAAUUAAUCUACUACGCUAACAACCUUCAGUUAGAUGAGUAAUUUAAAUAAUAUUAGUGACUCUAAGCGAGACGAAUUAACGGCGCGAGACGAAAUACGCAACGCGCGAAACAGCACGGCAGCACACUCACGGAGCGUGGGCCAACACGACACGCGAGGAAUAAUAAAUAGAUAGCAUGUUCAAACUAAACAAUUAUUAAUAAAGAAUAUUUCAGUUAAAUUUAACCGUGUUGGUGUUUAUUUAUAAAUACGCAAAUCAAAACCCUAAAUUAGAUUUAAAUUGAAACGUUAUUCUAAUAAUCAUUGGUCAAACAAACAUUUAAAUAAAUUAAAUAAAAGGUGUAACAGCAGAGAGAAAUACUUCUAACAUGUAGAAAAUUUUAAUACAAAUCUAACGCAACUUGAAUGGAAUGAAUCAGAUUUAAAACGCAAAAGUGAGAGAAAGUGACUUAAAGAGUCUAGUACAUACAUGUGGAUUAAUGAGUUCAGUUGCGAGAGGUAGUUUUUAGUACUUCAUCACUAUUAUUGAUGACUUGAGUAGAUGUGGGUAUGUCUACUUAAUGAGGCACAAGUAUGAAUAAUUUGAAAAUUUCAAGGAAUUUUAGGAUGAGGUACAAAAUCAUUUGGGCAAAAUAUUAAGAUUCUACCAUCAGAUCAUAGAGGUACCUUGUCUGUGGUUACCAUUAUUAUAUUACCCAUGCCAUUACAGAACAUUCUUCUUCGGCACAACCUUGCCCAAUGUUUAGUCUUUCCACAAUGGAUGCAAUCAUCCCCAAUAGAAUGUUUGGGAGUGCCUUACUUCAUAUUGGUGUUGGGUGGAGCUUGAAGAUGGGAGCCUGAUUGCUAUGAUGUUGCACCUGGUUCUGCAGACUGGGAUACUGGGGUGCCUGCCCUAGUAACCAAGGCAUUGUUACUAGUGAUUUUGUUGAUCAGAACAUGGUUGAUUGUACUAUUGUUGAGAGUACCGUGUAGAUCUGAUCAUGGGUUGCUCGAGGCCGCUUGACAAAACCCAACCCAACCCAACCAAUGCAAUAGGAAGGUAUGAGCCAUAGUGUUGGGGACUUGUUCUCAAAUGCUAUGAAUUAAGAACAAGGCAACAUAAAAUGUUAAAUGUUAAUGCCCUUCGCCCGCUGAAGCAUUAUUUCCUCAAGGAUUUAAUGAACUUCGGACGAAGGUUAAAACGGUACAAUUACGAAGGUUGAAUCUUCGUAAUUGAACUCUCAAAGAUUAUAUAAAAUAAUGCGAGAUAUAAAGCAUUAAAGACAAGUAAAUUAUAAGUAAACGACAUCAUUUACAUUAUAUAAACUUGAUGUAUUUAAAUAUUAGAUACAUUUAUACCUCUGCCUUGGCAAAGAAUAAUUUCCGAGUGAUGCGAUUGCAAUUACAGGAAUGCGUGAACAGUAAAGGAGUACUGUUCACUAUUUAUAGGCACAGGACACAGCCUGUGAGGAAUUACAAUCAUGCCCCUCAUAAAAGUUUACAACAUUGACUCAGACCUUUAUGGGCUAAAAGGUCAUUCUAUCUUUAAGUCGGUUCGACCCUUCAUCUUCGGAUAUGUUGUAAUACCGAAGCUUCAUGAGUGGUCCCUUCGGCGUUACGUAUGAGUAGCUUCAGCCGAAGCUGUCUCUUUCUGCAGGACCUUCGGCGACGAAGCAUGGUCCCAACAGUAGCCCCUUCGCGGUGCUAGAUCGUUUUUUGUAACGAGCUUGAUCCGUGAAAAAAGUCUCUUAGGCUUCAGGAAGCCGAAGGUCCGAAAAACACCUUCCCUGAGCUCGUUGUCGAGAAACGAUACAGUUUCCGAGCGCGUAACGGUCCCACCCUGCAGGUUUACUAUUUGGUCUUUGCGGCCCACCGCGCAGCGGGUGCGAGCAGCUGUUUGUCUGGUGUAAAAAUCCUGACGAUUCACCUUCUUACCUGCAGCACUAUAUAAACAGACAGGUAGGUGUGAAGUUACCACAGCAUUCAUUGCUAUUGCACUGUUUUGCUGCCAAAAUUUUUAACCAUAGCCGAAGCUUGACUCUCUCAUUCAGACGAAGCUCCAGUUUAGUUCCUACUUCGUCAAAAGAAAAGCUUCGGGAGAAGAAGUUAUUUAGUUCCCAAGAAAUCUUUCAAGAAAUUCAAAAUUAAAUGGCCAGAGUGCGUUCUACCGCUAGAGUUGAGCGUGAGGGAGGCGAAGCCGAAGGAGCGGAGACUGUUCCCAUCUCCGAAGCAAUGCAACGAUCCGGAUUGGUGACCUCGGAAGGAAUCCCUACUGCCGAGACAGAACAGACUGUUGCCGAUACAGAACAAGCUGCUGCCGAAGCGGAGGAAGGAGAUAUUGAGGAAGCUGAUUCCGAUGAUGAUUACCAUAUCGCCGUACCGAGCAAGCCCAGCCAUUUGGACUUCGGAAAGUCGACGAUCUCCAAGGCUGAUUUCUCCAAAAUGGUGAAGUCAGGCUAUUUCAGUGAAAAUGAGAAGAAGCUGCUUCGCUUCGGGGGGAGGAAACUACCCCGAAGCCAGAAAAGGAUGAAAUAGUUAUUUUCAAGAGUUUUCUGAAAGCUGGGUUGAGAUUCCCUUUAAAUAGAAUGAUCUCAGAUGUGCUACAAAAGUUUGGUAUCUAUUUUCACCAACUGACUCCUAACGCCAUUGUCAGGCUUAGCGUUUACAUCUGGGCUCUCCGAAGCCAGGCGGUGGAGCCGUUCGCCGACAGCUUCUGUCGAGUUCAUGAGCUGCAUUACCAGACUAAGGCCAGAAAAGAUGGAUUGCACGAAAAUUUUGGUUGUUAUAAUUUUGCCUAUCGGAAAACCACAAAGUUUCCUGUGAUCAGCUACCGAAGCAAAUGGCCGGCAGGCUGGAAGUCAGAAUGGUUUUAUGUCAAAGUUGACGAAGACAAAGAGAAGCUGGUACAGAGCCCUCUUGAACUGAUCUUCGGAGAAACAAGACCCCGAUGCAAAAUGGCAGUAGAAGGUCCAACUUGGGCUGCACUGGCUGAAUUCAAAAUUAUUGCAGAACAUAUUGGCACUAGAGAUUUAGUGCAGGAAUUUCUGGCCUUCAGAGUAUUUCCAACUAUGAAGGAGUGGACUAUGCCGAAGCUUAAAGGAGAAAAGAAAGAAGGGAAGCUUGUCCGACUACCUUAUUAUUAUAAGUUUAAAAAAUAUUUUAAAGCACCCUGCUAAGAAUGGCUCAAUACAAUUGAAAUAAUGAGUAAUGAAAUUCUUGGAAAUUACUCCAAAAAAGAGGACCAGCUGAUGACAGCAGCCUUCGGCACUCGGCCGAAGCGAAGGCUGAACAGGGUGCUUGAUGCUAUAGGAUUUGAAUAUGCUGAUUAUGGUAGACUGGGCGGAGAUGCUGGAGGUCCGAAGCGAAAAAGAAUUGCCAGCGCUACUGACGAAGAGGUCGCCAAGGUAGCUAAAAAGAAAAAGAAAGAAUCUGAAAAAGUUAGCCCUGAAGAGUUAAACCCUGAGCCGAAAGUGGCCACUACAAGAAAGAGAAAAAGUGUAUCUCCAGAGCCGGAAACGCUGGUUCGAGAAGAAGAUACUCCUGCUACUCCUUCUGUUGUUGAAGUAGAAGAGAUUAUGAAGGUAAUGACUGAACCCUUGCCUAUCAGGCUAAGUCCGCUGGCACUGGAACUGACGAAGUUUUUUCAGAAGGACAAGGCAGCUUCGGCAGACGAAGGCCCUGCGCUGCCGAAAAAAUGAAGGAUUAUUCAAAUAGCAGAUGUAAUUCAUGGGACACCGUCACCAACACCUGCAUCAAAAAUUGUCAUUGAUCAAACUGCCGAAACUGCCGAAGCUAAAGGCGCCGCAGCCGAAGCCACCAGAGCGGAAAUCUUCGAAGCUGAUACUGACGCAGCCGAAGCUACCGGGGCUGAAAUCGGGGCCACAGAAGAUCCGAACCUAGAAGAGACACUUGAAGUUAUCGAUAACAUACUCUUAAAAAUGACUGAGGAAGAAUCUGUUGUGGCUGCGGCAAGCACAGCUACUGAAAAGGGGAAAAAACAAGCUGAAGACAUUUCGGAGGAAGAAGAUUUUGAAUUUCAAGAUUUACUUGGGCAAGGACUGACAGACGCUGAAGAGGCAGAACUUAAAAAAUGUGCCAUAGCCUGCGGAUAUAAGCCAGGGGCUAUACUAUUCGGUGGGGUUAACGAAGGAAAACUGAGGUGCCUUCGGAACCGCAGCGAAGCUAAAAUUGUUAGAACUCUCUGCAAGAACAUUGGCUUGCCGAAGCUAGAAGCGGACCUCUGCCAUUACCAACGACACCAUAUCGCUGGAAGCUUGCUUUAAGCUAAUUUCAAGGUAACAAAUAUUUUUGUUAUUUUAUUACUAUUACUAUUAUCUUUUAGGUCAUUUUCUGACGAAGAUCGUUUCGACAGAGCAUAUUAUUAAGUAAGGUUCUAAAAAUGCAACAAGAUCUCGAAGAAGAGAAGAACAAGGCCGUCAUUCAAGAUUUGGCUGAAAAAGUUGAAAAUUACGAAGCUAAUCUGAAAAAGAAAGACUUCACAAUCCAAGACCUUGAAAUCAUGGUUAAAGAGCACGAAGGUGCAUUAGAAAAGAAAGAUUUUGUUAUUCAGACCAUGGAGGGUUCUUUGGCUGAAGUCCAAACUGAGAAUAACAAGUUAAAGAAUGAAUUGCUCCAACAGUCAGAAAAAUUUGAGCAAGAAAAGAAAUAUCGUGAAGCAAGCCUGAAAACUGAAGUGGAUAAAAAUUCAAAUUUGCAGAAAUUCUUUAAAGAACUUCAAGAGAAAUGCUUAAGCUUCGGCAGCCGAUGCGUGCAGCGGCUGAAGGAUGUGUUUCACUCUGUCGGAGCCAGUUCUGCGAAAUUUACACCUUCAGCUGAAAAUCUGCCCAGCACAUUAGAAUAGAUUGAAGGCGAAUUUGAUGCCCUUGACGAAGUUAUUGGUGGGCACGCCGACUUCUGCGCCCUGGUAGCUUCUCGGGGCACAGCUACUACUUUUUUGAAGGUUGGCUGCACGCAUGGAAAUAUUGUGAACAGACCAAACUUCAGCUUGUCAGCAUCAGAUCUGAUAGAUAUCCCAAGCCUAGCCCAAAGCAUUGGAAAUAGAUUUAUGACCCAGAUCUGGGUAAGUGGCGGGAGGAAAAUGGCAGGUGACGAAGCUCGAAGUCAUCUUAAGCCGGUAAGAAACUUAUGUUUGUUACUUUUACCUUCUCUUUUGAAAUUUGCACCUUUCUUAUUCUGCUGUUUGGUAUACACAGGAUGACGAAGCUGAGGAAUGACGAAGCUGAUGACGAAACCUAGGCUGAAGCUUAAAGUUGCUUACAAUAUGCUCUCCUGCAAAAAUUCUGGAGAAAUUCUUGUAAUAUAGCUAUGGAACAACUCAUGUAAAUUUGUACAUACCUUGUAAUAUAUUCUGUCUCCCUUAUUCGCAUACAGUCUGCUUUGCUGUGGACGAAACUUCUCUUUUGAGCCGAAGGCGAAAAACACCUUCCCUUCUUUUCGUACACAACGAAGCAUAAAAUUUUUCCUUCGAAGUUUUUCCUUAUUUCUGAAGCACCUGUCUUCUUUGUGUAGCAUGAUGAUGAUUCUAUAUAUGUCUAAAUGAAUGUUUAUGAAUGCAAAUGACAUGAUGAAAUAUACUGUGCAAAUGAAUAUUGGGACACAUGUUCAAAAACCAUAAGCACAGCCAUUCAUCCCCUUAGGAAUGAUACAAAUCUUUUUGCCGUUUACUUUUCUGCUUCACCGUUUACUUUUCGGUGUAUCAGCGUUGACUUUUCGUUGUAAGCCUCCCUUGGGAGGUUCUUCGCCUUUUACUUUCAGCGGAAUCAGCGUUUAUUUUUCGCUGUAAGCCUCCCUUAGGAGCUUCUUCGCCUUUUACUUUCAGCGGAAUCAGCGUUUAUUUUUCGCUGUAGGCUUUGCAUUCCCUUAGGAACGACUUUUGAGCUUCUCCCUGUUUCCUUUUCUUUUUUCCUUUGCGUUUACAUUUACAUUUUUUGGGGGAUGUCAUUCUCAUAGAAUUGAAAUAAGGAAAAUUACAUGUUGUGGCCCCAUUAAAAACCUUUCUCCCCCUUUGGAAAGGAAAAGGGUGCCACAAAAAAGAAUAUAAAAAAUUACAUCAAACUAAACAUAAUAUCGCCGAAGCUCAUCCGCAUUCCACGAUCUAGGAGUGUCGUUGCCGUUCAUAUCCUUCAAUCUGUAGGAAUCGGGUCUUGACGAAGAUACUACUAAAAAGGGGCCUUCCCACUUCAGCUGUAAUUUGCCUACUGUCUCAGGAUUGGCUAUUCUUUGAAGUACCAAGUGUCCUGGUUCAAUGUUCUUCAGCUUGACCUUUCUGUCACGCCAUUUUAUUGUUUCAGCUUGAUAUUUAUUGAUGUUUUCCACAGCUUGAAGUCUGAUCCCUUCAAUAGCAUCUUUUUCUACAGAGCAAUCAGCUUCGUUUUCGCCUUCUGUCGAAGCUACUGUCCUUAUUGAUCCUGUUUUGGCCUCUUCUGGGGUUAUUGCUUCAUCACCGAACAAUAGUUUAAAGGGUGUAAAGCCUGUUGACCUUGACAUGGUUGUGUUGUGGCUCCACACCACUUUUAUUAACUCAUCUGGCCACUUUCCCCUGGGCUGAUUGAAGAUUGACUUCAUUAUUCCUGUCAUUAUGAUCCCAUUGGCUCUUUCGACAAGUCCAUUUGACUCUGGGUGUCGGACUGAUGCAAAAUGGAUCUUCGUGCCGAUUUGAUCACAAAAUUCUCUGAAAGCUUCAGAAUCAAACUGUGUCCCAUUAUCCAUAGUAAUAGCCUUCGGCACUCCGAAGCGACAAACAAUGUUUUGCCAGAAAAACUUUUGAAUAGUAAAUGAAGUUAUUGUGGCUAAGGGCUUUGCCUCAAUCCAUUUGGAAAAAUAUUCCACUGCCACUACUACAUAUCUUAAGUUCCCCUGUGCUGGUGGUAAUGGACCUAGCAAAUCAAGACCCCACCUUUGCAACGACCAAGUGGGUUGUAUUAAUUGAGUUAAAGACGAAGGUUGUUUUUGAUCUCUUGCACAUUUCUGACAACCUUCGCACUUUUGAACUAAAUCCGCUGCAUCCGAAGCUGCCUUUGGCCAAUAAAAUCCUUGGCGAAAAACCUUCCCAAGCAAGGGCCUAGAUCCAAUGUGAGAUCCACACAGGCCUGCAUGUAUUUCCUUCAUUAAUUCUAUACCUUCGGAUCUGGAUAAACACUUGAGCAAUGGGGAACAGACCCCACGCUUGUAUAACUCCCCUUCUAUUAUAACAUAUGGUCGAGCUCUUGCUUCUAUUCUUCUGUUAUAAGCUUCGUCGUCUGAAAGAAAAUUACCCUGAAGAAAAGAGAUGAUCUCAGUUCUCCAAUCUUCACUAUAAAUAGGGGAUAUGUUAAGGAUUGCUCUUUCAAGAAGCUCGACCGAAGGUGCUUUUAUUGUUUCAAAAAAUACUUCCGAAGGUAUAGGCAGCCCCUGGGCUGCUGACUUAGCCAAUAGAUCAGCGUAUUCAUUUUCUCCACGAGGAAUAUUUUUGACAGAGAAACCUUCGAAGGAAGCCUCAAUCCUUCGGACUGUAUCUAGAUAUUUUUCAAGCUUCGGGUCUCUUGCUUUAUAGCUCUUGUCGACAUGACCAGAAAUAACUUGAGAAUCAGUUUUAAGAAUGGCCCUUCUGAUUCCCAUUGCCUUUAAUUUUCGAAGACCCAAGAGCAGAGCUUCAUACUCAGCGAUGUUAUUUGUGCAACUAAAAUCAAGUCUUGCCGCAUAACAAGUUUUAACUUUGGAAGGUGAAACCAACACAGCAGCCGCUCCUGCUCCGAAGGUUCCCCAAGACUCAUCGCAAAACACUGUCCAUGCUUUGGCAUCUUUAUUUGUUUCUUCCUCUUGAGCCCCUGGCGUCCAGUCAGCAAUGAAGUCUGCUAACGCCUGGGACUGAAUCGAAGAUCUAUGAACAUAAUCAAUACAAAAUUCAUUGAGCUCUGCAACCCAUUUUCCAAUCCUUCCAGUAGCUUCUCGGUUUCUCAUAAUAUCCUUCAGAGGUUGUGAAGAAGGAACAAUUAUGUUGUAAGCUUGAAAAUAGUGUCGAAGCUUCCUGGAGGCCAUCAAAACAGCAUACAGUACCUUCUCCAAUUCCGUAUAAUUUUUCUUUGAUAAACUAAGAACCACGGAUACGAAAUAUAUUGGGGCCUGCCUCUUAACUUGGCCUUCAAGCUUCUCCUGGACAAGUGCUGCACUUACCGCUGAGUGCGAAGCUGCCACAUAUAAUAACAAAGGAGCCCCUGGCGUAGGUGGAGUUAAUGUUGUUAGAUCUAUCAAAUACUGCUUCAGCUCUUGGAAGGCUUUCUGCUGGAUUGGCCCCCAUUGAAAGACUUCGGCUGACUUUAGUACUUCGAAGAAUGGUAAGUUUCUCUCUGCUGAUCUGGAUAUGAAUCUGUUGAGAGAUGCCAGCCUUCCUGUCAAUCUUUGAGCCCCUUUUUUGUACUUGGUGGUUCCAUUCGAAGUAUAGCUUCGAUUUUACUUGGGUUGGCCUCAAUUCCCUUUGUUGAAACUAGGCAACCAAGAAAUUUCCCCUUCUUUACUCCAAAGACACAUUUUUCUGGAUUCAGCUUUAGACCAGCCUGUCUGAAAUUAGCGAAGGUCUCCUGUAAAUCAGCAAUGUGGUUAUCUUGCUUCGUGCUUUUUACAAUGAUAUCAUCAACAUAGGUUAGUACAUUCCUGCCUAUCUGAGAAUGGAGAACCUUCGCUGUCAUUCUGUUGAAGCUUCCUCCAGCAUUUUUAAGCCCCUCGGGCAUCCGAAGGUAGCAAUAUGUCCCACUAGGGGUUAUGAAGCUGGUUUUCGGUUCAUCCUCCUUCUUCAUCCAGAUUUGAUGAUAGCCUGAAUAGCAAUCCAGCAAACUCAUAAGCUCUGAUGAAGCUGUUGCAUCGACUAAAGAAUCUAUCCUUGGCAAUGGAAACUCGUCCUUCGGACAGGCCUUAUUGAGGUCAGUAAAAUCGAUACACAUUCUCCAUUUACCAUUGGCCUUCUUCACCAUAACAGUGUUAGCCAACCAUUCUGGGUAUUUUACCUCUCUAAUAACUCCGGCACUGAGGAGUCUUUUCACUUCAUUCCGAGCGCCUUCGGCCUUGUCAUCAGACAUCUUCCGAAGCCUUUGUUUCCUGGGUCUGAAGGAUGGAUCAACAUUGAGCGAGUGCUCAAUAACAUCCCUGUUAACUCCACAAAGAUCAUUAGCUGACCAAGCAAAAACAUCUUUAUUGUUGAACAAAAACCUUAUCAAGGUUUUCUCCUGCUCUUCGGACAAUUGGGAUCCCAAUAGCACCUUCUGCUCUGCUAUAUCCUCACAUAAGAGCAUGGGUUUCGGCUGGUCAGCCGAAGCAGCUUUUUCCCUUCUGAACUUGUAUUGCUCACAAGCUUCAGUUCCAUCUAUAUUAUGGAUUGCUUUUGAGUCUGUCCAAUUUCCUUCGACCCUUCUGGCAGCUUCUUGACUUCCAUGAAUAGCAAUGGGCCCUUGGUCCGAAGGUAUCUUCAUGCAAAGAUAAGCUGGAUGCAGAAUUGCUUCGAAGGCAUUAAGAGUACCACGACCAAUGAUUGCAUUGUAAGGGUAUUCCAUGUCAACAAUAUCAAACACAACUUGUUCAGUCCUUGUGUUGUUGAUAAAUCCGAAGGCCACUGACAUUGAGAUUUUGCCAAGUGCUACAAUCUGCCUUCCUUUGAAGCCGCAAAGAGGAUGUGUGGCAUCAAGAAUUUUAUCUUCAGGCUCUUGCAUCUGUCUGAAGGCCUUAGCAAAUAUGAUAUCAGCUGCACUGCUUGUAUCAACCAAAACAUUGUGGACCAGAAAUCCUUUGAUAACACAAGAGAUAACCAUAGCAUCGUUGUGUGGGUAAUCCUUGAGUUGAAGGUCCUCUUGGGAGAAGGUAAUAGGAAUGUGAGACCAUCUUGACUUGAUAAAGGGUCCUUGCACCCCAACAUGUUGUACCCUUCUCUGUGCCUCCUUCUUCUGCUUCUUGUUGACUGGCUCUGAACAUGAACCGCCUGUUAUCGGGAGUACCAGCUUCGGAGCCGAAGCAGCUCCAGCUUGAAUGUUGAAUGAAGCCAUCAGCUCAGAAGAGUGGAAGUGAGUUCACCGGAGGUGGGCGCCAAUGUUGGGGACUUGUUCUCAAAUGCUAUGAAUUAAGAACAAGGCAACAUAAAAUGUUAAUGCCCUUCGCCCGCUGAAGCAUUAUUUCCUCAAGGAUUUAAUGAACUUCGGACGAAGGUUAAAACGGUACAAUUACGAAGGUUGAAUCUUCGUAAUUGAACUCUCAAAGAUUAUAUAAAAUAAUGCGAGAUAUAAAGAAUUAAAGACAAGUAAAUUAUAAGUAAACGACAUCAUUUACAUUAUAUAAACUUGAUGUAUUUAAAUAUUAGAUACAUUUAUACCUCUGCCUUGGCAAAGAAUAAUUUCCGAGUGAUGUGAUUGCAAUUACAGGAAUGUGUGAACAGUAAAGGAGUAUUGUUCACUAUUUAUAGGCACAGGACACAGCCUGUGAGGAAUUACAAUCAUGCCCCUCAUAAAAGUUUACAACAUUGAUUCAGACCUUUAUGGGCUAAAAGGUCAUUCUAUCUUUAAGUCGGUUCGACCCUUCAUCUUCGGAUAUGUUGUAAUACCGAAGCUUCAUGAGUGGUCCCUUCGGCGUUACGUACGAGUAGCUUCAGCCGAAGCUGUCUCUUUCUGCAGGACCUUCGGCGACGAAGCAUGGUCCCAACACAUAGUUUUUGGCCCACGACAAUGUACGGGUCAGACACAAGCCAUAUUUUUUGUCCCAAACCCAACCCAACCCAAAAAACCUGACCCAACUUGAAAAAACCUGACCCAACACGCCUAACAGGGAAGCGCAGGCUGACCCAACCUGACCUAACACUUGGCAUGGGUUGGGUACAGGCCAUGUCAAACGACCCAUGACCCGACCAAAACUCGACCAGACCCGACAUUUGAACAGGUCUAGCAGCGGGGAUGAUUGUCAAUAAUAGACUAAUUUGCAUUUGUCUUGCACUUCUUCUCAUCAAUGUCCUAACACAUGUUCUUAGUCAUGAAGGCAUGAUCAACUAGAACCUAGAAGGGGGAAAUGUGUGGUUCAUUAGCUAGUACCUCAAGGGACCAAUGAAACCUUGGAAGAAGUGAUUCUAUUUCUUCAAUCAAUGGCUAACUCCUUAGAAUCAUAACAUGACAACUGAAUGAACUUAUAACAGUACUUAGUCACGAACAUGGAGCUCUACUUCAUUGCCAAGAACUCCUUUAGUGUCGUUAGUGCUUCUUGAACAUACUAAGUCCUAAAGCUAACCUUGAACUCCUCCUAAGUGAUAGAAUCUAGGUUAUCAUGAGCAUACAUGUAAGACUUCCACUAUUCAUGAGCAUGACCUUGCAGCUACUGUUACCCAUAGAGAACCAUCUCCCUAUCAUUUCAUUGAGCAACAUGUAGCUCUUGCUCCAUUGUAUGAUGCCAAUCAUCUGUUUGCAUGGGAUCAAAGGCAUAAGAGAGUAUAGCUAAAUGUCUCUUCAGUUUGUCAUAAGUGCAUGAUGUUAUGUGGAACCUAUUGUUGAGCAAGAGCAAUUACAUCCAUAGUCUGACGAAGUCCUUUUAGAAUUUGUGUUUGUAUAACCAUCAUAUAUUCCAUUGUCAUCAGGUUGUUGUGGUGGUGGUAUUGGUAUAUCCUAGCACUCCUGCCUCUACCACGGACUAUGCCAUGACCACCACAUGCGGACAUUUGUAGCAAUCACAUCAUCGUAUAAGCAUGCCAUCUCAUAUUAUUGUCAUUGUAUAAUAGUGAACAUGUUUGCAAGAUAUGUAGUGAAAACAUAAGAUUUAACUGAAUUGCCUUAUCUUAUUGCAGAAAGGAUGCACACUAAUAAUAAAGAUAGGGAGAAAGAAGUAUAAAGGUUUUUACCCACUAUCUAACAACGUUAUAUAGCAACUAUUGAUUGAAAUGUAGAUAUCCCCACAACUCAACUGCAAUCAUAACGAAGUACCAAAACAAUCAUAGAUCACAAAUGUAAGCACACAUACACACUUUAAAAGAACCUAGCUACAUGAACAAACUAAUCGAAUUAAGCUUCUAUGGAGUAAAUAUAGGCAUGGCUAAUAGUUAUAUCACUAUAUGUACAUUAUAGUGCUAGAGAAUUCCAAGCCAUAAUGGGUCCUUUGGCACAACAAUGACUUGGAGACCUACUCCACCUCCUCCUUCAGGGUGGGAGGUGCACCAGUGGCAGCUCUCAAAUCACUCAACUCUCAUUGAGACCUAGAAUCUGUCCUUGAUUGUGAUCACUCUCAUCUAGCAAGUGGUCUAGCUCAUGUUCAGCACCACCACAAGGUUCAUGGUCGAGUCUAGGGUAGUGUUGUCUUAGUGAAGAGUGGUGGCAACAAUGCAACAUAUAUUUCCAUUAGUUUGGCAAGGAGUACUUGGUGUACUUUUUGCUGAUAAUUUCGUCAUAGUACCACCCCUUGUAGAGGCCAAGCACAUUUUGCGUGGUAUCAUGUAUUGUGGUACUCAUGUCCUCCCUAGGGUAGUUGACAAGUGCUCUAAUAGUACCUUAGCACCCUAUAUCUAAGAGUUAGACAUCGUGAGUACCCACAUAGUCUUCCAAGUUUUAGGGAAUCAAUUGGUCAUAUGCUAGCAAACAAAGAGUUUGUACUCCACUACUGUACAUAAAUUGGACCAAAAAUUGAGCAAAUUGCCAUCUGUAGCUCUUUGUGAAAGUGUUGAACUAUUUGUCAAGGUGAAUAUCCCUGGUGAUCUAGUACUCAGGUGGUGAUUCAUCGCCCUCUGAGUUUAAGCCAUCUGAGUCAUCACUGUCAUCAUCGCCAUCAUCAGAUUCACCAGUGUUGUUAGGAGCUCCUCCACAUAGGGCAUUCUAGGCUAGUAAUUGUAGCUCUUCUAACAGAGUAGAUGGCUACUAUGAAGUUGGGCUAUAACCUUCAUGCUUGCCGUGGAAGUAGUAGGUCCCUCGAGGUCCAUAGUUUGGUGGUCAAAUAGCUCCCUUCCAUUUGCCUUAGUUCUCAAAACAAUUAGAGAAUGGAUUAUGUGAUAACCAUCUAAGUGGGGUAGUUGCCUAUCCCUCCUAAAGCGUUUGGUCUCUCCUAUGCUUCUUGAUCUUUGUUGCCAGUGCAAUCCAAACACCACUCUCUUCAAAGUAGGUUCAACUAGACAGGCUCCAAGAUAACUGAUGGAAGACUUGCAUGUGGUCUACCUAGUAUGAGCCAUUUACACAAAGUAGACAGAAAAGGCAUGAUAAAAGAUUUGAACGAAGAUAACUAUAAAAUUAAGCCACAUAAUUUUUUAUCAUGGAGUGAAGAGUCAAGCCAAAAUAGAUAAAAUAUUUUUUAACAAAAGAAAGGAUGAUGUAAAUAACAACUCAAAAACCAUAAUAACGACCAUUCUACACUAUGUCUGAUUCUUAUAGUCAGUACGAGCUUUGAUACUACUUCUGUUACACUCAGUUCCACGAAGACAACCAAACACAAAAUCAUGUAUAUGUUAGGAUCAAUUUUACAUACAGAUUGACAUCGUCGGUGAAAGUAUCAUCCCAUAUUACUUGAAAUAAAUUAUUACUGACCCAAGUCAUAACGUAAGCAAAUUAAUAUUAAUGAAUAACGAUUAUAACUAUAAAACCUAAAACUCCAUUGGCAUCUAACUGGUGGUCCUCUCGCCUAAUAAUUGUCAUACUUCUAGAACUCCUCCAUAUACCCAUGGUCUCUAUCAUCUUUAUCCGAGCAAUAGUUGCAUUUGGUUCAACAUAGUUGUUAUAAAAUAUAGCAAGGGUGAGCACUGGUCAUACUCAGCAAGUGAAACUAAAGCAAUGCACAUAUGAAGGCCUAUAGUGGACUAUCUCAGCAUCAGCAUUUUUGUUGAUCAAGUUGUCACAAUUUUUAUUAAGGUGAAAGGAUAACCUCCCAAAAUUGCCAUGAACAUAAAUUAAAUGUAUAUGAAAACAUGUAUAUGCCCCAACCAUAUUAUGAGAAACUCAAAUUUGUGAGCAAAACCUCAAGUUUUCCUUAACCAUGAGUACUAUUGAUAUCAGAUUCUAACAACUCUCAAGAGGUUUGUACAGUUUACCUGCAGGACAUGAUUUUUUUCUUUGUCUGGGUUGUAUCGACCCUUACACACUUCUAAGGUAUGGGCAUGUACUUUGACUGUAAUAUUGUUUCUUACGGUCACCCAGAUAUUUUCAGUCCCCUACAGGAUUCCACCAAGUUUGUCUAUAUAAACUCCCAUUUGAAUGGGUGACUGACCAAUCAUGCACCGUACUUAGCAUCAUAAGGUCUAAACCUCAAACCCUCGCUUGUACCACGUCGGGUAAGUAUCCACCCAUCCGAGAUCUUAAGUCUACAUGGCCAAGGCAUUGCUCAUGUUAGACCUUGUAGUUGCAUAAUAAAAUCUUGGUGAUUACUUAACGAUCCAUUCCCUAGGGUGAGGCACAUUGCAUUUGACAACCCUAUCCACAAGCCCCUCAUUGCCAUAUUGCUAAAAAGAAAGUUUUAAUUGUCAUAUUGCAUAAAAGUCAUAAUCAAGAUUAACCAAUACUAUCAUAAUUAUAUUAUUAAAGGUAGAGCACUAGCAGAAGACAAACAUACCUACCCAAGGUUUUAUAUUAGGAUAAAACAUAGUUAGUCAUCCUUAAUAGGAGCGAUUAAAUUACUGCAAUGAAGUAGAUGUAUAUAACUCAUGGGAUAGCUCUAAUUACAGAUGUCCAAUAAGCACGAGGCCCGCGAGCCCAGCACGAAGCCCGCUGUUUGGGCCCGGUCCGAGCCCGGCACGACCCGCUUCUAUGCGGGCCUGGGCCGGCCCGGCACGAACAAGCGGGCUGGGCUCGGACAGGAAACUAGGCACGGUGGGCUAGCCUGGCACGGCCCGUUUAACUCUAAGCCCGCUUUUUUUACACUAAAACGUGUUUACCGGCCCGUAUAGCCCGCUUUUCGGCCCGCUUUUUUCGUGCUAAACGGACGGGCCCGGGCCGUUUAGGCCCGCUGCGGGCCGGGCUCGGACAGAAAAUUGAGCCCGCGUGCUUAGACGGCCCGGCCCGGUUUUCUAACCGUGCCUGGCGGGCCGGGCCAAAAACAGGUCGGGCUUCACCGGGCCCGGGCCGGGCCGGGCGGCCCAUUUGGCCAUCUCUAGCUCUAAUGCCACUAGCCUUGCUCAUUAAAUAUUAGCUCUUCUCCUUUCCAAGCUUGCUCUUCAUCUAACAUGGAUGACUCCUCUACUAAACAUUACACCACAUCAGGAAAUAAGCACAAGAAAAGACAAAACAAUACAUCAAACAUAUAUAAAAGAUAAAUAUUAAAAAGAAAUUCAAAAUAAUCUACAUUUUUUAUGAAAUUAUGAAGGGAAGAACUGCUGGAAACAAUUAAAUGGCAAAGAUAUGAUGGUUCCAUGGUGAGCCAUUUAGUGGAUUUUAUAAAUAUGCAUGUAGAUUAAAUUGUUCCAUGGAACUAAGAUUAAAGGUGUAGAUAGAUUAUUGUAAAAUGGUGUAUGGGUAAAAAUGGCUCUCAAGACAAAUGAAACAACUAGCAUGGAAAAGAAAGAACGGAAGAAGAAUUAUAUGUAGAAAUUUGCAUGGCAUGCACUAUUUUUAUACACAUAAUAUUGUGCAUGUUAUUUGCAUGGCACUGUCCUAUUCAGGAUUGUAGCACAUGGGGAAUAAGUGCUACCAACUUGCUCUAGCUCAUGCUUUCUUGGGUCGGGGGUAGGGUCAUCUUUAUAUGCACCCUAGUUGAGACCUCACAAGAAAUCAGCACACACGCGAACAAAAAUAGGACAACUCUAUGGCUAGUUUGGAAACUCAAAUCCCCUAGAGGAUUGGAGGGGGGGAAGUGAACUAAUUUCCCCAUGGAUCCCCUCCAAUACUCAUAGGGAUUUGAGCUUCCAAACUAGCCUGAACAAAACCUAUCCAAAGCACUGAACCUACAGGAGAGAGAGAGAAGGGGGAAGAAAAGGAGAGGAUACAAAUAGAUACUUGCAUACUGGCAUGUAAACAAUACCCCUAGUACAUGAUUAGUGUUGUGAACAAUGUCCCUAUUAGUUCCAUUAUGACUAGCCACUCCUCCCGAUACUGCUCCUAAAUGUGGCCAAUGUCAUACCCCGUAUAUGUUAUUUAUAGGUAGCCAUAUCCUGUUGCAGUGAUCAAGUUCCAGUACAUUCAUGGAAAUUAUAAUGCAUCCACUCGUAGGUGUGAGUGGCCCCCUCCAACCUUAGUGGCGAGGGUCUUCUCAUGCAAGAUCCAUAGGAUGGGGAACCUCUAGUAGGGGUCCUCUAGUUCCUAUAACUCAUCUAGAUCCUCCUCUCUAAAGUCUUCAGACUAGUUUAACUCCUCGAGUGACUGAUACUCCUCAAAGCCAUCAUCCUCUUCUAAGUCUUCUAAGUUAACUAAGUCUUGUACCAUCCAUGACUCAUCUGAAUCCUCAGGCUCAUCUAGGUAGUCAACCUCAUCCCAAUAUUCUAGCUCCUCAAACUCUACUAUGUCGUAUUACAUAACCCCCAUAGGCUCAUCCUACAUGAACUCCUCUAUAGGUUCAUCCUCCUCCACAGGAUCUAGAAACUAGUCGCAAUUUCUGCACCCUCUAGAUUAUCCUCAAUUAUCUUCCUUACUGGCUCAUAUUUCACCUUGGGCUCAAAGGGUGGCAGAAACUUGGGCUGCCUAGGGACAAAUCUAACAUGACCUCUUGUGUGCAUGCAAAUAGUCUGCUUGAUAUGGGCCAUCUAUGGAGCUAGAAGAUAUAAGACAUGCAGGGAGAUAUUCUAAUUCAAUAGAUUAGUAGGGAUGGAUAAUGACAACCUUUUGGCAAAAAGGUAGAUUUAGGUGAAAAUAUAUUUUCUAGCAACCAGUUCUACCCUAGGCUUGUGUCCUAUAGUCAUCAUGGCUUCGAUAUCACUUCUGUCAUAUCUGAUUUUAAGCAAAAAAUUGAAUGCUCGCUAUACAUGUACCAGAAUUAUAAUCACAUGCCUACCUAUAUCAUAUAAUGGAAAUAUAAAAAGAAUAGUACAUUAUUAAUAUCGAAUAAUAAUGAUUAUAUAAUCCACAACAUUGAUGAAACAAGUAAUUUAAACAACUUUUGUUUAUGACUCUUGUAGACAACUGGAACAAAAGACGAGCAUGAACUCCACAAGAACACUGACUAGUUGACCACAUGCCUAGAACUUGUCAAAGUCUUGGAACUCUUGGGUCCAAUCUCUAGCUUCACCUUCUUCUGAGGAGUAGUUGCAUCGAUUGCCACAUAGAUGUUAUAGAAAUAGAAAGGUUGAUUACUUUUUGCGCUCAACAAGUAUCCUAUUUUGGGAAAAGUGGAGUGGCUUUAUAGUGAGCUAGCUAAAGUAGUUAUUUUUAGUUGGUAAAGUUUUAAUUUAAUAAAAGGAAAAACAAAUUCCAACUUAUCAUAAAUUGUAUAUAACCAUAAACUGGUAACCAUAAUGUAGAAAUCAUUUGUGUUUUCAUUUAAAACAAUAAUUUGUGAGGAUCCAAGUUGGGCAUAACCGUGGGUACGACUGGCAUAUCAGUUUUUAACAUUCUCUGCAGAGAUUGUACAGUUUGCUCACAAGUCAUGAUUCCCAUAUGCUAAGGGUCAUGAAUCACAUAUCACCUCUUCCAAGGAAGUGUUGCACGGUUGAGAUAUUUACAAUAACUCCAUAGAGAGUGGCUACCCAUUCUAGGUUUAUCCUAUCAUCAACCACUAAAGUCUUCCUAAUGGGGGACUAACAAAAUACCAAAUAAACCAAAUUACACCCACUAAGCAACGAAUCAAAUACCCAUUUAAAAGUAUCCCCUUACACCAUCUUUGAGGUAAGCAAGCCAGAACCCUAGUUCAUUUAAUUAUUCAGUCAAGCCUAGUGUCCAUAUAAGUCUCAUUGUUGCAAUGCUAUCCCAUGGUGUCACUUGGCAAACCAAUCCUUAAGGUGCGGUAGCUUGAGCAAAUAGAACUCGAACUCAUGUUAAAGCCCCUAGUUCCACGUUGCUAAAAAACUUCUUUUAAACAAUAGUUCAAUGAGCCUUUAAUCAUCAUUAAAUAUUUGUGGUGUUGAGCACUAGCAUCAUGCUAAACAAAAAUCCAUUCCUUGGUUAUCAAGAACAUGUCAUGAAAGAAACUAGUAGACUUAGAUAGGACCAAUAAAUUUGAAUAAACAAUAUGUUGUAUUAUGGUGAUUAAGAGACAACUCAAUACUUGCCUUACUCACACUGCUUACAGCUCUCCCAAAUAGGGCCUUAUGGACAUGUACACUCCUUUAGGUCUAUAUGUAGCAAGCAUUCGAGCAAUAAGUGCACAACAAAACAAUACAUAUUCAAUAAAAAUAUAGAACAAUCAGGUUUUCAGAAUAUUCUACUUGAUAAGAUGAUUCCAAAUUGACUAAAAUCAUCGAAAUCAAGUUUAAAAUGAUUAAGUUACACAUUAUAUAUAAACCAAGGGCUAUUCUACAAUUAUCUAUUAAAGCUGGUGAAAAAGAUAAAAACAUGGUGCCUGGAUUGAGCUACGAUGGACUAUGGGUUAUUUCUGUGAAAACUGAGGGUCUCCUUUGCAAAAGUAACAACACUCGUUCUGGUUGAUUGGUAUUGUUUGGGCUUGGGUUAUUAGUCUACAUUGGAUCUCAAUCCGAUGAUCCAAGUAAGACCAUGCAACUAUGGGUGACGAUAUUGCCAUCAACAACCAAUUCCACAGUAGCACGUCACUUGAGCUACGUGGAGUUCACAAUACCAGGGCCUCCAGCAACCGGAUCUACAUAGAAAACUUAAAUGUGUGAUGGCAAACCCUAAGAUGAUGAAUUGGUAAUGACAAGAGGUGACUAGGUGAUAGCUCACAGUGGUGGGGUUCCACAGCCAUGGUUGAGAAUGACGGUGAGCAAUUGCUCGAAUAAAAAAACAACAAUUUGAGUCAAGAAUUGGUAAUAUAGAACAUAUACCUCUUUGUGAAGCUCAUGGGCUGAACGUUGGCUGCAUGGAACAAACAGUCAAGGCUAGCGAUGGUCGAGAAGCACGACAGGUCGAUGUUCUCUGUGGACAUAUCAUUGAGUUACUCCACAAGGUUAAAGAACAUGCAGUUUAGGUGUUCUCAACUUUGGUGAAGCUUGGCAAGCCAAGCUCGGUCACAAGGUUCCAUAGAUAUGGUAGAACACCAAUUUUGCGUUGUCUAGGCGACGACGACUUGGGAACUUAGGGUGGCUCUAGGGUUCAACCUAUUGCAGUUUGAUGGGACGAACGAAUGCUCCUCUGAUGCCUUUAUAGUGUUGAGACCUGAGUUCUCUUGAAGGGGUUAAGACAUGGCAGCGCAAAAUAGGAAACUACUGCGAAUCCAAGUUCGACCUAGACUUAGUCUACGCAGACAUGAAAAUGGAAAUUAAGAUAAACUGAGGAAGGGCCUGACCCUGCUGAUCGAACUUGUGUUCAAGGUGGACUCAAUCGAUUGAGUCAUGCCAGAGUAGGAUUUGGAAGGGUGGCAUCACUACCGGAAUCCGGGCCUUUGCCAAGUGCCGGACUCUUUGCCGAGUGCUUUUUCUCGGGCACUCGGUAAAGCAGCCUUUGCCGAGAGCCGCACUCGGCAAAGUCCUACUCUCGGUAACGAGCUGGUUUACCGAGUGCAGGACACUCGGCAUAGAAAAACUUUCGGCAAAGACACGUUUGCCGAUUGGCAAACACUCGGCAAAGGGCCGUCAGCGGCUGUUCUAAAGCUGACAGCCGUCAGCCUUUGCCGAGGGCCACAGGCGGCACUCGGCAAAGACCUCUUUACCGAGUGUCUUCCCUGGACACUCGGCAAAGCACAUUUUUAUUUUUUUAAUUUUGGCAACCAAACUUUUUGUGGUUUGUUCCUACACUAUGUAGACCUACAUGUACCAUUUUGGGACAAUUAUAACAGAGUUUUCAAUAGGUAGUAGAUUUAGUUCGUUUAUUUAAAUUUCUUCGAAAAAUUUAGAUUUGAAUUGCAGGUCACUCGAAACUUAAAAAACCGUGCAUGCAAAAAUGAUAUCCAUGCUACUUGGCACAAGUUACGACCGAUUUCAGGAGCGGACCGGAAACUUCGAGCAACAUGCUCACUAAACAUGAUCGUGAACUUGCCAUCACUACCGGAAUUCGCGCCUUUGCCGAGUGCCGGUGGCUUUGCCGAGUGCUUUUUAUCGGGCACUCGGCAAAUCCGGCUUUGCCGAGUGCCGCACUCGGCAACGUCCUGCGCUCGGUAAAGAGCUAGUUUACCGAGUGUAGGACACUCGGCACAGCCGAGCACUCGGCAAAGACUUCUUUGCCGAGGGUCAAGCACUCGGCAAACAAGGCACUCGACAAAGGGCCGUUAGCGGCCGUCUACAACUGACGGCCGUCAGUCUUUGCCGAGUGUCAAAUAUCUGGCACUCGGCAAACAUAGUCUUUGCCGAGUGUCCUUUUUAGACACUCGGCAAAGCAUAUUUUAAUUUUUUUUAUUUUGGUCACCAAAAUUUUUGUGGUAUGUUUGUACACUAUGUAGACCUACAUGUACCAUUUUGGGACAAUUAUAACAGUUUUUUCUAUAGCUAGUACAUUUAGUUUGUUUAUUUGAAUUUCUUCGGAAAAUUCAGAUUUGAACUGCAGGUCACUCGAAACUUGGAAAACCGUGAAUGCAAAAAUGAUAUCCAUGCUACAUAGCACAAGUUACGACCGAUUUCAGGAGCGAACCGGAAACUUCGAGCACCAUGCUCACUCAACAUGACCGUAAACUUGCCAUCCAGGUGUUUAAAAAUUGUAUAAAACAGAAACAAAGUCAGAAAAUCAUGAACCCUGUCCACGUGUCAUGAUAUCAUAUGUAGAGGCUGUGAUAAAAAUUUGAAAAAGUUUCGAGAAAGCUGUAACGCACUAUGUGUACAAACCUAAGAGAUCCACAUUGAAACUCUAUGAUUUCAUGUGUGGUUCUCUUAGGUUUCUACACAUAGUGUCUCACAACUUUCUCCAAACAUUCUAAAUUUUUUAUCACAGACUCUACAUAUGAUAUCAUGACAUGUGGACAAGUUUCAUGAUUUUCUAAGUUUGUUUGUGUUUUAUAAUUUUUUUAAACAGUUGUAUGGCAAGUUCACGGCCAUGUUGAGUGAGCAUGGUGCUCGAAGUUUCCGGUCCGCUCCUGAAAUCGGUCGUAACUUGUGCUAUGUAGCAUGGAUAUCAUUUUUGCAUUCACGGUUUUCUAAGUUUCGAGUGACCUGCAGUUCAAAUCUGAAUUUUCCGAAGAAAUUCAAAUAAACAAACUAAAUGUACUAGCUAUAGAAAACACUGUUAUAAUUGUUCCAAAAUGGUACAUGUAGGUCUACAUAGUGUAGGAACAUACCACAAAAAUUUUGGUUAGCAAAAUAAAAAAAAUAAAAAUGUACUUUGCCGAGUGUCCAAGGAAGACACUCGGCAAAGACUUCUUUGCCGAGUGUCUACCAUCUGACACUCGGCAAAUAUUACCUUACACUUCUUUGCCGAGUGCCCCUCAGGGUGGCACUCGGCAAAGAUGUGUAAGGUAAUAUUUGCCGAGUGUCAGAUGGUAGACACUCGGCAAAGGAUCCUUUACCGAGUGCCACCGAUCUGGCACUCGGCAAAGUUUAUUUUAAAAAUUAAAAAAAACUUUGUCGAGUGCCAGAUCACGGGCACUCGGCAAAGAAGGCGAAUAUACUCGCCCGCGGCUUCCUUCUUUCUCCUUUCUUCUUUCUUCUUUCUCCUUUCUGCUUCUUUCUCCCUGCGCGCCCGCCCACGCCCGCCGCCAGCGCCCGCCCGCCGUGCCCGCCAGCGCCCGUCGCGGCCGCCGCCCGCCGUGCCCGCCGCGGCCGCCCUCGCCAGCGCCCGCGCCCGCCGCGGCCUCCCUCGCCGGCGCCCGCGCCCUCGCCGGCGCCCGCCCGUCCGCCCGCCCGUCCGCCCGCGUCCUGGUAAGCUUUAUUUGAUUGUGAAUCUCUUGUUAUAUGUGGUAGGACCAAAAUAAUUCAUGUGGGCCACAAGAUGAUAGGACCAAAAUAAAAUAAUUGUAUGUUUGUAUAUCGUACCUAUCCAAUUUAAAUGACAUGUAGCAUCUCAAACAUAUACAUAUGCUAAGGAGGUAAGCAGAUAGGACAUGCAUGCUGAACUAAUAACUCCACUAUAUUGAUCGUCAAAGUUGACAAGGCUUAUUGAUCACAACACAAGAAUCCUAAUCGUAUAUGCAAUUGAACAAAGCAUUAACAACCCACAUUUAUCAGUAGAUGAGAUAAGAGUAAUCUAACGAGUAAUAUUGUUACACAAACUAAACUGUCUCUUUUUUAAUUUCUUGAUCGUUUGAUGUAUGCUUGCAUGGUUAUAGAUUGGCUAAGUGUGGAUUAAUAUACCACACUAGUUGUUAGACCCUGGUUUAGUUUCCAUCUUUUAUCACAUGACAGACAUGCUAAUAGUGCAACACAAUGCCUUGGUUGGACAUUACAUACCUCUACAUGACCUUGCUCGAAUGAACUAGAGCGAGUGCUUGUAGUGUUUUAUUAGGAUUUUGUAUUGUAUUAACCGCUUGAUUGUAUAGUGACCUUGCUCGAAUGAACUAGAGCGAGCGCUUGAUUUUGUAUUGUAUUAACCGCUUGAUCGAGUGCCGGUGAUGUGAAUUUUUUGUUGACAGACAUGUAUUUUUUGCAGAGGUCUUCCUAGCCGCUGCGGGUCUGCCUGCACCGCGUCGCGUCGCCACUGCACCGACCCGCCACAGCCCCACUAGCCUGACUCCACCGCCACCCUAGGUAUAACCUCUAUUUCCGCAUCAUGGUCGUAGAUCACGUAACCCAGUUAGGCGUCUCCCGUUCGAAAGAGAUACGGUGUAGAUAUGCAGAUCUUUGCAUAUCUACAAAUGUAUCAGUUUCGAAUUGUCCACGUUUUUUGGACAGCCCGCGGUUGCGUAGAUGGUGUUAGUUUCCAUGCUCUACUCCGGUCCGAGAAAGAGUUUCGGCGUCACCUCCCUGUUGUUCUCCGGACAGUACACUCUCCCUGCCAGGACGUGUAUCCGGAGAACAGCGGGGAGGUGCUGCCGAAAUUCUAUCUCGGAUCGGAGUAGAGCAUGGAAACUAACUCCAUCUACGCAACCGCGGGUGGGAUUAGGACCUAUCCUCACCUAUUAGAAGGUAGGAACGUAGUGUACAUGCAUUACAUGUCUAUAUUAAACUAUACUCGGUUAUAUAUGUUAGAGGAUGGAGGACCGUGAGUGGAUGUACACGGGCCGCGUUCGACGUAAUGAUGUCACCCCAGAAUGGAUUAGGAAGACCGAUGCUUUCGUGGAACGGGCAUAUGGCGAAGCUGCUAAAGGAGCUAGCCUAGUCCCUUGUCCGUGCAGCAAAUGUGACAACCGGAAAAGAAAACCAAAGAAGGCCAUGGUACAACAUAUUUGGAAGAAUGGAUUUACGCCGGACUAUACUCGGUGGAUCUUCCAUGGUGAAGCGCAUCGCACGAGAGAGGAGGUGGUGAGACAACGCGUCGAGGAUUACGAUGCUGAUGCCGGGGUAGGAGACAUGUUGAACGACUAUCAUGAGGCACAGUUCGCCGAAGGACGUACGGAGGACGAGCCAGAGGCGACCGCAAAGACAUUCUACGACAUGUUUGACGCGGCACAGAAACCCCUUCACGGCAAGACAAAGGUUUCUCAACUGGAUGCCAUUGGGCGUAUAAUGGCGUUCAAGUCGCAGUAUAGCAUGAGUCGAGACGCAUUCGAUGGUUUGUUGACAGUUAUUGGCAGCCUGCUUCCGGAGGAUCACGUUCUGCCAAAGAGCAUGUACGAGGCACAGAAACUCCUUCGUGCACUCAAGAUGACGUAUGAGCAGAUACAUGCUUGUCCGAAGGGCUGCGUCCUAUUUAGGAAAGAACACAAUGAGGCAAAGUACUGUCCGAAGUGUAAAUCAUCUAGGUUCAUGGAGGUAGACUCUGGUGAUGGACAGAAGAGGCAGCUCGACAUCCCCGUGACAAUCCUACGCCACCUUCCGUUCAUACCGAGGAUCCAGCGUCUAUACAUGACAGAGGAAUCCGCGAAACAGAUGACAUGGCACAAAAAAGGCAAACGAUACAAUCCUGACAAGAUGGUUCACGCAUCCGAUGGUGAAGCAUGGACCCACUUUGAUGCCAUUCACCAUGAGAAAGCCAAAGAGGCUCGUAAUGUUCGUGUUGCGCUGGCCACAGAUGGGUUCAAUCCCUAUGGAAUGACCGCUGCCCCAUACACAUGUUGGCCCGUGUUCGUUAUCCCCAUCAAUCUCCCCCCCCCCGACGUAUGCUUUCAAAGACAGAACAUAUUCGUGUCGUUGAUAAUUCCUGGACACCCGGGGAAUAAAAUGGGCGUGUACAUGGAGCCUUUGAUUGAUGAAUUGGUCCGUGCUUGGGAGGAAGGGGUAUGGACGUACGACCGAGCUACGAAGACAAACUUCAAAAUGCAUGUUUGGUACCAGUACUCCAUGCAUGACUUUCCGGCGUACGGGCUAUUUUGCGCCUGGUGUGUUCACGGUAAGUUCCCAUGCCCAGUUUGCAAGGAAGCUCUUAGGUUCAUUUGGUUGAAGAAGGGUGGCAAAUAUUCGUCAUUCGAUAAACAUCGACAAUUUCUCCCUCCUGACCAUGCAUUCCGACUAGACAUCAAGAACUUUACGAAAGGUGUCGUGGUGACAGACCGCCCACCUGCAAUGAUGACUGGUGCCGAAGUUCGUGAACAGAUAGAUGGUCUCGUGGCCAACCCAGAAGGUGGUUUUGUGGGAUAUGGUGAGCAACAUAUGUGGACACAUAAGUCGGGCUUGACUCGGCUCCCCUAUUAUGAUGACCUGCUCCUUCCACACAACAUUGACGUGAUGCACACUGAAAAGAAUGUCGCCGAGGCACUUUGGGCGACAAUUAUGGAGAUUCCUGAUAAGUCAAAGGAUAACGUAAAGGCAAGAGUGGAUCUGGCAGAGUUAUGUGAUAGACCAAACCAAGAGAUGAAGCCGCCUAGUGGUGGUAAGACAUGGAGAAGGCCUAAGGCCGAUUUCGUCCUGAGCAGGGCCCAGAGGAAGGAAGUACUAGAGUGGAUCAAGAUGUUAAUGUUCCCUGAUGGGUAUGCAGCUAACCUUAGUAGGGGGGUGAACUUAUCUACCCUGCGAGUCUUAGGGAUGAAGAGUCAUGACUUCCACAUAUGGAUUGAACGAAUUCUUCCGGCGAUGGUUCGAGGCUAUGUCCCUGAGCAUGUCUGGCUAGCGCUUGCAGAGUUGAGCUAUUUCUUCCGCCAGCUUUGUGCAAAAGAGUUAGCUCGGACCAUGAUUGCAGACUUGGAAAGGAUGGCACCCGUGUUACUGUGUAAGCUGGAGAAGAUCUUUCCACCCGGCUUCUUCAAUCCGAUGCAGCAUUUGAUUAUUCAUCUCCCGUAUGAGGCACGAAUGGGGGGGCCCGUGCAGGGACGUUGGUGCUAUCCAAUCGAGAGAUGUCUAAAGAGUAUCCGAAAGAAAUGUAGAAAUAAAUGCAAAAUCGAGGCUUCCAUUGCAGAGGCAUACAUACUGGAGGAGGUGUCAAACUUCACAACAACUUACUAUGGUGACAAACUGCCAAGUGUGCAUAAUCCACCCCCUCGUUACAAUGAUGGCGGCAAUGAAUCGAACCUCAGCAUUUUUCGAGGGCAACUCGGAAGCGCGAGUGGUUCGACCACCAAGACCCUGAGACAUGAAGAGUGGCGCCAUAUCAUGCUAUAUGUAUUGACCAACCUUGAAGAGGUGACGCCAUACAUGGAGCAAUUUCUUCAUGAAUUCUGGCGUCGAUCAAGGGACCCAACUCCACAGGAAUAUGAUACCCUUCUUAGAAAGGGUGCGGGAAAUGGAUUGCCCGAUUUCAUUUCCUGGUUUAAACAUAAGGUACGUGCUUAGUUUGUUAUUCCAAGUUGCUCUUACGUGCGAAUAAUAUAACAAUCUAGCGUGUUUGAACUUGCAGGGCCAAAGAGAGCCGUCUAUGAGUGCCGAGUUGAGACAAGUAGCCAAUGGCUUUGCCUAUAGGGUCAGGAAAUUUUCUGGGUAUGACGUCAAUGGAUACCGUUUUCGCACAACAAGCUACGACCAAAGUCGGCCCAAUCGAAAAACCACGUGUUCUGGAGUCUUUACGCCCGGGCUUGACGAGGUCGAGUAUUAUGGAAGAAUUGAAGAAAUAUAUGAACUCAAUUUUUAUGGUUCCAAACCUCUUACUCCAGUGAUAUUCAAAUGUCAUUGGUUUGACCCUGAAGUUACGAGACGGACACAUUCUAAUCUUGGGCUAGUCGAAAUUCGACAGGAUUCCACCUUACCAGGAGACGAUGUCUAUAUUGUGGCCCAACAGGCCACACAAGUGUAUUAUCUUCCAUAUGCGUGCCAAACGAAACAACAUCUUAAGGGUUGGGAUGUUGUGUAUAAGGUAUCACCGCACGCUAAAUUACCUGUUCCAAACGAUGAAGAUUAUAACUUAGACCCGGACACAUAUGACGGAGAGUUCUUCCAAGAAGAUGGGCUCGAAGGGCAAUUUGAGAUAGACUUAACCGAAGCGAUCGGAAUGGAAGUAGAUAUUGAAAUGGUUGUUGAUGACGAGGAUGAUGAGGUGCAAAAUGAGAAUGACUUAGAAAUACUUGAAGGCAAUGCCAAUGACGAAAUUGCGCCUUCAGAUGAUGUUGACUAUGAAAUGGUUCAUAGUGAUGAUGACACUUAUGAUCCGGCUAACCCGGACACAUAUGAAGAUUAUUUUUAAUCGAUGUAAUGCUACAUUUCAUUUAUUUUGCAUAUGUUUCUAAAUACAUAUUUUUUUAUCUGUGCUUAAUUGUUUACUCUUAAUUGCAGGUUGUUGGACAAAGAUGGUGGGCGGUGGGACGAGGACGAGGAGGGGGAGGGGGAGGGGGAGGAGGAGCACCCGUAGGACGGAGGAGGAGGCGCAGCAGGACGACGACGUACAGCAGCAGGUGGAGCAGCAAGCCGCUGUCGAUGUGGCACAGCAGGACGACGACGAUGCGGCGCAGCAGGACGACGACGACGACGCCGCUCAGCAGGACAUCUCAGGUUCUGGCUCCUCAGGUUCGAGGAGUAUCUACCUGCGAGGUCCCGCGAGCCUACCUAAGCGACCCAUACUUCGUGACAGACGUCCGCUGAUACGACCCGAUGGAGAGAGGUAGGUAACUUUAGAUGUUGUUGCUGCUUUUUCAUAUUAUAUGUUCAAAUUAAUAAUAGAAACUAAUACUUCAUCUUAAUCACUGCGACAGGUCUUGGAUGGUUUUGGAGACUGCAGGGGGUCACGGCCGCAACCCCAAUGGCAUCCUCGGCCUUCUAUGCCGGGAACACUUUCCUGGACUUGUCGAGUACGCCGGAGUGACGAGCCCAGCAUACACCUUCGACCACUACGCCGUCGCCCCCGAUGCAGUAGAUCGGGACGGCAGACAAUUCAACAACAAGGCGGAGCGGGUGAAGCAAGAGCUGUGGGUAAGUCUUCCUCGCACUAUAUUGUUUAAUAAGUCGCAUUUGUUGCAUAUUCUUGAAAUAAUGUAUGGAUACAUCGUCUUUGUAUGUAGGAUUUCUUCAGGUGCGAUGCUGGAUACGAGGCCAGGGCGGAUGUGGUGUCUACGACGUGCUGUAAGAAGCUCGUCGUGGACAUGCACUACGAGGCGCGCAUCCAGGCCAUCGUCACUUACCACGGCUCCGUCCUUGGGGAGAAGGUGAACAAGAAGGACGCCCGAACCAUGUCAUUGACUGCGGACCAGUACUUGCAGGUAAAUACAAAACUUUAUUAUUGGUACUAAAUAUGCUUAUUCUUAUCUUCUGAUAUGCGGUGUACUUAUAUUUUUUUAGAUGAUUCCUCAUUGGUGCGCCGCGCAUCCUGAGUGCUGGGAGAAGAUGGUGCAGAGGUGGUGCUCGGCUGAGUGGGAUGAGGCGCACAACGCUAGCCGGGAACGGCGUUUGCUGAUGCAAGGUCCCUCCCACCAUCAAGGCAGCCGCAGCCUGGGCAAAUACGCGGAAGCAUGGGUACGCGCUCUUUUUUAUUUAGGUAUAUAACUUUCGAUUAGACAUGAUUUCUAACCAUCUCGUUGGUUUUCUCGCAGUCGGCGGCACAUGGUGGCGCGCCUUGCUCCACGUUCUCGGCAUAUGCCAUGGCCCACAAGGGGAAGGCGACGUCCGACGUCACCUACAACCCGGAUGACGGGCCCGAGGCGUACACCAACCCCGCCAUCCACAGCCGACUCAGUGAGUACACCGCCAUGGCCAAGGAGGUCCAUGGGCCAGAUUACGAUCCGAGGACCGAGGACAUCGACGGAGAUGUCCUCAUGAGGGUCGGAGGAGGCAAGAGGCAUGGGCGGUACUGGAUUGCCGAUGGGGCAAUCGACUCGUCCUCCACUCCCACUCUCUCUCAGGUGCGAGCAAGGAGCACGAGCGCGAGCCCAGCCAUACGACCUCGGCAGGACACCUCACAGCAUCGUAUCCAGCAACUCCAGGUUAUUCCUUAUCUAUUCAUCGUUCAUUGAUUUUUAUAUAUCUUCUCUUUGCAUUAUCGUAACAUUAGGGCGAAAUAUUACAGACUCAACUAGAUGAUGAGAGGAGGCAACGUGAGGAGCUAGAGAAGAGGAUGGCGGAGAUGUUCGCGUACAUGCAGAGCCUUGGCGCCGCACAGGGUCAUGCUCCACCACCUCCGUUGUUCCCUGCAGCUGACCCUACAGAGUUCACUACUCCUGUGAGUAUCAAAAUUUUAGUACUGCAUGAUAUAUAUUCAUAUGUUCUCACACAUACAAUCUGUUCUCUGUGCAGGGUCAAUCGGCGGCGUCGAACAACCCUCAUGCUUCGUCCAGCCCUUCGCCGAACCAGUCCAGAUGCCCACCUCGUUGAUGAUGUGUUUUGUGAUGAUCGAGACUUACCUUUAUGAGUGUUGGUGAUGUUUGUUACACUUUAUCUUGUGAGAUACUUGGUGAUGUUAGUGAUGAUGCAGACUUGUAUCUGUUUUGUGAUGAUCCUGACUUUAGUGAGACUUGUGAUCUGUUUUGUGAGACUUUGUGAUAUAUAUGGUGUUGAUGAUAAAUGUGUUCAUUCUGUGAUGUGCUUGAUAUAUAAUGUGAUGUGAAUGAUAUAUAUCUUUUGUUUGUUUGGAUGGAACAACAAAAGCAAAUAAAAAAGGGACAUUCUGGUCACUUUGCCGAGUGUAACACUCGGCAAAGGGUUGCUUUGCCGAGUGCUAUGCCCAUAGCACUCGGCAAAGAAGGAAACCUGGGAACCGGUAAAGACAUCUUUGCUGAGUGCUGACAGUGGCACUCGGCAAAGAAGGAAACCUGGGAACCGGCAAAGAUGUCUUUGCCGAGUGCUUUUGCCAAGGCACUCGGCAAAGAUACUGGCAAAGGGGCCCACUGGAGGGUUCUUUGCCGAGUGCCAGUCCACCAGACACUCGGCAAAGAAACCUCCUUUGCCGAGUGCCUACUAGGGCUCUCGGCACAGGGACUGGCUGUGGGGUCCACUGGACCAGUCUUUGCCGAGUGUCGCCGUAGGCACUCGGCAAAGGAUCCGUCACCGUCACUUGGCGCCGUGACGGUGACUUUUCUUUGCCGAGUGCCAAAUGGCACUCGGCAAAGUCUUUGCCGAGUGCCCGACAAAAAGUACUCGGCAAAGAGGCUGUUGCCGAUGUACAGUUCGCCGAGCGUUCUUUGCCGAGUGUUACACUCGGCAAAACCUUUGCCGAGUGCAAAAUAGCCUUUGCCGUGUGUUUAGAACACACGGCAAAGAAGCUGAUUCCGGUAGUGCAUCCACGUGUUUAAAAAUUGUAUAAAACACAAACAAAGUCAGAAAAUCAUGAAACUUGUCCACGUGUCAUGAUAUCAUGUAUAGAGGCUGUGAUAAAAAUUUGAGAAAGUUUCAAGAAAGUUGUGACACACUAUGUGUAGAAACCUAAGAGAUCAUGUGUGGAUCUAUAGCUGCCUUCAUGACUACACCGCCAUGGCGCUGGAGGUCCAUGGCCCAGAAUAUGAUCCGAGCACCGAGCAGAUCGACUCCGAUGUACUCAUGAGGGUCGGAGGAGGCAAGAGACAUGGGCGGUACUAGAUUGUCGACGGGGCAAUCGACUCAUCCUCCACUCCCACUCUGUCUUAGGUGCGAGCAAGGAGCACGAGAUCGAGUCCAGCCAUACGACCUCGGCACGACAGCUCACAGCAUCGCAUACAGCAACUCGAGGUUAGUGCUUCUGUAACUUGUCCUUCCUUGAGUUAUAUACCUUCUCUUUGAGUUACUAUAACAUUGGCUUGUAAUAUUACGGACCCAACUAAAAGAAGAGAGGAGGGAACGUCAAGAGAUGGAGGCGAGGAUGGUGGCGGAGCGGGAGGCUCGCCUAGCAGAUCAUUAGAGGAUGGCAGAGAUGCAUGUUCCAGUACAUGCAGAGCCUUGGCGCCACACAAGGUUUCGCUCCGCCACCUCCAUUGUUCCCUGCAGUUCACCCUGCUCUGUUCCAUACUCCUGUGAGUAUCAAAAUUGUACUUAGAUGUUGGUAAUGCAUCUGGUAUAACACAUGCAAUCUCUUCUCUGUGCAGGGCCAAUCUGGGGCGGCAUCCAACAACCCUCAUGAAGGAUACAGCCCAACGCAGCACCAGUCCAACCGCCUACCUCCAUGAGAGUUAUGUUUUUAGUGUUUCGACUACAAAACUUAUGUUGAAUACUUAUGUCAGAGCUUGUGAACUUGUGUUGAUACUUCUGAACUUGUGUUAAUACUGUUUGUGUUGAGAACCUCUGAACUUAUGUUGAAUACUUAUGUCAGAAUUUGUGUUAAUACUGUUUGUCUUGGCUAUAUAUGUAUGUGAUGAUCUGUGAUGUAUAUAUGUGAUAUCUAUGAAAUAUCUUUUGUUUGUUUGGAUAGAAUAGGAAAAACAAAUAAAAAAGGUGUGUACUGGUCUCUUUGCCGAGUGUGACACUCGACAAAGAGGUGCUUUGCCGAGUGUCGGGACCAUAGCACUCGGCAAAGAACCAAGACCUGGGCACCGGUACAGGUUCUUUGCCAAGUGUAGUGGCCCUGACACUCGGCAAAGAAGCACGCUUUGCCGAGUGCCAUACAGAGGCACUCGGCAAAGAACCUGACAUGGGGACCCCGCUGGCGGAUUCUUUGCCGAGUGCUGGCCGGCAGACACUCGGCAAAGGUAACUCCUUUGCCGAGUGCCACCUGCGACACUCGGCAAAGACGCUGUCUCCGUCACCCGGCGCCGUGACGGCUGCUUUUCUUUGCCGAGUACUUCCUGGCACUCGGCAAAGUCUUUGUCGAGUGCCCGAGAAAAAGUACUCGGCAAAGAAGGCUUUGUCGAUGCACUGUGUGCCGAGCACUCUUUGCCGAGUGCGACACUCAGCAAAGAGUUUGCCGAGUGUUUUUAAGGCUUUGCUGAAUGCUUUAGGCACUCGGCAAAGCCGUCGAUUCCGGUAGUGCAUCUGGGUCGAUCACACUCACUCAAUGUUGCCAGGGUAGGGCGAAUGAUGGUGAUGACAUGUGGGAGUAGGAUGACAGUCGUUGUGGUGAUGGGUUGUGCUAUGAUGUGAUGCUGAGAUGUGGAAUCUAACUAGGAGCGACUUAGAGGAAGAGGGAUGUGAUGUGACUUGUCUGCUAAUAGUCGAAAGCCUAUGGACCACACCUGAUUCAUUGUUCACUAUUUUUUUAAAAAAAUCUGAAUUGUAUUUGGAAAAGAAAUAUAAUAAUCAAAUUUGAAUUCAAAGCAAACAAAUUUGAAUAUACUCAAACAAAACAAUUCAAUGGCAUGAAUGCAUAACCCAAGUUUUUAAAACUAUAUUUUACAAAUUUUGAAUACGGAAAUAAUUUAUGCCAUGCUCUACAAAUUUAAAAUAACUUUUUCAUUCCAAAACUAUGGUGUUACAAAUCUACCCUUAAAAGAAAUGUUGUCUCGAUAUUUUAGGUUUGUCUAGCAAAGAGAUCGGGGUAUGUGGCUUUAAGGUUAUUCUCUCUUUACCUAGUAGCCUGAUAUGUGGUGUGGUUACUCCACCUAAUUUUGCAUAUUUUUGCCACUCUUAGUUGUACCCAAAAUUUCCAUUGGGCUUAGUACAUGUCACAUCAUCAUAAACAUUUAGAUCUUCAUUUGCAACUAUUCCUCUAGCACCCUCAACCACCACUUGAAUUAUUACACAUGAAAUACGUCAUGUACAUCUGCUAACCUCUCAUGCAACUUCAACUGGUAUGCUACUUCAUUUUUUCAUUCUAAGAUUGUGAACGUACUAACGUACUCUGGUGAUAUUUUUUCCUUUACUUCAAUCCUGCGUAAGCCUUAGAUAGGUGACACCUUAAGAUAUACAAAUUCUCCUACCUCAAAAGCUAAAUCUCUUCUCCUAUUAUCGGUAUAACUCUUUUAUCGUGACUGUACGCAAUCCUUAAAUUAUCCUUGACCAUUUGCAUCCGGUUCUCUUCUUCCUGUAUAAUUUAUGUACGAAAUAUUUGCCUCCCGUGUGUAUGACUCUCAUGCAAAGAUGUCCUGCAUCGUUUGUCUUAUAAUGCUUCAAACAGGAUAAUUAAUGCACACCCUUUUUACACCAAGAACAAAGCAGAGGUGAAAACCAAGAACAGCUCACACACAACUCCUAAUACUCUCUCUGUCCCAAAUUUAAAUAAAAUUCGUAUUAGAUAAUUAAUGGAUUCAUACAAUACUUGAUGUAUGUGUUUUAUAUAUGUCUCUAGAUUCAUUAUCAUCCAUUUGAAUAUAGAUAAAAAAACUAACACCUAAAACGAAUAUUUCGUCCCGAUCCAAAAUAUAAUUCAUUUUAAACUAAUCAUGCAUUCAUUAAGUAAUAUAUGAAUGCAGUUUGUAUGUAUAUGUCUAUAUUCAUUAUCAUUUGAAUGAAUGUGGGUGAAAAGAGUAGACUAGAAAGAACUAUAUUUUAGAAUGGGUGGAGUACUAUUUUAUGAGGGCAGGAGUAAUAUACAAAGUCAUGAAUGAAUACAUGCCGUUUUGACGCCAUGAAUCAAGAUAUCAUUGAAAUGAGCUGUCCAAACGUCAACCAUUUAUAGCUGAAAACAUCCUUUGCUGAUGCUGCAUCAAUGAUCAUUUUAAUUAACCACUCUAGUUUGAUUCCAACAAUCGUGAUUAGGAAGAGGAACGUACGUGGAACACUCUCUCUCCUCUCGCAUUCGUCAAGCUACAUGAAAAAACUUGGGCACAGCUAGCGCUUUAAACUUCCGCUUUGACCAUACUUUUACAAUAUGUGUUCCUAUAAUCUACAUAAAUUGUAUUCAUUCUAUAAAUAUUUUUACUUGAUUAACUGUAUCAUGGCCUUUUGACGGUAUUUUACUGUGAGAAAAGGACAAUUUUAUGAAAAAUAUAUGUAAACAUUAAAGAAAAAGUUUUUUUUUCACACGACACCAUAAAUAAUUAGUAUCACAUGUAUGUUACUUAGGAGCACGCGUAAACUUUAAUAUGUUUAAUUAUAUAUGCUUAGUGUUCUAAUCAUUGAAUUGAUUUGAAACGACGCAAUAUAGAAAAAUAAAAGCUGGCAUAAAGCUAUGUAUGUCCACUAACCGCAGCGACGUGAGGAAAGUAGAAUUAGAGAAGCAAAGGCAUUCCGAAUGAUCUAUACAUGCCGACGAAGAUCUACUGUUGUUGAGUCGCAGUUACUGGUGCCGUGUACAACCAUAUUUGAUGCUAUAUUAUUCAUUUGAAGCAACACAUGGGGUGUUUUUAAGCUGCAAAAAAUAUUUCAUGGUGAAAAACUCGGUAAUACACAUAACAAUGUUUAACCAGUGGUUAGAACAACUUAAUUUUCAUGUUUAAUUACAUGACCAAAAAGAAUAUUCUAAUUUAUCAUUAGGUUCUACUCAGGAGCAAAAUCACAAUCAAAUUAAGAAUGUUAUCUUGCUGUUGUUAGAAGAUUUAACCUAUUACAGUAGAAAGGGCCAUCAAUACCGAUUGAAAAUCGGCUAUUGUAUUGUAUUCAUAUUUGGUACUAGACAACUAGGACUAAAGACAUAAAUCUUUAGUUUUAAUUUCAUGGCUGAGUGGUCUUUAGUACAUGUGUUUGUGGAUCGAGUACUAAAGGGGAGGGGGGUUAGGCUAUCCACAACCGUUACCUCUAAAUUUUUUCCUCUAUAUCACUUUUUCCCCCUAUUUUCCCCCUAUUUUUUCAUCUCCCGCAGCGGUUCCCGCUAAAUACUCCCCCUAUACCCCACUACAACUAGAAAAUAUCAUUUUCUAUAUCAACUAUCAAUUUUUUAUCUACUAACAAUUACUCGUAGACCUACAUCAUAUCAUAGUGUUUAGAGGGAUGAAUAGUGACACGCUAGAUCUGGGGGGAGAGAAGGGGGCCGACGUGUAGGGGGCGCUGUAGGGGGCACCGCUGCGGCCGUAGAGUGCCCCCUACAGGCCGCAUGCAAGGGGAGGGGGCUGCGUAGGGGCUGUCGUUGCAGUUAGUCUUAGUGUGCGCUCCUAUUGGGACCUUUUAGUACUGGUUCAAGGCACAUUAUAGUGUCUAGGGAACUUUUAUUAUGUACAUUUAAAAAAUAUUAAUUGAUAAACAUUUAAUAUAUAUGCUUUAAUUAAUAUAUGUACAUUAAUAUUUACAAAUUUAUUAAUAGUCCUAGUUCAUGAAUAUUAAUAUUAAAUGUAUACAUAUGUAACAACAAAUAAUAUGAUGUUUACUGAGUAUUAAAUAUUUAUUCGUUUCUAUAUUCUCAAUAUUCAUCAUCUUCGCCUUCUCAUUUGACCAAAAGAUUUCGUCCAUCAUAAUAGAACUCUUCGUUUUUCGAUACGAUCUUAUUAUAUAUAAACCAUAUUAGUUGUCCUUGAAUUGUUUCAAUCUUUUCCUAAGGAACUUCCUUCGUUUUCAUAAACUAUGAUUUAUCAAAAAAUUAAUAAUAAUUUUAAAUUCAAAGCUAAGACACUUUAUUAUCAUAAAAUCAACAUUAAUAUUGUAGACUUUGCUAAGGAGGAGUCUAUUGGUGCUUCCUUCAUAGAUAAUUUCUUCUUGAAAUGUUCCUUUAACUCGGCGCUGACGGCAACAUUCAAUUAUGUGUUCUUUCUUAUUGUUCGAUUUGUAUAUAUGGCAAUGUUCCAUUACCUCGGUGUUGAUGACAACGUUCAAAAACAAAGAUGUGCAAGGAGACAUUGUUGCAGCAACAUACCUUAUGGAUAAAGUUUCCCUUAGUAUAAGAAAUAAAAAGGUGCAUCCAACUUAGGCAUCACUCAUAGCCCUAAGGGCUAGAUUACUGUAACAUCACUCAUAGUUCGAAAGGCUAGUUUAAUGGAACAACACAUGUAGCCCUAAGGGCUAGUUUCCUGCUUAUGGGUUCGUUCAUGAUUUAACUUCUCCAUUAUUUGGCGAUCCAUCUUAGCAUGAUUCCUAUGAAAAAUAUGUCGAUGUUUAGUCCCGAUAGCGCACUACGGGGUUGCCCACGCAGUGCUUUUGGGAGGACGGUGACGUCGAUCGCGGCUCGAUGGUAUGUACAGGAGCAUGCCAGAACACAGGAAGUUUAUACAAGUACGGGCCACGUGAAUGUGUAAUACCCUACGUCAUGUGUGGUGAUGAGUAUUGAAUUGCCUUGAGUUCACAAAUUACAGGUGGUUUAGGGGCGGAAGAUAAGGUCUCCAAUCAAUCUAAUGGUGAACGAGAGUGAGAGAGAGAGUUUUUGGUAGGGGUAUCUCUACUGCCUUAUAUAGUCGACUGGAGAGUUAUACCUGUAAAUUUCAUCGAGCUUAUCUAAAUCUACUUUCUAUUGCUAUGAGUAUGCCUGUUUUUCCGGUGCUUGGUUGGCUUCUCUGGUUUAUCAUCCGAGUUAUCAAGUACCUAGCCGCGUGAGAAACGUGUCUUCAGAAAUUUGGUAAUUCUUAUGCGAUAUACGUGCACGGAUGGUAUGUUGGUGCAGUGUUCUUCGAGAUCUCCUCGUAUCCAGUGCUCCGUUGCUGCAUUUGACUUUUAUUUCGUCAGGACGAGGCCCAUCAGUACGCCCCACCGGACGUCUUAUUAGGGUCCUCUCCCAUGGCCCAAGGAGUACAUUUAUGCCUUGGCGACCCAUAGGAUAUCUAUCUCCCACAAAAUAUAUAGAACUAAAAAUAGGGUUUAAGGUUGAGCUCAAGAAUGAAUGUCCUUUUUAAAAUAACAUUAUAUCGAACUACUUCGAAUCACGACUUUCUUGAUAAUGUAUUAUGUUCAUUGGAGAAAUGUGGCUCUAUAUACGCAUUGUGGGCAUUAUGGUCCAAAAGAAAAAAGAGAGAGAAACAACAAUUUCUAUACAUCAAGCUUGCAAGUGAUCGUGGAAAAGGGAAACUAUAUAGCAAAGGCACAUAAGAAUCUUCUAUAGCAAAGACACACAAUAAUCUUUCCAUGAGUUUAAUACACCAUGAUUAUAUAUAAUUAUAAAGAUAGAUAGAUAUAUUGCAAUGAUAUAACAAAGCUUCGGUUUCUAAUGUGCUCAUUGUAGGGUUAGGGAGUCACUUCUAUGGCGAUGGUGCAGGGUCGAUGGGAGAAGUGGUGGCGCGAGGAGGGCCCUUGCAUGUAUGCUCGACAUGGGAAAUGGUGGUGUGGGGAGAGGGCUCGACGAGCUCACCAAGAAAGGUGCUAGAAGAAGAGAAGAAGAAGGGCAUAACGAAGGCUGAAGUUAUAUUGGGCACUUAUCGAUUCUUGCAAAGAACCAGUACUAAAGACCUCUGACCAAGAACUGGAAAGGGGCCAUUAAUACCAGUUCUUACAAAGAACCAAUGCUAAAGACCUUCAGGAUGGAAUUGAAAAAGAACCUUUAGUACCGUUCGUGUAAGAACCAAUACUAAAGAGUUCUUUAGAGAGAUGGCAAACUAAACUACGAGCGUUCAUUAGAGCGAUGGUAGACAAAACAAAGCAAGUUACAAUCUCUACUUGAAGCUUAUUACACUAAGCUCCUCUUUGUUCCUAACGCCAGCUCGGGGAGCGAGGGUUGGAGGUUAUAAAGCAGGUACAUUAACACUAGUUGAAAACACCAAUCGAUAAUAAUGUUAUGUCAUCAAAUUCCAGUUAAAAACACCAAUCGGUACUAAUAGAAUUAUAUUAGUACCAAUUGGUGUCGUCAACCGAUAGUGAUAAGUUAAUAUUAGUUCCGGUUAGAGACAUUAAUCAGUAUUAAUGCCCUAGCUCUACGAGGACGCAUUAGUUAAAACCGGUGCUGACGAAUUGAGUGAGUACCGAUUUUAAUGCAAUAAUAGGUACUAAUUUGAUUUAAUUUACUUUAGUGCACAACAAUUUGUAUAGUGUACAAAAGUUCCUUUACCAGAGACGGCCCUUACCACAGAGUCCAAAGCAGGUCGGAGAUCGAGAACCCCACGCGGUGCACAACAAUUUGUAGUGUACGACUCUGGCACUGACCGAUGUAUAAUUGACUAAAAAGCAUGCACGCAAAGCAGCUCCCGCUUUUUUCGAAAAUGUAGAAGAUUAUCUCAAUCAAUUAAUGUAACAAUUUAUACACUCUGGUUAUAUAUAUACAUGGCCAGAAAAAAAUGUCAUCUAUUAUAAAGCUGCUAUAUAUAUACAUGCAUUGAAAAGGAUCUUUGCGUCUAUAUAUAAUUUCACAAAAAAAAGUGUUAAUAUCAUAUGUGUGUGAUUGAAGAGCCCUGAGCUUGCUUGUACACGAUGACACAACACAUGUACACCAAAUCAUGCGUGCAUGUGCCACCUCGCGUGCCUAUAUAAAGCCACCCACAGCCCUGCCUAUCAUUGCAAGAGUUUGAGCCAACACACACAGAGAGAGGACAACUCCUCACAACUCUCCCUUCCCUCCUGUAGGGGCCAAAAGGGUUAGAGAGUAGGAGAAGUAGUUCCCUAGCCCAACACAAGAAAAACAAGCUCGAUCUCCUCAUCACCCUAAUCCAAGCAACUGCUUUGUGUGUUGGGAAAUUCUUGUGACCCCUGUUAUAUUAUUAUCCGUGUAGCUACUAGCUUCAUUCCCCCCUUUGUACCCAUCAAAUGGCUGGCAUGUCUCUGCAACACCCCUGGGCGUUUGCUUUCGGUCUACUAGGUACAUACUACACCUUCACUAAUAGCUAAACAAGCGCCCGCCGCAAAGCUAUGAAUUAAGGGCAGGCAUGUUUGGUUUGCUACCUAUUUUACCAUACUUUGUCUAACUUUUCUGUCUAAGGUUAUAGUUCUUCAAUUCGAACGAUUAAUCUUAGCCAAAGUGUGACAUGGUUAGCCACGAACUAAGCAGGCCCUUAAUUAUUGCGCAUGUAUAUAUUAUAUAUUUAUCUUUCUAUUCUGUUUAAUUUGUUUUCUCUUUACAUAUAUAUACUACUAUGUAAGUAUAUAUUAUAUGCACAACAAGCAGGCCUCCUUCGUGCACAUAUGCAUAGAAUCAAUCUAUACCCUUCAUAGAAGCCACUUUGAGAUAUACCUUCCAAAACAAUCCCAAAAACAAGACGCUCGAUCUUGCGCUCACAAUCACUUAGUUUUGCACCAGAUUAAGCAUGCACCACUAGAUUUUAUGUACUGUAUUACCUCUGCCAUCCAUGGUCGAUCCUUUAGUUUAUCCUAUUCAUUUCCGUCAUGAACUACCUGUCGAGCUAGCAAUCGGUCCUUUAUUUAGAGUGUUCAGAUAGGCAUCUGUCUUUAUACAAACAAUAAAGCCUCACGAAUCUUUAGUCACAAAACAAGGCAAAUUAGACAGGCCACGGAGGUGUAAAGUGUCAGCUCUGCUUAUCACAACUUAUCUCUGCUUUAUUUGGGCACACUUUUGCCAUACAAAUGGCUGAUCUUGGCGCCUUUUUUUUCUCCUUGCUUUGCAGGUAACGUCAUCUCCUUCAUGACCUUCCUGGCCCCGAUGUAAGUGACAUAUAUAUAUAUAUAUAUUGCUUAAUUAAUUAUCACUGCUUCUUCAGAUAUAUAUUCAUCGGUUAUUUUAAUUAAUUAUGUGGAUAUGUAUGCAUCGUAUAACAGACCGACGUUCUACCGCAUCUACAAGAGCAAGUCGACGGAAGGCUUCCAGUCGGUUCCCUACGUGGUUGCCCUGUUCAGCGCCAUGCUGUGGAUCUUCUACGCACUGAUCAAGUCCAACGAGACCUUCCUCAUCACCAUCAACGCCGCCGGCUGCGUCAUCGAGACCAUCUACGUCGUCAUGUACUUCGUCUACGCGCCCAAGAAAGCCAAGCUGUUCACGGCCAAGAUCAUGGUCCUCCUCAAUGGCGGCGUCUUUGGGGUCAUCCUCCUGCUCACCCUUCUCCUCUUCAA